ACAAAUUACCCAAUUCUUCGUGGCCAGAGAUGCAUAGAUUUUGCAAAGAAGGUAAUUGGGCAGCAAAAUUCUUCGAACCAAAAAAGCUGUAAUUUGAUCUGGAAAAAAGAUACAAUUUUCUUAGUCGAGGGAACUUGAUGAUGCCAUCUCUGGUGAGUGCAUCUCCUUCUCCAAUGUAAAAUAUUUGCUUUAAAUUGUCAGCAAAAUCAAUCUCCAUCUCUUCCAGGUUCAGAAGGCUUGGAGAAACAGAGACAGGGAAGACAUAUUCCAGUUUACCACACCGUUCUAUGAAGAUAAAUUUUAAUUCUGGGAAGCCCGGAGACUCUGGAAUUAUCUCCCUAUGUAGACACAAUUUUAUACACCUGAAAUUAAACAACUACAAGUGUAUAAAUAUAUAAUUUUAUUAAAUAUAUGAUCAGAUAUAAUUUUUAUCUAAUAUAUUUUUUCAAAAGAAUAUGAAAAUUCUUUGAUUCUUCUUUUGGAUUUGAUAUAUGAUGACUUGAUUUAUUUGAGAAAUCAAACCAAGAUUUGUGCUUUGCAAGAACACGAAUUUAGGCGUAUAUUGCAAAGCGAGAUAUGAUAAUUUGAUGCUUUGAAGAGUACCUUUAAAUCGUCUUCAAAGUAUUGUUGAAGAACUCAAAUAGGCAUUUAGACUUGAUUCAAUAUAGCUUUGUUCUUUGUAAACUUCAAGCGUAGAUGAAGGAGGCUUGAGAACUUUUGAGAAGGCUUCCUUACUUGAAGAGAGAGAGAGAGAGAGAGAGAGAGAGAGAUUCUUUGCUUGAACAGUUUGUCUUGAAAGAAAUUUGUAUUUCCCAGAAUCCUCCCCUUCUCUAGGUUGAGACCCUCUAUUUAUAGAGAUCUGUAAAGGUUCUCAGGUCCUUUUCCAAUGCCUUAUGAUAUAAUUUUAUUAGUUGAUAUUUAUUGGUGUGAUCUUGCAUUUAUGACAAGAUAUCUUGAAUAUCUUAUCUCAAGUGUCAACCUUUUAUUGGCCAAGAAAUAUAUGAAGACUCAUUUAUUUUUCAUGUUAUAUAUUUCAAUUUUAUUUAUUCUUUCUUUUAAAAUAAAAUAACACGUGGUGAAAUUUGAUUGGUAAAAAAUUUGUGUUUCUACAUAUGUCCUCUCGAGAAAAGUUCACUUACUUUCGAAAUAAGUGGGCAUGUCUCGAAAAAUAUGGUCGAGAGGGUUUUAUAUUUUUGACUAAAAUUUGAUUUGAUCAUAUUAGAUUUUCAUAAUAAAUAGAUAAAUUUGAUUGUGAAAUAAAAUAUGAUAGUCAAAAUUAAAAAUUUAUGGACCAAUCUUGAUUGAAAUUUAUCAAAUCAAAUGAUAGAAUAUCUAAAUUCAAUAUCUCAUUUGAAACAGUUGCAUAUUUAAGGAUCAAACAAAAUUUAUCUUUAUACCUGAAUAGCAACCAACACUUUGACCGGCUUGCAGGAUUUUUUUUUCAUCGGAAGUGGUCACUGUAACAUCUUGUUUUGAAGAUCUCAUUGUUCUGAAUCCAACGACGAAAUUCGUUCGUGAUUCCAGCUAGUGGUUAAUGAGCUAUAAAAUAUUAAAGAUUUUGAUUAAUUUUCUCUUCCUUCUCUUGAUAUGCGUGCGCACUCAUAUUGGUUGAUGAAUUAUUUUCUUCCUUCCCGUUCAAAUGUUCUUUCCUUUAACAGUACAGGAAAUUUGUGUUUCCUUUUCUUUUGGCUUUACCAUGUGCAUCCUUUGUUUCCUGAAUGAAUUGUCCAACGUGAAUGAAUUAUUAAAAGAGCAAAAGAAUUCCAGUACUGGUAGCCGACUUCGCUUAAUUGAACUAGGAAAACUUUCUUCAACUAGGAAAAGUUCGCUGGCUUUUGAUUAUGUUAAUUAAGCAAGAGUCCUCUCAUCAGAGUAAGCGGCUAUAAAAACCAUACUUGUCCCUUCUAUUUUUUUUACAGACAGUUCGGCUUCCAAUAAAGCCAGGCAAUCAAUCUUAGGAGGCGUUCGUCAUUCUCUUCUUCUUUAGCACCAGCAGGUUGCUACUUCUCAAAGGAAUCAGCUAUUUUAUUUCUAUCAAUAAGUUGCGGUCGUUCUGUGUUGUUUUAAUAAUCCUGGUUCCUUCAACACAGCCUCCACCAGCAGUCCAGGUAUGCAUGUCUCCAUUUAUUUUUUUGUUUUAUUACAACUGCAAUUUUUUAAAACGAGAAGGAAGGUGCCCACCCUAUUCUUGCUGCUAUCUCUAUAUAUCUCUGAUUAUGCGUGUGGCUGUUCACUGCUAGGUGGUAUCGAACCUCCCAAAGCUCAUUGAAGGUCUGAAGUGAUUGGCCAAGUCUACUCCCAUGGUGGACUGUUCCAUCAAGGGAUCUUCUUUAUUGGAAACCAAACCAUCACUGCAGCUAUUUCAAUGUCCUUUUCAUCACCAACCAAGUCUUUAUCAAUGUCAAUAGCAUCUGAAUUAUGACCAUCAAUGUCGACUGGAGCAAAGCUGUGACCCUUAAUUCCAAUUGCAUCAGAUCCAUUGCCAUCAAACUUCUCCUUGGUCCCAUCCGACACAAACCUCCAAGGAUCAAACGAUGCUAAUAAUCUUUUUUUUUAUUUGUGUCUUUGCAGAUUUUGCUUCAGCAAGACCUGCUCCCUGAUGAUCAUCGUAAUAUUUUGUAUGGGCUCACUUUCAUCUUCUCAUUGAAUUACCACGGAGUUGUUGUAACAGUAGCAGCAGAGUCAACAAAUCCUUCAGCUUUACAUCUUUCACAGUCUUAGGGGUAGGUAAUUUUUGAAUGACUUCAACCUUUGACUUAUCUACCUCUAUCCCUUUUGAAGAGACAAUGUGACCUAAGACAAUGCCAUGUGUCACCAUAAAAUGACACUUCUCCCAAUUGAGUACAAGAUUGUUCUCUUCACACCUUUCAAGAACUUUUUCUAAAUGCAUUAGACACAACUCAUAAGAAUCCCCAUAAACUGAAAAAUCAUCCAUGAAAACUUCCAAAAAAUUUUCCACCAUGUCACUAAAGAUACUCAUCAUACACCUUUGAAAAGUGGUUGGUGCAUUACACAAGCCAAAAGGCAUUCUUCUAUAAGCAUAGGUACCAAAAGGACAAGUGAAAGUGGUUUUUUCUUGGUCUUCUAAAGAAACCUCAAUUUGGUUGUAACCUGAGUAUCCAUCAAGAAAACAAUAGAAAGCUCUUCCGGCUACUCUUUCAAGCACUUGGUCUAAAAAUGGAAGCGGAAAAUGGUCCUUCCUAGUUACCAUGUUCAACUUACGAUAAUCAAUGCACAUACGCCAUCCAGUUUGGAUUCUAGUUGGUACUAGCUCAUUAUUUACAUUUUUCACUACCGUGACUCCAGAUUUUUUUGGGACAACUUGGGUUGGACUAACCCAUUUUGAGUUUGCAAUGGGGUAAAUGAUACCCGCAUCAAGUAGCUUAAGCACUUCACAUCUUACUACUUCCUUCAUGUUUGGGUUCAAUCGUCUUUGCAUUUGCCUCACAGUUUUAGCCUCUUCUUCAAGAUAGAUUCUAUGUGUACAUGAAAGAGGGCUAAUUCCUUUCAAGUCAGUAAUAGUCCACCCAAUUGCUUUUUUGUGUUUUCUCACCACUCUCAAAAGUUCUUGUUCCUGCUCUAUGCUAAGUUUUGAUGAAAUCACAAUAGGAUAUGAUUCAUCUUCCCCUAGAAAUGCAUACUUAAGAUCACUCGGUAAAGGCUUCCUUUCUGGUUUAUAAGGUUGGACAAGAGAUGCCUCAGCUUUUACUUGGGGUGAAAUCAAAGGCUCAAACGAUGGGGUCCAUUGACUUAUUGACAUAAUAGGCAUUGGAUCUAAAUAAGUCUCGAGUUCUCUUACUUCCUCAUCAACACAUUCCAAAGAACAAAAUCUUUCAUCAUGAAUUAAAGUUCUCUCCAAUGGAUCCUUGAUCCACUCUCUCUCAAAGUGUUCUUGACAAACUGUUUGGAUCAAAUCUACCUCUCUAAUGUCCUCAUGUUCACCAAUUUGUUUAGAGACAUUGAAUAUGUUAAUCUCCACAGUCAUGUUCCCAAAAGACAAUUUCAUCACGCCAUUCCUACAGUUGAUUAAAGCAUUGGAUGUAGCUAGGAAAGGUCUACCUAAGAUGACUGGGAUGGGAGCAUUAGAACCUUGAAUAGGUGCGGUGUCUAGCACUACAAAAUCAACAGGAAAGUAGAAUUUAUCUACUUGGACCAACACAUCCUCAACAAUACCCCUGAGAAUCUUGAUUGACCUAUCAGCUAAUUGAAGGGUGAUUCGAGUAGGCUUGAUUUCUCCUAAACCUAACUGUUCGUAAACAGUGUAGGGUAUCAAAUUCACACUUUCUCCUAAAUCCAACAAAGCUUGGUCUAUCCUAUGACUUCCAAUAAUGCAUGAAACGGUAGGACAACCAGGAUCUUUGUAUUUGGGAGGGGUCUUAAACUGGAUGAUGGCACUAGCAUGUUCAGUUAGAAAGGCUCUUUCUUUCACAUUCAAUCUCCUUUUGACUGUGCAUAAGUCCUUGAGGAACUUUGCAUAAGAUGGGACUUGUUUAAUUGCAUCAAGGAGUGGAAUGUUGACUUUCACUUGUUUGAACAAUUCAUAGAUUUCCGAGUUCAUAAGAUCAUGUUUAGGUUUCCCUAACCUUUGUGGAAAUGGUGCUCUAGGAACAAAUUCUAAAUCACUCACUUUGACUCCAAUUUUUCUUGAAUCAUCUCCUUUCUCACUCAUCUCUUUCUCAUUUAUCUCACCUUCUUUGUCACUCAAGCUCUCAUUUGUCACUUGUGUUUUGAUUUCCUCUUCACUUUCCUUAGAUUUCUCCUCCACAAUACCUCUAGGAAUCUCAAAACCUAUAGCUUUGGCAACAAUCUUUCCACUUGUUCAUGGUUUGAAGGUUCACUAGAUGAGGAUUCACUCAUGUGUACCUGACCUCUAGGAUUUGGCAUUGGUUGAGCUGGAAUCUUUCCCUUCUCUUGAAUGCUUAGUGAUUGAGUCAACUUGGUUAGUUGACUUCGAAUGUCAUCUAAGGUCCUAUUGGUCUGGUCUUGAAAUUUGUAAGCUUGGUUGUUGAUUCCUCCUUGUGUUUGCAUGAAUUGUUGAAGAGUAUCCUUUAGGGAUCUCUUAUGAGGUGGUUGGUAUGUAUUAUGUGUGGGAGCAUGAAAUGGUUGGGGUGGAGGUUGAAAUGUUUGAGGUACUGAAGGCCCCUCAUUUCUCCAUCCAAAAUUUGGGUGGUUCCUCCAUCCAGGAUUGUAGGUCUCAGAGUAGGGAUUGCCUACUUGGUUUGAAAAUGGCUUUCUAACAUUACUUGAAUUAGAAGUUUGGCCAUAUAGCACUUCCUUGAAGGCUGGAAUGGUAGGACACUCAGUUGUCCUAUGCCCUUUGCUCUCACAAACAACACAACUUUCCUCUUGUUGUUCACUCAUGACAUGCACUUUUUUAAUCUCAAGAGACUCUACUUUCCUAGCCAAUGAGGCUAAUCUAGCAUUGAGGUCAUCAGUCUCUUUCAAUUGGAACUUCCCACUUGAAUGAGAAAUGGUGUUUCUAGACUCAACAUGAAGUGGGAGAGAAGUCUCUCAUUGCUUUGUGUUUUCAGCCAAUUGAUCAAAGAAAUCAAAGGCUUCACUUGGUUCUUUGUCAUAAAACUCACCAUUACACAUGGUUGACACUAGCUUUUUAAAAUCUGCGGUAAGAGAGUCAUAGAAGAAACUCACUAACCUCCACAUCUCAAAACCAUGGUGGGGGCAUGCAUUUAACAAGUCUUUGAACCUUUCCCAAGCUUGGUGAAAUGACUCAUUUGGACUACAAGAAAAAUUCAUCAUUUGACGUUGUAAGGCUGCCGUCCUAUGAGUGGGGAAGUAUGUUUUCAAAAAUUCAGCUUGCAUUUCUCUCCAUGUACCUAUAGACCUAGGACACAAGGAGUUUAGCCAAAGCUUGGCUUUAUCCUUUAGAGAGAAUGGGAACAAUUUAAGACGAAUAGUUUCCUCGGUGCAUGUUCUAUCAAUAAAAGUAUUACAUACCUCUUCAAAGUCCUUAAUGUGUAUGUAUGGAUUUUCAGAAUCCAUACCGUGAAAUGUGGGAAGAAGUUGAAUCAUGCCCGGUUUCAAAUUGAAAGCUUGUUGGUUAAGAGGUAAGAUAAUACACGAAGGUGUACUUUGUCUAGCCGGGUGAAGAUACUCUCUAAGAGUUCGAAAAUUAGGUUGAUCAUUGAAUUGUGGAGGUCCAUUACCUUGAACACUCCCUUCACCCUCUACAUCUUCAACAUUAGCCAUGAUAAAAUAAUAAUAAUAUAACAAUUAUAUGAAUACGAAAGGAAAGGAAAAACAAAGAAAAAGAAAAAGAAGAUUGCAAAUAAAAGUAAAUGAAAUGUAAAAGAUAAAGUAAUAGCUCAAAAAUAAAAAUACAACAAAUUAAGAAAUUCUCCAACUAAUAAGCAAUAUUAACAACAAUAAACAUUAAAAGAUAAUUAUAACAAGCAUGAAUAAAAAGGCGGUAAUACCGGCCAAGCACUUCAGACAAUAAAUAUAAGAAAAAUAACAACAAUAAACAUUAAAAGAUAAUUAUAACAAGCAUGAAUAAAAAGGCGGUAAUACCGGCCAAACACUUCAAACAAUAAAUAUAAGAAAAAUAAUCACAACAAAACAACAAAAUAAAAUAAAAUGAACAAGAGGCGGUAAUACCGGCCAAGCACUUCAGACAAUAAAUAUAAGAAAAAUAAUAACAGCAAAAUAAAAUAAAAUAAACAAGAGGCGGUAAAACCAGCCUUAUAAUAUAAACAAUAAAUAUUAGAAACUAAUUAAAAUAGACAAUACAAGAAAAAUGGUUGAACCAACCAAAAUCCAACAAUUAAUAGUCUAGUCCACAGUCCAAUAUCCAAAAAGUUGAGGUCAAUAUUUUUUUUUUAGGCGGUAAAACCAGCCAUUUGAUUUUUUAUUUUUAUGUAUUUUUUUUUGUUUUCCAAUAAUCAAAUAGAAAUUUGUUACCUUUGCUUGCUAGCUCCCCGGCAAUGGCGCCAAAAUUACUUGACCGCUUUUUAUGUUCGGCUUGUUUUAACUCGCAAGUGCACGAGUGUGCGAUGUAGCAAUUAACUCGGUAAGAUCGAGGUCAUAUCCACAGAGAGCUAGAUCUGGAAAUUAAGCUAGGUAACAAAAAAACUCAAGAGAAAUUAAAUUAACAAUAACUUGGUUGAAAAUGAUUGAUGGAUUUGUUUUCAAAGAUGAAAAGGUGUAAAUAGAUUUUAAAUGACAAGAAAAAGUAAGUCUUGGUCCAAAUCAAUUUUAAUGGUGAUGUAUUGGUGAUUCCUUCAACAUAUAUAAGAUAACUCAACCUAAUAUCAACAAUGGUGAUAUUAGAUCGGAAGAUAUUACAAUGAAGAUUAAAAAGAUGAAGAUUGAUUAUUGCUUAAGAAUGAACAAGUACUUUCAUAUUAAGUAAGACAUUGAAUCAAGCAAUCUCUAUACCAAAACUAAGGUUUGUCCAUAAAAAUUCAAGAUUAUAACAUUACCUAAAUGAUUUCUAAAAUUUCUUUGCAAUAAUAAACAUUCAUGAAGAAAAUGAAAAGAUAGACAUUAAGAUUCAUUCAUAUCUUAAAGAACUCACCUCAACCACCAUCAUCCUUGAUUUGGAUCCAAGAAGGAGAUUAGCCAACCAUGAUUAUAUGUAAUAACAUUUUAAUAAAUAUGAAAUAACUUAAAUCAAACUGAAAUAAUAAGUUUUACAAUCUAAAGAACCGAAAUCUAUAAAGAAGAACACAACACAAUUGCAGUAAAAAUUCGGACACAAAUCUGACUCUAACUUUGGACAGCAAUUCGACCCUCUUAGAAGCCUCCUUUGGAGAUGGCUAUUAGCAAUAUAUUUAUAGGCCAUUCGGUUAGCUUUCCAGAUCAUUAAAUAACAGCUCAUUUGGACAUCGGAGUCAAAAGUUAUGGGUAAAACACCGAAAGGUAUUCUGGAAAAUCAAAUCAGGCCAGCUUGGAGAACACUUUGGUGCACGUUUUUCUUCCUCCUUUGUGAGCUGUCUCUUUCUUCUUUUUUACCCAAAAUAAUGUGACAAUGUCCCCUCCAGCUUUCCAUCCAUGUGCUUGCCCUCUUGGAUCAAUGAAUUACCCAAAAUAAAUCAAAUGUUAUUUGUUGUGUGAACAUGUAAGAUCAUUGAUUGUGCUUGGGCUGAUUUGGGGCUGAUUUUGGGGCUGAAUUUAAGCAUCAAAUAAGGGUACAAAUGUACCUAUUAUUUGGGCUAAGAUUGACAUUGAAACCUUGAGUGUUUGAUGGUUGAAGUUUGCACACAACAUAAGGCAAGUUUGGGCUUGAAAUAGAUCAUAUGAUAUUCUUUUCUAGAAUUGGAAUAGAAUUGAUUUUUGGGGCAAAUUUGGAGCACUUAUUUGAACCAAGAUUUGCUUCAAUCUUCAACUAAAUUUCUCUUCAAUUCUUUGUUCCGAAUUCCGACGUUGAAUUUUCUGAAAUAAUUCAUUUAAGCUCCAAAAACCUAUCGAAACAUUAAAAGAAACUUCAUUACUAAAAAGCACAUCAAUUACUAUAAAAAACCCAAAUAAAAACAAUAAAUACAUAUGUAAAAUAAGAGACUUAAUGAUACUUUUGAUGCACAACCAGUGGACUUACUUAAAGGACAAAAUGUCAAACUGGAUCAAACCAUAGCCAACCAAGGUGCUCAGAUUAGAGACAUGCAGGGUAUUAUGGGCACCAUGGCACAACAACUAGAAUUGGCUUUGCAUAAGCUUUCUCCCCACACUGGCAGCCCAAGUCAAGGCAGAGACAAGCAAGUAUCAGGCAUGGAAGGUUAUGAGUCAAGGCAUAGGAGCUCGCAGGAGGAGAGAAUUCCUGCAUACAAAAUACAUAAACCAAAACAUUUCUUCCCAAUUUUCAAUGGUGAAGAUGUUCAUCGCUGGCUUUACAAAUGUGCUCAGUAUUUUGAGAUUGAAGAAAUUGCCAACACUGACAAGUUGAGAAUAGCAUCUUAUUAUCUUGAAGGUGUUGCAUUGUAUUGGCACCAGAACUUUUUAAGGAGUAUAGCCAACCAAGGAGUCACCUGGGAAGAGUAUGUGGAGGCUAUUGGCUGCAGAUUUGGAUGGCAACAAGAUCCCUUGGAGACACUAAUGGAGCUAAAACAACUAGGAAAUCUGGAAGAAUACAUCUAGGAUUUCGAUAUUUUGUGGAACAAGGCAGGAAUCAAUGAGAAGCAAGCACUGGUCAUUUUUCUUGGAGGUCUGGAGUUGGAGAUCAAAAACACGGUAAAAACGUUUGAACCCAAGACUCUUAAGCAUGCGUAUAAUUUAUCCAGGCUACAAGCUAACACAUUAUCCUACAAGAAACUGUCUCCUCUUCCUAAACAUUACACCCCACCUUUCAAUACCACACAGCCACAGAUCCAUCUUCCUACAAACACACAGAACCCCACGACCAUGCAAAAUACCAUAAAACCAAGUCCAGCUCCCUGGCACAAUAAUCCUUCAAAUACCAUUCACAGGAACAAUGUUAAACCAACCAAAUCUAUAAAGAACCAAGACUUUGAAGAGAGGAGGUUAAAGGGGUUAUGCUUCUGGUGUGAUGAUAAGUUCGUUCCUGGCCAUAGAUGCAGAAAUAAAAGGUUGUAUCCAUUAAGUGUUAUGGAGGAAGAAGAUGAAGUCAUUACAGAAGAAAAGCUGACAGACAAUGACGCCCUAACAUGGGAGCUUUCACCCCACAUAUCCUUGGAUGCAUUAGAAGGUACGGUGGGGCUCAACACGAUGAAGGUCUCUGGUAGAUUGGAUAGAACUACGGUUAGUAUUCUAAUUGACUUAGGAAGUACUCACAACUUCCUCAAUGCUGAAAUGGCUCUGAAACUCCAGCUCAAAUUAAUUGCCAUUAAACCAAUGAUGGUGCAAGCAGCUAAUGGUGACAAGAUGAUUUGUAAAUCCUUGUGCAAAAACUUGAAUUGGAAGAUGCAGGGAAUAAGCUUUGUGGCUGAUGUGUUCAUCAUAGACCUAAGUAAUUGUGAGAUGGUGUUAGGUAUCCAAUGGCUAUCCUUAUUGGGUGAUAUACUAUGCAACUACAAGCAUUUAUGGAUGUCCUUCGAUUGGCAAGGCAAAAGGGUGUUACUUAAAGGGGAAAACCCACCAAAGCUGCAAUAUAUAGAACUGGAGCAUCUAAAUUCAUUAGCAGGCAACCAUGACCAGCUAGAGGGGUAUCAUUUAUGUAACUUGCAAAUGGUAGAUGAGGUAGAGGCAGGAACUACUCCAGAGUCCACUACUAUCACUAUUCCUUCAACAGAUAAUCAAGACAUCCACCUGCAAAACCUGUUAGCAGCAUAUAUUGACUUGUUUCAGGAACCCACAGGCCUGCCUCCUCUUAGAUCCCACGAUCACAGGAUUCCUCUAAAGGAAGGAGGAGACUCAGUUAAUCUAAGACCUUACAGGUACUCUGGCCUUCAAAAAGAUACAUUGGAGGACAUGAUAAAAGAAAUGCCGAGGAUAAAAAUCAUAAGGACCAGCAACAGCCCGUUUGCCUCGCCAGUAAUCCUUGUUAAGAAAAAAGACUCCACAUGGCGUCUCUGUGUUGAUUACAGAGCCUUGAAUAAACUCACCAUCAAGGAUAAGUAUCUUAUUCCCAUGAUUGACGAACUUUUGAAAGAAUUAGUGGGAGCUUCUGUGUUUUCCAAUAUAGACUUGAGUUCAGGCUACCAUCAGAUCCGCAUGGCGAGAGGAGAAGAGUUCAAAACAGCUUUCAGAACUCACAGCGGCCACUACGAAUUCUUGGUAAUGCCAUUCGGCUUAACCAAUGCUCUGGCCACCUUCCAGAGUUUAAUGAAUGAGAUUUUCAGGGAGCAUCUGAGGAAAUUCAUUCUAGUAUUCUUUGACGACAUUCUCGUCUACAACCAUACACUCACAGAACAUUAUGAGCAUCUAGCUACGGUUCUCAACUUAUUAAGAGAACAUCAUCUGGUGGCUAAAGCCAGCAACUGCUUCUUCGGCAGGGACCAGGUGGAGUAUUUAGGACACAUCAUUUCUAAGCAAGGUGUGGCGACAGAUCCCUACAAAAUACAAGCCAUUCGGGAAUGGCCACUGCCUAUAGGAUUAAAACAACUAUGAGGGUUUUUGGGAUUGACUGGUUACUAUAGAAGAUUUGUAAGGGGUUAUGGCAGCAUUUGUAAACCACUCACUCAAUUACUCAAAAAAGAGGCCAAGGGAUGGAAUGAUGCGGCCACCACAACUUUCAAUCAGUUGAAAAUGAUUAUGACUAGUGCUCCAGUAUUAGCUCUGCCAGAUUUCAACAAAACAUUUAUCGUUGAGACAGAUGCAUCCAUGAUUGGUAUGGGAGCAGUCCUCAUGCAAGAGGGACACCCCAUUGCGUUCAUUAGCAAAUCAUUGGGUCCUAAACAACAGGUAAUGUCAGUAUACGAGAGGGAAAUGCUGGCUAUUCUCCAUGCAGUCACCAAAUGGAAGCAUUAUCUCUGGGGGCGCCAUUUUAUCAUCCGAACAGACCACAUAAGUCUGAAAUAUCUUCUACAGCAGAAGUUGACUACCCCUGCACAACAUUUCUGGUUGGUGAAAUUGCUGGGGUAUGACUACGAUAUAGAGUACAAACAAGGUCGCGAAAAUGUUCCCGCAGAUGCCCUUUCCAGAAUUCCAAACAAAGAGGUUUAUGCUCUAACCACUUCUACCAUCUCUACUGACCUCCUGGCAGAAAUCAAGAAUUCUUAUGAAGGUGAUGUUACAGUUCAAGGAAUUAUUAAACGGUUACAAGAGUCUACAAACACCCACCCACACUACACUUGGGUGAAUGAUCACCUUAACAGAAAAGGAAAGGUGGUGGUAGGGAAGAAUCUUGUACUACGGGACAAGCUCAUCUCCAUGUUUCAUAAUUCAGCUGUUGGAGGACACUCAGACAUGACAGUAACAACAAAAACCAUUGGGGGUUUAUUUUAUUGGAAGGGUCAGCAGAAACACAUCAGGCAAUUCGUUAGGGAAUGCAAUGUGUGCCAGAGGAAUAAACAUGAAAACACAGCCAGUCCUAGACUCCUUCAACCAUUACCCAUUCCUUCUGCUCCCUUCAUCGACAUCAACAUGGAUUUCAUGGAAGGACCGCCCAAAUAUGAAGGGAAGGAGGUGAUAUUGUUGGUGGUGGAUCGUUUCAGCAAAUACGCACAUUGCAUGGCCCUCAGUCAUCCUUACUCUGCCUCAGGGGUGGCCAAGACCUUUAUGCACAAUGUCUAUAAACUACAUGGGUUACCAGCCUCGAUAACAAGUGACAGAGAUCUGGUCUUUUUUAGCAGGUUUUGGAAAGAAUUAUUCACCAGUCAAGGGGUCAACCUCAACUAUUCCUCAGCUUACCACCCGCAAACAGACGACCAAACCGAAAUUGUUAACAAAUGCAUCGAACAGUACUUACGCUGCAUGAUUGGUGAUUGCCCGAACCAGUGGGUCAAAUGGCUACCUUUAGCUGAAUGGUGGUACAAUACUAACUACCACUCAGCCACCAAGAUGACACCUUACCAAGUUUUAUAUGGAGUUGCCCCACCCCUACACAUUCCCUAUUUUCCUAAAAAUUCAGCUGUGGAAUCAGUCGACGAGUACUUAUCAGCUAAAGAAGAAGUCAUCAAGAGGGUCAGGGAACAUCUCCAAGCAGCACAGAACAGGAUGACUAUAGUGGCUAACAGAAAAAGGAGUGAUCAUAGUUUUGAGAUCAAUGACUAUGUCUUCCUCAAACUCCAACCAUACAGGCAACAUUCAUUGGCACGCAGGUCCUCACAGAAGUUAGCUGCAAAAUAUUAUGGGCCUUAUCAGGUCUUGGCCAAGAUAGGGAAGGUGGCUUACAAGCUGGAAUUGCCAGCUUCAACACUUAUUCAUCCAGUGUUCCACGUUUCUCAGCUUAAAAAACAUAUUGGAAAUCACACCGCACAAGGCACUCCUCCGAUGAGACCAAAAACAACUACACUACAGCCUCGAACAGUGUUAGACCGACGAAUGGUUAAACGUCACCACCAAGCACACACUCAAGUAUUGAUACUCUGGGAAGGACUAGCUCCUACUGAGGCUACUUGGGAAGACAUGGAGGAAUUUAAGUUGCACUUUCCAUUAUUCAACCUUGAGGACAAGAUUGGUUUCAAGGGAAGGCAAUUGUUACCUGCAGAAGAAGAAAUGGAAUAAUAGGAACUAAUGCAGGCCACGCAUUCAAAAGUUAGUUAUAGAAUCCAUACGCACCGUUUCAUUUAAGUAACCAUACGCACCGUUUCAAUUCCAUAAAAUGUUGCAUGACAGUUAACACACAGCCUCCGUGCUGAAGGUUUUCGUAACCAAUUAGAAUUGCAAUAUUCUAUAUAAAGGCAUAUGCAUGAUAACAGAAGGGAACAAGAAUUAUAAUGAAAGAAUGAAUUCCUUAUUAUCAGGAAACGACUAUCAGGGUGUUGUUGGUGUGGUAUCAACGGCCUCUCAUAAAUCCUCCCCACUAAAGCCCCUACUACAGCAUUAACCAUCACUGGAGACCAUCCAAUUCGGGUCCAUCAUUUCUUCACUUGUAACAACUGGUAUCAGAGCUUGCAAUCCACGGACUACCACCAUGCCACCAAGCCCCACAGCAGCAAGCGAUCUCCUUCACUGCCAACCAGCCAGCUCGUCGAGACCCGACACUCUCUUUCAACCAGCCUCUAGCGGCAAAAAUAACACAGUAGCGCCGCACCCACAGACCAGCUGCCUCUUGGCCUUUCCACCAGCCACCUGAAACAGGUCCAACAGCGACGCCCCCUUCUCGGUUGUUCCUCCUCACCACCAGCCACCUAAAGUGGAGGAGAAGAAGAAGCCCUCCCAUCGGCAGAAGGAAAACCAACAGAGAGGGAGAAGGCGGAGGAACUGGAUAGAUCUAAAAAAAAAAAGGACUGCUUGUGCGUUUUCUUUUGUUGCAGGUCAUGGUGAAAGCCACCACGGGCAGGGAAGAGAAGAGAAGAGAGGAGGAAACCAUUUAAGAGCCCCCUGUUUGUUGGACUUUUGUGCGGUGGCGAGUGAACCCACGCGCCGCCAGUGGCGGGGCGCGUGGAGGAGACGCGCCGCCACUGUUCCACAAUCAUAGAAGAUGGCCAGAAUUCUCCAGCACUGUUCCCGAAGUUUUUUUUUUUUUGUAAUUUUCAAAUGUUGCUGUUAUAUUUAGAUUAAUGGUAUUUGAUUUAUUUUGAACUUUUGAUAUUUUGUAAUAUGUAAAAGUGAUGUGUGAGUUAAGCAUAGUAAAAAAGUGAUAUUAGUGUGUCUGUUUGUUUUUUUAUUUAUGUUAUUGAAUUAUAAAAUAAAAAAAAUUAAGUGUUUAAUUUGAAUAUGGUUAAAUAUCUUAAGGAUUAAUAAAAUCAUGAUAUAUUCUCCAUGAAAAUGUAAGAACAUGUUUCUAUAUAUAUUCUGGGAUUUAAUAACUAAUUUAUUAAAACUUUAGAAUUUGAUUAAUAUUUCAAAUUUUCAAAUCACAUUAAAUCAUGAAGCAGCUUACCUCAGGUAGGGUGCGCUAGGGAUGCUAAUACCUUCCCUAACCACAACCAGUCCCUUACUCUCGAAUCUCUGACAACGACCAGUAAAUCCGGGUUUUCUAGUAACCCAAUUAAAUACUAGGUGAUAACUCCCAAAGAACCAAUCAAGCAAGAAAAAUAAAAAAUCGCCGAAUCGCCACGCGGGGGACGUGCGACAAGAAUCUUGCUGCCCCAUUACCAUUUUUGCAAAAUCUUGUUCAUCUGAAGUUGUUUCUUGUCGCAAAACUGUCAUUUAUCUUCACACCGUCCCUCGCUCAAAGUCUACCACAACUAGAAACACUAGAGGUAAGUUGUUGCGAUGAAUUGAAGUAUAUUGUCAGAAAACAAGAUGAUGAAAGGGCAAUAAUUCCAGAGUUUCUAAGCUUCCAAAAAUUAAGAACUCUAUUUAUAUAUGACUCUGAUAAACUGGAAUAUGUCUUCCCUGGCUCUCUGUCUCCAAGUCUUGUGAACCUGAAACAGAUGACAAUUAGAUACUGUGGUAAAUUUGAAUAUGUCUUCCCUGUCUCUGUGGCUCCAAGUCUUCUGAACCUGGAAUAAAUGACUAUAUUUGCUGACAAUUUAAAGCAAAUAUUUUAUAGCGGGGAAGAAGAUGCACCACCCAGAGAUGACAUCGUCAAGUUGCCUCGACUAAGAGAAAUGGAUCUUUCAUCUAAAUCAAAUUACAGCUUUUUUGGUCCAAAGAAUCUUGCUGCCUAAUUACCUUUUCUGCAAAAUCUAAGCAUCCAUGGCCACGAAGAAUUGGGUAAUUUGUUUGCACGGCUUCAAGUACGUCCUUUAUAUUUCUCCGCUAAUUAUUUUCCUUUUUAAGUUAAAUUCUAAACUUCAUUUAAUAUAAAUAAAGUGUUGAUUUAGUCUUGUAGUCAUUAUCUCAAAGCUUUUCUUAGUUUAUUAUAAAUUAUCACAUGGAUAAAUUACAAUUAAUGUAUGCGAGACAAUAACAAAUAACACAAGAAUUAGUAGAAACACACUCACCUUAUAGUAGAGACAAGAGAAUGAUUAUGAAUGGAAGGUUCAUGCACGAUCACUUGGUCGACACACACACACUUGAUAACACCUUUGAUCUAUCGAUCGAUUCCGACCACAAAUAUAAUUUAUCUAAGGAGUUAUGUAUGUGAUGUUACUUUAGUUAUGGUCUCUCAAGGGGAAAUUAACGAAAAGAAUUGAAAAGGAGAAAAUAAUUAGUUGAAUGAAGGAAGCUCUCUGCCACUUCCCUAUAUCACACUUGUAAACCCAGGAAAAAAUAAAUAAAUAACAAAAAUUCAAAAAAUUUUGAAUAUAAAUUUUCGGGUGAAAUAGUUUGAAACAUUAUAAUAAACUCAGUACUGUUGAGGGUUGGAUUUAAUUGAAGAAAAUAAUACACUUAAAGGAAAAGGGGGGCCUAAAUGCAAAUAAGAGAAAAUAUAGAGUAUAAAUACUCUCUCCUCACCAAAAAUAUGUAGGAACCCUAAGGAGAGAAGAUAGGGAGUUUUAUACCCAUUCUUGAGAAAUCAAGAGAGAAACAUUAAAAUUUCAAGAACCCAUCCAAGAUUAAGAGCUUAUAGAUGGGAUAAAAACUUGAGAGCAAAGGAUUACCAAGAAAUUGAACAAGAAGAAAAGAAAGGAGGGAGUUGAAAAUCUUCAACUAGUUGAAGAUCAAAAUCUUAAUUUGUACCGGGUAAGGUAUUCUAAACAUGAUCUUAAAAAAAUUCAUUUUUAAAUUCGAUAAAGAAUUGAUGCCUUGAUAUUGAAUCAUAGGUUAGGGUUCUUAGACAUAAAUUGGGGAAAAGUACUUAUUGUUGAGAUUAAGUUAAUUCAUGUGUGUGGUAUGUAGUUUAUGAAAGUAUUGAGUGAAGGGGAGGGGAGACAAAUCUGGACAGACUUGUCUCCUGACUUUCUGUGAGAUUUCAGGUAGGAGGAUGAGGGAAUUAGGAUCGGGUUCCUCAUAGGAAUUGUAGAUUUGAAUGUUAGCUAACCAAGGAAACUGGUCUUGCUCAAUUUGGAGAUGUAGAACUCCAAUUAUGGGUUACCAGCUGAGACUGAGUCGUGACUGAUUAUGUAGGGCAGUAGGACUAAUUAGUUAAUGAGCAAUUUUGACUAUUUUGGAGGCAAAACUGGGUUCUUCUCCCUCAGAGAACUUGUAGCCUUGUGUCUUAGCUUUCUAACGAGAUCAAUCUCACUUAAAAUGGAGUUUUAGAACUUUAGAUAUAGUUAAAAAUCUGAUGAGUGUUCAGACAAUAACAGUUGAAAAUUGGACAAUAACAGUUCAAAGUUGGACAGUAACAGUUGAAAAUUGGACAGUAACAGUUGAAAAUUGCACAGUAACGGUUCAAAGUUGGACAGUAACAGUUGAAAUUUGGACAGUAACAAUUGAAAAUUAGACAGUAACAGUUCAAUGUCUAGACAGUAACGGUAGGCUUUCACGUGAAUACUAUAUAUACAAGAAUAUAAAAGAAUUGAGUCAUACGAACACUUGCACAUUGAGAUACUAACUCUGAAAAUAUACAUGAUAUAUGUAUGUAUGUUAUUAUGAGAAAAUGAACAUGUAUAUAAAGUAACAUAUGAGUAAUGGAUGAAUAUGGAUUCUCUAUAAUGUCGGCUUGAAGGAAUCAUAACCAAAAACUUCCUUAUGAUUCAGGAGGAGCAACCAAGAUUGGAUCUUCUGUUAGGGGAGGUCGCGAGACAGGCGAAGUAGGUGCGUGAUUCUCCUCCUAUUUGCACUUAUACAAUUUAGAAUUCUUAUGGUGAAUGCAAUUACAAUAAAUGUCGUGUUCAAUGUAAAUAAAAAUCUAGCGUAAAUACAAGAUUAGCUUCGGCAAAUGGCAUCCGUGAUAGGAUUGCUGGGAUAUGAAUUACAAGAUUAGCUGCGGCUAAUGGCAUCCAUGAUAGGAUUGCCGGGAGAUGAAUUACAAGAUUAGCUUCGGCUAAUGGCAUCCGUGAUAGGAUUUCCAGGAUAUGAAUUACAAGAUUAGCUUCGGCUAAUGACAUCCGUGAUAGGAUUGCCGGGAGAUGAUUUACAAGAUUAGCUUCGGCUAAUGACAUCCGUGAUAGGAUUGUUGGGAUAUGAAUUACAAGAUUAGAUUUGGCAAGGUCACCCAGUUCAUGCAAGUAAAUAAGAAUAUUCAAAUCAUGGAUAUACAAAUGAGUGUGAAUUAGGUUUAAAAGACUUACAAGCAAAUUAUAAGUUCUUUGUUAGAAUUCUUAUGGGUCCGAUAGAAAGUUAAUACUUCAUUCGUAUUCAUUACAUGAGCAUAUAUAUUCUUUAUCAACAUAAUGAUAUGUUUAAUUAUGUAACAGGUCCAUCAAAUAUCCAGGAAGAUCAUUAGUUUAGGACUCUACUUUGCGAAGCUUAUGUAAAUAUUUAACUUAAACAAAAGGGAAUUAACGUGUUUAUGUAGUAUAUUUUUGUGUAAACCUUGAUGUAUUUAUAAAAGUUCAAUUUUGCAUGUGGUAUUUUAGUUAUCUUGUAAUUAACCCUUUUAAAAUAUUUAAGAACACUUAUUAUGUUGUAAAUACUUUCUUUGCAUGUUAGUAUUCUUUUCCUUUCAAAUUUUACGAUAUGAUGUUUGGACUAUGUUCAUAUUGAACUUACUCAUAGGAUAUAUAUAUAUAUAUAUAUAUUGUGUGGAUUGUAUGAGGUUUGAUAUAAGGUCCGGAAUUAUGGGACCUUAUGAUGAUGGGUUGAUUGAGUAAAUUGAUAGUAGUCGAUAACUUGGGAUAUCCUAAAUACAAACAAAACUCUGCUGAAUUUUUGGAAAAAAAAAUUUACCCUCAGAUAAAGAGGAUAUGUUAGGAUCUUUUAACAUUGAUCGAGUCUUACAGUUCAGACCGUUACAGUUGGUAUCAGAGCCCUGGUAUAGGUUAUGGGAAGAAAUCAAAAGAGGUUGUUGAUGUUCAUUAAUUUAUUGCAGGAUGGUACAUACCUGUCAAGAGAUUAGAACAGAUCUAUCCUCUGCAGGGAGGGGGAAUAGAGAUAUAGACUCUUCCAAAGGGCAAGAAGAGAGCCCUUUGGAAGAUACUGCUUCACAUGCACUGGUAGUAUCGACUCAAGUAGGGCAUGAAGAAUCGACGGGGCCUUAAAUUAGACAGGCACCAAGGCAAACUGGGGAUGUUCAGUUGACCAUGUUAGCUCCACGGGGACGAGUAGAGGAGCCCCCUCAGACUACACCUGCAGGGCCAUCUGUUUCUUAUGUUGAUCCGAUGCUCCUGGCCCAGCUAGUCAAAGCAGUAAUGGAAGGUAUGGCUAAUGCUGCCACUCCUAUGCCAGCACCCCCAUUUGCACCCAUCAUACCAACCGUUUCAGAAGCAACUACAACUACUAAUGACGUGGUACAACUAGUUCGUUUAGUGAAAAGUAUGAGAGAAAUGGGUUGUGAACCCUACUCUAGUGAACAGAAUGCUGAAGUGGUGGGAAGGUGGAUUAGAAAGGUGGAGAAAACCAUGAUUCAAAUUAAGAUACCAUAUGAUCUGCGGGUAGACUAUGCUACUUAAUUACUAUCAGACGGUGCUAUGACUUGGUGGGAGACAGUUCAGUUGAGGAGGGCUACAGAAACCCUAUCCUAGGAUGAUUUCAAGAUAGAGUUUGAGAAUCAAUAUUACUCCAAAUAUCAUCGGAGGAUGAAGGAACAGGAAUUCCUAGCCUUGAGACAGGAGGGAAUGUCAGCACUUGAGUAUGAGAGACAAUUUCAUGACCUCUCACUAUUCGCACUACAUUAUAUCCCGUCAGAACAACACAUGAUAGAAAAGUUAAGGGAUGGCUUCAGACAAGAAUUGAAGCAGGGGUUGAUUGCUUUGCGAUUCAGGACAGUAAGGGAACUGAUUGAAGCAGCACAGGCCUUGGAGGCGUGUAUGGUGACACGAUCAAAGAGUUGAUGUCUUAUCCCAAGUGCAGGAGUAUCAAAGUAAUAAAUAACCCGGCAAGACCGGAGUCGAACCACAGGGAGGUCAACUAUAUAAAUUACAAAUAAAGAGAAAGAUUUGAAGAGAAUAAUAACAGAAAAGAAGUUGAAGAGAGUUUUGGGAUAUGAUAUUGAUAUAAGGAUUAAACAAUAAUAAAACAGUUGUCAAGGUUAGAGGAUCCACUAAUGGUAUUUCAAAUAAAUAUAAUAUAAACUCUUUUUAUUACUCAAUUGGAAACCACACACAAAGGAGGUUCCAAUCGGAUGAUUUAUCGUUAUUAACUCAUUAUAAAUUAUUAACAUGAUCAUAUUAAUCAUCUUAUCUAAGUAACACCAUACUUAUAAAUAUCAUCAGGCAUUUAUGUUGCUAGCUUAUGUUAACAACAAAUCAAGUUCCUAUCAUAACAACGAUGUCAGCCGAAAACUAUGAAGGAUCAAACAUUUGAUGUACCAAGUGUUAUACAACAGAAAUCUAGAUUAACCAUUUAAAAAGCAAGGUAUUAAGAAUUAGUAAGAUAAAAAGAUAAAACAUGUUAAUAACAAUCUUUCUUGAAUAUAAACAUUAAAGUCCAUGUUGAGUUUAUAUUAUACCUAUUCUAACACCACUAGUGAAACAUUUUUACCUUGACAUAAUUAACUUAGCUAAACAUAAUGAAGAAGAAAAACAUAAAUAAACAAUAUAAGAACAUAAAUAUGAUAUAAGUUAACUAAGUAUAGGAAAGGAAAUGAAAAAGCAUAAACAAGAGAUUAAUAUAGCAUGAAAGAAAACUUGAACAUUACAAAAAGAGAAAGCAAGAAGAUGAUUUUGAUCUGAAAAAUAAUAUGACUAAAUACAUGGCAAAUGCCUCCUUUUAUAAGCUAAGAUUCAGAACUAUUGAUUGGUUGACUAAGAAAAUAGUUGGUGGCCAACCAUUGAUUUGGUGGCUGGUUUUUGACAUUGUUGGCUGAUUUUUGAUAUUGUUGGCUGGCCAAAACGUCAUUUCUAACAUCAUAAUUUGAGCCCUUUGUUUCAUGAAAGCUGUGGGCAAUUAUCUUAGCUUUCCAACAAAAAAAACCAGAGCUCAUUUGGACUUCUAGAACUCAAGAUAUGAGCUGAAAACCGAACAGUGUCUGAGCUGCAGGACAGGUUCCGACUUCUCCGUUGUUGCUAAACUUUGAACUUGAAAACGGCAGAAUUGAGUCUUGGACUCUGCAUGAAAGUUUUAGGUCUAUGUCUUAGAUUUCCAUCCAUAUAAAGUAGACCUAAAUCCGAGUUCUACAACUCCAGUUAUGAUCCAAUAACCGAAUGGUGUUUCAGUUUGGAAUUGAACUAUCAUCUCUUCUCUUAGCCUAGUCCUCUUUUUGUCUCUUCACUUUCAAUAGUUAAUCACAUCAAUCAAUCCUUUGAAUUGUGAGAUAUACCUGCAUUCAAAAUAAGCAUUUAUCAUAAAUUAAAGAUAUACUAUAUUAUCAGACUUGUUAUUAUAAAACAUGCUUUAGUUAAGGAAUUUAAUGAUACUUUAGUGCAAUAUGAUGAUAUAAAGCAUUAAUAAAAAUGCACUUUGAAUUACUAAUCAUAUGGAAGAAUGCCAACAGAGUCAUGGGGGUGCAGGAAAACGAAAGGAUAUGGAAUUUUUAGGCAGGCCACCGCUUCCAAAGAAAGGUAGAGGCGAACAGUUCCUUCAAUUCAAAAAGAAAAGAGGGACGUCAACUAGCUUCCGACAGGAUAUCGGUGGGAAGUCGGGAAGUGGUCAGACCCGCUCCAGGGCUAUAGCUGCAAGGGGGCAUAACAAUCAGAAGGAAAUUGUCUACCCUCGAUGUGCUUAGUGUGAACAAAGACACCCCGGGAGUUGUAUGGUUUCUCCUGGACAAUGCUAUAUAUGUCGAGGAGAAGGUCAUAAGUGGAAACCCUGUUAAUACUUGGGAAGAGGAUGUCAUCAUUGUGGUGAGAAAGGUUACUUUAAAAGGGAAUGCCCCAAGUUAAACACUAAACAGCCUUAGAGACAUGGGGAGCAAAGUCAGAGUCAUCAGCAAUCCAUCAUAGUAAACAGACCGGGAAGGUCGACUCAGUCAGGAGCUAACUCAAAUAGGGGACGACCCAGAGUACAAAAUGAAAAGGGAUCAAGGAAGGGUUUUCCAUAUGACCCAGGAGGAUGUCAGAGCAGCAUCAGAUAUGGUGGCAGGUAUGCUGCAAAUGAAUGACUAUCAAAUACAUGUUUUGUUUGAUUCUGGUGCCACUCACUCUUUCAUAGCAAAUAAAAAUGUAACCAAAUUGAGUAAGGAAACGAAAAGGGUAGAGAAAGGAUUUAUUAUUGGGACACCUUUGGGUGAAAUUGUGAAAACAAAUAUUGUAUUUGAAGGGGUGGGAAUUAACAUUAAUGGGUGUGAACUAAAAGCAGAUUUAAUACCCCUAGAAUUAAGUGAUUUUGAUAUAAUUCUAGGUAUGAAUUGGUUGGGCAAAAAUAAGGCUCGUCUAGAUUGCUUUACAAAAACAGUAACCUUUCAAGGGGCUAAGGGUGAAACAAUAGUCUUUAAGGGGGAGAGAAUUUACAACUUUACAAAUAUGAUCUCGGGUAUGGUUGCGAGAAAACUACUAAAGAAAGGUUGUACAACAUACCUUGCCUAUGUGAUAAAUUCGGAAAAGGGUAAAAUAAGAUUGUCUGACAUUCCAAUUGUGAGGGAAUUUCCGGACGUAUUUCCGGAAGAAUUGCUAGGACUACCCCCAGAAAGAGAAGUUGAAGUCACCAUAGAUAUAUUUCCUGGAGUGUCUCCUAUAGCCCAACCACCGUAUAGAAUGGCCCCAAAAGAAUUGGAUGAGUUGAAAAUUCAAUUGCAGGAGCUUUUAGACAAAGGGUUCAUACAACCAAGCAACUCGCCUUGGGGGCACCUGUAUUAUUUGUGAAGAAGAAAGAAGGAACGUUGCGGCUUUGCAUAGAUUACCGUCAGCUGAAUAAAGUGACGGUAAAGAAUAGAUAUCCACUUCCACGGAUAGAUGAUUUGUUCGAUAAGUUAAAGGGUGCCAAAGUAUUCUCAAAUAUUGAUUUAAGAUCAGGAUACUACCAAAUGUGAAUCAAAGGGCAAGAUGUGCCGAAAACUGCCUUCAGAACUCGCUACGAACACUUUGAGUUCUUGGUGCUACCCUUUGGAUUAACUAAUGCUCCAACACUUUUUAUGUAUUUAAUGAACCAAGUAUUCCAACCAUACCUUGAUAAGUUUGUUGUCGUAUUCAUCGAUGACAUCUUGGUUUACUCCAAAUCCUAUGAGGAGCAUGAACAGCACCUGAGACAGAUACUAUAGACUCUGAGGAGCCAUCAGUUGUAUGCCAAGUUGGAUAAAUGUGACUUCUGGUUAAAAGAAGUUACCUUUUUGGGGCAUGUAGUGUCUUCAAAAGGCAUUUUUGUGGACCCUCAGAAGGUGGAAGCAUUUUUGAGAUAGGAAAGGCCUACUACGGUAACUGAAAUUUGUAGUUUUCUCAGAUUGGCAGGGUAUUAUAGAAGAUGUAUCGAAAGGUUUUCAACGAUAGCAACUCCAUUGACACGACUCACCAGGAAGAAAAUAAGAUGGGAAUGGUCAAAGGAGUGCGAUGAGAGCUUUCAAGAAUUGAAGAGAAGGCUUACUACUGCCCCCGUACUAAUCCUUCCAUCCGGAACAGAAGGCUUUGUAGUCUACAGUGAUUCCUUAAGAAAAGGACUGGGUUGUGUUCUAAUGCAUCAUGGAAAAGUAGUUGCCUAUGCAUCGAGACAACUGAAGACUCAUGAAGUCAACUACCCAGUUCAUGACUUAGAAUUGGCAGCAGUAGUUUUUGCUUUACGAGUAUGGAGGCACUACUUAUACAGAUCCCGGGUCCAAAUUUUCACCGAUCAUAAGAGCCUUAAAUAUCUGAUGUCAUAGAAGGACUUGAAUAUGCGACAACGGAGAUGGGUAGAAUUAAUUAAAGACUACGAUUGUGUUAUAGAUUAUCAUCUAGGAAAAGCGAAUGUAGUCGCGGAUGCUCUCAACCAUAAAGACAAGGUGAUUAGGGGUAGACCAGCGACUUGGAAUGAGGAAACCAUGAUUGACCUAAAGAGAUUGGGGGCAGUACUAGGUGUGAGCCCAGAAGGAUCCUUAAUGGCUCAACUAAGGGUGAAGUCAGGAUAUCGAGAGCAAAUAUUAGAGGCUCAACAACAUGAUGAUGAGGUGUCAAAAGUGAGAAUCAAACUGGAAUCGGCGGGUGAAACUCUUUUUUGAAUGGGUGAUGAUGGAAUAGUGAUGUUGGGGUGACGUAUGUAUGUACCUGACAGCAAAGCCCUUAAACAAAAGUUACUACGAGAAGCUCACGAGUCUAAGUUCACUGUACAUCCAGGUAGUACUAAGAUGUACCAGGAUAUGAAGCAGUACUACUGGUGGCCAAAUAUGAGAAAAGAAGUGGUUGGUUACAUGGCAAAGUGUAGUAUUUGCCAACAAGUAAAAAUAGAACACCGAAAACCGGCAGGGCUGUUACAACCAUUACCAAUCCCUGAGUGGAAGUGGGAGAUGAUCACAAUGGACUUUGUGUCGAGACUACCCAGAGGAAAGAGGGGAAAUGAUGCAAUCUGGGUCAUUGUGGAUCGACUAACAAAGUCUGCUCUUUUCCUACUAGUAAAGAUGACAGAUCCAGUUGACAAGUUGGCUAAGAUUUAUGUGAACGAAGUUGUAAGGCUUCAUGGAGUCCCAAUAUCAAUUGUUUCAGACCAAGACCUAAGAUUUACUUCAUGUCUCUGGCCGAGCAUACAACGUGUCUUGGGAACAAAUUUGAGUAUCAGUACUGCCUUUCAUCCGCAAACUGAUGGCCAAUCUGAGAGAAUUAUUCAGAUCUUAGAGGAUUUACUAAGGGCAUGUGCUUUGGAAUUUGGUGGAAACUGGGAGGAGCACCUAUCACCAAUAGAAUUCACGUAUAACAACAGUUAUCAGGCAACAAUUGGAAUGGCCCCAUUUGAAGCUCUUUAUGGUAGAAAGUGUAGGACACCCUUGUGUUGGGAAGAAGUUGGGGACAGAAAGCUGUAUGGGGCAGAAUUAGUACAAAUCACUACUGAAAAAGUGAGAAUUAUUAAGGAUUGAAUGAAGGUGGUUCAGGAUAGACAGAAGAAGUAUGCAGAUAUUCGAAGAAGACCACUUGAAUUUUUUCCUAGAGAUAAAGUAUUUCUGAAGGUAGCUCUAUGGAAGCACAUGCUGAGAUUCGGCAUGAAGGGGAAGUUAGCUCCGAGGUUCAUUGGACCAUUUGAAAUCUGAAAACAUAUCAAACCUGUAGCAUAUGAAAUAAACUUGCCCUCAUAGUUGGCCAAGGUUCACAAUGUAUUCCAUGUUUCUUUGCUGCAAAAAGCCGAUAUAGACCCUUUGAGAGUGUUACCCCAAGUGCCAGUGGAGAUAAAAGAAGACUUAACACUUGAGGUAAGACCGAUAAAGAUACUUGAAUGGGGCGAGAAAGAACUUCGUAAUAAGAAAGUUCCCAUCCUCAGAGUCUUAUGGCGAAGCUCACAAAACGAGGAAGAAACAUGGGAGAAAGAAUCAGAAGUGAGACGAAAAUUCCGCGACUUGUUAAUAAACUCAGGUACCUCACUCAAAUUUCAAGGAUGAAAUUUCUAUUAUGGGAGGAGAAUGUAAACCCCGGAAAAAAAUAAAUAAAUAAAUAACAGAAAUUCAAAAAAUUUUGAAUAUAAAUUUCCGGGUGAAAUAGUUGGAAACAUUAUAAUAAACCCGGUACUGUUGAGGGUUAGAUUUAAUUGAAGAGAAUAAUACACUUAAAGGAAAAGGGGGGCCUAAAUGCAAAUAAGGAAAAAUAUAGAGUAUAAAUACUCUCUCCUCACCAAAAAUCCGUAGGAACCCUAAGGAGAGAAGAUAGGGAGUUUUAUACCCAUUCUUGAGAAAUCAAGAGAGAAACACUAAAAUUUCAAGAACCCAUCCAAGAUUAAGAGCUUAUAGAUGGGAUAAAUACUUGAGAGCAAAGGAUUACCAAGAAAUUGAACAAGAAGAAAAGAAAGGAGGGAGUUGAAAAUCUUCAACUGGUUGAAAAUCAAUAUCUUAAUUUGUACCGGGUACGGUAUUCUAAACAUGAUCUUAAAGAAAUUCAUUUUUAAAUUCGAUAAAUAAUUGAUGCCUUGAUAUUGAAUCAUAGGUUAGGGUUCUUAGACAUAAAUUGGGGAAAUGUACUUAUUGUUGAGAUUAAGUUAAUUCGUGUGUGUGGUAUGUAGUUUAUGAAAGUAUUGUGUGAAGGGGAGGGGAGACAAAUCUGGACAGACUUGUCUCCUGACUUUCUGUGAGAUUUCAGGUAGGAGGAUGAGGGAAUUAGGAUCGGGUUCCUCAUAGGAAUUGUAGAUUUGAAUGUUAGCUAACCAAGGAAACUGGUCUUGCUCAAUUUGGAGAUGUAGAACUCCAAUUAUGGGUUACCAGCUGAGACUGAGUCGUGACUGAUUAUGUAGGGCAGUAGGACUAAUUAGUUAAUGAGCAAUUUUGACUAUUUUGGAGGCAAAACUGGGUUCUCCUCCCUCAGAGAACUUGUAGCCUUGUGUCUUAGCUUUCUAACGAGAUCAAUCUCACUUAAAAUGGAGUUUUAGAACUUUAGAUAUAGUUAAAAAUAUGAUGAGUGUUCAGACAAUAACAGUUCAAAGUUGGACAAUAACAGUUCAAAAUUGGACAGUAACAGUUGAAAAUUGCACAGUAACAAUUCAAAGUUGGAUAGUAACAGUUGAAAAUUAGAUUGUAACGGUUGGACAGUAAAAGUUCAAAGUUGGACAGUAACAGUUCAAAGUUGGACAGUAACUAUGAAACCCUAGAAAAUUUAUAAUUUAAAUAUGCGGAUGUAUAACCUCCCACGUAAACGUAAGACUGAAAGUGAUAUAUAAUGGAGGGGAUGACCUCCAUAAAAUGAAUUUUAUUUUAGAAUUCAUAAAAUAGAGAAACUGGUAACAUGUUUGAAUGGAUAAAAUAAUGAGAGAAAUAACAAAAUGUUUCUAAGAAAUAAGUGAGUAAUAAAGAAUACAUUAUAAUAAAGGAUAAUUCAAUGAAAAUGGCAGGACUGAAGGUGCAAGCAUCAAUUAAAAAUCAGUGACGUUACUUUGGAACGAUAAUAAUACCUGAUAAAUAAAUAAAGGUAGAAAUUUUAAAAUGAAUAUAUUCCAAAAUAAUAAAAUGACCUUAAAGGUUUAGAAGGAUGAUUGAUAUUAUUUUAUGUGAAGAUUGAACAAGAAAAUUUGGAUCAUUGACGAAAAGUUAUGAACUGACCAAUUUUACAUUAAAAAGCAGAGCUCUCAAUCCAAUCGUCGGAUCGGGAUGAAAUUUUGCAUGAAGUCUAUUAAUAUGUUUUCCUACCUUUGUGAAAGAUCUCAUCCCAAUGGAAGUUUGGUAAAGACUAGCGAUUUAAGCAGAAACAAACCGGAUGGGGUGAGAGACAAUAGAGAAUUCGGUUACAGAGAGGUGCAAGAUUUGGAGGAACCAAUAAUGCUUCGAUGGCCAUAUCUCUAGAAGCCACCGUUGGAUCAUGUUGAUUUUUGGAUAUAUUGUUCUUCUCACAAUCCUACACUAACUGACCGGAAGUUUCCUGGAAAACAUCAGGGAUUUGGAGGCACAUAAUCCGUUGAACAGAAAUCAUCAUCGAAAGUUUCCUGGAAAACAAAAGGAAAUAUACCUGCAGGGAAGUUUUGGUCACCGGCUGAUUUCUCUCUUUUCCACCGUUGGAUCAUGCCUAUUUUUGGAUAUGUGGUGCACCUCUAUGUUGCCUUCAUUCUGGACGGGGGAGAUCGCAAACUUACUCUCCGGCAGGUUUAGUUCAUGUUGAACAGUAGCUCGUCCAUUUUCAGGUUAGUUUGGUUUUAUUCAGAUCUAUGGAGAUCCAACCGUUGGAUCAUUCUAAUUUUGAGAUAUAAUGUACACAACACGAUGAUAUAUAUUAUGACCGUUGGGUUCAAGGAAAUAAUUAGAGGUGGAUGAGUUGUUGCUAUUUGAAUCUAUUGCUAGUCUUAGUAAAACAUUUAGGAAGCUUGAUUUAAUUACAUGUUUUGAUGAAAUUAGAAUUGUGUGGGUGUAGGGUUUAUGUAAGAUGUAAUGGUAAAAUAUGUUCUUGUUAUUAGUGUUGUUAUAGAUAAAUUGUGUUGUAAAAUGUGUUAGGGAAGUUUUGAAAUUUGGAUGAAGGGACAUUGAGUUUGUUGAUUUAAUGGAUAUAUGUUUUUAGGCAUUAAAAAAGGAUUGGGUCUAGUGGUAAUUGAAAGAAAACUUGAAGAAAAAUUUAUCCUCCAUUUAAUGCAAAGAUUCGGCCUAGACAUAUAAAUGAGAGGAUGUGCUUAAUUGUUUUAAUUGCUAUGGAAUUUGAGUUGAAUGAGGUUAGACUAGAUAUGAAAUAAAUGGGUAAAGGUUUAUCCGGAAUAAUUAAAAAGGGCCUCACCAUGAAGGAAGGCAUUCGGCCAAAUGAAGAAGAAAUAAAGGAGAUAAGACUUUGUUUCAUUUUCUAUGUAAAUUAGGUAUGGAUGCAUAUAUCUGGUAAAGAAGAUUAGUUAGGAAGUCAGAAGAAAGAAUAUUAAAAAGAACCAAAUUCUCAUCAUAAUAUGGAAUUCCGCCAAAAAUAGAAAUAUUGAUCUGAGCAAUUGACCAAUGACANNNNNNNNNNNNNNNNNNNNNNNNNNNNNNNNNNNNNNNNNNNNNNNNNNNNNNNNNNNNNNNNNNNNNNNNNNNNNNNNNNNNNNNNNNNNNNNNNNNNNNNNNNNNNNNNNNNNNNNNNNNNNNNNNNNNNNNNNNNNNNNNNNNNNNNNNNNNNNNNNNNNNNNNNNNNNNNNNNNNNNNNNNNNNNNNNNNNNNNNNNNNNNNNNNNNNNNNNNNNNNNNNNNNNNNNNNNNNNNNNNNNNNNNNNNNNNNNNNNNNNNNNNNNNNNNNNNNNNNNNNNNNNNNNNNNNNNNNNNNNNNNNNNNNNNNNNNNNNNNNNNNNNNNNNNNNNNNNNNNNNNNNNNNNNNNNNNNNNNNNNNNNNNNNNNNNNNNNNNNNNNNNNNNNNNNNNNNNNNNNNNNNNNNNNNNNNNNNNNNNNNNNNNNNNNNNNNNNNNNNNNNNNNNNNNNNNNNNNNNNNNNNNNNNNNNNNNNNNNNNNNNNNNNNNNNNNNNNNNNNNNNNNNNNNNNNNNNNNNNNNNNNNNNNNNNNNNNNNNNNNNNNNNNNNNNNNNNNNNNNNNNNNNNNNNNNNNNNNNNNNNNNNNNNNNNNNNNNNNNNNNNNNNNNNNNNNNNNNNNNNNNNNNNNNNNNNNNNNNNNNNNNNNNNNNNNNNNNNNNNNNNNNNNNNNNNNNNNNNNNNNNNNNNNNNNNNNNNNNNNNNNNNNNNNNNNNNNNNNNNNNNNNNNNNNNNNNNNNNNNNNNNNNNNNNNNNNNNNNNNNNNNNNNNNNNNNNNNNNNNNNNNNNNNNNNNNNNNNNNNNNNNNNNNNNNNNNNNNNNNNNNNNNNNNNNNNNNNNNNNNNNNNNNNNNNNNNNNNNNNNNNNNNNNNNNNNNNNNNNNNNNNNNNNNNNNNNNNNNNNNNNNNNNNNNNNNNNNNNNNNNNNNNNNNNNNNNNNNNNNNNNNNNNNNNNNNNNNNNNNNNNNNNNNNNNNNNNNNNNNNNNNNNNNNNNNNNNNNNNNNNNNNNNNNNNNNNNNNNNNNNNNNNNNNNNNNNNNNNNNNNNNNNNNNNNNNNNNNNNNNNNNNNNNNNNNNNNNNNNNNNNNNNNNNNNNNNNNNNNNNNNNNNNNNNNNNNNNNNNNNNNNNNNNNNNNNNNNNNNNNNNNNNNNNNNNNNNNNNNNNNNNNNNNNNNNNNNNNNNNNNNNNNNNNNNNNNNNNNNNNNNNNNNNNNNNNNNNUGGUACGUCAAACAAGUAUAGUAUAAACUCUUAUUAUUCAAUUGCCAAACCACACACAAAGAAGGUUCCAAUCAGAUUAUAAAUUGUUCACAUGAUUACAUUAGUUAUCUUAUUCGAAUAAUGCUAAUACUUGUAAAUGUUGUCAAGCAUUCAUGAUUAUAACUUAUGUUAACAACAAAUCAAGUUCCUUUCAUAGCUCAGGUGUCGGUUAUACCAUACAGUAUGGGCUAUGAAAGUCCCAAGUAUUUGUUGUACCAAGUGUUAUACAACAUAAAUCUAGAUUAGUCAUUCAACAAGCAAAGUAUUAAAAAUGAACAAGAUAACAAAUAUAAAACAUGUUAGUAUUCAACAUUAAAGUCCAUGUUAAGUUUAUAUUAUACUUAUCCUUACACCAUUAGUGUUACCCUUUCACCUUGACAUAAUAAACUUAGCUAAACAUAAUGAAAGAGAGAAACAUAAAUAAACAAGGAAAGGAAAUGAAAAGCAUAAGCAAGAGAUUAAUAUAAGCAAAACUUAAGCAUUACAAAGAGAGAAAGCAAGAUCAUGAUCUUGAUCUGAACACCAAGAUGCCUCAAUACAUGGUAAAUGCCUCCUUUUAUAGGCCAAAAUUUGGAACUAUUGAUUUGUUGACUAAUUGAUGAGUGGGUUGCCACAUCUUGACUUGAUGACAAUUCUUAUCUUUUUGUCUGCCAAAAACAUCAUUGAUAACGUCAUAAUUUGAACAGACUUAAAUCAUUAAAGUUCUAGUAAAUUGUCUCAGCUUUCCAGGAAAACAAAGAUGAGGUCAUUUGGACUUCUAGAACUCGAGAUAUGGGCUAAACACUGAGCAGUGUCUGGGCUGCAGAACAGAUUCAGACUUCUCCGUUGUUGCUACAAUUUGGACUUGAAAACAGCCUUUUUAAAUCUUGGACUCCCAUGAAAGUUUUAGGCCUAUAUCUUAGCUUUCCAUCCAUAUAGAGCAGACCUAAAUCCAAGAUCUACAGCUCCAGAUAUGCCCCAAUGACCGAACAGUGUUCCAGUUUGGAUUGAACCAGCAUCUCUCUUCUAAGUUUGACCCUUUCUUUGUUCUUUCAAUUUCAGUACUUAAACUCAUCAAUUAAUCCUUUUAUUUAUGUGAUAGGCCUGCAUUUUAGAUGAACGUUUACCAUAAAUUAAAGGUAUCUUAUAGUAUCAGACUUGUUAUUAUAAAACAUCUUAUAGUUAAGGAGUUAUUGAUACUUCAAGUGCAAAAUGAUGAUAUAUAACCUUGAUAAAAAUGCAUUUUUAAGUACUAAUCACACCCCCCAACCAGCUUAUUACUAGUCCCUAGUAAUCAAAGCGUUAAAAUAGAAAAACAAUUUGUAAAUUCCACAAAGCAAGGCAUUCAUCAUUCAACUUCCCUUAAUCUAUCGAGAUAAACAAACUCUCAUUAAGUUUAUAUAUCUGCUCAAUACCUCUUAAACAAGAUAUUAAUAAACCUUCCUUUUUAUGUGCUCAUUGUACGAAAACAUAGAUGAUGGGGCUUUUGUUGGAGGAAAACAAUAUUAUGUUCUAAUGUUUAAGGUUAACUUCCUUGGGUUGGGAUUAUUAUUAUUAUUAUUAUUUUUCUCUCUUUUUUUUAAUAUAUAUACAUAUAACUUAAAACACAAUGUAUCUUUAACCCAUGUAACGAGCUUUCGGCUAAUGGCUCCCAGACCAGUUGGUCUUAGGGCAUUAGGUGUUGAGACACCCCUACGAGCUUAGUAACUCGGGUUUCAGAUACUGAUACGUAGAUAGUGCAAUGUUUGAUUCCCUUAAGCUUUUCUCCUUAACCCAUGUAACAAGCUUUGGGCCAAUAGCUCCCAAGUCAGUUGACUUUAGGGUAUUAGGUGUUAAGACACCCCUUUGGGCUUAAUUGCUUAGGUUAGGGAGGCUAAGAAACCAAACUUAUCUACGUUUUUAUUAUCAUCAUUUUUUUUUGUUUUUUUUUAAAAUUAUAUACCAUCCCUUUCCCUUAGUUGUUACCUUUAACAAAAGAACAUAAAUAAUGUAAUAAUCCAAUGUGCAACCCACAAUCAUAUGUUAAAGUGUGUGUGUGUGAAAAUGAAGGUUUAAGAAUACUUGUUAAAUGAGUAUAUGAGCAGAAUUAAGUGAUAACAAUGCGAGAGUUUGUAAACCUGAAUAUUUCAAGAAGUUUUUUGAUAGACCUUGGUAAUGAUACUUACUAAGAUGCGUCUCUAGAGUCAAUAAAAUUUCCUCCUUACUCUGCCAUCCUAAUAAGAAUACUUUACUAAGAUGCGUCUCAAGAGUUAAUAAGACUGACUCCUUACUCAGCCAUCCUAAUAACAAUUGUGUCAAAUGGUUUUAAUAAUAGCAAAAACAGUUAGUAAGUUAGUUUUUUUUUAAGGAUUGUAGUUGGUCAAUCAAUUGUUCAGCAGUAGCAGCAGAGAUUAUGAUUUGUCAUGCUGAAGAUGUUAGAAAAUUCUGUUCCACAACAUGAUCAAGAAAAGACAACAAAUUAUCAUAAAAACCAUUGACAUUUAGCAAAUCUAUAGGUUUAUGGUGAAUGUGCAGUUGGGCCCAAGAGGAAAUAUGAAAGAUCUCUUCCAAUGUGCCUCGACCACCUGAUAAUCGAACCUUCGCUUCAAUCAGCCAGCGAAUAUCUUCAGGAAUUCCAUGAUUCAUUAACAAUCUCAAUCUUGCACACCUUGCACGGUAAAUUUUUGUAAUCACAUUCCGAGGCAGAGUGGGAAAAUACUUUUUCAAUUUUUCAAGAGUGGUGUCCAUUUUCAAAUGAGAAUUGGAGAAGAGAUUCAAAGAACUGAGAAAGAGCAAAGAAUUGCACAAAUAUGUACACCGAUAUCAGUUAUUAUGGGAAACUGAAAGAACCGACUUAAGUCACGGAGUAACGUUAUCCGCCAUUUGACCGGGGUGAGAGAAACUAGCAAAACAAAACACAAAACAAUGUGAGAAAAAAACAAAAUAAUCAACCUUUAUCUACAGGAUCACUCAAACCAAUGGAUUCAUUUUCACUAGGAAAAUUAUCAAAGUAAGCUUUCAAAUGAUGUUCAUUUACCUUAAAAACAUUGUUAUUCUUUGGAUUCUCGAUAUCACAGGCCCCAUAUGGAUACACAUGUUUCACAAUAAGAGGACCACUCCAUCUUGAUCUUAGUUUUUCAGGAGAUAAAUUGAGUCGAGAAUUAUAAAGCAAAACUUUUUGACCAAUAUCAACUUUUUGACAACUUUCACAAGUUUUGCAGAAUGCAUAUGUGUCCUUGAACAUGGUGGGCCAAUAAAAUCCAUUUUGAAAGAUUUUCGCAAUGAUCUUUUUUGAUGAGAAAUGACUCCCACAUGCUUCAGAAUGACAAAAUUUAAUGACACUACUUACCUCAUUGUCCACAAUGCAUCUUUGAAAUAUUUGAUCAGGACAAUAUUUGAAUAAGUUAGGGUCAUCCCAAUAAAAGUUUCUCACUUCGUUCAAAAACUUUCCUUUAUCUUCGGUACUCCAAUGAGUUGGCAAAUCUCCUGAGGCAAGGAAAUUGAUAUUUUUAGCAAACCAAGGCAUUGAACCAAGAGAAAGUAAGGAUUUGUCAGGAAAGUAAUCAUCGAUUGGUGUGAUGUCAGAUGUCGAAUCUGUUGUCACUCUUGACAAAAGAUCCGCAUCAACAUUUUUUAUGCCUUUUUCAUCCGUGAUUUCUUCCUGAGAAUAAGUCAUUUGCAAAUCUUCAAAUUCAUCAAACUCAGUAUUACUCAAAGUAGAUUCAAAUUGAUCAUAAACCAAUUCUUCAAUAAAAUCUACUUCUUAUAAAUCAUUAUCAUCUCCAGGUUGCUUGCAAAUGUUGAAAAUAUUCAUCUCCAAUGUCAUGUUUCCAAAAGAUAGCUUCAUCAGUCAAUUCCUACAAUUAAUCAAUGCAUUAGAAGUUGCAAGAAAUGGACGCCCUAAAAUAACAGGAAAUGAAUUACAUGUUUCAACAGGUUGUGUGUCCAAGACAAUAAAAUCCACAAGAUAAAUGAAUUUAUCAACUUGUACUAACACAUCUUCAACUAUUCCUCUAGGCACUUUUACAAAUCUAUCGGCAAGUAAAAGAGUUACAGAAGUUGGUUUUAACUCACCUAGAUUGAGACUUUGAAAAACUGAAUAUGGAAGUAAAUUCACACUAGCUCCAAGAUCAAGUAAGGCUUUUUCAAUUUUAUGUUCUCUAAUAAAGCAAGAAAUUGUAGGGCAACCAGGGUCUUUAUAUUUCAAAGCAUUAUUAUUCUGAAGAAUGUCACUUGUUCGGCCAAAAAGGCUUUCUUUUUCACAUUCAGUUUUCUCUUCACAGUGCACAGAUCUUUCAAAAAUUUUGCAUAAGAAGGAACUUGUUUAAUAGCAUCCAGCAAAGGUAUAUUGAUCCUUACCUGUUUGAAAGUUUCAAAGAUUUUAGAGUUGUGAUUGACUUUCCUUUGUUUGGCCAUGGCAUGAGGAAAUGGAAGUGCUGGCGGGGAAUCAGUCUUUUCUUUGUAAUGAUCAGAUUCAACCCCUUCCUUACCCUUAGAGAUUGACUCAUCAUCAUUCUCAUAAGGUUCAAGAAUGGGUUUUUCAAUAACCUUACCACUACGAAGAGUGAUGACUGAUUUGACUUGAUUCAUGUGUUGACUUCCAGAACUACUUGCAUUUGCAUGAUACUGCCCCUUGGGAUUUUGUUGUGGUUGACAUGGAAACUUACCUUUCUCUUGGAAACUAAGAGCAGAUGUGAAUUUUGCAAGAGUAUCUUUAAAAUCUAUCAUGCUUUGAGCAAGUUGAUUGUUAAUUGCCUCUUGCUUUUCCAUAAAUGCAUGCAAUGUUUCCUCAAGAUUUCUUCUAGGAGGGGGAGCAUAAGGAGGUGCAUAUCCAUGAGAAUUUUGGAAAUUAUGGUGUGCUUGAAACGGUGGUUGUGAAGUUUGUGCAUUAUUGUUCUCACUCUUCCAACUGAAAUUUGGGUGAUUUCUCCAACCAGGGUUAUAUGUUUGCGAAUAUGGGUUAUGAUUGGGCAUUUGAAAACUAUUUAAAGCAUGGGCUUGUUCAUGGAGACAUUCCUUAAUAGAAGGCAAAGUUGGACAGUCAUUGGUUGGGUGUUCAUUGGUUUCACAGAUUUGACACGCAAUGUCUUGAACAAAUUUUAAUUGACCACUCUUUUUCAAUUGUAGUGCUUCGACUUUUUUAGCUAAAGAUGCAAACUUGGCUUGGAGGUCAUGAUCUUCCCUAAGGUUGUACAUACCCCCACUAGAUGUAUGAGGUUGGGUUUUACUUGGUGCCUCAUAAGUACCUGUGGUGUCCCAAUUUUGUGCAUUUUCAGCUAGCAAGUCUAAGUACUCCAUUGCUUCAUUAGGGUCUUUAUCUUCAAAAGUUCCAUUACACAUCAAUUCAACCAUUUGCCUAUCUCUAGGUGUUAAUCCUUCAUAAAAAUGUGAAACUAAUCUCCAUGUUUCAAAACCAUGAUGGGGGCAAGUAUUAAGCAAGUCUCGAUACCUAUCCCAACAUUGGUAAAAUGUUUCUCCUGGUUUUUGAGAGAAAGUAAUGAUUUGUCUUUUGAAAGAGUUUGUUCUGUGAGAUGGAAAAAACUUCUUUAAAAAUUGUUGUUGCAUUUCAUCCCAAGCACGAAUGGAUCUAGGUCUCAAAUUUUGUAGCCAUGUUUUAGCUUUAUCUUUUAAUGAAAAAGGAAAAAGCUUUAAUCUAAUGGUGUUCAUGCUACAAUUUGAGUCAUUAUACGUAUUGCAGACCUCCUCAAAUUCCCUUAAAUGCAAGUAUGGAUUUUCUAAAUCUAAGCCAUGAAAAGAUGGUAAAAGUUGAAUAAUGCUUGUCUUAAAAUUAAAAUGAGAUGCAUCAAGAGGAAAAACUAUGCAUGAGGGUGCACUUGUUCUUAUGGGAUUCAUGUGGUCUCUAAGUGUUCUAACACGGUUAUUCUCAUUAUUUUCAUUAUGAAGCGAUUUGUUAUCUUCUUCGGCCAUAUUUUCUGAAAAUGAUGAGGAUACCCUACAAAGUCUACCACUUAAUGUACGUGACCACACUCACAUGCACGUGCAGGAAGAGAAUAAAAGAAAGAAAAGAAAAACAAUAGAAAAAGAAACAAAACAAAAGAAAUGAAGUUAGAUAUAAGAAAAGUGAAAAGAGAAAACAAAAUAAAUAACUCGACCAAAAACUUGACACGACCAAAAGAUUGAUGUCUUCUCCCAAGUGCAGGAGUGUCGAAGUAAUAAAUAACUCGGCAAGACAGGGAGGUUAAUUGUAUAAAUUAUAGAUAACAAUAAUACAACAAUAACAAUAACAACAACAAUAACAACAACAAUAAUAAUAGAGAUAAUAAUAAUAGUGAAGAAGAAGAGGAAGAAGUUGAUGAAAACUUUGAGAUGGAAGAUUAACGUAAAGAUUAAACAAUGAUAACAACAAAUGUCAAGGUUAGAGGAUCCACUAAUGGUACGUCAAACAAGUAUAGUAUAAACUCUUAUUAUUCAAUUGGAAACCACACACAAAGAAGGUUCCAAUCAGAUUAUAAAUUGUUAACAUGAUUACAUUAGUUAUCUUAUUCGAAUAAUGCUAAUACUUGUAAAUGUUGUCAAGCAUUCAUGAUUAUAACUUAUGUUAACAACAAAUCAAGUUCCUUUCAUAGCUCAGGUGUCGGUUAUACCAUACAGUAUGGGCUAUGAAAGUCCCAAGUAUUUGUUGUACCAAGUGUUAUACAACAUAAAUCUAGAUUAGCCAUUCAACAAGCAAAGUAUUAAAAAUGAACAAGAUAACAAAUAUAAAACAUGUUAGUAUUCAACAUUAAAGUCCAUGUUGAGUUUAUAUUAUACUUAUCCUUACACCAUUAGUGUUACCUUUUCACCUUGACAUAAUAAACUUAGCUAAACAUAAUGAAAGAGAGAAACAUAAAUAAACAAGGAAAGGAAAUGAAAAGCAUAAGCAAGAGAUUAAUAUAAGCAAAACUUAAGCAUUACAAAGAGAGAAAGCAAGAUCAUGAUCUUGAUCUGAACACCAAGAUGCCUCAAUACAUGGUAAAUGCCUCCUUUUAUAGGCCAAAAUUUGGAACUAUUGAUUUGUUGACUAAUUGAUGAGUGGGUUGCCACAUCUUGACUUGAUGACAAUUCUUAUCUUCUUGUCUGCCAAAAACAUCAUUGAUAACGUCAUAAUUUGAACCGACUUAAAUCAUUAAAGUUCUAGUAAAUUGUCUCAGCUUUCCAGGAAAACAAAGAUGAGGUCAUUUGGACUUCUAGAACUCGAGAUAUGGGCUAAACACUGAGCAGUGUCUGGGCUGCAGAACAGAUUCAGACUUCUCCGUUGUUGCUACAAUUUGGACUUGAAAACAGCCUUUUUAAAUCUUGGACUCCCAUGAAAGUUUUAGGCCUAUAUCUUAGCUUUCCAUCCAUAUAGAGCAGACCUAAAUCCAAGAUCUACAGCUCCUGAUAUGCCCCAAUGACCGAACAGUGUUCCAGUUUGGAUUGAACCAGCAUCUCUCUUCUAAGUUUGACCCUUUCUUUGUUCUUUCAAUUUCAGUACUUAAACUCAUCAAUUAAUCCUUUUAUUUAUGUGAUAGGCCUGCAUUUCAGAUGAACGUUUACCAUAAAUUAAAGGUAUCUUAUAGUAUCAGACUUGUUAUUAUUAAACAUGUUUUAGUUAAGGAGUUAUUGAUACUUCAAGUGCAAAAUGAUGAUAUAUAACCUUGAUAAAAAAUGCACUUUUAAGUACUAAUCAUGAAGUUACUAAGUUUGUACAUGAUGGGUUGAGUAGACAAAAAUAAAAUAAAAUAAGAUUGUUAGGUCAUGUUUAAAGAUAUUUAGUCUGGAAAGACAAGUCAUGAAAGGAAAGGAAAUAAAUAAAUAAAUAUGUGAAUGCAUGUGUCAUGCGAUUUUAAAUUUAAAUGAAUUUUAGAAUGGAAUUUUCAAUUAUGGUGGAGCCACAUUUGAUAUGUAUCUUUAAUGAUACUGGAGAGAUUGCAGAAUCUGUUCAGUAGCAUGGGACUUUUACGCGAGUUCAAGCAUUAGGUAGGUGUCUUAUACCUCAAACUUUUGUUUUUACAAUACUUGUUAGAGUUAAAUAAAUGGUAUUUUCUAUAAAUAUACUUGUGCUUGUGUAAUUGUGAAUGUUUAUGUCGAGGAAAAUAUAGUGGACUAGCUAGUUUGAAUAGAGUUAGUGGUGCUACUGUACUGACUGUUGAGUUAGAUGUAUAAUAACAAAAAUGAAAUGUACCGACUUUAGGGUGAUAAAUUAAUGGUACAUUAUGAUUAAAUUAUUGAUGCUCGAUUUAUAUAUGUAUACUGAUGAUGUGUAUGUGUUUAAAUAAUUUAUAUGAAGGAAGCAGGUGUAUCCCACCUUGUCUCUUUUAAGUUGUGUAAACUUAUUGGUAAAUUUCAGAAUUUAUUGUUUUAUUGCUUCGAUGAUAUUGACAUGAGUAAGAGUACCUUAUGUGCAACGGUAUACCUCUAUUAGUUAGGAUAAUGUUUGAACGAAUAGGAGUGACUUGCGUGUGUUGUUAUGUAUUGAAUUAAUUAUGUUAUUAUGGUCGUAGUGUCGAUAACUAAGUUUGUGUGGGAAUGAUGCUUAGCAACAGUUGUUAUAAUGCAUAUGAUGUAAGAAAAAAAAAGAAGAAGAAGAAGAAAAGAAAGAAAGGGGAUCGAUACGAAUGGAAAUUUCAAGUGACAUUGAUUAGCUAUCCGGGUUUGGAUAGCUAAUGGUAUCAAUGAGGUUUCAUUGGUAUCGGCAUUUAGGGUGACAUUGAUUAGUUAUCCGGGUUUGGAUUGCUAAUGGUAUCAAUGAGGUUUCAUUGGUGCCGGCAUUUCUUAAAUUGAUUAGUUAUCCCGAGCAAUUGGGUGACUAAUGAUGUUAGUAAUGAUUACUAAAAUCGGCAUGGUUACUCUUGGUUCAGUGAAAAAGAUAAGUUUAUUAACUAUUUUGGGUCGAGAAUAGUUAAUGAUAUCAAUUGGUCAUAUUGGUAUCGGCAACCAUUUCUGGUGUGAUUAGCUACUCCAGGUAAGGAGGCUGAUAAUGUAAAGGGUUCUUGACAUCGGCAACUUUGAUGAUAAAUCAUAUAUGAAUAGGAUUUGAUACUCCAGAUAAGAAUAGUUAAUGAUACUAAUCGGUUGUGUUAAUAUCGGUACGUGAAUGUAAGUUAUUAGUCUAUCCCAAUAUUAAAAGACUAAUGAUACUAAUGAGAUUUAUUAGUGUCGGCGAUUACUUUCUAGAAAAUAAAAGGGAAAAUAUUGAUUAGUUAUUCCAAAGGAAUGAGAUAAGCUAAUGAUACCAAGAGAGAAAUGUCUUGGUAUAAAGAGAGAAUUGAUUUAUAAGGAGAUGGUGUUCGAAAAUCAUUGAGUUGUGUUGAGAUUUCCAAGAUGAAAUUAUUCUCAACAAAUGGGAAAGGAUAUUAGAUGGAUAUUGGUAAUAGAUUGAAAAUGCAUGUUGUAAAAGAGGUUUAUACCUAAUUUUAUGUCUCAAAAGAAAUUCUAUGAAGAUUAUUACCUAUCAUUGUUAUUGUUUGUUACUACCUUUUUAUAUUUAUGUGUACACGUUAAUUUCUAUUUUCAGGUCCAUCAGGGUCGCGUCCGGAAUGAUAUUGGUUUAGUUACCUUUUGCUUUUGACCAUGUAAUUAUUUGUAAAUUAAGAGUCUUAUAUCCUAAAACUUGAAAUAUAAUAUUAAUCCGUAAAUUUGAAUGUAUGACUUUAAUCUAAUGUUUGUAACUUUAAGUACCUAUUUAACCAUGCAUGUUUAGAGUUGAAAACAAAUCUUUCACUUGAAUUACAUUAUAUGACGUUAUUGAAUAACAUGUGUUAUGUUGAUGAUGAUGAGUUGGGUUGAGAUCUAGGAUGAUUGGAUUAGGAUGUGAACUAAAAUUGGAAGUAUAAUAUGAUUUUGUCGAUAACUUGGGACCUCCUAGUAUAGGGGAGACUCUGCCAAAAUUUUGGUAGACAUUUGGUGGAACCGGUAUAUUAAAAAAAAAAUUACUUGAAAAUUUCCAAUGUAUCGUGAAAAAAGGAUGUUGGAAAUCAAGGUUGUUAUAGUAACAGUUGAAAAUUGGACAGUAACAGUUCAAUGUCUAGACAGUAACGGUAGGCUUUCACGUGAAUACUAUAUAUGCAAGAAUAUAAAAGAAUUGAGUCAUACGAACACUUGCACAUUGAGAUACUAACUCUGAAAAUAUACAUGAUAUAUGUAUGUAUGUUAUUAUGAGGAAAUGAACAUAUAUAGAAAGUAACAUAUGAGUAAUGGAUGAAUAUGGAUUCUCUAUAAUGUCGACUUGAAGGAAUCAUAACCAAAAACUUCCUUAUGAUUCAGGAGGAGCAACCAGGAUUGGAUUUUCUAAUAGGGGAGGUCGCGAGACAAGUGAAGCAGGUGCAUGAUUCUCCUCCUAUUUGGACUUAUACAAUUUAGAAUUCUUAUGGUGAAUGCAAUUACAAUAAAUGUCGUGUUUAAUGUAAAUAAAAAUCUAGCGUAAAUAUAAGAUUAGGAGAUGAUUUACAAGAUUAGCUUUGGCUAAUGGCAUCCGUGAUAGGAUUGCCGGGAGAUGAAUUACAAGAUUAGCUUCGGCUAAUGGCAUCCGUGAUAGGAUUGCAGGGAUAUGAAUUACAAGAUUAGACUUGGCAAGGUCACCCAGUUCAUGCAAGUAAAUAAGAGUAUUCAAAUCAUGGAUAUACAAAUGAGUGUUAAUUAGGUUUAAAAGACUUACAAGCAAAAUAUAAGUUCUUUGUUAGAAUUCUUAUGGGUCCGAUAGAAAGUUAAUACUUCAUUCGUAUUCAUUACAUGAGCAUCUAUAUUCUUUAUCAACAUAAUGAUAUGUUUAAUUAUGUAACAGGUCCAUCAAAUAUCCAGGAAGAUCAUUAGUUUAGGACUCUACUUUGCGAAGCUUAUGUAAAUAUUUAACUUAAACAAAAGGGAAUUAACGUGUUUAUGUAGUAUAUUUUUGUGUAAACCUUGAUGUAUUUAUAAAAGUUCAAUUUUGCAUGUGUUAUUUUAGUUAUCUUGUAAUUAACCCUUUUGAAAUAUUUAAGAACACUUAUUAUGUUGUAAAUACUUUCUUUGCAUGUUAGUAUUCCUUUCCUUUUAAAUUUUACGAUAUGAUGUUUGGACUAUGUUCAUAUUGAACUUACUCAUAGGAUAUAUAUAUAUAUAUAUAUAUAUAUAUAUAUAUAUAUAUAUAUAUAUAUAUAUAUGGUGUGGAAUUAUGAGGUAUGAUAUAAGAUCCGAAAUUAUGGGACCUAAUGAUGAUGGGUUGAUUGAGUAAAUUGAUAGUAGUUGAUAACUUGGGAUGUCACUCUGCCGAAUUUUUGGAAAAAAAAAAAUUUACCCUCAGAUAAAGAGGAUAUGUUAGGAUCUUUUAACAUUGAUCAAGUCGUACAGUUCGGACCGUUACAACACUCAAUGAACAUGAUUUACCCAUAAAGGAAAAAGAGACAUUCCUUACUUCAAGUUUGCUUUACUUAUGAUGUAGGCUAAGGACAACAACAACUGCAAGUUAAAGAGGGAUAAUCAUUAGAUUGUGUGUUGGGACAAAAUAAAUAAUUUUUUUAAUAUCCGUGAUCAGUACCGGUGAAUAUGAUAGAAUGGAAGACUCCCCUUCAUUAUCUAAAAAUAAAUAAAUAAAAUCUAGAUUAUCCUUCUAUUGUGUAUCAAAUUUAUGCUUUUUAUUGGUCAGUGAUUUUAAAUCCGGUUUGGUGGUCGACCCGACCCAAGGGGUUCUAGUCACGAGUUUUGAUCGGGUCACCUGAGUCAACUCCAAUUUUUUUAUAAAUCAAAACGAUAUCGUUUUUUAUUAAAAAAAAUCAACAGGUUGCAACCGGGUUUUUUAAUCCAUUUCAAGGGCAAUAGCAUUUAGAUCCAUUUCAAUAGCAUUGAUUCCAUCAGGGGCUCCGGUGUAUAGUGAGGACCUUGCUGUUAGAAACUAUGGAGCCCACUAUUUAUUAAUCCAUUUCUAUUUACUACUUAUUACUAUUUAUUUUUAUUUACUAUAUUUUUGUUUGUGAUACCCGGUACCAAUACAAUUUGAGAUUCCUUCAAUUUUUAAGGUGCAUGCAAGUCUAAUGGCUUCAUGUACAAAAUCAAUUCAAGGGUGUGUAUCCUUAACUAUCAGGCUAACCUUUACAAGCUUGGCAAUCGAUAAUUAAUUUUUAAUGAAUUCAAUUUUUUUUUAAAUAAGGAAAAGGACAUUGGUGAAUAAAUUGUUUCCUUCCUAUUAUAAUUGUUAGACCUUACCAAAGGGCUAAUUUAGAAAAAGAUUGUAACUUAUAGGUCACUAGGGCCGAGGUCAACUUGUGACUAAGUAGAUCAAUUUAAAUUAAUUAUUUUUAUUAAAAUAAUAAUGUUUUGUUUUUUUUCUUGAUAUUAAUUUGGCUAAUUUUUAUCAAAUCAAAUCACUAAGAACUUAACCAAAUCAAAUUUCAUCAAAUCAAUAAUAUUUUAUGUAGUUGAAUUAAAAAUUCAAUUCAAUUCUAGCUCUGAACCCUGAUUUUUUUUUUGUUCAAUCUAGCAUACAGGUUUAUCAAAUAUGCUUCGCGCUUGCAGCUGUGGUUUGCUGCGGGCAUUUGAUAAUUGGAUUACUGUAAAGAUUAUUGUUGUCAUUUCCAACUUCAUGCAUGUUGCUAGCACUAGAAGUUGACCCAACCACCCUUUCUACCAUGCUCUCAUUAGGACCAAAUAGUUCUCCGUGUGCAUACCAACACAGGUAAUCUUCCAUGAACCAUUUGGUUAGAAGAUGCAUCGUUACAACAUUUUGAUGCAGAAACGUUUUAUUUUUACACUUCCUGCAUGGACACCUAAUACCGCCAUCAGUAAAAUUCGUCGGAAUAGAUGUUGCGAAAUUAAUAAAACCCAGAACCCCGUUAUAAUAAUCCAUCCUCCGCAAUCCUUGGGGUGAGUCCCGAUACAUCCAUGAACGAUCAUCCAUGACUUCUAUCGAACCUCUAUAAAAUUAUGACGACAACAUGUAUUAAUUAACUAUGUUACGUAAAUAAAUUUGCAAAAAUAUUGGUUUGCCCCAACAUUAUCCAACAAACUAAAAAAACACUUAUGUUAAAUAUUCAUUAUCAAUUAUCAAUUAUCAAGGUCCAUACAAAUUUAUAUAUAUAUAAAUUUAUGAAAUCACAACUUCGCAAUAGAAUUGAUAAAAAUUAAAACAGACCCGUUAAACAAGCUAUUAUUUAUUUCAUCACAACAUAUCUAAUUCGGUGUAAUUCAAACAAAGUUUCAAUAAUUUACAAAUAAAUACAAUUUGACAAAAUCUAAAACAAACUAUAACAACUAUAAAAUUCUACAUUCAUACUACAAGUUUCUUUGACAAAUAACAAUCAAACAAGUACAUACGUUAACAAAAAUAUACAUAUACUAAAAAAAAAUGACAUUUAAAUGUUAAAACUAAAAGGAUAAAUUUACUUACAAAAAAUGAUAAAAUCCACAAUAAACUGCUCGGAGAACGGAUGUUGUGACCACGUACAAAAGUAUAAGAAACUUGAGUGCUUGUGUUGAGAAGAUGGGGGAGUUGGGAUGGGUGGUUGGCUGCAGUUUGGGAGGGCAGAGUUGGGAUGGGGAAAAAGAAGGGGAAGAAGAAGGAGAAAUAGGGCAGAGAGUGUCGGCAGAGUGGAUAAUAUAUUGGCUUUUACCGAUGGAAUCACCGACUGAACGUUUCCGUUGGUGAGUCGGCCAGUGAAUGUGCCACAUCACUGUAUGGCGAUCCCGGUUUGAAUCCCUCGGUAAUUCCAUCGGUAAAAUCAUCUGAAAAAAAUCCACGUCAUCACACCGUUGCAACUUUUCAAAAAACUAUAUAAUCCGUCAGUGAUACCGUCGGUAUAUAGCGACGGUAUCGCCAACGGAAAUUGUCUGUCGGUAUAUACCGACAGAAGUAGAGACGGAAUUAUUUUCGUCGGUAAUUUUUACCAAUGAAAAAAGUCUGUCGGUAAUUCCGUUGGUUUUCGCCGAUUUUUUGGUAGUGAAAUCUUAUUUAAAUUAAAAAGCCAAAAAUGAACUCAUCUACUCUUUGCAAGAAUGGACUAAAAUCCGCAUAAUUAAAUAGUACUGUUACUGUAAACUACUAGGAAAUUCAUGGGUAGAGCCAAAAUGUUAACAAUAGCAUUGAUUCGACCAAGUAAGGGGCUCACUAUUUAUUAAUCCAUUUCUAUUAAGGAAAUAACCAUAGAAAUUAUGGAGCCCACUAUUUAUUAAUCCAUUUCUAUUUACUACUUAUUACUAUUUAUUUUUAUUUAUUAUAUUUGUGUUUGUGAUACCCAGUACCAAUAAAAUUUGAGAUUCCUUCAAUUUUUUAGGUGCAUGGUCUAGUCUAAUGGCUUCAUGUACAAAAUCAAUUCAAGGGUGUGUAUCCUUGACUAUCAGGCUAACCUUUACAGGCUUAGCUAGCAAUCGAUAAUUAUUUUUUAAUGAAUUCAUUUUUUUAUUUAAAAUAAGGAAAAGGACAUUGUUACACCUUAACUAUUAUAAUUGUUACACCUUACCAAAGGGUUAAUUUAGAAAAAGAUUAUAACUUAUAGGUCACCAGGGCCGAGGUCAACUUGUGACUAAGUAGAUCAAUUUAAAUUAAUUAUUUUUAUUAAAAUGAUAAUGUUUUGUUUUUUUUCUUGAUAUUAAUUUGGCUAAUUUUUAUUAAAUCAAAUCACUAAAAACUUAACCAAAUCAAAUUUCAUAUUUCAUCAAAUCAAUAAUAUUUUAUGUAGUUGAAUUAAAAAUUCAAUUCAAUUCUAGCUCUAAACCCUGAGUUUUUUUUUUUUUUUGUUCAAUUUAGCAUACAGGCUUAACAAAUAUGCUUCGCACUUGCAGCUGUGGUUUGCUGCGGGCAUUUGAUAAUUGGGAGAGGCUUUAGUUUCGUACCUGUUGUUCUGCUUCAUGUACACUCGGACCUCUUAUUUUAUUUUAUAUUGGUUGGAUCCAAACUUAAUCCAACACAAAAUUAACAUAUUUAUUAUUUAUUUAAGAUAAAUGAUAUAGGUUUAACAUAUUAGCGAACACUUAAUAUGAUUAAAUUUAAUUUUAAUUAAUUAACAUCUCACCGUAAUAAAUUUUACCAUUUGCAACCAAAAAACAGUUGACACCUUAUUAAUAUAAUCAAUAUAGUAGAAAAAUUAUAGUGAUUUAAAACAAUUCAUUAAAAUGUUCGUAAAUGUUUUUAUUUUGUGACAAGGAUUUUCAUGUUAUCUGUUAUGUAUUGUUACUGUUAUAAUCCAUUUCUAGAUUAUUUCUCAAAUUCCAUAAUUAGAUUUUUAAUAGGUCAAUUUGAUUUAAUCAUUGGCCAAAUUAAAUUUUAAUUAUGUUUAAAAUUUUAUUUGGGUCCUAUUGAAGGAUUUAAUUAGAUGCAAUGACUUAACUUUACUUUAAAUGGGUCAAAUUAAAUUUAUAAGGGUAAAAUUGCAAGAAAAUCAAAGUUUUUGGGGUCAAUUAAGGGCUAAAUUAAAAAAAUUCACAGCCAAGAACUAUUUUGCAAAAGACGCUAAACUAUAGAAACUCAAUUGAUUGAAAUUAGAGAUGGAAAUGAAAGAAUUGAAAGUUUAAGAAUCAAUUGAGGGUUAAAUUGCAUAAAUCCAAGACCAAGGAUCAAAAUGAAAUAGGUGUUGAAAUUUGAGGCUGACAUUCAAGUUCGGCAGAGGCAAAAUUGCUUAAAAUUGAAAGUUUAAGGUCAAUUAGGGAUGCAAUUGAAAGAAAUUAAAAGUCGGAGGACCAAACUGAACUUUGGCCAAAUCCCUAAAAUAAAACCUUAAGAGCCAAAACAACGUUGUUUCAUUUAAAUGCAUUUAAAUGAAACAACGUAAAUGAAACAACGUUGUUUUGACAAAACAGUACCAAAAAAAAAAGGCAAACCAGACAACGCAUCAUCUAGACUGUUCAUCUUCUUCAUCAUUAGCCUCCUAGAAAGCUUCUCAAAUGGCCACUUUCUCAAGGCAUUUAAUGUCUUUUCUCUCCAUCAAAUUUGAUAAAAUUUGCACGCAAACGGUGGCCUAACAUCUGGUGUUGUCCUUUAUGGCUGAUUGACGCCACAGCGGUUAUGGCACCGCCUUAAAGUGGCCAACCCGACUAGCCCUUCUGUAGUAACUUGUCAAACCAUGAUUGCAACUUUAAGUCAAUGGUUGAGAUCUUUCAGAGUUGAAUUAGGGGCUAAGAUUUAGCAACUUUAAAUCAAUUAUUGCAAAGUCAAUGCUUUUAUUUUGUGACGACGAUUUUUGUGUUAUCUAUUAUGUGUUGUCAUUGUCAUAAUCUGUUUCUAGAUUAUGUUUCAAAUCUAUCUUCUUUCUUUUCAAAAUAAAAAAGAUCAAAAAAUAAUAAUAGCCAGAAAACUAGCAUUUUGGCAAAAGCAAGUUGGGAAAAUUUCAAAUGUAGAAUUGCAAUUUUGGAUGGAAUUGGGAGCCUAAUUAUAUCUUAUUUAUCCAAAACUAGAGAAACAAUACAAAUUCAAUGUCAAGUUAAAUGAUUAUUGAAUGAAUCUUUAUAAAAAUUAAGUCUAAGGACAUAAUUAGAUUUUAAAUAGGCUAAUUUGAUUUAAUCAUGGGCCAAAUUAAAUUUUAUUUAUGUUUAAGAAUUUAUUUAGGUCCAAUUGAAGGAUUUAAUUAGAUGCAAGGACUUAAUUUUACUUUAAAUUGAUCAAAUUAAUUUUAUUAGGUGACUUAAUUAGUGAAAAAUUAAGUUUGGGAGCCCAAUUUGAGCUUAAUUGAGAAGAUUGAUAUUUUAGGAUGUCGUACAUGGACGUGCAACAUCGGGGGGUCAUUUGGAGUCGUCACCUAGUUAUUUAGUUCAAGGUCGCUAAAAAACCUAGGUAUAUUGGUCUUGUUAGAGAUUCGAGAGUAAAUGACUAGUUGUGGCUAAAAAAGGUAUUAACACCCCUAACGCAACCUACCCAGGUAAGUUACUUUGUGAUUAGAUGUGGUUUAGAGAUUUUAAUGGUUUUUUAAUAUAUCUAUAGUUUAGGAUUGCGUUUUGCAUGUAUGAAUAAAUUUGAUGUUUAAUAAUUUAUUAUGGACUCUUGUACCCAGAUCAAUUCUUAGAAAAAAAAGUUCUUCGUAAUUUAUGUAUUGUGGUAAAAAUUACUCUCAAUAAAAAUUAAUGAUUAUUUAGAAUAACUUUGAGGAUUUUCUGGUCAACUCCAAUAUUUCAAAUAUCAGCCUCACUUAUAGGUAUAGCGUUUUAUAUCAAGAUUUUUAACCAUUAAUUCUCAUGAAUUAAAAAAUAGUGGUCUAUUAAAAUAUUGAUCAAAUUCACAUGAAUUUAAUAAACUAGUUAUUAAAUUCUAAAAUGCAUAUUCAUAUAUAAUAUUUUAAUUUGUUUUUAAAUAAAAAAUAUUUUUAAAAAGUAUGUGCCACAAUACCAAAUUAUAGUAUAAAUUAAAAGAGAAAGUAGUUUUCUCUUCAUCACUAUUCACUUAUAUUCAUUUCACUAUGGAUAUUAAUAGUGAAUUUUUUGAAAAUUUCCAAUGUGGUAUUCAAUUAUUUUCUUCACAAUUGAGCUCUUUUAAAUUCAAAUUAGAGUCUAAUUGCAUAUUUUUUCAAGGAUGAGGAUUGAAUUGAAAGACAUAGGACUAAAGUGAAAAACUCGACUAAAAUAAGUGGUGGCUUUGCAAUUUGUUUGCAAAGUUCAUUUUAGUCCCUAUAUUUUUUCAUCAUUUUAUUUUGAUACCAAACUUUAUUUUCCUCUGUUUUUAGUUUUUUUUUGUGUAGGAGAGAGAGAGAGAGGAUCACUGAAUUUCAUUUUAGAGAGAGAAAGUUGUUGUUGGGGAUUUUGGCCACCAAAACGGUUGAUUUUUGUGUCAAAUUAUUAUGUCUUAAUUUAACAAGAUUCCUUGGAUAUUUUCUAGGUGUUUUGGAUCAAAAUGAGUUGAAAACAAGUUUUUUGAUAAAAAAAAAAUCAAGCCUCCUUUUUCUAGCCAUACUAGUAAUCGAAAUCCGGGGACGCAUUGACGACACAUCGUUUGUUGAGGAAAACGCCGUGUCAUUUUUUUUCAAAGCAUUGGGGUGACGACGUGUCAUCCGCCCUAUUAACUUAAAAAAAGUUAAAGGCUUGUGCGUGUGUGCCGACUUUGCAAGUCAGUGCGCGAGCCUUUGAUGGGUGGGCCAAACACUCUAAGCUUGACUCUCCAAGCUCAGCAAUGUCUGACUUCAUUCAUUUCCUUUUAUUAUUAUUAUUAUUAUUAUUAUUAUUACCUAUAUAUAUAUAUAUAUAAGAAAAUAAUUAAGAAAAUAAUUUUAAAAUGAUGUUUUCAUUAAUACUCGUUCUCUAUGUUAAUAUGAUUUAUUUGUAAUGUUUUAUAUAUAUUUCAGAUAUAUUAAGUAUUAUUUUUUUAUGUGUGUGUCGAUUUCUCUUAUAUAUUGAUUUUAGUAAACAAAUUCAUUAAAUAUAACCAGAGAAAUGACUCAUGUUGCAAUAUUAAAUAUCUUGAUCUAUAUUUGUCCCUCAAUUUUUCCACUUGCUUUUUUAAUUAUCGAUAAUGACUUUGUUUUUUUUAUUUAUUCACACAAUAAAAAAACACUUUGAGAAAUUAUUAGGCUUUUCUAUUAUUUAUUUGAAGGGAAUAACUUUUUUAUACUUAUACAAUAUUGUAAGGUUUUAUAGUUUUAAUAUAUAAAUGGUUGUAAUAGCUUUUUGGCAUGUGAGACUUGGAUAAAUGAAAAUCAAAUAUUUUGGGUGUCUAUCUUAUAGUUAUGAUAUUUUUAGUAUUUGAGGGUUUUGACUUGGAAUAAAUCUUGUUAUUAUUCGUUUUCGUUUAUAUCAAUUUGGUUAGUGUCUUAGGACCAAAAGAAAAGAAUCAAAAUGAAAAAAACACAUUUGAUUUAAAAUAACUUAGAUAGAGAUAUAAAAUAAAUAUAUUUCUAAGAUAUUUUUUGAAUGAGUUUCUAUCAUUACAAAACAAAAUGUGCAUGAAAAUAUGUUUCAUCUAUCUCCACCAUCUCUAUUUUUAAAAAAAGAUAUACUCUAACCAUCUAGGUGGUGGCCUAGUGGUAAGAGCUUGGGACCAAGAGGUUUGCUCCCUCUGUGAUCUCAGGUUCGAGCCCUGUGGUUGCUCAUAUGAUGGCCACUGGAGGCUUAUAUGGUCGUUAACUUCAGGGCCCGUGGGAUUAGUCAAGGUGCGCGCAAGCUGGCCCGGACACCCACGUUAAACUAAAAAAAAAAAGAUAUACUCUCUUCCCAUUUUCUCUCCCUGCUGAAUUUUGGAAACCACCCACACAACAAUAGCCCUCACAACCACCAACAUGAUUUUUUUUAAUCUUAUUUAGCCUUUCUUCAAUUAUUUGUAAUUAUGUUGGGUGUGUUUAGUUUUUUAAAAAAUUAGUAUAAUUCAUCUGUAAUUUUUUAUAUAUAUUUCACAUAAAUUAAGUAUUUAUUUUUUUAUAAUAUUUUGAAUAUGUUUAUCCUUGAAUUUUUUUUCUUUUUAUGUUAUUCAAUAAAUUUGAUGUGUGUGUUGAUUUCUAUUAUAUAAUGAUUUUAGUAAACAAAGUCACUAAAUAUAGCAAGGUAAAUGACCUAUGUUACAAUAUUAAAUAUCUUGAUCUAUAUUUAUCUCUUAAUUUUCCACUUGCCUUUUUAAUUAUGGGUAAUGACUUUGUCUUUAUUUAUUUAUUUACACAAUGGUUCGUGCUUUGUUUAAUUCGAUACGUGCCUAAUUUUUUCGAUUUACAUUUAUGAUUUUUUUAAUGUAAAAAGAACGCGUUAAGAAAUUCUUAUUCUUAUGAUUUUAAUUUAAUCCUUAUUCUUAUGAUUUCUUUCUUUUUUCCUUAACCCUUUUAUAACAAAAAUAUUGUUUGUAAUUUCACCCUUCAAUUCAAUGUGAUGGUGUAUUGUUUUUGUUUUUUUAUUUUAUUUUGAUCCUCAUUGAUCGCUUCUUUAUAUAUAUAUUCUUGUUUGUUAUUAUUGCCUUAUAUAUAUAUGAUUCAAAUAAAAUCAACUUAUUUAAGUCGGUCCGGACUAUAAAGUUAUUUAAUGUUUUUUUUUUUAAAGAAACACGCUUGUAAUAUAGUGCGGAAACCAGCAGGUGAGACUUGAGUAAAUGAAAAUGAAAUAUUUUGAAUGUCUUUCUCAUAGUUAUAUUAUUUUUAAUAUUUGAGGGUUUUAAUUUGGAAUAAAUCUUGUUAUCAUUCGCUUUUGUCUUGUCAAUUUGGUUAGUGUCUUAGAAAAACAUAGGAUUCAAAAAGAGAAAAACAUAUUUGAUUUAAUAUAACAUAGAUAGAGAUAUAAAAUAAAUAUAUUUCUAAAAUAUUUAUGGAAUGAUUUUCUAUCAUAUCAAAAUAAAAUGGGCAUGAAGAUUUCUUCUAUCUCCACUAUCUCUAUUUUUAAAAAAAGAUAUGCUCUAUUUUCCCAUUUCCCAUGAAAAUGGGCUGAAUUUUGGCGACCACCCACACAACGAUAGCCUACACAAUCACCAGCCAUGCCACUUUUCAAGACCCCAUCUCUCAAUCUCAAAACCAGAAACAACCCCCUUCUCCAUUAAACCGAAUCUCAUAACUCCAGGAAAGUGAAGGACCAAACCAUACUGUUAAAAAUCUUAAAGGGUUUUAAAUUAUCUCUUUUACUUUCCCUCAAUUUUCUAGACAAGAAAAAGGAGCUAAACUUAUUCCCCACCAAAAUGUCAAGAAUUUCAGUAGAACGAAAGAAGAGAUUAUUACUUGACCAAAAAACAACUAGUCAGCACCCAAAGAAACCGAGUGAAUGAGAGAAAAAGACUAAUAGCUAGGAAACAAUCAACAAAUCCAAGAACUUUCUAUACGGUUUCCAAGAAAAUGAAAAGAAACGAGCAAGACAACCCUCUUUCUCCUCUUUCAGUGUUCAAAAAAACAAAGAAACGUAAAAGAGGACUUUUCAAAGUCAGCUAAGUAUAUGGCUUAUUAUAUUCAUAGAGAGAGGCGGAAUUAAUUUUAUAAGCCAUGUAAAAUAUAUCUUUUUUCUUGGCAACCAAACACAACCAGAAGCCCAAAUGAAAACAAUUUUGACGAAUUCCCACCAAACAAUUGAACUGCUGUUGUAACUAAGAUUUUCAGUUAUACGUAAUUUUUGUGGUCCAAAGGACAAAUAAUUUUCUUUUCUUUUAUUUUAUCAGCUUAAUUUCACUUGUGGACUUGAUGGGCAACCAGACUUGCAAAUUGAGGUUCAAUCUCGUAUGCACAAUUAAAUCUCGUAUGCGUAAAUUGCAAGCAACAAAUUUUAAAGUGAAUUUGGUUACUGAAACUGGUUUGACAACGACUCAAAACAAUCUGAAAGUGCAAAAGAAAGGAAACAAAUUCAAGAAAAAACAAAAUGCUAAUAAGAAGCAUAGAGUUUGUUUCCAUUGUGGAAAUAAAGAACAUUAGAUAAAAUAGUGCGGAUUCAAGAAUUUCAACAAGAAAGGUGGUUCUUUCAAAGUAAAUAUGGUUGAACAAGAUGAAGGCAGGGAGUUAGUUGUCAUGGUUUCAAACAUUCAAAUUUGAAUGAUUACCGAAUUAAAUAUGGCAACUAAGUUAUAAAGACUUCAGAUUGGUGGCUGGAUUCUGGUGCAACAGUUCUUGUUUGCAACAACAAAGCAUGGUUCAAGACUUAUGAAGAAUUGAAAAAACCUGAAGAGGUCUUGAUGGGCAACCAUAAUUCUGCCAAAGUUUUGGGAAAAGGAACUAUUGAGUUGUACUUUACUUCUGGACAAAAAUUAUCUUUACUCAAUGUGUUUCAUGUUCCUGAAAUUACAAAAAAACCUUGUAUGCAGUUUUGGGAAAAGGAACUAUUGAGUUGUACUUUACUUCUGGACAAAAAAUGUCUUUACUCAAUGUGUUUCAUGUUCCUGAAAUUACAAAAAACCUUGUAUCUGCUAGUCUCUUGAGCAAGAAAGGGUUCAAGAUUGUUUUGGAGUUUGAUAAGGUUAUUGUAACUAAGAGUGGGAUGUUUGUGGGAAAGAGUUAUUCUUGUGAUGGCAUGUUUAAGUUCAGUAUUAAUGAAAUCAAUGUUAUUUCUGCUUAUAUGGUUGAAUCUACUUCUCUUCUUUGGCAUGCUAGAUUAGAACAUCUAAAUUAUAGAUAUUUUAAAUAUAUGUGUAAGCAUGGUUAUAUUUCAUAUCAAUAUAAUAAUAAAAACAAAUAUGAAGUAUGUAUUCAAGAAAAGAUGAAAAAGAAGUCUUUUUCUAAAGUAGAAAGGAAUUCUCAAUUACUUGAGUUGGUCCAUUCUGAUAUAUGUGAAAUAAAUGGUAUGUUAACAAGGGGUGAGAAAAGAUAUUUCAUAACUUUCAUUGAUGGUUAUUCUCGUUUUACCUAUGUUUACUUUUAAGAACUAAAGAUGAAGCCUUUGGAAAAUUCAAGAAAAUGGUAGAAAAUCAAAAGGAAAGGAAAAUUAAAGUUCUUAAAAGUGAUAGAGGUGGAGAAUACUUUUCUAAGGAUUUUUCUACAUUUUGUGAGGAAAACGGAAUAAUCCAUCAAAUGAUAGCACCCUAUACACCACAACAUAAUAUGGACUUGCUGAAAGGAAAAAUAGGAUCUUAGUGGAUAUGGUCAAUGCCAUGCUUUUGAAUGCUACAUUACCAAAUAAUUUAUGGGGUGAAGCCUUACUUACUACAUGUCACAUUCAUAAUAGAGUACUAUCUAAAAGAUUAAAUGUUUCUUCCUAUGAAGCAUGGAACAGUAGAAAACCAAAUCUGAAUUAUUUUAAAGUAAGGGGGUGUGUAGCUUUUUAUAAAAGUUCUAAUCCUUAAAGAACAAAAUUAGGACCCAGAAGUCUUAGGAGUGUUUUUGUUGGUUAUGCACAAAAUUUAAAGGCUUAUAGACUUUUGGAUUUAGAAACUAAUGUGAUUGUUGAAUCUAUACAUGUUGAAUUUAUCGAAUAUAAAUUCAUAAGUGAUUCAAAUGUGCAAGAACCAAAUCUAAAAGUAAUAACUCCUAGCUCAACGUUAAGUGAAAAAUGUAAAAACCUAGAAGUAAUAGGUUCAAGUGAACCUAAAAGAAGUCAAAUAGUUAGAAAGGAAAAACACAUAGAUACAAAUUUUAUUUCUACUGAUUCAAUUGUAUUUUUAGUGGAAGGUGAUAGAAAUACAAUAUUAAAAAAAAAACACCUAUGAUCCUAACUAUAGAAGAUGAUCCAAAGACAUUCGGUCAAGCUAUGACUUUUAAGGAUGUUGCUUUUUGAAAAGAAGCGGUAAAUGAUGAAAUGGAUUCAAUAUUGUCUAACAAUACUUGGGUCCUAAUAGAUUUACCUCCAGGUUAUAAGCUAAUAGGAUGUAAGUAGGUGUUUAGAAGAAAAUACAAUACUGAUGAUUCUAUACAAACCUUCAAGGCAAGAUUGGUUGCCAAAGGUUUUACUCAAAAUGAGGGUGUUGAUUAUUUUGGCACUUAUUCUCCAGUGGCAAGAAUUACAUCAAUUAGAGUUUUAUUUGCAUUAGCAUCAAUUUAUAAAUUGUAUGUUCAUCAAAUGGAUGUAAAGACAACUUUCCUAAAUGGAGAUUUAAAGGAAGAAGUGUAUAUGGAGCAACCUGAGGGUUUUAUACUUCCUGGAAAUGAAGAAAAAGUCUGUAAAUUGGUAAAGUCUUUAUAUGGUUUAAAACAAGCUCCGAAAUAAUGACAUGAAAAGUUUGACAAAACAAUUUUGUUGAAUGGUUUUCAUCACAAUGGUGCUGAUAAGUGUAUGUAUUCCAAAUUUACAAAAGAUUUUGGUGUGAUUAUUUGUCUCUAUGUAGAUGACAUGUUAAUAUUUAGCACCAAUAUGAUUGGAAUAGUUGAAACCAAAAGGUAUCUCACUUCUAUCUUUAAAAUGAAAGAUCUUGGUGAAGUAGAUACAAUUUUAGGUAUCAAAGUUAAGAAACAUAGUAGUGGCUAUGCACUUAAUCAAUCACAUUAUAUUGAGAAAAUGCUCGAUAAGUUUAAGCAUCUCAAUAUAAAGGAGGCUAAUACCUCAUUUGACUCUAGCAUGAAGUUAAAUGAUUAUUGUGAUAAAGCGAUAGCGCAACUAGAAUAUGCUAGUGUCAUUGGAAGUCUUAUGUAUGCUAUACAUUGUACAAGACCAGAUAUAGCUUUUGCUAUAUGCAAGUUAUCAAGAUAUUCAAGCAAGCUGAAUACAGAUCAUUUGAAGGUUAUUGCAAGAGUCUUUGGUUACCUAAAAAUAACGAUCGAUUUAGGCUUGUUUUAUUCUGAUUUUCCAAUUGUGAUGGAAGGAUAUAGUGAUGCAAGUUGGAUGACUAGUUCAAGUGAUAAUAAGUCCACAUCAGGAUGGAUUUUCUCACUUGGAGGAGGUGCAAUAUUUUGGGCAUCUAAGAAACAAACAUGCAUCUCUCAUUCUACCAUGGAAUCAGAAUUUAUUGCUAUAGCUGCUGCAGGUAAAGAAGCAGAAUGGCUAAGAAAUAUGUUGUUUGAUAUUAAGUUGUGGCCACAACCUAUGUCAGCUAUUUCUUUAUGCUGCGAUAGUGAAACAACUAUGUCUCGAGCUUAUAGUAACAUUUACAAUGGUAAGUCAAGACAUACAAGCAUUCAACAUGGAUAUAUUCGAGAGUUGAUUACAAAUGGUGUAAUCACCAUUGUCUAUGUGAAAUCUGUGAAUAAUUUAGUGGAUCCGCUCAUAAAAGGACUAUCUAGAGACAUGGUACGAAAAACAACUAAUGGAAUGGGGUUGAAACCCGUUAUUCAAGAUACCAAUAAUAGGAACCAAACUUCGGAUUAGCAAGAAGCUUAUCUCUUAGUUUAAUGGGUAAUAACAAGUUACUGUUUUGUAUAUGUUGGACACUGAUAAUUAAUUUGAGUCCCUAUUCUAAUAGUAUUCAGUGUGUUCUAUUACGAAAAGUAGGAUGAGCAUGGGCUCUUAAUAAAAUUUAAAGUUCGUGUCUAAUGUAAUAGAGACAUGUAUAAUUCCACCUAUAUGAAUAUAAAAGUGGUGCCGCUUUUGACAAGACUUAGGGUUUUCUCUUAUAGAUAUUUAUGAAAAAAAAAAAUUAUGAUUUUAGCACAUGGCCAUAAUAGUGCUAAACAGUUGUAAACCUCUUUAAGAGUUUGGAUAGUAUUAUGUGUGUAGUAUCUUUUAUUCUACAACAAAAGUUUUGGUUUAAUCUACAAACACCAAUAACUUUAGUAGGAUUUAAGUUCUAACACUAAUUGAAGGUUUAAAUUGCAAAAUACCUUCUUGUAAGUAUAAUUCUAUCGAGUGAAAAGACCUUCAUUACAAACUAGUGGGGGAUUGUUGGUGUAGUUUAUAAAUGAAUAAAGAAAAGAUGUUUAUCACACAUUGGAAAGAAACACUCCCUCCUAAUGUUUCUAAGUGUGGGUUACUAUUGUGUAGUAAAUUAAGCCAUGGUGGACAAACUCUUCUAUUUGGCUUCCUAAUGUUAUUAUAUGGAUAUUUAUAAUAUCAAAAGAUAGCAUUUGGAACUUGGAAUUAAUAUGAACAAUUAUACUGUUUCAUGAAUAGUCAUAUUGUUUGAUGAUCAACCAUUGUGUUUCAUCAAUAGUCAUAUUGUUUUAUUCAUCAACAAUCAUAUUAUUUGAUGAACAAUCAUAUUGUUUCAUCGUUAUAUUUGAAGUCUAUAAAAGCAUAUUACUAUACAGAAAAGAAAUACAAUAAAAAAAACAUACAUUCUUUAAUUGGUCUUGAUCAACACCUCUUCUAAUUUCUUCAAUCUUCCAAUCACAUUCUCAGGAAUCCUACUUAGCCUUUCACAACCUGUCACAUCCAACAACCUUAACUCCUUGAGCUCUCCUAUUUCAUCAGGUAAUUCUUCAUUGGAGAGGCACCGCUUAAGACUAAGAAUCUUAAGUCUCUGCAGCUUUCUCAACCAAAUGAGGUCCUUGCAUUCACACAUGAUCAACACCAACGAUUGAAGUUUCGUUGAGAGUUCAAGUGAUUGCAAUGACAAACAACCUCCCUUCAGAGACAAAACUUCAAUUUCUUUCAUCCCUUCAAAGAACCUCUCUGGAACAUUCAUACCAUAAUCCACUUCUAACAAUAGAACUUUGAGCUGUGGACAUUCCAAUCCUUCAGGAAGUUCGGUUAAUUUAUUGCCCAUUAACGAAAUUGUUGUACAAGCUUCAAAGCUUUUGAUACUCAUUGGCCAUUCCUUCAACCCAAUGCCAGCCUUUAUUAUGAAUCCAUAUUCUUGUGAUGACGCUAUCCGAAUAGCAACAUCACGAACCAAGUCAUGCAUUUUCACAUGUUCAUCUGUUUCAGUGUCCAACAGCAUGCAACAAUCUUUGAGUUUUUUUAUUUCCACAUAAACUCGUUUCCUUGCAUCUCCAAUGGACUCCACAUCUUGAUGUAACUCAUACCCAACUGCGUAUCUCGUCAAGUCCUCAAUUGGAAUGUGGUAAUCUUCUGGAAAUAAACAACAUAGCAAGAAACAUAACUUGGUUUCCUUGCUUUUCAAAUAAUCAUAGCUCAACUUAAGACAUGCAUAUGCAGUUCUUUGUUCAUCAAUGUGUUCCAUGUCCGGAAAAUGAGAGUUUUUUAGCUGUCCAAUUGCUACUUCCCACUCAACUGCAGAUUUAUCUCUUAGAGCCAUUCCCACUGUCACAAGUGCUAUAGGCAAGCCUUGGCAUUCUCUCGCAACCUCCCUUGCCACUGUGUUCAAGGUAGAUUCCCCAACACGUAAACCUGCAUUGAUUCUGAAUAAAUCCCAUGCUUCUUUUUCAGGUAAGGGACUUAACAGCACUUUUUUCCGGCAUUCCGUAUAAGAACAUAUGCCUUGAAGACGUGUUGUUAGAAGAAUUUUACAACCCCUGUGAUCAUCACCAAAUGGGAUCCCUAUCUCUUGGAAGUCAAUAACUUUCCAAACAUCAUCCAGGAUAAUAAGCAUCCUCUCCACUUUCUUCAGUCUCUGCCAUAAUCGAUCUGCUCUCCCAUCUUUACUACUUCCUCUAAUAUCCAGACCUAACUUAUCUGCCAUUUGGUUCUGGAGGUCUGUGACAUUUGGAUUCUGCGACACCGUAGCCAUCAAAACUUCAUCAAAAAGCUGCGACUCUCUGGCUAUCGUGCCUACUUUUCGCACAAGGGUGGUUUUACCCACCCCUCCCAUGCCGCACAGUCCGAUCAUAUUGACUUUGUCAUCUUUGAGAGCUUCCAUAAUAUGUUCGAAAGCUUCUUCUGACGAUUUUGAGGGGGUGAAUUUCUUUGAUUGAAGAAAUUCUAUGGGCUGAGGAUGAGUUCUGUGGGACACUUUUGUAGACUUUUUUUCUAAAAGUUCUCUGAAAGUCUCCGACUUCUUGGCCAGUGCCUUGCUAAACUUGAAUUGUCGCAUGCAGUUUGGACACCAAGUGAAGCAUUUGCCAUUUUUUCCUAUUUCAUUUUCCAAGGGCUUCGCACCUUCAAUUUCGUUUUCUGCAUCUCCCAGCCACUUUUUGACAUCUUCGUAAAUUUCUUCAGCAUUCCUUUCAGCAUCUUUGACAUCGUCUUGCAGACGUUCUUUUUCCGAAACCAGCUUCUCCUUUUGUUGUUUGAAUUCUUUAACAAAAUCGUUGAAACAGAACAUGUAACGGAACUGCCUUCCUACUGGUUCCACCAUGAGUUCUGCUAUCUUAGAUAUAAUGGAUCCACCCACACUUUCGAUAGCCAUUUUCCACCAGUCUGGAAUCAGAGAAAUAAGGAUACCAAACGUGAGAGUGAGUCGUAGUAGAGGCAUAGAGAGAAUGAGAAAAGGAAUUUUAUUAACUUAAUUUGGGAAAAUAUGUGCGAAAAGCUCUGGCAAUCAAUGAAAUAGCGGGAGGAAGAAAAGGAGAAGGCCUCUAGCUCUGUACGGAAUCCAGCUUCAAAAGCAACAAGGCAAGGUUCAAACUGACACUUGUGAGUUGAAGUAGUAAUUCCCAUUAAAAAUGCAUCUUGAUGACAUAAUUAAGAUAAUAUAGAGACAGUGACAGAGAAAUAAAGAAACGAAUGAAAGUUUCAGGAUAAUCACUUAGACGCCUCUCUGGAUGAUACCAGCUCGCUUCCAACAACAAAUAUUAUUAACCUAAGCUAUGAUCGGUCAGUUUUUUUUAGUUUUCUUUUCUUUUCUUUUCUUUUAAAAACAGAUCAACAAGGGAAAAGACUUGCAAAGAAGUAGAAUUACUGGAACGAACUCAACAAAGGAUCAAACUCAAAAAAAUAAAAGUAAUUGUGUAUGAGAAGCAUUUCUGUGUCACACACUCAAGUAAUAUGAUUGACCUAUUACAUUAUACAAAUUAAUAAUAAUAAUAAUAAUAAAAGAACUAGGUUUUUGAUGGCAUCCAGAGUGCUGUUGCUUUGAAAUAAAGAGGCUUGUGCAUGUGGUGUUAUGCUGUUCAUGUAGGCUAAGUUCUCUCUUCUUGUCUUGCUAUUCUGAUUUUAUCUUUUUCUUUGCAUGAUAUAAGAGCAGGUUCUUACCUCUUGAAGUCUGCUGAAUAAACCUAUCAGCAGAAGAUCCUGAACCGAUCCCAAAUCACAGCUUCAAUCCCCACCACAGCCAAUCUCCUCUUUCCCGUAGUCUUGCGUCCUCAAUUGGGAAAUGAUCCAAAAUCAACAACCGGUCCGGAGAUAGUUUGUGUGAAAAGAAACGGCUGAAAGAUGAAAUGUGAAGGUUAUGGUGAGAAAUUAGAUGAGAAAUUGGAUUGCAAACGGGAUGGUGCAAACUGGUGGAGCAUUAGACUUUUUAAAAGACAACAAAAAGAAGCAAUGUCUCAUCUUUUGAUCAGUUUGUUGAUGAAGAUAUCGAAAGAUUGGAGUCUCCGUUUUAGCUUAGGUUGGAAGCAAGUCUGAAAAUUAAGAUUAUUUUAAAAGAAUUUUUAUUGAUGGUUUGUGAGAUUAGUAAUGAAGUAAUUUAUGACAAUUUAAUCUUUAAAAAAUUAUUUAAAAUUAAAAAAGAUUAGAUUUUUAGGUAAUAAUUCUAGUCGGUUAGGCAAUAUAAACAGUUUUUGCAAAGAUUCUACUACUGAUGUGUCCAUAUUACAUAGGAACAGAAUGCUAGAGAAUAACUUUCUUUUUAAAAAAAAAAAGGUCGAGAAUUUUCCUUAAAGCAGACACCCAUGAAGAAGAUCUAGUUACCUUAGCCAAGCUGCUCACUUUACAAAAUUGUAUCGUAAUAGUUUGCGUCCACUAGGAAGUCGAGAAUAGGAAAAGAAAAGGGACGCUUAGCGGACCCACAAAAUCUUGAAUUAUCCCUUACUUUUUCAAUGGUAAGGAUAUCCUCGUGUCACCUUCUACAUUAAGUUUUAUAAAAUCUUGAUUUUUUUUAAAUUAAUUUUUUAAGUUUUAAUUAUGAAUUGUUUAUGCAAAGAAACACAAGAAAAGGAAAAAUUUCUCAGUGUGUUUUCUGUUACUUGUUUAGCAAUAGCUAGCAAGGUUCUGCUUAAAAAUACCAUUGAACAAGGGAUGAACCAUUCAGCAAGGGAUUCUGCGAGGAAAACAUGAAAUUGUUAAGCAUAAUAAUAUGUUAAGCAUGACAAAUUUCAUUUAAAUUAAAAAGCCAAAAAUGAACGCAUCUCCUCUUGCAAGAAUGGACUCAAAAGUUCAGCUAAUCCGCAUAAUUAAAUAGUACUGUUACUGUAAACUACUAGGAAAUUCAAGGAAAGUUAACAAUAGCAUUGAUUCGAUCAAGUAAUAAUCAUAGAAACUAAGUACCAAUAAAAUUUGAGAUUCCUGCAAGUUUUUAGGUGCAUGGUCUAGUCUAAUGGCUUCAUGUACAAAAUCAAUUCAAGGGUGUGUAUCCUUGACUAUCAGGCUAACCUUUACAGGCUGAGCUAGCAAUCGAUAAUUAAUUUUUAAUGAAUUCAAUUUUUAUUUAAAAUAAGGAAAAGGACAUUGGUGAAUAAAUUGUUUCCUUCCUAUUAUAAUUGUUAGACCUUACCAAAGGGCUAAUUUAGAAAAAAGAUUUUAACUUAUAGGUCACCAGGGCCGAGGUCAACUUGUAAUUAAGUAGAUCAAUUUAAAUUAAUUAUUUUUAUUAAAAUGAUAAUGUUUUGUGUUUUUUCUUGAUAUUAAUUUGGCUAAUUUUUAUCAAAUCAAAUCACUAAAAACUUAACCAAAACAAAUUUCGUCAAAUCAAUAAUAUUUUAUGUAGUUGAAUUAAAAAUUCAAUUCAAUUCUAGCUCUGAACCCUGAUUAAGCAUACAGGUUUAGAAAAUAUGCAUCUCACUUGCAGCUGUGGUUUGCUGCGGGCAUUUGGUAAUUGGGAGAGGCUUUAGUUUCGUACUUGUUGAUCUGCUUCAUGUACACUUGGACCUCUUAUUUUAUUUUAUAUUGGUUGGAUCCAAACUUAAUCCAAUACAAAAUUAACAUAUUUAUUAUUUAUUUUAUUAUUUAUUUAAGAUAAAUGAUAUCGCUUUAACAUAUUAGCGUACACUUAAUAUGAUUUAAUUUAAUUUAAUUAAUUAACAUCUCACCGCAAUAAAUUUGACCAUUUGCAACCAUAAACAGUUGACACCUUACUAAUAUAAUCAAUAUAGCUGAAAAAUUAUAGUGAUUUAAAACAAUUCAUUAAAAUGUUUGUAAAUGUUUUUAUUUUGUGACGAUGAUUCUCGUGUUAUCUUUUAUGUAUUGUCGCUAUCGUACGUGAACGCCCGACAUGAGGGUCAUUUGAAGUCGUCAUCUAGUUGUUUAGUUCAAGGUCACUAAAAAACCUAGAAAUACUAGUCCUGUUAGAGAUUUGAGAGUAAAGAACUAGUUGUAGUUAAAGAUUGUAUUAACACUCCUAGCGCACCCUACCCAAGUAAAUUACUUUUGUGUUUAAACGUGGUUUAGAGAUUUUGAUGGUUUUCUAAUAUAUCUAUAGUUUAGGAUUGAGACUUGCUUGUAUGAAUAAAUUUGGUGUUUAAUAAUUUAUCAUGGAUUCUUGUACCCAGAUAAAUUCUUAGAAAAAAAAGUUCUUCAUAAUUUGUGUAUUACGGUAAAAAUUACUCUCAAUAAAAAUUCAUGAAUAUUUAGAAUAACUUUGAGGAUUUUUUGGUCAACUCCAAUAUUUCAAAUAUCAGCCUCACUUAUAGGUAUAGUGUUUUAUAUCAAGAUUUUUAACCAUUAAUUAAAAAAUAGUGGUCUAUUAAAAUAUUGACCAAAUUCACAUGAAUUUAAUUAACUAGUUAUUAAAUUCUAAAAUACAUAUUCAUAUAUAAUAUUUUAAUUUGUUUUUAAAUAAAGAAUAUUUUUAAAAAGUAUGUGUCACGAUACCAAAUUAUAGUAUAAAUUAAAAGAAAAAGGAGUUUUUUCUUUAUCACUAUUCACUUAUAUUCAUUUUACUAUGGAUAUUAAUAGUGAAUUUUUUGAAAAUUUCCAAUUUGGUACUCAAUUAUUUUUUUUCACAAUUGAGCUCUUUUAAAUCCAAAUUAGAGCCCAAUUUUAAACAAAUCAAGAAGAGAAAAGACUUGUAAAAAAAGUAGAAUUACUGAAAGAAACUCAACAAAGAAUCAAACUCAUACAAUUAAAAAUAAUUGUCUAUGAUGACCAUCUCUGUAUCACACAUUCAGGUAAUAUGAUUGACCUAUAACAUAAAUAAAGCCCUGCAAACAAUUAAAUCAUGCUUCAAAAGCAACAAGACAAGGUAUAAAGUACACCAACAAAAAUAGUUUACUAACUGACACUUGUGAGUUAAAGCAGUAAUUCCCAUUCAAAAUAUUGCAUUUUGAUGACAUAAUUAAGAUCAUUUAGAGACAGUGACAAUCAAAUAAAAAAAAAAAAAUGUGUAAAAGUACUCACGCAAAGAAAGAAACGAAUGAAAGGUUCAGGGUAAUCACUUAAGACUCCUCCAUGGAUGAUAGCAGCUCGCUUCCAACAACAAAUAUAAUUAACCUAAGCUGUGAUGGGUCAAAGUUCUUUUUAGUUUUCUUAUUAAAAAAAAAAAAAAAAACAGAUCAACAAGAGAAAAGACUUGUAAAAAAAUAGAAUUACUGAAAGAAACUCAACAAAGAAUCAAACUCAAGCAAUUAAAAAUAAUAGUCUAUGAUGACCAUCUCCUAUCACACAUUCAGGUAAUAUGAUUGACCUACAACAAUAUUAAAAAAACAAAAAAAAAGCUAAUAGAUGGUCGCCAAGUGUUCAACUUUAUCUAGCCUUAGGAAAGGAUAUAAAGUGGGAGAGAUAGACGUCAAAAGGCUUAAAAAAAAGAAAAAAGGAAAGGCAGAAACGGAAGAAGACAUUGAAAGAAAUAAAAAAACGAUAGUGGCAUUAAAAAACGAUAAGUUAUUUAACGUCUUUUUAGGGGGGGAAGAGACAUCUGUUUAUUUAAAGAAAGAAAAUAUAUAUAUAUAUAUAAAUACUCUCUCUUCCAAUUUCCUCUCCCAGCUGAAUUUUGGCGACCGCCCACACAACGAUAGCCUACACAACCACCUUUCAAGACCCCAUCUCUCAAUCUCAAAACCAAAAACAACCCUUUCUCCAUUUAUCCGAACCUCAUAACUCCAGGAAAGUGAAGGACUAAACCAUAGUGGCAAAAAUCUUAAAGGGUUCUAAAUUAUCUCUGUUACUUUCCCUUAAUUUUCUAGACAAGUAAAAGGAGCUAAACUUAUUCCCGACCAAAACGUCAAGAAUUUCAGUAGAACAAAAGAAGAGAUCAUUACUUGACCAAAAACAACUAGUCAGCACCCAAAGAAACCGAGUGAAUGAGAGAAAAUUAAAGACUAAUAGCUAGAAAACAAUCAACAGAUCCAAGAAUUUUCUGUAUGGUUUCCAAGAAAAUGAAACGAAAUGAGCAGCACAACCCUCUUUAUCCUCCAAGAAAAGAAAGAAAAAGAAAGGAAAGAAACAAAGAAAGUCAAACUUGGCUCCUCUUUUAGUGUUAAAAAAAAAAAAACAAAGAAGUUCGAGGAAGUGGGCUGCCUUUUUUCUGCUGUUCAUGUGGUGUUCAGCUGUUCACGCAGACUAAGAACUCCUACCAUCGUAAAAUCAUAUAAUUAAAACACAACAAUAAAAAAGUAAUAAGCAGCUAAUUAUGUGCCAAAAUCAGAGAAAUAAGGAUACAAACGUGAGAGUAAGUCAUUGCAAGUAAAAGAGGCGCAGAGAGGAUGGGAAUAGGAAUUUCAUUACCUCAACUUGAGAAAAUAUGUGCGACAAGCACGGGUACUGAUUCCUCAAUGAAAUCGAGAAGGCCUUUAGCUCUGUAUGGAAUCCAGCUUCAAAAGCAACAAGGCAAGGUAUAAGCAUUUUGAUGACAUAAUUAAGAUACUAUGCGUCGUAAUAUAGAGACGGUGACAAAGAAUUAAAGAAAAAUAAUGUGUACAAGUACUCACCAAGCAAAGAAAGAAACGAAUGAAAGGUUCGGGAUAAUCACUUAGACGCCUCCAUGGAUGAUACCAGCUCGCUUCCAACAACAAAUAUAAUUAACCUAAGCUAUGAUCGGUCAAAGUGUUUUUUAGUUUUCUUCUUUAAAAAAAAAAAAAAAAAACAGAUCAUCAAGGGAAAAGACUUGCAAAGAAGUAGAAUUAAUGGAACGAACACAACAAAGGAUCAAACUCAGGCAAUUAAAAGUAAUUCUCUAUGAGUACCAUCUGUGUCACACACUGACUCAAGUGAGGAGAGAAAAGAAAGAGAAAGAAAGGAAAGGGACAAGGAAGGCAGAAAGUAAGGUCACGUAGGGCCAGUCUUGUAUAAAGUUUGAAAAGUAGCAUGAAAGAAGAGGAUAAUAGAGUAGUUGUCAGAAUCAAAACACGUAUAAACAGAGGACAAAAACAGGGAGGGAGGCUGUUUGUUUUUUUAAUUGUGUCUGAGUGCUUUUUAUAAUUAUAUUUAAUUUAAAAAAUAUUAAAUUAAUGUGGUUAAAAAUAUUUAAUUAUAACUCAAUUGCAUUUUUUUUUUAAGGAAAUAGGUUGAAUUGAGAAACAGAGAAACUCGGCAAAAAUAUGUGGUUAAAAUCAAUCCAUUUUUUUUAAAAAAAAAACUCCUUAGUUGUUAAGGAAAGAUUGGUAGUGGGAACAAAUCACCAAAGUCAGCAGCAAGGAAGUUCCAGGAAGUGGGCAGCCUUUCUUCUGCUGUUCAUGUGGUGUUCUGCUGUUCAUGCAGACUAAGAACUCCUACCAUUUUUAAAAUAAUAUAUUUAAAAUACAAUAAUAAAAAUGUAAUACGCAGCUAAUUAAUGUAUUAAGCAGCUAAUUAAUGCUGUUGUUCUUUCUUCUUGUUAUUCUAUUUUGAUUUUACUGUAUUUUAAAAAAAUUUAUGAUUGUGAAAACUAGCCAAACCAUUAGAUCCAAGCAAUCUGAGAGGGUAUUCAAGAGUGUAGUUGUCGUUGUUUUUCAAAGUAUUUUUCACUUGGAAAUGCAUCAAAAUAAUAUUUUUUUUAUUUUUAAAAUUUUUUUUUUGACAUCCUUGUAUCAAAAUAAUAUAAAAAAACCAAAAAAAUAUUAAUUUGAAGUAAACACAAAAAUAAAAAAAAUUAGAAACUAGUGUAGCUGCGCCCAAUGUUGUCCCGAGAUACUUUUUAUAAUCUAACUUUUUUAAUAUAUUUUUUAUUUAAUUAUGCAAUAUAUUCAUAGAAAACACUAAAAUUAAAAUUAUAGACAAAAAAAUAUAUAUUUCAUCAAAAUUUUCUAGUCUGAUUAAUGUAUUUUUCUUAAAAAAAAAAGUUUUGACAAUAUAAAAAGUAAUAACUAGGAAAAAGUAUCCUAAGAAACUGUAAUGAUUAGAACUAAAAAAAUAUUUUUUUUUUGUUGGAAACACAAUUUUUUAAUUCAUGCAUUUUUUUUAUUUUUUAAAAAUUUACUUUUUAUGAGUAACAUUAUUUUACUAAAAUGUCCCUAAUACAUAAUUAUUCAUAAAUUAAUGAAAAUAUCAUAAUAAAAAUGCCUAAUCUUCUUGAAAACAAUUAAAUAAUUGAACAAUCAUUUAAAUAUUAUUUUAAUAAAUUGAUUGAAAGAUUUAUUUUAUUAAAAAUAAAGAAUAAAAAUGAAUUGAUAUCUAAGAUAAAGGUCAUACAAGCCUUCAAAGAUAAUAUAUGUACGUGUAUAAUACAAAUUAAUAAAUUCUAAGUAGUAAUAUUUAAUGCAAGUUUAAGAAUAAGAGUUUGCUUUGUGUUUUGUUGUGAGAUUAACCAUAUCAAAUUAUAUAUUUAAUAAUAAAUAAUUGUGCUGUGUUAUGAGUAAAAUCAAUAAAUUAUUUGGUAUUCUGCUGUCUUGUUGUUUGAAUUAAAAGUAUUAAUAAGAAUAUAAAUUAAAUUAAAUAUCGAAAAAACUAAAUGAAUUCCUUAAUAAAUAAAUAAAUUCUUUCUUUAGAAAGCAUGGAAAUACCAUGACAUUGGCUUUUUGGAGAAUACUACGAUUUUUACAGCCAAAAAAGUUAUCGAUAGCUGUGUAAAUCAUUGAAAUUGCCACAAAAGCAACCCAAAUUAGUUAUGAAUUGGAUUCGAUGGAAGGAAGAGGGGAAGAGGGGAAAUGGGUAACGGCUAAUUAUAAGUUCAUUAAAAAAAAUCUGGAACGCAACAGAUGGAAAAAACUCGAAACAACUCGUCUAGAAUUUAGGCAAGAAGAAUGAGCCAAGAUUUUAAGUGCAAUGAAAUUUGUCUCACUUUGUUCUUUUUUUUUUUAAUGAUACAAGAUAUACUGACUGUUUUAAGUGAAACAGAAUGGAAUCGACAACUUUAAAGGGAGCAGAGACCACAUAUGUAUAGCUCGAAUUCGAUAGCCUUUCUCCUGUACUGACAUGUGAUUUACAUGCACCAACAUUUCUUUCUUCUUUAUUUUGUAAUAUUCUACAUUGGCGAGUAAGGAUUUGGUAGCUGACCUUAUUAAAAGUGUUGGUUGAUGACUUGUCAGACACGUUUUGAGACCAUGCGUGAUAACAAAAAACAAAACCAUGAGGGUGGUAAGGCCCAAAACGAACAAUAUCUGACAGAUUGGACCGGACUGUGACAUUUGGUAUUAGAGCUGACCUCACUAGCUAUUCAGUUGUGCUGACAGGGUCAUUGAGCUCCUUAACAGGGGUGAAUUGUAAUAUCUCACAUUGGUGGGUGAGGAUUUGGUAACUAGCCUUACUAGUAAUGCUGGUUGCUGACUUGUUAGAUGCGUUUUGGGGUUAUGCGUUGUCGAUACACGACGUCGGGCGACGGCUCCCGCUUUUUUUGUUUAUUUAACAAAAAGGGUUUUUUUUUCUCGAUUGGGGGAAACAAAGAUUUUAUUGGAGUCGCCAUCUAGUAAUUUGAGGGAACUAGAAAUCCCAAAUUAGACACUGGUCCCAGAGAUUCGGGUACGGGGUUAGUUAUGAUUAAGGGAAGGUAGACACCACCCUUAAAACAUCCUUUCAAAAGAAAGGUUACCCUUACUUGUGUGUUUUUAUUUGAUUCAAAUGCGAUUAUAUUUUGGGCUUAUUUGUAAAUUUUUGUAAAUGAUUAACGUCGGUCCCUAAAAAUAGGAGACACGUUAAAAAUGACAUCAGUCCCUAAAAAUUGGAGACUCGUCUGAGUUACCAAAAGAAAUAAUGGAUAUAAUCCAUUAUAUUUUGGGUUUAUUGGUAAUUUGUUUUUUUAAAUGGUUAACGUCGGUCCCUAAAAAUAGGAGACACGUUAAAAUGACAUCAGUCCCUAAAAAUUAGGAGACUUGUCUAAAAUAUGACGUUUCAACCCUAAAAAGGAGAAUUACGUCUGGGUUACCAAAAACAAUAAUGGACAUAAGCCAUAUUUGGUAUUUACAUUUUUUUGACAUCGGUCCUUUUAAAAAAAAGAGACGUGUCGGCUUUGGUUUUUGUAUUGUUUACAACAUGCAAGAAAAUUUACAAGCAUUUAUAUAUAAAAAAUAUCAAAAAUACCAGUAGAAACUCCGAAAAAUUACCUGAGUGCCACUGUAUAGGUAAAAGACUGAAAUACCCUCAGGUUUCUCCAAAAUUUACAAAAAUGCCACUGGCGGCGCGUGUAGCACACGCGCGGCUACUGUUGGCGGCGGGGAGAUUUUCCGGCGCGAUUUCUGGCCAACCGAUGGUCGAUCCUGGUAGAUCUGAUGUCGAGGAUUCUUAUGGUGGUGGUCUUGACGGCCGUUGAUGGCUGAUGAGCGAGAAUCGACGACUUGAAGCUUCGGUGGCAGCCGACGAUCGCGGCCCGUUUCCGGCCAAAUAGAGCGGCGAAAACGCUGAAAUCGGCCGGGGUUUUGCUUUAUAUGAGGAAGGCGACCUUUCUGUGGUGGUUUUCAAGCUUGCAGUGGCCGGAUAUGGGAGAUCGGAGGAGAGAGAGGGAGUCGCCGGCGAGAGGAGAGAGGUGCUCUGGGUUAUGCUAUGGUGAGAACGCAAACACGGUACACCAGUGCUGUUGAUGCUUGUGAUCCGUAGGAUCUCUGAUGGAAAUAUCGUGCGGCUGUGAUUGGCCCGAUCUGCAGGUUGAUCGGACGGUCCGGAUGAGCGGAGCUUUGAUCUGGUGUGGCGCGGUGCACCAAAUCUCGGUACACCGGAUGACGUGGCGCAACGGGAUCAAAUCUUGGAAUAUUUCAAAGGCUGAGAUGUGUUUGGGUUUUAAUCUAGUGUGGUAAGCCCUAUUGUAUCCUAUUAAAUCAACGGUUCAGAUCUAAACACUAUUAGAUCUAACGGUUAGGAUAUAUUUGGUAUUUUUCAUAUUGUUUUUAAUAAAAAUCAAUAUCCUACCCUCGUGAAGAAAUAGUAAAAAAAACCUGAAUAGUAAACUCUUCUUUUUUUUCUUCUCCUUUUUUUUCUCUUUUUUUUUCCUCUGGCGCACUGUUGGCUAUUUAUAGCAGGGGACAGCAAGCAUCGGCUUUAAAUUAAAAAAUGUAUCCAUCCAACUGCUCGUCUACAAUGUAACUGCCCCGCCUAAUAUGACAAUUCUGUAUUAUUAAUUUUGUUUUAUUAUAUAUAAUAAUAUAUAUUUAUAUAGGUAAAAUUAAAACUUAAAUCAGUAUUAGAAAAAGCCUGAUUCAACUGCUAAAAAUCAAUUUUAAUUACCGAAAAUUAUGUUGAAACAUAAAAAAAAACUUUCAACGGAUAUAAACCCGGUGGACCGGGUUUUGACCAAAAAAUAACAGGUUUGACCCAAAACGGCAUGAAACUCAUUUUUUAUCCUGGUCGACAUGGUUUGACCCGUAUUGACCCGGUGAACUCGGUUUUGGUCAAAAAUGACGGUUUUGACCCGAAACGGCCCGAAACUCAUUUUUUACCCUGGUCGACAUGGUUUGACCCGUAUUGACCUGGUGAACUCGGUUUUGGUCAAAAAUAACGGUUUUGACCCGAAACGGCCCGAAACUCAUUUUUUACCCUGGUCGACAUGGUUUGACCCGUAUUGACUUGGUGGACUCGGUUUUGACGGAAAGAUGCGGUUGACUCGAGAAAAAUAUUUUUUUGAAUUUUCCUUUUUCUUAAUUUUUUUGGAUUUUUAUAAAUAAUAAUAGAAAUAAAAUAACAUUUGAGAAAAUCUUGGUGGAUCCAAAAUUGGGUUACAACAGUUGCCCCCUCUUUACAAUGCUUACGGUGCAAAGGCAUUGGAAAAUUCAUUUUCUUUUGACUUUGCAUAGUAAGUUUUGUAAAGAAAAACGAUGAAAGUGUUGAAAAAUGCACAGAUUUUUUCAGUUGGUCUAAUUCUUAUGGGCGACCUGCCCAAAUGAAAAACAUGAAAGUGUUUUCAAUAUUGAUCUGGUGAAAUACAUGAAAGUGAUUUCAGAUUAAUGUUGUGAAAUACAUGAAAGUGAUUUCAACAUUGUUUUUUUUUUUUUUUGUGAAAUACAUGAAAGUGAUUUCAACAUUUGCAUUGUGAAAUACAUGAAAGUGAUUUCAACAAUGGUUUUGUGAAAUACAUGAAAGUGAUUUCAACAUUUGUUUUCUGAAACACAUGAAAGUGAUUUCAGAUUAGCAUUGUGAAAUACAUGAAAGUGAUUUCAACAAUGGUUUUGUGAAAUACAUGAAAGUGAUUUCAACAUUUGUUUUCUGAAACACAUGAAAGUGAUUUCAGAUUAGCAUUGUGAAAUACAUGAAAGUGAUUUCAACAAUGUUUUUGUGAAAUACAUGAAAGUGAUUUCAACAAUGUUUUUGUGAAAUACAUGAAAGUGAUUUCAACAAUGAGCUUCAGGGUUGAUGAAACAUUCUAAAGGAAGUCAUACCUGUAUGGUUGAGAUCUGAUUUGUAAAUCGAUCUCAGAGAUGAUGAAAUCUUCUCAAGAAAGUCUUGUAUGUACGGUUGGGAUUUGAUUUGUAAUUGGAUCCCAAAGAUGAGGAAAGCUUUUCAAGAAAGUCUUGUAUGUACGGUUGGGAUUCGAUUUGUGGAUCCCAAAAAAUGAGGAAAGCUUCUCAAGGAAGUCUUGUAUGUACGGUUGGGAUUUGAUUUGUGGAUCCCAAAAAAAUGAGGAAAACUUCUCAAGGAAGUCUUGUAUGUACGGUUGGGAUUUGAUUUGUGGAUCCCAAAAAAAUGAGGAAAACUUCUCAAGGAAGUCUUGUAUGUACGGCUGAGAUUUCUGCCGUUCAAAGUGAUGGUAGAAGUAAAUUUCUUAUAAAUCACGCAGUAUUUGGCAAAAGACAUCAUCAACUUCUUGCAUUUUCAAUACUCUCAAAGUUCUCAACUUUUGAAGCUUUAACCAUGUCUUCCUCUUCUUCCAAUGCUAACCCAAACCCUGUUCCUGCAGUAGAGCCUGCAGUUUGGCGUACUACCUUUGAAGUGAAUGGUCGUCCAGUUACAAUAGAGGAUACUGUAAUGGACAAUGAAGAUAUUGCUGUAGCUGUGGCUAGAGACAUGAUCCUUCCUCGUGAUGAAAUAAUGUUGGCAGCCAGGACCGAUAUUGAAGCAGUGAAUCAGUCACUUGCUCUCAGUAUCAGAGCUACCUCGUCUUUGGUGAACGUUGCAGAGCGUCUUCAUGCCAGAAGACUUGAGUUGAAUACUCAGGUUCUUGAUCUCCAUCAUCAGAUUGAGAAUUUAAGGAAUAGACUUCGUGAUGAGAGACGUCACAGAAACAACUUGGAGAGGAGAAACCAAGAGUUAAAUACACGUGUUGACUUUUGGAGGGACUAUGUUAACACACGACACCUCGAGUUCGAGGAAGAGAUGGAGCGCAUGCAUAAGCAAUUCGAGGAAUUCUGAGGCAUGAUUAACCAUCAAGAUGAAAAUAUCCCUGAUCGUCCUCGCACUGUUUAACAUUUGUACUUGUAAACCCCUUUUCUAUGAAUAAAAAUCCAUCUUUCUUGUCUUCAUUUAUGAAUUUUGCUUUUGUGGAAUUGCCAUAUUUGAUGUGAUUUACAAGAACUUCAAGUCAUGUGAGUCUCGUUGGAUCCCAGUGGGAACUUUGUUUCGUGAAAUAUCUGCAAAACAAAUAUGCAAUGAAAUAUAGGUUCCCCCCUCUUUGAUGCUUCAUCGUCAUGGGGUGGCUUUGUUUGCAUUCCAAAGCCUUCUUUGUUCUUUCGAUGCAUUGUUUGCAUUCCAAAGCCUUCUUUGUUCUUUCGAUGCAUUGGCUCAUUCAUGUGCUAGCCAUCCACUCAGCUGUAAAUGCAGUGCCCAUCUUGGGCUGUCCGUGAUGAUUACUACUCUCGCUGUUUAUCAAGCUUGACAAUGCCCCCAAGUGUAGUGUUGCUUGAUUUAUCAUGAAGAAGCUUAACAAAUCGUUCAUCUCCUGGAUUCUUUCAAGAAUUGUUCUCUGAUUGAUUGUGCGCAUCGUGCCAACACCCAUCAAGAUUGUCAAUCAGUUAUGAACUCGACUUCAGUUGAAACAUGCCCUUCAAGUAUAUGCGGUCAUCCACUUUCAUGGAACUAUCAUGUCAUUCAGACAUGCAUUUCAUACUUUGCAGUAAAAAACUCAUCUUUGUAUGCUCAGCUUCUUUCUCAAUAAGUUCUUCUCAGCUCAUCUAACCAGAUUGUGAAAAGAAAUGCCUCAACCUCAUCAAUGAUGUCGCUUUUAUCACCCAUACUCAUGUGGUGCAGUGCACAUUGACUUCAAAUCAGAUGGUCUCACGGUCAGUCUAGGUGGGUGCGGUGCAUUCUUCCAACAUUCAUGCAAAAGCGAUCAUGUGAUAACAUCUUUCAAUAGUCAUAGCCAUAUUGGAGAUGAUAAACCAAGAUGAAGAUAUGAAGAUGUCCUUCAGGUACAUCUUUGCUCUCAAUUGUUGUCGGGGUUUACUGGAUCAUAAACUGUUCUUGAACAUCAUUGCCCUUAAUUGAUCUGAAUGUGCUCAUUCACUGAUUAUCUUUCUUUGAACCAUAUUGUCCUCGGUUUAUUGAUUCAUCAUUUGAUCGUCUCUAUCCCCCAGCUGAUUUAAACACUGUUUGUUUUCCUUCUCGGAGGUCCAUUGUAUUGCCCCCAGGAGUGUCGAGGAGAAUUGAUGUCAUUUCUGUCAGGAAUUUGCAAACUUGGUUGAUGUUUUUCUUUUGAAAAUCUUUCUUAUUUUGGAAUCAAAUCUCACAUUUCAAAGGUCAUGUCUAUUCAAGUCUAAUUGUUGAAAUGAAAUCAGAGAGAUGUCAAUUUUUGAAAGUAUUUUUGGAAAUCAAGCUUUAUUGGUCAAAGAUCCAACACACGCUAUUCAAUGUAGUCCUUUGAUUGUCUUGUAUUUUGAGAGAAAAGAAAUUGACUCAUUGUAAGAUUAAAAUGGCUUUUCCAUGGUUCUUUGUAUCCAUUUUAAACUCUAAUUUUGGGUAUAUCUUUUGAUUGUCUGUAAUGAGGUGACCUGUCUGAAUUUCAAGAAAAACAAGGUACCCGAGUCAAAACUUGAGGCUUUAUCAGGAAAGAUUGUUUCUUUUUCUUAGCAACAAUUUUAUCAGCAUGCAUAAUAAUCAGUAGCUUGAUUCAUGAAGUCACGACCUGUAUGAACAACUCUUCAAGUUUUGAGAUCGUCAUUUAUCGGUUCAGAUUGCUUACUUGAUUAAAAAGGACUUUCUAAAGCACGUAAUGUAGGCUAUGGUUCAUGGCUAUGAAAGAAAGGAAUUUCACAAGCUCAAAAGGUGUUUGAGGGUUUCAAGAACCUAGGAUCACCAUCAAUUACUCAUCAAUCUCUUUUCCUCACGUUGUCUUUGUAGAGACAGUGACAUAUAACCUUGUUAAUCUCAAAAAUCAAAAUUUGUUUAACAUAGGUCAUAACGCAAAUCCAACUUUUCUUUGAUGAAUAGCCAAUCUAAUCUUUUGAAGAUCGUAAAGGCUUUAUCAUAGACACACCAAAAGACAUCACACUUGAUUUUUUUUCGGGUUAACUUUUGGCAUUUGUUGUGUCUUUAUCAAUCUUUGGCUUUCUUCUUCUAGCCAUUUCUCAAUCAUUGAACUUUUGUUCUAAGCCUUCCCUUUAUCCAUCGACUCUAACAUUGUCUUCGUCUUUUCUAGGAAAAGAUUCUCAUUGCCCCCAGUGUGGGUGUGAUCCUAGUCAGGGUUUUUUAUGAAAGAAAUAUUCUAUCAGCUCAAAAUGGGACUGCAAGGGAUAUAUAUUUCAAGAAUUGUGAAAGGAUGAAACAAAAAUGGCCUUUUCUCAUUUCAAGCAAGGUCGGUUAGAACCAAUAAAUUUUAACCUCAUCCAAUGUAAUGAUUUAGACUUGUACGAAUCAUAAUUCAUGAGUCCAUAACUACUGAAUCCACUACGUAUCAUUAUGCAUACUGCUAAAACUUAGCUACAUGGUGUAUGGUUCAAUUUCAUGUAUGAGCUCAAAAGUUUCUUGGUCACCUCAUGUCAUUUCAGUAAGCAUUGAGUCAUUGAAGCAACAUAAUUUGAAUCUUCAGGAUUGACUAAUCUUAAACGCAUGUUGGAGCUUGAUCAAAAUAUUUUGUAAAUAACCUUUGAAAGAAACAUCUCAUGCGUUCAGAACAACAAAGGGACAAAGAAAAGACAUGUUUUGUUAAAAGAUGAGAUGUGAUCCCAAAAUAAAAUGCAGAAUGACAAAACUCAUAACAAAAAGGAUCGACAGUUUAACACUCUUCUUGGAUCAGCUUUUCUGGCGAUAUCUGUGUUUUGCCAAGCAUUUCGAUCACUUGUCAAUUUGAGGAUGUUGAGGUGACAAUAUGGCCGAUGACGUCAUUUUGCACAAACUCAACUUGAUUCUUGAAAUUCUUGCAACUGUUCAACUGAAUGGCACAAAAUCCCCCAAUGAUAUUCAUGUAUCUUUUACUAAGGGAUGAGGGCUCAAAGGCGCACUCAAAGGGAGUUGAGGGCUCAAAGGCGAACUCAAAAUGGAGGUGAGGGCUCAAAGGCGCACUCAAAAGGAGAUGAGGGCUCAAAGGCGUACUCAAAAGGAGUUGAGGGCUCAAAGGCGCACUCAAAAUGGAGGUAGGGUUAGAAAACGCACUACCUAAGGGAUGAGGGCUCAAAGGCGUACUCAAAAGGAGUUGAGGGCUCAAAGGCGCACUCAAAAGGAGGUAGGGUUAGAAAACACACUACCAAAAGGAUGAGGGCUCAAAGGCACACUCAAAAUGGAGGUGAGGGCUUAAAGGCGCACUCAAAAGGAGUUGAGGGCUCAAAGGCGCACUCAAAAGGAGUUGAAUUGGCAGAGUCAGGGCAAUAAGUCCGGAGUCUAAUAGAUGAUGGUGGACAAACUCGAGUGGUCGAGGUAUGUCAAUCUUAGCAAAGACAUUUGAGCAAUUGAUGUUACAGUGAGACCUGGUUGGACCACAUAAUUAAGGCUUCCCAUCGUUAGAGGCAUCCUUUGAUUCAUCUCUCAUUAUUGUUCUAGAAUUCUUGGUAGAAUCUUCAAUCAUUCCCCUCUUCAUAGCUUGUUCAAAUCUUUCAACAAUCCUCACAACAUCAUAUCAAUCUUUCCAAUGUUGUUGUGGUUGUUUGUGGAUUGGUAGAAACUUUCCAACAGCCAGGCAAUCUUGGUAGCGCAUAGAAACAUGCAGCACCACCACUGCCGACGUGUGGAAUCAUGCGUUGUCUCAACUGGAAGAGAAACUGAUGAAUCUGAAAACCCUUUUGUCUCCUCUUUGAUUCCUCACUGGCAGUGCAACAAACAAACACCUAUAGUGGGAAUUCUGCUCUGUUAAAGUUUCAAUGUCUGCUCUUGUUUUUCUCAGAGCAGCAUCCGAUACUGCUGGAUCGGAAUGGUGUUCACAAGAGAUGUCUGGAAAGAAAGCCAAUGCACCAGGAACAGAAAGCUAGCAACUGUUAUGUGCCCUUGGAAUAUGUGAAGGCUUUGAAUGACUAUCAGUGCAGUUGAACGAGAACAAGGGUUGUCGUCAUUAAUUGUGACUGAAGGCAUUACUGUCAUUGUUCAUUGUUCAUGAUGAAAAAGGAGAGGUGCAACUUCAAUGGAACUUAUUCAAACAGAUUUAUGAGUCUGUACAGACGUUCCCUUUCCACUCUUGAAGCUCAACACUUAUUCAAACAGAUUUAUGAGUCGAGUAGACCUCAGCAGGUGGGGGAACUUAUGUUUCAACCGUGUGCAUGCUUGAUAAAUGAAUGAAAUGCACAAAUGGAUGCAAAAUGCCAUAUGUUUUAUGCAUGCUUGUUAUUUGUUUCAAGGUUUCCUUAUGACGAGGAAUAGACCAGAUCAGAUUCUCUUAAGAAAGUUCUCACUGAGGACUCCAAACCUACAGGAACUUGAACCGAUUUAGGGGAGAAAUUUGAUGCCAUAAAUCAGAAUAAACAUUUCUCAUAACAAAAAGAUGAUGAAAUUGUCUUUUAUUAAUUCAUAAUAUUAAAAGUGCAACAAGUCAAUCUUUCCAAAGCCUUGGACCGUCGUAUGCUGAGAUCUCAUUAAUUCCAUCUCUGAUCAACCCAAAAAACUGAUGGAAUUCAUUUCUGGUCAUUGGCUCACCAUCUGCUAUUUGUUGGGCUAGGCCUCGUAAUCCUAAAGCAUAAUUCUUGGCAUCAUCUGCUUGUACAUGAUAGCGCAUAGCUUCAGAAGCCCAACAUUCUGCUUCUUUUUCUGCCUUUUCUUUUUCUGAUGAUAAAGUUUGCUCAAUAAAAAGCAAAUGGUCUAAAUGCUCAUCUAAAUUGGCAAUUAUUACAUCUUGCUUUUGAUGUUGCUCCUGAAGUGAUUUAUUUGUCUCUUCCAACUUUAAUACCAUUUCCUCAGCUUUCGAUGCUCUUCUAACCCAUCUCUUCAUGUUGACAUCUUGCUUCGUCUUAUCUUCUGACAAAAGUACAUAUUUUUCUUGUAAUUGCUGGAAAUCAAGUUGUUGAUGUUGUAGCUGAGCUGACAAGUCAUCAUUUUCCUGUUUUAUGAUAACCAAAGCUUUUUCUCGAGUGGCUAGAUUAGAUUCUAACUUUCUUUUUUUAGCCCCUAACUCUUCCACUUCAGCAUUCAAACUUAGGUUAUAAGAUUCUUGUUGGGCGCGAACUUCUUCGUGUAUGUCUUCAGCAGACUGAAUCAAAGACCUGGGUGGUCCUUCAAAAGGAGGAACUUUGUACCCUUUCCCUCUCUUCUUUUGCCAUAUUGGAUAUCCUUCAGUUGUUUUUCCUUCUACUCUCUUAGCAGAAGUAACCCUACCAGGAUGUUUCCAUGCCUUCUUCACUGACUCCAAGAAUUUCUUUGAGGUCUUGAAAUCUUCAUAAAAUGUUGCCAGUUUAGUAGUCCUUGGAAUAAACUGCUCAAAUCCAAACUGUCGUAAAACCAGGUUAGGACAGUAACUAAUACAGCAGCGGGCUCCAAUCAACGGGACCCAUGGGUACUCACCACAAUACGCCAGAUAAGAUUUGAAAUAAGCAUAUCGACUUCUCCAAUGAAAUUGAGAUUUACUUAGACUUAGGAACAUUGAUUCCCAUGUGGUUUUUCCUACUUCAUGCAAGUGUUUUUCAGCAAAAUUCUCCAGCUGAGAAUAAAGAUGCCACGGGGUACCAACCAAACCUGAAAUCUUCCCCUCAAUCAUAUGACUCACAGUCCAGACAAACAAUAACUGCAAGCAACAUCUUAAACGACCCCUUCCAGCUUUUCUGCAAUAAUUCAAGGAUGAGAAAGUUUCUGCCAAUAUUGCUGUAGCAGGGUUAAUUUUAAGGGUCACCACAUUUGUGAAUACAUUAACAGCUUCAAAAUCAAUCAUUCCUUCGGCAGAUGGGAAAAGAACCAAACCAUAUAUGCCUAAGGCCAAAAUUCUCAAUCGAAUUUCAUUGCUUUCAUCAUGUAAUCUCUUCUUGAAUAUGGCUUCUAGCUCAUUCCAAAACCAACCCUGGCUAUUUCCUCGUUUAGUUGCAUGUGAUUUUGCUAGUUGACAGUCUGUCUGGGUAAUCCAAGCAAAGUUAGAAAGUGCAUGCUCUAUAGGUGUGUAAAAGUACACCUUUUCUGACUUGGGACAAUUUAGCAGGGAUUCAUACUCCUCGAUAGUAGGAGUCAUAUCCACAGUAUCAAAUGUGAAGCACCGAUAUUCUGGAUCCCAAAACCCUAUCAUGGCCUGAAAACAAGCAUGUUGGACCCUAAUUUUCAGUAAAUGUGAUAGAUCCCCAUAUUGUUUCUGAAAAGUGAUUUGAUCAUGAGAGGAUAACUUUUCCCAGCAGUCUAGCAGUUGUCCUGUACCAAGUGGUCUGUCAUCUAAUUUAACAUGCUCUGGCAACUGAGACUUAAAUUCUGAUGGCAAACAAUCCCCUUCAUCAUGCUGGCUCAAUUCUGAUCUGGUCAAAAAUUCCUCAAUGGUAAUGGAUUUUUCCAUCUCACACUUCCUGUAAGGAUCGGUGGAGACUUAAUGAGCAUAUGAAAUGUAUAUGAACAUGUAUGUUCAUGCAUUGACAUUUGUUCGUGUCCUAAUGGGUAUAUCCUACUUGAUAGGAUCUAGCUCAUAAGGUUUGGCUCAGUUUAGUCUAUCCUUAAAGAUAUUCUCCGGUUCUUAGAUUGCCCGAAUUACUCGUGAAGUAAUCGGCCUCUUAACCUUAUACAACAUGAGUAGGGGAGAAAGACUCCACAGUACUAGUUGCAUAGGGUGAGUUACAAUCCAAGCAAAAGUCCAAAUGAGCAUCAGUGGACAUAAGUCACACUUGCCACUUGAAUCUCUCUUUUCUAAUCUUAAAAAGGACGAGCUCGGGUCCAGAGCUUUUAUGGGUUCACAGUGAAGUGUGUGAAUACACAAAUAAUAAUAUAUAUGUAUGUGAUGAAAUGAAAAAUUGAAAAGAAUCAUAGUAGAUAUUGCAUAAAAUAAAUAAUGCAAAUAAAAUAAGUGCCCAAAAAUAAAUAGCGAUAAGAAAGAGCAAAUGAAAAGCAAACACAAGCAGUUGGCUCAACCCUAAGUCCCCAGUGGAGUCGCCAUUCUGUCGAUACACGACGUCGGGCGACGGCUCCCGCUUUUUUGUUUAUUUAACAAAAAGGGUUUUUUCUCGAUUGGGGGAAACAAAGAUUUUAUUGGAGUCGCCAUCUAGUAAUUUGGGGGAAACAAAGAUUUUAUUGGAGUCGCCAUCUAGUAAUUUGAGGGAACUAGAAAUCCCAAAUUAGACACUGGUCCCAGAGAUUCGGGUACGGGGUUAGUUAUGAUUAAGGGAAGGUAGACACCACCCUUAAAACAUCCUUUCAAAAGAAAGGUUACCCUUACUUGUGUGUUUUUAUUUGAUUCAAAUGCGAUUAUAUUUUGGGCUUAUUUGUAAAUUUUUGUAAAUGAUUAACGUCGGUCCCUAAAAAUAGGAGACACGUUAAAAAUGACAUCAGUCCCUAAAAAUUGGAGACUCGUCUGAGUUACCAAAAGAAAUAAUGGAUAUAAUCCAUUAUAUUUUGGGUUUAUUGGUAAUUUGUUUUUUUAAAUGGUUAACGUCGGUCCCUAAAAAUAGGAGACACGUUAAAAUGACAUCAGUCCCUAAAAAUUAGGAGACUUGUCUAAAAUAUGACGUUUCAACCCUAAAAAGGAGAAUUACGUCUGGGUUACCAAAAACAAUAAUGGACAUAAGCCAUAUUUGGUAUUUACAUUUUUUUGACAUCGGUCCUUUUAAAAAAAAGAGACGUGUCGGCUUUGGUUUUUGUAUUGUUUACAAUAUGCAAGAAAAUUUACAAGCAUUUAUAUAUAAAAAAUAUCAAAAAUACCAGUAGAAACUCCGAAAAAUUACCUGAGUGCCACUGUAUAGGUAAAAGACUGAAAUACCCUCAGGUUUCUCCAAAAUUUACAAAAAUGCCACUGGCGGCGCGUGUAGCACACGCGCGGCUACUGUUGGCGGCGGGGAGAUUUUCCGGCGCGAUUUCUGGCCAACCGAUGGUCGAUCCUGGUAGAUCUGAUGUCGAGGAUUCUUAUGGUGGUGGUCUUGACGGCCGUUGAUGGCUGAUGAGCGAGAAUCGACGACUUGAAGCUUCGGUGGCAGCCGACGAUCGCGGCCCGUUUCCGGCCAAAUAGAGCGGCGAAAACGCUGAAAUCGGCCGGGGUUUUGCUUUAUAUGAGGAAGGCGACCUUUCUGUGGUGGUUUUCAAGCUUGCAGUGGCCGGAUAUGGGAGAUCGGAGGAGAGAGAGGGAGUCGCCGGCGAGAGGAGAGAGGUGCUCUGGGUUAUGCUAUGGUGAGAACGCAAACACGGUACACCAGUGCUGUUGAUGCUUGUGAUCCGUAGGAUCUCUGAUGGAAAUAUCGUGCGGCUGUGAUUGGCCCGAUCUGCAGGUUGAUCGGACGGUCCGGAUGAGCGGAGCUUUGAUCUGGUGUGGCGCGGUGCACCAAAUCUCGGUACACCGGAUGACGUGGCGCAACGGGAUCAAAUCUUGGAAUAUUUCAAAGGCUGAGAUGUGUUUGGGUUUUAAUCUAGUGUGGUAAGCCCUAUUGUAUCCUAUUAAAUCAACGGUUCAGAUCUAAACACUAUUAGAUCUAACGGUUAGGAUAUAUUUGGUAUUUUUCAUAUUGUUUUUAAUAAAAAUCAAUAUCCUACCCUCGUGAAGAAAUAGUAAAAAAAACCUGAAUAGUAAACUCUUCUUUUUUUUCUUCUCCUUUUUUUUCUCUUUUUUUUUCCUCUGGCGCACUGUUGGCUAUUUAUAGCAGGGGACAGCAAGCAUCGGCUUUAAAUUAAAAAAUGUAUCCAUCCAACUGCUCGCCUACAAUGUAACUGCCCCGCCUAAUAUGACAAUUCUGUAUUAUUAAUUUUGUUUUAUUAUAUAUAAUAAUAUAUAUUUAUAUAGGUAAAAUUAAAACUUAAAUCAGUAUUAGAAAAAGCCUGAUUCAACUGCUAAAAAUCAAUUUUAAUUACCGAAAAUUAUGUUGAAACAUAAAAAAAAAACUUUCAAUGGAUAUAAACCCGGUGGACCGGGUUUUGACCAAAAAAUAACAGGUUUGACCCAAAACGGCAUGAAACUCAUUUUUUAUCCUGGUCGACAUGGUUUGACCCGUAUUGACCCGGUGAACUCGGUUUUGGUCAAAAAUGACGGUUUUGACCCGAAACGGCCCGAAACUCAUUUUUUACCCUGGUCGACAUGGUUUGACCCGUAUUGACCUGGUGAACUCGGUUUUGGUCAAAAAUAACGGUUUUGACCCGAAACGGCCCGAAACUCAUUUUUUACCCUGGUCGACAUGGUUUGACCCGUAUUGACCUGGUGGACUCGGUUUUGACGGAAAGAUGCGGUUGACUCAAGAAAAAUAUUUUUUUGAAUUUUCCUUUUUCUUAAUUUUUUUGGAUUUUUAUAAAUAAUAAUAGAAAUAAAAUAACAUUUGAGAAAAUCUUGGUGGAUCCAAAAUUGGGUUACAACAUGCGUGGUCACCAAGAAUAAAUCUAUGAGGGCGAUAAGGCUCAAAACAGACAAUAUGUUGCAGGUUGGGUCAAGUUAUGACAUAUUCAAUAAUUACUCUUCAAUUAAAUCCUAAAUCUCAUUUCAUCUUUUCAAUUUAAUCCCUAAUUUGACACCAACUCUUCAAUUAGACCCCAAACCUCAUCCCACCUGAGGAAAGCCCUCUUCAUUCAAUUUAGCCCCUUAUUAUCUUCAAUUUAAUAUUGAAUUUUAUUCGAUCCAAGCCCAAAAAAGGCUAAGCGAAGAUAGAAUAAAGGAAGGGAAAGAAAAUGAAUAAUUGCCCAAUCGAGCUAACGUGUUCUGGUCUUUUUUCCAUGAUUCGGGGUGAACAUUUGACAUUUAUCCUUUUUUUCUAUAGUCUUUUCUCCAUGUUUGUUGUGACGCCGCACACGUGCGACAACCAGUAAAUCUAUAGUUAAUUUCAUUUUUUGAUAAAAGAUAAUACCAUCGGUAUAGAAUGGUUACCAACUGUUACUUUAAUAUGCCUUGUAGCCAAUCAGUUAGUUACACGAGGCAUUAUUAUAUUCAUGUAAAUACAUAUUUAUUAUUAAUAAAGGCUUAAUUUAACUUUAAUAUUCAUAUAAUAUUAUAUUAAUGAAUCUAGAGUAUAGAUAAAGUUUAUUAGAUAAAAAUGCUUUGCAAAUAAAAUUAUAAAGUUGUUAUAAUUAUGAGAUUUUUAAUGCAUCAAAGUAUUGCUCAUAAAAUGUUUUUGGUCGAUGUUGUCUUAAAUACUAGAUAUUUAUUAGAGCCAUAAAGACUAAUACAUAUUAUGUUUUUUCCUUUAUGAAAUGAAGCAGUUGUUCUCAUAAGUUGAGUUAUAAGGGAUACCUAAAACUAAUAUGUAUGUGCUUGCCAUAAAACAUAUACACUAAAUUGACCCGCAUGAAAAUUCCAUAUGGAGAGAUCAUAUAUGUCUAUAGAAAGACUCGCAUGACAGUUGUAUAUGUAAUCCUUAGACUUGAGAUCACUAAGUUAUCUUAUAUAGAGAUUGUUAUGCUUUCAUCUUGUUACAUGUUAUCUUAAUUGAGAUAACAAAAUGAUAAGCAUUGAGUAUAUCAUGAACUAUAUGAAGGUUUUCUUGAGUGAUUAAGAGAGGAUUUCAUCACCCUAUGUGAAUUAGAAAAAAUGUUCCAUCUGUUCUCAAAUAGUAUUGACUGAGAAAUCCUUAGCCAAGGUGGAAUGAGAUUUAAAAGGGGUUUCAAAUCUUAUUCAAAUGAUCAAUUACUAUUAUGUAGAGAAUGAACAUGAUUUAACAUGACAAACAUGCUUCAUACUUUAAUGUUAAAUGUUGCUACCCAAUUUUUGACCCAUGUUUUGAUAAAUUUUCAGAAAAAUUCAAAAAUAGCAAAAAACAUUGAAAAUCCAAAAAAAUACAUUUUUAAUACAUUUGCAUCGUUUUUAGCAUUUUUAGCAUCGUCUCAAAAGAAUUUAAAUUUUCAAAGAUGUUUGGAACGUGUUCAACUUUUAACGCAUUAUUUUUAAAAGCAUUGAUUUUCCUCAUUGAGUCGAUGUUGAUAUUGCUCGUUUUCAAAAAAUACAAAAAAAAUAAGAAAAAUCAAAAUUUACAAGAAAAAGAAGUUGAGGGACCAAAUUUUGAGGCCCAAGCUACAUUUUACCUAUAAAUAGUAGCCUUCAACACACACAAAAAAGGGGGGCAAUUUUGAAAAAAAAAAAGAGGAGAAAACCUAACCCUAAACCUAUCUACCCAAAGAGCCGCCCCCCACCCGGCUGGAUUUUUUUUGCUCUCCGAAACCAGCCGUUCAAGUCCUUUCCCUCCUCCACAUCGUCUCCAACUCCUUCUCCCUCAGCCACACACACGACAGAAACCAGAGCUCCCCUUCUCCUCUCCCAGCCGCCACUUGUACUUUCCCCUCUCUCAGCCGAUCCCUCAUCUCCUUUUCCCUACAAACCAGAACGCCGACCCCCCCCAGCCGUUCUCUCACCCUAGACAACCCCCAACAACAGCCGCCACCCUCACAGACCCGGCGACUCCUAGCUUCUCUUCAAUCGGCCACAAACCCAUGAUCGCCCUAUCAGCCACCGUGAACAGCCGCCUCCAGCAUUUCCUUUCCUCAGCACCAGCACCAGCACCGAUCUGUCCAUUCCUCCGCCUCAACACCGCCAGCAAGCUUAUCUCCACCGCGACUUCAGCGACCACGGACGACAGCCACCAGAUCAGAGGAAGGAGAAGACCGAGAACCAGCUGACUACCGCUGCCACCAACAUGAGUGAAGACCGUCAACGCAGCGACCACCACCGAAAGCUCCCCCCACAACCGCCGGCCAUCUAAAACAGAAGAAGAGGAAACAAAAACAACAUGCAGAGAGGAGCAGAUCUGAAAAUGAGAAGGGAGAGAAGCAGAUCUAGACUAAAAUGGAUUGAAAUCGACUGUUUGUUGGGUUUUUUGUUCUUUUGCAGGUGACGGUGGGUGUCACCACCGGCAGAGAAGGGAAAAGGAAAGGAAGCUGAGCCAGACCCCCCCUGUUUUCUGGCCUUUCUCGCGGCGGCGCGUGAACCCACGCUCCGCCAGUGGCGGUGGCGCCUGGGAAGACGCGUCGCCACUGUUCAUGCUGUUCCAGAAGGGCUUCCCAGCACUGUUAUGGAGUUUUGAGGGGUUAUUUUGUAAUUUUCAAAUUUUUAAUGUAAUUUUUUUGUUUAGUUUUGAAUUUUUAUUAUUUGUAGUGUUGAUGUAAAAAAAAAAAAACAAAGAAAAGAAAAGAAAAAAAAUAUAGUGAAAGUGUAUGUGUGUGUUUGUAUUUGCUUUAUGAGUGUUUUAUUUUAUUUUAUUAUGUAUGAUAAAAUUGCAAAGAUUAAAGAAGAAUUUAAUAUUUUGAUUUGCUCACGGUCCAGAAUUAUUAACUUAUACGUAAGUUGUAUUUCUAAUAUCCGAUGAAAAGACAAAAUUUUUAAAACUUCUUUAACACAUCAAAGUCACGAAGCAGCUUACCUCAGGUAGGGUGCGUUAGGGGUGCUAAUACCUUCCCUAACCACAACCAGUCCCUUACCCGCGAAUCUCUGACAAGACCAGUACAUCCGGUUUCCUAGUAGCCUUCAAUAAAUUACUAGGUGGCGACUCCAACGAACCAAUUCAAGCAAACGACAACGAAAAGAUCGCCAGCCGAUGCCGCACGGAUUUUCUGAUGUGCGACAUUAAAUAAGAACAUUAGUGAUAGAAUGAUAUUAAUUACAAUGAGAAACCAGUAAUAGAAGCCAGUAAUUGAAACCACUAAUGACUUUUCUAAUAUUUAGGGGAUCAUGACACGUUACUAAACAAUGCACAUGAUCUUCAAAUUUUCAAUUUUAAUUUAUUUAAUUAUAAUUAUAAUUAUAAUUUAUAUUUGGGUCAAUAUAUUAGGAACCUAAUAGGUCAUACACAUUAAGAAUUUAAACUGUGAUGAUUUAAUUAAGUAUAACUUGAUUAAAAUAUAUUUUAGAAAUUAAGGACUAUAAUAUAAUUAAUACAAGGAUUAUGUUUCCAGAUCUAGAAAAAUCAGGUAAGGACUUGAUUGAGUUAAUUUAUAAAAUUAUCUUAAAUUAAUAUAUGAAUAUUAUUCAAGGGGGAAAAUUAAUAUUUUGUCAAUUUAUAGGGUUUUUCAUAUUUUCUUAUAAAUAGUAAGUUAUGCCUCUUAUUUUUUAGGAGUUAUCUGUUAGAAAGAAAAACUACGUAUGUUACAGAAUAAAGAGAUAACACUUUAUACAUAACAAUCCCUCUCUUCUAAAUAGAGACUUGAGAGAUUUUUUACUAGUAGUUCAUGUGGAUUACUGUUAAAGAACGAACAAUUGAACGACUUCUAAUUUGCAAUAACUCAGUCUUUAAAAAAUUAUUCAAAACCGAAGAUAAUCAAAUCUUCAGGUGAUAAAUCCCUAAAUAACUCUAAAUUAUUUUAUUGUUUCAGCUGCGUAUAUGCUAUUCGGCAAACCCAACACCAACUUCACCACGGGUUUAACAUUUCUUUUACAUGUUGGGAAUUUGGUACUAAUGGGUGUAUUUUCUUAAGUUGAAAUAAUGUCACACAAUGCAGGUUCAAGUGGGUUCAUGAAUCAAAUAGUGGUUGUUAUUUGACACCGCAAUUGGAUGGCUUGGAGUUCGCCGGAACUUGGGCAUACCAUUUUUGAAUAAAUAACAAGGUAAAAACAUCUUUUAAUGAUAUGAAAUCAUUUAUUCAUUUAAAGGUAUCAACAUUGUCAUUUAUAGUGAAACAUUUAAUUUUACUACAUUGAGAAUACGUUGACCAAUAGAAUCCCCGCCUUCAGCCAACCCCAAAUUUGUCUAUCAUCGUGUAAUAUUGAUCAUUACAUUAUGCGCUUUCCAGCUAAUGAUAGGAUUUUAAGGACAACAUUAUUAAAUUGACAUCCAACCGACCAUUAUGGCUGUCAUAGAAUAGCAAUGGCCAUCCUUUGGCCAUCAUGCCAUAAAAGCCUCAUUUGGAGCCAAUUCCUCUCUCUCUCUUGCCACUAUUAGCUUCCAACCAUUCUUCGCGUUUCACUUUUCUUCAAAUGUUUUCACCAAAAUUGUUGCUCAUAAAGUCGAGAUCCAAGGGAUUAUUUAAGAUUUUAUGGAAAGUACGUAUUUCAAAUAUUUUAUGUUUAUUUUUCUGAAAUAUUGUUUGAAGAAAAAAAAAAUUUAAUUUUUUCAAAAUCAUUUUUAAAACACAAAAAUAAAUAGAGUUUGUUUUUUAUUUUUUAAAGUAUUGUUUUUUAAAAAUAAUUUUUGUAUUCUAAAUUAAUUUUUUUAUUUUUAUAUUAAUAUUAAAAAUAAUUUUUAAAAAAUAAAAAAAUAUUAUUUUAAUAUAUUUUUAAAUAAAAAAAUAUUUUAAAAAACAUCUACUUAAAAAAUAUUAUUUUUCAAAAAUAAUACUUUUCUCUAUAUUUUGAGUUUUAGUUUUUAAUAGCUAUGGCUUGUUUGAUUUUUUAUUUUUAUUUUUUUCAUGCUCUUGCAAAUAAGGCACGAAAAAAGUACUCGAAAUCACGGUGUAAAUAAGAAGAGAAAUAACAUGUUUGUUUUUUAUUUUUUAAAUUAAAUUUUUGUAUUUUUAUAUUAAUAUUAUAAAUAAUUUUUUAAAAAUAAAAAAAUUAUUUUAUAAUAACAUGGAGAUAAAGAUAAUCUCAAAAGCUAAUAGAUGGUCACCACGUGUUCAACUAGGAAAGGAUAGAAAGAGGGAGAGAGAAAGGUCAAAAAGGCUUUAAAAAAAAAAGAAAAGGAAAGACACGGUUGAGAUAAGAGGGACGUGGAUAUAGAAGCAGAAACGGAAGGAGACAUAAGCCCUGUUUGUUUGCUGGAAAGUAGUUUUUUUUUGGAAAGUGAAUUCCGGGAAAGUAUUUUCCGAUGUUUGGUAGUGUAAUGGAAAAUAAGUUGGAAAACACUUUCCAGUGUUUGGUUAUGUCAUGGAAAAUGAGCUGGAAAAUAACUUAUUAAUGUUUUAUUUUUCUCAAGUUUAUUAAAAUAAUGAGGAACAAAUCUUACAAAUUAAAAAGUUGAAUGAGAAUGAAAUUGAAAAAAAAUAUAAUUUCAUAAAUUAUCUCAAAUAAAAUAAAUAAUAAUCAAAAUAAUAGAGAUCAAAUCUAAAAAAUUAAAAAAAAAAUUAAAGGUGAAGAAAUUAAAAUAAUAAUAAUUAACAUUUCAUAAAUUAUUUCAAAUAAAAUAAGUAACAAUCAAAAGAAUGAGGACCAAAUUUGAUAGAUAAAAAAUUUCAAUAAAAAAUGAUAAGGAAAAAGCAAAUAACAAUUAUAAAAAUAAGGACCAAAAUUAAUAUAAAAAUUAAAUUUUAAGAGAUGGAAUUGAAAAAUAAAUAUUCAAAACAAAUUAUAUAUAGCAAUCAAAAGUUUGAGGAUCAAAUUUGAUAUAAUCAGCAAAUAAUGACAUUUCUAAAUUUUUCACAACUUCUGGAAAGUGUUUUCCGCCCAAAUUUUCCAGGAAAACACUUUCCUGAAAACCAAGCCAAAUUUUCCUUUGACUGGAAAGUGUUUUCCGUUGACCAACUUUUCUAAUGGCAAACAAACACAGGAAAGUUUGGAAAGUGGUUUCCCGGAAAUCACUUUCCGGGAAACAAACACAGCCAAAAGGGAAAACACUUUCCUGAAAACCAAACCAAAUUCGAAAAGUGUUUCCAUUGACUAGAAAGUGUUUUUCGUUGACCGAAAAGUGUUUCCGUUGACUGGAAAGUGGUUUCCGUUUACCAACUUUCCUAAUGGCAAACAAACACAGGAAAGUUUGGAAAGUAGUUUCCCGGAAAGUGAAUUCCGGAAAACAAACAUGGCCAUAGAAAGAUCAGAGGAGAGUAAGAAAAAAAAAUGAAUAUGUGAUGUCCUAUUUCUGAUAAAAAAUACUUUGUUUUGUUUUUUUUCUCUUUUAUUUGGAAUUUCUUUAGACACUUUAAUAAUAUAAUAACAAAAUUUUUUUUUUCUUUAUUUAUAUUUUGAGUUUUAGUUUUUAAUAGCCAUGCUCCUUUGAUUUUUUAAAAUCAUUUUUUUCAUACUCUUGCAAACACGGCAGAAGAGGAGGACCUGAAAUCACGACAGUGAAUAAGGAGAGAAAUAAGCAUGUUGGUUUUUUUAUUUUUUAAAGUACUUAAAAAAUAUUUUUUUUAUUUUUAUAUUGAUAUUAAAAAUAAUUUUAAAAAAAUAAAAAAAUAUUAUUUUAAUAUAUUUUUAAAUAAAAAAUAUAAAAAAAAACUACUUUAAAAACCUUAAAACCACGGCAUGAUAAAAGGAGAAAGAAAGGAAUAGGACAAAGGAAGAAAGUGAAUUGGACACAGGAAGAAAGUAAGGUCACGUAGGGGGGCCAGUAUCGUAGAUAAUAGGAGAUGAAAAUUAGUAUGAAAAAGAGGAUGAUAGAGUGGUUGUCCGAAUCAUUGUGGUUUUUAUAAUUAUAUUUAAUUUAUAGAAAUAUUAAAUUAAUAUAUUCUUAGUAUUUUAUAUGAUUUAAAAAAUAUGUGUAUAAAAAAAUAUUUUAAUAUAUUUUUAAAUAAAAAAUAUUUUUAAAAGUAUAUGUCACAGUACCAAAUUAUAUUAUAAAUUAAAAAAAUGGGGUUUUAUGUUCAUUAGUACUUACUUAGAGUCAUUUAAUUGUGGACAAAAUGGUGUAUUCUUUUGAAAAUUUUCAAUUUUAUACUUGAAUUUGUUUUCCACAAUUGAUCCUUUUUAAUUAAAAUUAGAGUUCAAUUGCAUAUUUUUUUAAAGAUAAAAGUUGAAUUAAAAAUAGAUAAAAGUUGAAUUAAAAGAAAGGGGACUAGUUAAGUGAAAAACUCAGCCAAAAUAGGUAGCGGCUCUAUAAUUUGUUGGCAAAGUUUAUUUUAGUUUUUCAUCUUUUUAAGUUAUUAAAUAAAAAGUCCCUAUAAUUUUCCAACAUUGCAUUUUGAAUUUUUUUAUUGAUACUUUUUUAUAUAUAUUUUUAAAAAUAAUUUUAAAAAUGAUGUUUUCAUUAAUACCCAUUUUCUAUGAUUUUUUUUGGCUUUAUGUAGUCUUUCUUCAAUUAUUUUUAAUUUUGCUAGAUGUGUUUAAUUUUUUAAGAGGUUAGUAUAAUUUAUCUGUAAAUAUUUUUUGUACAUUUCAAAUAGAUUAAGUAUUUAAUUUUUAUAAUAUUUUGAAUAUGUGUAGCCUUAUAUAGUUUUUUUUUAUGAUAUUAAAAAAAUAUGUGUAUUGAUUUCUAUUAUAAAUUAAUUUUAAUAAAUAAAUUUAUUAAAUAUAACCAGAUAAAUCAUUCAUGUAAUAUUAAAUACUUAAUCUAUAUUUAUCCCUCAAUUUUCUAGGCAAGCAAAAGGAGCUAAACUUAUUCCCGACUAAAACGUCAAGAAUUUCAGGAGAACAAAAGAAGAGAUUAUUACUUGACCAAAAACAAUUAGUCCGCGUCCAAAGAAACCGAGUGAAUGAGAGAAAAAAGACUAUAUAUUAGCUAGAAAACAAUCAACAGAACCAAGAACUUUCGGUAUGGUUUCCAAGAAAAAUGAAAUGAAACGAGCAGCACAACCCUCUUUCCCCUCUAAGAAAAAGAAAAAGAAGGGAAAGAAACAAAGAAGUUCGAGGAAGUGGGCAGCCUUUGUUCUGCUGUUCACACAGACUAAGAACUCCUCAAAUUGUAAAAUCAUAUAAUUAAAACACAACAAUAAAAAUGUAAUAAGCAGCUGAUUAAUGCUAUUGUUCUUUCUUCUUGUUUUGCUAUUUUGAUUUUAUCAUAUUUUCUUAAGAAAUUAUGAUUGUGAAAGCUAGCCAAACUAUUAGAUCCAAGCAAUCUAAGAUAAAAACUAGCGUACUUGCGUCCUGUUGUCGCAAGUACUUUUUAUAAUUAACUUUUUGUAAUAUUUUUUUAUUUAAUUAUACAAUAAAUUCAUAGAAAAAACUACAAGAGGAAAAUAUAUAUUUCAUCAAAAUUGUGUAAUCUGAUUCAUGUAUUUUUCUUAACAAAAAAAAAAGAUUUUGAUGAUAUAAAAAGUAAAAAAAAUAAAUAGAAAAUGAAGACAUGGAGAGUGGCGGGCGGGCAUUAUUGUGUUAUUUUUGAAUCCGACUCCCAUAUAUAAUGAAAGUAAGAACGUUCAUUCCUUUAUAAACAUUGACUUUGAUUUUUCCUUUAUAAAACCAUAAACCUGCAAGUCCUACAAAUCAACAUGAAGACUUAUCAGAUCCUAAUGAAAAGCUGUCAAAAUCCUAUCAGAAAUUAAGGAAGAUGACGUUAACUUCAAAUCUGAGGAUUAAUUGUAGCAGAUCUUAUAGCGUUCAGCUGAUUGCUUUACUUGUUUAAAUAAUUCUCUUGUAAGCCUAAUGGUUCACGUCUUCCAUCAUUGCAACCUUUUUUUCUGUGAUUGAAAAAUCUAUAAUAGGAACCUGCACUGCAUCCCUUCUAUGCUGUUGUUCUUUCUUCUUGUUUUGCUAUUUUGAUUUUAUCAUAUUUUCUAUGAUGAAAGUUGAAGAAAUUCUACUUCGAAACUAAAGACAAAGUCUCUCGGACUGCAUAUUAGUGGGUUGCUCAUUGGGAUUUCUAUAAACAACUGAUUCUAUUGCAAAGCAACACCACGAAAAACUGAAUAUUUCACACAUAGUCUAAUAAAAGUAGAUUCCAUUGUCAAUUCCUUAACAUUUUCCAAACAAAUCCAUGCUCCUCAUUUUAUACUUUCUUGAGGGUUUCUAUUCUCUUAUUACCAAUUUCAGUGAGUUUCAUAAUAAGCUGCUUAGAAAGAAGCUAUCUAACAGGAGGGUGGGGCUACUCUUAGCCAAUGAAAACAGCUUCACAUGCUAUACAGCAACGUGAAAAAAAGAUUCUCAGCCUGUUCUCUCUUUAAUGAACACCCUCUUGGAUUCUCUAGCAUUAGCCAACAAGGUAUCUGCUUGGAAUUACUAAUUCCACCGACCUGAAAAAGAACGUCCAACCUAUUUAAUAUACUUAAUAAAGUUCUAUUUUAUAAUCCUAUAUAUUUUUUAACUGAACUACUUAUUUUUCUCAAAAACCCAAAAAGUAAACGAUUUUCCAGAAAUCUAAUUCAUAAUAAAACAAAUAAUGAGACUUGAUAUUAAUGCAUUAAAUAACCAUCAAUUAUUCAUCAAACCAAUCUGAAAAAUCUAAUAUUAAAGCUAGGGACCAAUCUAGACUUUUAUUAUAUUUUUAGGGGUCAAAUUAUAAUUUUAUCAAAUUGGAGGACCAAACUAAAAAUAUCAUAAAUUCAUGACUAUACUGGAAUUCUGCCCAUAAUUCAUCCUAAAUUUUGCCCAGAAUCUCAAAUUAUGCUCCAAGGACCACUACAUAAUUUUAUCAAAUAUCUAGGGUCAAAUUGUAAUUUUAUCAAAUUGGAGGACCAAAGUGAAAAUAUCAUAAAUUCAUAACUAUACUGGAAUUCUGUCCAUAAUUUAACUUUAAUUCUAUCCAGAAUCUCGAAUUAUGCUCCAGGGACCAAUCUCUAAUUUUUCUAAAGUUCAGAAAUUAAACUGUAAUUUUCAUAAAUUGAGGGACCAAGCUGAAAUUUUAUAAUCUUCAACCUCAAACCCAGAAUUCACACAGAUAACCUAUUAAUAUAUCAAGAUUUCUAACUUAAAUUCACCAUUUAAAUAAACCAUAACUUAAAAUCAUUAUUUUUACCUAAAAUGUUUCAAAAUCAAUUAAAUAACUCAUUACCCAUAACAAUCGAUCCAUAAUUUUUCUGUAAUGUAAUUGUAAUUCCUAGCAUAAUGCAUAUUCGAGGGCAAGCACAACAAUUCAAGAGCAAAGAAACUCGAUGAAAUAGCAAAAUAAAAAGACAUGAAGGACUGAAAUAAAAUAAAACCAAAAAAGAGGGAUGAAAAAAGUAACCGCACUCUGGUUGCCAUCAAAAACAUAUAUAGUUCUUUUAGUAUUUUUUUUUUUAAAAUAAUAUUGUAAUAGGUCAAUCAUAUUACCCUGAGUGUGUGACACAGAGAUAAUCAUCAUAGAAAAUUACUUUUAAUUGCUUGUGUUUUAUCCUGAGAUGACAAACUUACCUUGUCCUACUAAUGCUUUUGCUUUCAUUGUUUCGAAAGUAAAAGAGACUUAAACAUAAUCAUUUCCUUCCUUUUACUUUCCACUUCUUUGUAAUAUUGGAUUGCAAACGGGAUGGUGCUUAGAGGGGCCACUUUUUCUUUUCCUUUCUUUUUAAAAUCUUAUGCCUUUGGGUGAGGAAAUUAGUGGAGCAUUAGACUUUUUAAAAGACAACAAAAAAAAGCGAUGUCUCAUCUUUUGAUAUGGUGGUACAAGAUACACCAUGGUAUGGUGGUCCUGCAAGAAAUGUCUUAGCUUUUGAUAUGGUGGUCUUCCAUGAUCAGUUUUCGAAAGAUUCGAGUCUCCGUUCUAGUUCGGGUUGGAAGCUAGGCCGAAAGCUAAGCUUCUUUUAAUUAUGAAUUGUUUAUGCAAAGGAAACCCAGAAGCUUGAACAAACAGAAAUGCCUUGUUGAUUUCUCUGCUACUACUCAUUAUUUCCAAUAUUAUUCCAUUAUCUUACCCGAAAGCAAUUAUACAAGAAAUUUCAUUAUCCUGCCCCAGAAGGCAAUUUAUUACAAGGACUUCCUUUAACCUCCUUGAAGGCAAUUUAUUUGAUGAAAAUUCCUUUAAUCCACCUCAAAGACAAUUUAUCUUAGGGAAUUCCAACAACCCAGGCAAUUUAUUUCUUAAUUUUAUAUUACUGUUUUCAUUAAUUUUAUUAAAGCUUAAUUUUAUAUUUUUUCUGCCCUUUUCUUUUAAAAAUGUUAUCUCCUUGGUAAGGAAUCCUUGGUUCCCAACAGCAACUGUAGCAUAGUUAAAGGUUGCGUUAAAAAAAUAUCAAAACUCCACCGAAAGUAGUGGAGCCUUAGAAUUUUUAAAAGACAAAACGGGGACAAGUGAGAGACGAAGAAAAAGACAAAAGCAAUUCCAUCUAUUGAUGUGGUGAUCCAAGAUACACCAUAACAUGGUGUUCUUCCAUGAAGUCUAAGAUGCACCGCCGUGUUGUUUCAUAUAUAUUUAUAUAUAUGAAAAUAAUAAAACUACCGUUUAAAACAACUCUGAAAACAAAAGUUUUAAUAAUUCAUAAUUUAUAAGCAAACAUCACUUAUAAGCAAAUAAUUAAUGAUGGUUAAACUAAUUCAUUGUUAGGCGGAUAUAUAUUAAGGUUGAGACCCAUCUAUCUAACACUAAUAACUAAUCACUGAUAAUAUUUAUGCAAAACUUGUAGCUUAGGAUGAACUCUCAGAGAUGUGGGCGAGGCAACUCAAAGUAGAAGGGAAGGGGUAACCUCUGAUAACAGAGAAAAUUGUAGAGUAAAUUGUAGAUGUGGACCGAAUUUUCUUAAAUUAACAACAGAAAUCUACAAUGAACAGUUCUCGAGAAGAAACUCAAGAAACGUAAUAAAGCUACAUGAUGACAUAAUAGGAACCUGCAUUGCCUUCAUUCUAUGAUGAAAGUUCAAGAAAUUUUACAUCGAAUCUCAAGACAAAGUCUCUCAGACUACAUAUUGCAAAGCAACUGAUUCUAUUGCAAAGCAACAUUACGAAAAAUUGAAUAUUUCACACUCAGUCUAAUAAAAGUAGAUUCCAUUGUCAAUUCCUCAACAUUUUCCAAACAAAUCCAUGCUCCUCAUUUUAUACUUUCUCUCUUAUUACCAACUUCAUUGAGUUUCAUAUAAGCAUAGUCAAUCACACAACUAAUAUGUGAAUUCACAAUUUCUUACCGAAAACAUUUUAUCAGUGCAAAUUAAUACAUAAUUUUACCUCUCCUCUUGGUGAAAACACAAAGACACAACCACCGAGCAGAUCUCUGGUAAUGGUCUCUACAAAUUCCCUACAGUUCCUAUUGCCAACAAACUCCUCUUGCCAUUCCCUAACUGCAUUGAGCCAGCUAAUCUGGAUGAAAGAAAAGACUUCAGCCAUUCCCUAACCUUAAAGCAGACCCAACUUUGUAGCUCAUUACCAGUUAAGUAAAAGUUAUCAAUAGCUGUGUAAAUCAUUGAAACUGCCACAAAAGCAACCCAAAUUAGUUAUGAAUUGGAUUCGAUAAGGGAAAGAGGGGAAGAGGGGAAAUGGGUAACGGAAAAUUAAAGAGAGAUGAAGAUCUGCGCAGGGCUACCUGUUUUGAGAAUUAUGGAUUUUUAUCCCUAACUCCAAAUUGCACCAAUUAUAAGUUCAUUAAAACAAAUCUGGAACAGAACAGAUGGAAAAAACUCGAAACAACUUGGCUAGAAUUUGGGCAAGAAAUUCAGAACGGCCAAGAUUUUAAGUGAGAUAAAAGUUAUCCCAUUUUGUUCUGUUUUUUUUUUUAAAUUAAUAUGAGAUAUACUAUCCAUUUCAAGCGGAACAUAAUGGAAUGAACAACCUUGCAUCGAAGACCUAAUUUUAGUGAAACUCAAGUUUAUUGUGUCAAAGAAAAUGUUCUAAAAAAAUGUUUUAAGCAUUAACAAAAUCUAGUUGGCCUAGGCAAUCCACUAUUGUUGCUGUUACCGUUGGUGCAUACUCAAUUACACCAUUGACAUAGUGCAACUGUUUUUCUUUCUUUCUUUCUUUCUUUUAAAAAAUCCAUGUUAUGUUUUUUAUUUGAAGCUUUUUUGUUAACAUCUUUCGCAAUUGGCCUUGGUAUUUUGUUUCCAUUUUCUCUAUGUUUCCUUCUUCUGUAGUUAGAAAACAUCAUGUCUUUGGGUUUGCGCUUGAUACCGCAAAAUUAAGGACACAAUAGUCAAAGAACACAAAAAAAUUUAUAAGUGAAGGGGGUUGCAGUUGUGAACCCUAAAAUUUACAAGUUUAUUUUCUUAAUAAUAAUAAUAAUAAUAAUAAAGAAGUUUGCCUUCUUAGAAAGUUUACAAAGCCUUAAAUUGGUUAGGAACCUUACCUCAACAAGGAAACAAAAAAAAAAUCCAAAAUUAUAAAGGAAAGAAGCAUAAAAUCUAAAAUAAGCAAGAAAUUUGAAAAUAACAAAGAAAAUCACAAAAAACUAACAAAACCCGGGGCAUCAGUGAGAGUUUUGAUAUUUAAAGAUCCGAUGGUCUGUAUAAAAAUUUGAGCACAAUCCAAUAAUCGAAUAAAAAAUUCUGGCUCUUUUGAGCUGUUAUUCUUGUCUAGUACAACCAAACAUUCUCUUGGGCUUAAACCUGUUCUAUUGGUUCAUAAAUGCAUUUACUAGGCCAUCAACAUUAUUUGUCUGAGGCAAAUCCUCAUCUAGUUAUGGGAGACCCACAUCUGACUGCUUAGAAUCACUAGUUAUCGUAGGAUCGACUAUAUCAAAAUUGGUUGGUUUUUUGUUUUCAAAAAGAAUUAAAAUUUGAUGGAGAUGAAAGCUAAAAACACAAUAAUUAAAGAGCACAAAAAAUUUUAUGAGCAAAAGAGGCUGCAGAUGUGAACCUUCAAAUUCACAAGUUUAUUUUCUCUAAAAUAAUAAUAAUGAAGUUUGUUUUCUUAGGAGGUUUCCAAAGCUAUAAAAAUAUCAAGAAUCCUAUCUUAACUUGGAAAUAAAAAUACAAACUCAAAAUUACAAAGGAAAGAAGCAUAAAAUCUAAAAUAAGCAAGAAAUUAAAAAAUAACAAAGAAAAUCACAAAAAACUACCAAAACUAGAGGGCUUAACAAGAUUUUUGUUAUCUAAAGAUUCGAUGGUCCGCGUAAGAAUUUUAGCAUGAUCUAACGGUCGGAUAAGAAAUUAUGACCCUUUUGAGCUAUUAUUUUCGUUUAACGCGACCAAAUCUUUUUUUGGUCCUAUACUUAUCCUAUUAUUCCAUAAAUACAUCUCUAUGACCUAUCUUUUUUUUUCCUACUAUAGAUGGAGUUUGACCAUCAUCAUCAUAUGAUUUGACUUAGUUGUAUCGGUUUUCAAUCAGAUCAACUUUAUAUAUUAUGGGUUUACAUUUACUAUUUUUAAAAAAUGCUCAUUAUCGGUUUUCGAUCACCAUAAGUCCAUUGUUCACACCUCAAGUCCGUACCUGCAGCGGAUCGCAGGCAACGAAACUAUAGACUCGAGAGUAAACAUGCUACUAUAGUUAGCUAGUAAGGGUCCAGGUCAUUUGUUGUCUGGUUUCAAAUAGUGUUUCAACUCAUUUAAUAAAUGUAUACAUGGCUCAUAGUUGGAUUACUUGUGUUUUUGUUAUUUGUUCUUCCCAGUACUUGUACCAGAAGCUGCUCUCAUAUUUGAAGGAAUGCAAACAAUUGUUAAUAUGAAACUUAUGAUGCAUAGGAAAUUGCCAUUUUUCUCAUUUUUAAUUGGAAGAAAAAUCACACGUAUGUUUUUGUUAGAAAUAACUUCUUAUUUCAAUCAGAAGUGUGUCACUAAAUUGAUUUAUAAGUAAGUUUUUAAAUCGUGGAUUAUAUCUUACAUUAUAUUUUUUUAUUUACAAAAGUUUAUUUGAGUUAUUUUUAUUAAAAAUACUUAUAAUUUAAAAUUAUUUUAAUUCUUUUUUAUCAUAAAUUAUUUAUUAAAAACAACUUAGAUUAUCGCUUGAAAUAAAAAAAGAAAAAGAAAAAUUUUUCAGCCUGUUUUCUCUUUACUGAACAACCUCUUUGAUUCUCUAGCAUCUGCUUGGAAAAACCAUUCAACAAGGGAUUCUGCUAGGAAAACAUGCAAUUGUUCUUCUAUCUGAUAUCAGUUUCAAAAUUCUAAACAAAUAAUGCAACAAGUCACAUUUAUUACAAAAAAAGUCACGUUUAUUCCAGACCUCAAGCUGCAUUGCCUAUUUCAAAACCACAAAGAGAACAUCAUACAGAACAACAAAUACCCAAGUCGUAGAGCCAUUAAUUUGAGCAUAAAGGAGAAUGAAAGUCCACGCAUUAAACAGUAGGCACACACAUGAGUAGACAUUAUGCCCUUGUUUUUGAAGAUUCAGACACUUCAAAAGAAAACUCACGCUCUUAUUUUUGGGAAGUUCUUCUAUGGUAAAUAAGACUGUUACAAUGUGAAGCCAAUUUGUAUCCCAUUGCCAGUGAAACAGUAGGAAUUACUUCCACCAAUCUAAAACAUAUUCGCAGCACCACAGCUCAAGGACAUGAAUCUCUGUGAAAUCGCCUAAGGUCGAGUUGCUCAUGUAAUAGGCAACCAACCUGCCUAAUGCAAACAGAAGUACAAAGACCAUUCAUGCAUAUCCAUUACCUGAUUAGGAUGUUUUUCAAAUUCCAAUGCCAAACUAAUCAUCCUACCCAUCAUCAUCAUCACCACCAUCUCCCUUCACCACCUUCCUUCAUCUCCUUCACCACAUACCCACCCAUUAUUUCGGGUCCACGUUCUACAACUGCUGAUUGGCGCAGAGCAACCAGUGCUUGAAUCCUCAGCUACUUCAGAUACCUGUAAUCCAAUCCAAGCAUGGCAUACACAUUUUAACUUCUAAAUCUUAUUAUUGAGCGAAACAAGAAACAAACACACAAAAAGAGAAGCAAGAAAUCAAGACAAUUCAGCAGCACCUCUGAUUGAGCUCUUAUUGAACCAUUUGGGAGCAUGAACGAAAACAGAGAGGGGACCUAAAAAGAGAGAAAUAGGGAGAGAGCAAAAGGACAGCAGGCCUGCUUUGCCUUUGUUCUCAAAACGCAAGUGAAGUGCAGGGAAACUGCAAGCGUUGGUCAGCCUAAUUAUUCGUCUCCAGCUACACACUCCAAACCAUCGAAAGAAAGAACUGAGAAAAACAGGAGAAAAGGAGGAACACGAAAAAAAACCAAGGGAACGGGCAGAUACAGAAAAAAAAAACUGGAGGGAAAAACCCAGGGGAAAGAAAAACAGAGGACUGCAGGUGGAAAAACUGGGGAAGAAAAGGGCAGAACCGCGGGAACAGAGAGAAGAGACUCAGGAAAAAAAGUAGAAGGAAAGGCAGAGGAGAGUCACAGAUCAGCUCUGCCAUUGUCUUCAUCCCUGCAAAAAAAUAAAAGAAUGACACUGAACCAAAGACUAUUGACAACCGGCAUCACCAUUGUUUACUUUCCUUCAUCUCAAAACUAGAGGAGACAGAACGCAAUCAAAGAAAGAAGCAGAGGAAAGUCACCGAGACCGUUGCUACUGCCUUCGGCGUUUCCAGAACUAGGAGAGAAAGCAAAAGAAAGCAGGAGGAAAGGUGUUAAGCAGACAACAGGCACCAUCACACUGCAGCCAUCUUCGCCGUUUCCAGAAGCAGGUACGCCCCUCAUCCCAUUUUGCAUCUUCAUUUCAAAUUGAAUUGUUACAAGAGCUGUGCGAAGGUAAUUUAAUUACCUUCGCACUGCUCAUGCACGCGUGAAGCCACUUCACGCGUGCUUUUCGUUUUGCCCAGCCGGUCACUGGCUUGGGCCAGUGACCGGGCCGGGCUGGCUGGGUCCAGUCCAUGCCAUGUGGGCUGAGCUGGGCCCAGCCCCAAAAAAAUAAAAGAAAAAAACAGAAAAAUAAAAAAAUAGAAAAAAUAGAAAAAAAUAAAAAUAAAAAAUAUGCAUGCAUGAAUAAAAAUAAUGUAAAUUUAUUGGUUUAUUUACUGACGCCAGAGUCAGUAAUAAAAAUAUCGGUUUAAAUUUAUAUUAUUUUUAUUCGUUGUAUUUUAUUUUAUUUAGCUAGAAAAAAAAUAUGUGCAUGCUGAAAAAUAAAUUUAUUUUUUCAUUGGCGCUAGAGUAGGGAAUAAAAAAUAUUGAUAUAAUUUUUUUUAUAGCUACGUAAUAUUUAUCAACACCAGAGUUGGAGAUAUUCAUAGUUGAAUAUUCACUGACGCCAGAGUUAGAAAUAUUAUAAGCAAAUUAUCAUAGUGUAAACUAAUAAAUAUUUAGCAAUUUAAAACAAAACCGGCAAUGCAGUCUGCCUCAGGCAGAACGUUUAAGGGGUGAUAAUAUCUUCCUUUUUACGUAACCAGUCCCAUACUAUAGAAUUUCUGUUGAUCAGUUAGGGUUUCUAGUGACCAUAAUACUAGGUGGCGACUCCAUAAACAAGAUAUUUUUUUCUAAAAGAACAAGAUAUCAGAAAUCUGUUUUUUUUCCACAGUCAAGUUUAUUUUGUGGAUCGUCACGAUAUCGGGUACGAUAAAAGUAGUCAAAUUGUGCAGCACGAGACCCUUCCACAAACAUCUCAUGCUUGUGUCAGGCAGGGACUUCAAUUUUAAUGUUUUCAAACUUGUUAACUCCUACAUCAGAAGACAACAAAGGCACUAAUUUGUUAGAUAUAAUUCCUAGUAUGUUUUGGUAAAUAGAUGAAUCAAUUAUCCCCAAUACUUACUUAUCAACAAAAGGAUAUAUGUAGACAUGGCAAUAGACAACUCAAUAUUAGCAAAUGGAGGUUUAUCGUCCUGUCCAAAUACUUCCAUUAUUUGGGGAAGAGCCUCAUUUUCACUCAAACUGGGAAAGCAUAAAUCUAGGUAUCAUUUCAUUACAAUAAUUAAUUUCUUACUUCUUAAGCCCUGCGUCAAGAGACAGGGAAUGAUACAGUUAGACAACUCCUUUUAAAUUUAGUGGAUGGCUAAAGGAUUUAUCUCCACUUAUCAAUUACUUCAGUUUCAGAAAUUUAAAGGAAGAAAUCAACAUGUAUUGAAGUUGACAAUUUAAAUUAAAAAGGAAAACAAAUAUUGGAGAAAUAUAAAGGACAAAUUAUCAAUUACAUGUACUUGGAGCUGUGCAGACAAAUUACCCAAUCCUUCGUGGCCAUAAAUGGUUAGACUUUUCAAAGAAGGCAAUUGGGCAGCAAAAUUCUUUGGACCAAAAAAGCUGCAAUUUGAAAGAGACAAUUUUCUUAGUCGAGGAAACUUGAUGAUGCCAUCUGUGGUGAGUGCAUCUCCUUCUCCACUGUAAAAUAUUUGCUUUAAAUUAUAAGCUUUAAAAAUCCGCAUCUCUUCCAGGUUUAGAAGGCUUGGAGACACAGAUACAGGGAAGACAUAUUCCAGUUUACCACAGUGAGAUAUGUAGAGAGUUUCCAAUUUUGGGAAGCGAGGAGACUCUAGAAAUAUUUCCCUUUCACCAUCCUCUUCUCUGAUAAUAUGCUUCAACUCACCGCAUGUUCUUAUCUCAAGUGUUUCUAGCUUUGGCAGAUUUUGAGCGAGGGACGGUGUGAAGAUAAAUGUCAGUUUGUCCAGAUACCCCAACUCCAGACGAGCAAGACUUUGGAGGCUGACAUGCCCGGUGGGCCCCUUCCAUAUGCAUUUGAGCUCGGGUAACUCUCGCAGCUCUAACAGUGUUAAAGAUGACAGCAACGGCAGCUCCUUCUCCUCACUGCUUCCUUCAUCAGCCUCACCCAAUUCAAAUACCUCUUCCAAUGAUUUGCAGUCCUCAAUUUCCACACUCCUUAGAUUUUUCAGACCUUGUAGCAAUUUUGCUGGAAACGGAGCGCGAACAUCCCCACAAUCGUACAAAUGUACAGAUUCUAAUCUUUGUAAGAAGCCGUUUUGCUGUCCAUGGGCGGCCAUGUUAUCAGAAAACAAUAUUAUAUUUUUUCACUCUCAUGAAAACAAUUUAUAUGAUGUAUAAAUAGGAGAAAAAAAUAGAAAAAACAGGAUUAUAUACUUUUUAGAGAUUACAUAUUAUUGUUUUAGUUUUUUUCUUAAUCAGAGAAAACUUGAAUAAUAAUUAGAUUUUUGUGAAAAAAAGGUUAAUACAACUACUAAUAAUUAGUUUCAUGUAAAAAAUAAAAAUAAAAAUAAAAAUAAAAAUAGUAACUAAUAUUUUUAUUUUAGUUAUAAAGUUAAUAAAUUUUUAAAGAUAUUUUAAUUGAAUUAAAUAUUUGAACACAAAAUUUAUGUUCUUAUAUAUAUAUUAAAUCAACAUGUAUUGAAAAAUACUUCCAUUAAUUGGGGGAAGAGCCUCAAUUUCACUCAAACUGGAAAGCAUAAAGAUUGAAAAAUCUGGAUAUCAUUUCAUUACAAUAAUUAAUUUCUUACUUCUUAAGCCCUCUAUCAAGAGACAGGGAAUGAUACAGUUAGACAACUCCUUUUAAAUUUAGUGGAUGGCUAAAGGAUUUAUCUCCACUUAUCAAUUACUUCAGUUUCAGAAAUUUAAAGGAAGAAAUCAACAUGUAUUGAAAUUGACAACCAGAAGCCCAAAAGAAAACAAUUUUGACGAAUACCCACCAAACAGUUGAAGUGCUGCUGUAACUGAGAUUUUUUAUUAUAUGUAUUUUUUGUGGUCCAAUGGAUAAAUAAUUUUUUUUUCUUUUAUUUUAUCAGCUUAAUUUUGCAUGUGGAAUAUUGAGUUUUCUGUUAUUUUUUCAGACACAGAAUUGAAUCCUUUAUACAUUCUUAAAACCAAAUUUGAAUUCUAAGUUCCUAAAUGAAGGAAUAAUAAAGAUUGUUGCAUGUACAAAUUCUCCUUAAAAAAAUUAACAAAUAAUAAAGUCCCCUAUGUUAAUAAGAUUUAACUAUAACUUAGCCCUGUAAUUUCUUAAAAUUAAUUAUUUAGCCCUGUAAUAAUAAAGUCCUCCAUUUACUAUAUUUUUCUCUAAAAAAUGCCUUCCUUCCUAAUGAAAUUUCCUCAAAUGCAUACUUUUGUUGUCCUUAUUCUAUUUUUCAAGAAUGAAGAAAAACCUCUAAAUAGCAUUAGGUUCCAUGAAAUUGAAUGUUUACAUUAUAAUUCUUCUAUAGAAGUCUUCAAUAUUCUAUCACUUAAAAUAUAAAGCUUCAAACCUCCAAAUUUUCAAGACCCCAUCUUUCAAUCUCAAAACCAGAAACAACCCCUUCUCCAUUUAACCGAAUCUCAUAACUCUAGGAAAGGAGAGGGAUACGACUUUUGUAAAUUGAUUUAAUAUAUUUUUGACUUUUGAUUUUAAUUUUCUUUUUAAGUAUGUUAGUUAAAAUUGCUUUUGAUUUAAUUUUUUUUUGUUAUAAAUUGGAUUCAAAACUUUGAUUUAAUAAUAAAAAAAUCUUAACUUUAGUUUGUGGAUUGUAUACUAAAUUCCUUAAUAAAAAUAGUAAUUUUGAAUCUUUUUUACAAAUAAUGCUUAUAACUUAUGGUUAUUUUAAUUUAUUUUUUUCAUAAAAAAACUUUUAAAUUAUAGUUCAAAGCUACCAGAUUAGGCAUGUAGCUUAUGAAGGGUUUGUAAGCAGCAAACAAUUAAAAUUAGAAAUCAGAGGAACAUUUAGAAUCUCUAGCAAUAGCCAGCAAUGUAUCUGCUCGAAAAAACCAUUCAACAUGAGAUUGUUCUGCUAGAAAAACAUGAGAUUGCUCUGCUAUUUGAUAUCAGUUUCAAACUUCUGAACAAAUAAUACAGCAUCAAGUCUCAGUCAUCACAUGCCCAUACAAAAACAUUUAUUCCAGAUCUCAAGCUGCAUUGCCAGGCCCGUUUCCAAAACCACAUAAGCAUAUGCAAUAGAAACAGAGCAUCAAACUGACAGAGAAAGCAUGAGAAUGAAAAUCCACACAUUAAACAAGAGUAAACAUUAUGCCUUUAUUUUUGAAAGGUUCACACACUUCAAAACAAACACGAAUGGGCAAGCAACAUUCGCCCUUACUUCUGGAGGCUUGUACGAUAAUGGGCAAGCAACAUUAUUUUUUUGAGGUUCGCACAGUAAUGACUAAACACACAACAUUACAUUACAUGGGUAAACAAGCAGAUAACCUUAUUCACACAUAUAUAGAUAAGUCGAUAUCUUCUUUUGAAAUCACACAUAGCAGAUAACCAAACGAGGGAAUAAGAAAUCACAGCAUCCGAAACUGAAGCAGACAAUACUUGAUAAUUGUUUUAGCGACAGCUUCUUUAGAUUAGGAAGCACCAUCUCCUUCUCAACGUUGACAGGUGAAACAUGAUCAUCCUGCCCAAACACUCCCAAUAAUUGAGACGCUUUUUUUACUCUAAGUAUUUGGAGCUAUGGGAGACCUGAAGCCAUGGUAACUGGGAAGAGGCUCUUCAACAUGUUACAUUCUCUAAUCUCAAUUUCACACAAAUUGGGAAAGCAUAAAGAUUGGAGAUGAUCUCCUAACAAUAUCUGGUCGUUUUCAUCAUCAUCCUUAGCAAUGAUUUGCUUGAAUUCCUCAUAGGACAAUAUCUUUAGAACUUUCAGUUGGACUAGACUGACAAUCAUGCUGCAUGUGAAUACCAGUGUCAGUCUCUUACACUCAACCACCUUCAAAGUAGUCAAUUUGCUCAGCACGAGACCCUUCCAUAUACACCUCAUGUCAGGCAGGGAUUCCAAGCAUAAUUUUUCCAAAUUUGUCAACCCUUGCAUCAAAAGAAAACAAGGAUACCAAAUUUAUAAAACAUUCUUACUUACAAAAACUUGUAGGUCUAGUGUUACCAAUCCUUGUCUUGGGCUUAUACAUGUUCCAUUGGUCCAUAAAUAUAUUUGCUAAGCUAUCAACAUAAUUUGUUUGGGACAAAUCCUCAUCUAGUUAUAAUAGACUCACACCUGACUGCUUAAAAUCACUAGUUAUUGUAGGAUUGACUACAUCAAAAUUGAUUGGUUUUUUGUUUUCAAAGAGAUUUAAACUUUUGAUGCAGACGAAAGCUAAAAACACAAUAAUCAAAGAAAACAAAAAAAAAAUAUAAGCAAAAGGGACUAUAGAUGUAAACCCUCAAAUUCACAAGUUUAUUUUCUCUAAAAUAAUAACAAUGAAGUUUGUUUUCUUAGAAUGUUUACAAAUCCUUAAAUAUGUCAGGAACCUUACCUCCACUAGGAAACAAAAACAAAAAUACAAAAUUACAAAGAAAAGAUGCAUAAAAUCCAAAACAAGCAAGAAAUAAAAAAAAUAACAAGGAAAAUCACAGAAACUAUUAAAACUAUAGGCCUAAACAAAAUUUUUGAUAUCUAAAGAUUUGAUGGUCCACGUAAAAAUUUAAGUAUGAUCCAAUAGUCGAAUAAGAAAUUGUAACUCUUUUGAGUUGUUAUUCUAGUCUGACGUAUUUUUUCUCUUUUUUUCACUAUAAAUGAAGUUUGACCAUCAUUGUCAUAUAGUUUGACUUAGUUGUAUCGGUUUUUAAUCAGAUCAACUUUAUAUAAAUCAGAUCAACUUUAUAUAUUAUGAGUUUACAUUUACUAAUUUUAAAAAAAUGCUCACAAGUCCAUUGUUCACACCUCAAAUUCGUAACUGCAGCGAUUCAUAGGCAACGAAACCAGUUAGAGACUAGAGAGUAAACAUGCUAUUAAAGUUUGCAAGUAAGGGUUUAGAUUAGAUUAUUUGUUGUCUUGUUUCAAAUAUUAGAUCAGUCUCAACUCAUUAAAUAAACUAGUGGUGCAUUGAUCCUUGCAUUAAUUGUUCAUUAACAAACAAUUGUUAAUAUGAAACUUAUGAUGUAUUAAUAACGCAUACAACAAUGAGGCAGUUAAGUUUCUUCGAUAAAAUAAAAUCAUUUAAAAAAUAAAAAUAAGCUAGUAUGUUUGUUACAUAACUAAAAAAAAAAUUGAUUUUUUUAAAUUGAUUUUUUUAAAAAUCAUUUUAAUAGACUAAUAUUAAAAAUAAAUUUUAAAAAAUAAAAAAUAUAUUAUUUUGAUAUAUUUUCAAGGAAAAAACAUUAUGAAAAGAAAUUGUUAAUGUUUGUUAAAACAUUAUUGUUAAUAUUUCUUACUAAAUAUAUAAUGACAUGUGAUUGGAAUAAUGUAUGUGAACUUGUACACAACUUAAUAAAUGAGAAAACUAAGGUAGCCGGUCACAUGUGAUUGGAAUAAUGUAUGUGAACUUGUACACAACAUUAUUGUGGGCUUAAUGGACCACAUACAAGUUUGCCCUGUAUUUUAAGUGAAGUUUUGCAGAUUUUUGAAAGUUUUUUUUUUUCAAAUUGAAUUUUUUUUUUUUUUUUUUUGUGGUUACCAUAUCAGACAAAGUAGAGGUUGAUUUCAACAAGCAUGAAAAACCAAAUUCAUUAUGAGAUAUAUAGCCUCAAGAUUAUCACAUCAUAAAGAAGAGUAGAGGUUCAAAUCCCUAAAUCUAUAAAUAAAUAAAAAAUGAACUAACCAAUUUUAUCUCGAAACAACAUUGAUCGUGGUCAACCGUGUGACUUGUUCCGCCCCCGUCCCGGGUUCGACCCUCUAUGUGCACGCCUGUCACCCCCGCGGUGCCUUACCUGCCCCUGGGCUUGCAGGAUGUCCAGUGGGCCGUGGGGAAUAGUCGUGGUGCGCGCAAGCUGGCCCGGACACCCCACGUGAAUCAAAAAAAAAAAAAAAAAAACAUUGACACUAACUUAAUGCUGAGCCUUGGUACAAAUUAAGUCAGCACUUCCAUGCCUUGUGAUCUUGACAAAAAUAUUUUUGGUCCUUUUAGUUUAGAAAUGAAACUUUUCAGUACAAAGCUUUAUUUUACCUCUAUAUAUAGUUUCUGAGUUUGAGAAAAGAAAGAAAGAUUUGUUGAAAAACUACAAAGGAGAGAUAAAAUUAGUCAAUUUAGAUUUGGGUUGAUUUUCUAAUUUUAAAUCAAUUAAAUGUUUAUUUAAAAUAUUUAUAUAUCUAACUUUUCAAUAAAGGAGCAAUUUUUCAUUACAUUCAGCACAAUAUUUAUUUCACUAACCUGUACGAAGAUGACACGAGUUAAAAUAAUUGUUUAAACACACACUAUAUAUAUUGUGCAUAUAACUGUCUUGUAUUCACAUUAUUAGAUCAGUGUAUGCACACAACAUUUGAUAUUUUUAACUGUUAUGAAUAAUCUGUAUAUUAUGUGUCGCACGUGAGCGACGUCGCGGCGAUCGUCCACCCAAAACAAAUGUAAUAAUAUGGGGGAUAUAUAUCUGGUCAAUGUAGGGAGACAAGGAAUUCGUUGUCUCUUAGCAGUGAAAAAUGGUGUGGGAGUCGCCACCUAGUAUUUUGGUCACUAGGAACCCUAACUGGUCUCAGAGAUCGGGUACGGGGACUGGUUGCGUAAAGGGAAGGUAUUAGCACCCCAAAUACGCCCUACCUAAGGUAAGCUGCAUCGUUUAAUUGUCUGAUAAAAUUUAAGGUGUUUUCAUUGUGUUUCCUAGUUGUUGGUCCGUCUAUGGUUCAAGAAAAGUCCUCCUUAAUAAGGAGGUCCUUAUCUUAUCGGGUAAAACCUAACCGUUCUAGCGUCUAUGUAAAAAAACAUAUUUUUAAUUUCAGGAAUACGUUUUACGUAUAAAUUCGUAAUCCCAUAUACUAACAGAGGACAAAAAGAUUUUUUAGAAUUUUUGGAAUAUUGGCCUAGUUCUCAUGGCUUGAAUAAACUGGUUAUUAAAGCCAAAAUGCAUGCUAAUACAUAUAUUGUUUUGAAAUUUCUUUUGUUGUGUGAAAAUAUGAUGUUAUAAUAUUUAUAUAUAUAUAUUGGAGAGACUAGGCCGUAUUUUAAAACAAAAACAUUUUUUAAAUAUGUAUUUUGUACGUUUUGACGCAAAUCGGGUAUUUUAAUACUGGGUUUGUAUCCUUGCAGUAUAAAAAUACAACCAAAUAUUAAUCUACUUUGAUAAAGCAAAUGCAGAAAAAUCAACAAUAUUUUCAAAGAUAUUUUAGAAAAUUUUUGAAAGCAAAAGACAUUUUUUAUUUUGAAAAUCUUUGAUGUUUUGAUGAAAACCGGGUAUGUUAAUACCGGAUUUGUAUCUUUACAGUAUAAAAUACCAACCAAUAUUAAUCAAAAUACAGUAAUAAAAUUACAGAAAAUCACAUAUUUUUGAAAUAAUUUUUGAAGAAUUUUUGUAAUUUUUUCAUAUAUAUAUAUAUCUAUAUAAAUAAUACAAAAUAUAAUAUAUAUAAUAUAAUAUAUAAUAUUAAAUGGGCUGGGCUGGUCCGGCCCAACCGACUGGGCCGGACUCAGCCCAAAAUUGUUGGGCCGAUCUCGGCCCAAAAUGGGUUGGGCCGAUCUCGGCCCAAAACAAAAAACACAUUAUCUUCUGGGCCAGACCCGGCCUAGAAGACAGGGCUGGGCCAGGAUCCGCCUGGCCCAAGCCAAAACGGGGCGGGGGGGGGAAUUAUUUUCCCCCCACCCCUGCAUGCAGAACGCUACUCGUUCUGCAUGCAGGGAACGAAACGAGAAAAUAAACGCUCUCCUAGAAACCGCAGAAAAGUUACCUGGCGCGGAGGCGAAAGCGGUGGCUGGCUGCGUUUCUGGCGGUUCUGUGGUGGAGGCUGGUAGCGGUGUCGCUGCUCCCUGGCGGCGACUCCAAGCAGCGGCGCUGCUGUCUCAAGCGGCGGAAAGAGGGAUUCUUCCUCUUUCCUUCUCCUCUGUUUCCUUCCCUUUUCUUCUCCUUCUUUGGUUUUCUUUCCCCCUGUUUUCCCUUCUUUCGGUUCUCUUCUCCCUCUCCCCUUUCUCUCUCUUUCGGUUUUUUCCGUUCCUCUCUCUCUCCUCUGUUUUUCGUUUUCUCCUUCUUCCCCCGUCUGUUCUCCUCCCUCUUUUUCUUCUACUGUCGUGUUGGUUGUUAUUUAUAGAGCCAAGUGAGUGGCUUUUCGCUGUGGAGCAUGGGGAGCAGCCGGCCGGUCGGCCAUUGGGCGCGACUGCCAACGCUCGGCCCCCCUCCCCGGCUUUCUGGCAGGUGCGCGGUGGGUGGUCGGCCAUUGUGUUCGGUCGGUGGGCUCCAGGCGAGAGAGAGGGGCCGGCAAAAAUUUCAAAAAAAAGCACCAUUUUUCCCUUCUUCCCCGCUGCAUGUUCGGGGGGGAAGAAGAAAGAUGAACAGUGUCGUUCAAAACGACACCGUUCUGCCCUUUUCCCUUUUUUUUUUUUUUUUGAAUGGAUGAAACGACGUCGUUUUGGAUAAAACGCGCCGUUUCAUUUAAAUCCUACAAGACGCCAAAACGCGUCAAUUUGCAAAGCAGCCCUCAAUUAUCUUUUGUCCCUUCAAUUGCAUCCCUGCCGAAUUUGAACCCCGUCCCUAUAUUUGGCCGCGUUUUUCACUUUGGUCCUUGGCCUUUGAAUUAUGCAAUUGAGCCCUUAAUUGAUCAAUAAACUUCCAAUUUCUUCAAUUAGGCCCCUGAAUCAAUUAAUUCCAGCCCCUAUACUUACGCACCUUCUUCAAUUUGGUCCUUGGUUUCGGAUUCCUUCAAUUAAGUCCCCAAUUGGCCCUUAAACUUCAAUAUUUAUGCAAUUAAGCCCCUGAUUUGACCUAAUAAAUUCCUAAAAAAUAUAUUUUGGCCCCAGAACUUAAAUUUCUUCUAAUUAAAGCCCAAAUUGACUUAAAAAUCAAUUUUUCUUGCAAUCAAAUCCCCUAUAAAUUCAUUUAAAAAUCAAAUUAAGUCCAUAAACAUCUAAAUUUGGGCUUUUCUCCUCAAAUUUGAAAUUUUCCUUGUCAACAGGGCUCUCCUCCUUCAAGAAUAUAUUAUCAAAAAUUCCAUCUUUGUUUUUUUAACCUUAUUGACCAAUUUUCCAACCAUUUUCUGAGCGCUUCUGCCUCCUGUUAUUUUUCUAACCUCCUUUGGCUAUAUAUUUUUAUAUAUAUUUUGUGGGGACCCAAAAAUGGGUUACAACAUUAUGAAUGCUUAGUCUUAACCUAAAUACAAAUAAAGUAUAUAUAGGUCAAACUGAAAGUACUAUUCUACCCUUGAUAAAUAAGACUACAUAAAUAUUAUUUAACAUCUCCCCUCAAACUCACGAUGCGGCAGCUACAAGCAUCGAGAGUUUGCCAGCCAAAAAACGAAAACGAGAGAUGGAAUGCGCCUUGGUAAAGAAAUCUGCAAUCUGCAAGGAAGAAGGAACAAAAGGCAAAGCAAUGGUGCCAUGUUUGAGAUGAUGACGAGUAAGAUGACAAUCGAUCUCAAUGUGCUUAGUGCGUUCAUGAAAAACCGAGUUAUGAGCAAUCUGAAUAGAACUCUGGUUGUCACAAUACAUAGGAGUAGGAUGAGAAAAGGAAAUUCCCAUAUCAGCAAGUAACCAACGUAACCAAACAAUCUCUUUGGUAGUAGAUGCCAUGACACGAUAUUCUGCUUCGGUGGAUGAUUGAGAAACAAUAGAUUGUUUCUUGUUCUGCCAAGAAAUAAGAGAAUCACCUAAAAAGAUAUAGAACCCGGUAACAGACUUGCGAUCUGUGGGAUCACUACCAUGAUCAGCAUUAGAGUAUACACGCAACUCCAAGGAAGAGGUGGAUGAAAGUAAAAGACUCUGAAAAACUGUACCCCGAAGAUAUCGCAAAAUACGAAGAACAGCUGCCCAGUGAACAGUAGUAGGAGAAGCAACAAACUGACUAACAACAUGAACAACAUAUGCAAUAUCUGGACGAGUAAUGGUGAGAUAUACCAAACUCCCAACAAUAGUGCGGUAUAAAGUAGGAUCUAUCAAAGGUAAAUCAUCAGAAGAAGAGUACCUUGUGUUAACCUCAAUAGGAGUAUCUACAGUCUUGUUAUCAGUAAGUCUAACCCGCUCAAGAAUAUCUGCAACAUAUUUCGACUGAGAAAGAAGGUAACCUCUAGGUGAGUAUGCUACCUCAAUACCCAGGAAAUAUUAAAGAUAACCCAAAUCCUUCAUUUCAAAUCGUCUAGCCAACUCUGUCUUCAAAACUGAAAUACCAUCAAUAUCAUCACCAGUAAUAAUCAUGUCAUCAACAUAUAAAGACAGAAUGAUACGACCUGCAUCAGUGCACUUAAUAAAAAUAGCAGAAUCAUGACUACUAGAAACAAAGCCACGAGACGAGAUCACAAUAGAAAAUUUCUCAAACCAAGCACGAGGUGCUUGUUUGAGACCAUAUAAUGCUUUCUUAAGCUUACAAACAUAUCCAGAGUCAUGUGAAAUACCAGGAGGGGGUGCCAUAUAAACUUCUUCUUGAAGAUCUCCAUUCAAGAAUGCAUUUUUAACAUCAAGCUGAGAAAUAUGCCACUGACGAAUCGAAGCUACGACAAUAAGAGUAUGAAUAGUAGUCAUUUUUGCAACCGGGGCAAAUGUCUCCUCAUAGUCCAUACCAUACUGUUGAGAGUAUCCUUUUACAACCAGCCUAGCUUUGUAUCGCUCAAUAGACCCAUCAGAAUUAGUCUUGAUCUUAUACACCCAACGACAACCAACAACACUCUUACCAGGAGGUAGAGGAACCAGAUCCCAAGUAUUUGUCUUAUGCAAAGCAGAAAGUUCCUCAUCCAUAGCUUGCUGCCAAAGCGGAUCAAGAAUUGCCUCUUUAUAGGAAGAGGGCUCAAAGAGACAAUGAAUAGAAGCUAAAAAGGAAGUAAAUGAUGAAGAAUAACAAGAAUAAGCAAAAUCUGGUAGUUUUGUGGACUUACGAAUGCGGAUGGACUGACUUGGAGGUGGAUCCACAAUCUCAGAUGAAGCUUGAGGGGAUGUAGAUGAGAAUGGAGCUUCAGGUGUGCCAGAGAGUAAAGUACCAGUACCUGCAGAGUUAUGAGUACAAAUUGAUCGAACAUAGGGAGAGGUAUCAUUACCAGAAUCCUUAGAAAAAGGAUCUAUAUAAAUAAGAUCAGAUUUUGUCAGGCUAUGAGUAGUGGAUGAAAUAGAAAAGAAAGGUAUAUGCUUAAGGAAGACAACAUGACGAGACACAUAAAGUUUCUGAGUUAUUGGAUCAAAUCAACGAUACCCCUUUUUACCUUCACCAUAACCCAGAAAGACACAAAUAACGGAUUGAGAGGAUAGCUUACUGCGUUCUACAUGAGGAAGAAGAACGAAACAAGUACAACCAAAGACUCUAAAUGAGGAAUAAUCAGGGACAUACCCAUAUAACUUUUCAAAAGGAGAUAGACCCGAACUUGACCUAUAUAUACUUUAUUUGUAUUUAGGUUAAGACUAAACAUUCAUAAUAUACAGAUUAUUCAGAAUUCUAGCCUCCUUUCUCUAUUUGAUCUCAAUUAAUUUAACAUUAACCAUUCACAUACAUUAAAUAAAACCCAUGGAAACAGGACACAAACGUCGACUGCAACUGCAACAUUAUACUAAUGAGUGUAUUUUCUGAAGUCGAAAGAGUGCUACCCAAUCUAGGUUCAAGUGGGAUGAUGAAUUGAAGAGCAGUUGUUAUUUGACACUGCAAUUAGAUGGCUCAUAUUUGAUUUAUGGAGCUAUGAUAAGGGAUUCGUGCUUGUAUCACAUAUAACAAUAUUUACAUAGUAACAAGCACUAUUAAAGAUGCUACACUAGUAAUUGCUUUAUCAAAUAUUUUAUGUUUUUUUUUUUGAAAUAUUGUUAUAGACAUAGAAUCAUCUAGAUUAUGUGACAUUCUAUAUUGAUUUUGUGAUAUUUUAAUCACUAAAAGUAUGGGUUUCAGAGAAAAAAAACCAAACAAAAAAUUGAAAAAAUUAAAAAUUUUCAAACCAACCCAAUCCAACAUAUUGAUCAGUUUUGGUCUGGUCUGGUUCAAAUAUUUUUUAGCUGAAACAAUUAAUAACCAUUUUCAAAAGGUAACUAUUGACAAGCCUUUCACCGAAACCAUGUUCAUUUAUCCUGAAUCAAUCCAAAUCAGGUUCAGGUUUGAAAGGUUCGGAUAAUCACUUAGACGUCUUCGGUUCUAAUUUUAGGCCUUGUCACUUAGUCAUCCCUUAUCCUAACUUUUUAUUUCCUAAUAAAAUCUCACGGUUUUUCAUCUAUGUUCAAAGGAAAAGUUGACCUUGCAAAUGGUGCUCUAAGGAACCAAGUCAUCCUAGAACUAAUCAUCCACCUAAUCUCAUCAACUCCUUGUUGCACAAACAGCUUGUCUCACUUAAAGGGGAUUUUAAUGAUGAACAAACACCAACUCCUUGUUGCUCAAAUACAUAUGCUCAUUUAAACACAAUUUUGCAUUACCUAGAACUGACAAGGCCUAAAAUUCCUGACAUAUAAUUUUGUUUUAAAGGAACUUCAGGAUUUCUAUAUAGGAUGCUUGACCUCAUUAAAGAAAAACUGAGGACAUCCAUAACAUAAAUUAUCUUCCUUGCCCCAAAGUCAGCACAGAAAAACCCUGUUCAAUAUAAAGGUUCUGAAUGUUUUUCCUAAAUUUCAUGAGCUGGCAUUCAACACAUCAAACUCCCAAUUUAGCAUUCUUAUGCAAACUACAACUGCAAAAGGCUUGUACAUGUAGGGGAGGUAGGAAGAGCUGCAAAGAAUUGUGGCAUCUAUUGUUAUGCUGUUCAGAGUUUCUAUCUCAUCAUCCAAUCUGCCAAAAAUAUAAGAGAUCAUGUGCAUCAUCAAAAGCCCCAGCCGCUAUAUGAACAAAGCACCUAAAAAAUUAAUCACCUAGCUAAUCUAAUUCAGGAAAAUUCGGUCAAAAUCUCCUACAAUGAAACGAGUUAUUGGAAUGCAUAGAUAGGAAAUUCAGGUAAACACACACACAUACACACACACACCUGAUCAUAAAUUUCCUAAAGAAAUUCUGAAUCGUAACAUUGGUAAACAAAGAGUGACAAUAUCAUCACAUUAAAAAUGCAUUUCACUCAAAACAAAUAACAGCUCAAGAAAAAAAAUUGCAAGAAGCCAAUAGAGAAUAAAGUAAGCAGUCCAUAAACAAGAGACAGAGAGACAUUGUUCCAAUAGAGAAAAGUAAUUAAAACCCAACAACUAAAACUGAGAAAGAAUCAAACCAGGGAGUAACUAAUCCUUUUAAAGCAUUCCAAGAAUGGCAACCAAAUGUAACAUAAUCAACCUGCAAAAACAAACACAAAAAGAAUUAGAAGAAGAAAUCCCAUUAGUUAAUAAGUUAAAACAGCAGCAGCAGCAAAAAGACUAAAAUUUUAGUUAUUUGGACUUGAGAAAAAGCACUGAACCUGUGUGAAAAUGCCAUGAAAGGGGUGCUAAGAAACCAGGAACAUAAAAACUUGUAAAAGGGUCUUUUUACAAAGCAAGAAAGAAGCUAGGAAGCAAGGAAGCAUGCCAGCCUACCCUCACGAACUCUGUUUGUUAGGCCAUGUUUGUUUCCCGGAAUUCACUUUCCGGGAAACCAUUUUCCAAACUUUCCUGUGUUUGUUUGCCAUUAGAAAAAUUGAUCAACGGAAAACACUUUCCGGUCAACGGAAAACACUUUUCAAUCAACGAAAACACUUUCCCAUCAAAGAAAAAAUUGGUUUGGUUUUUCAGGAAAGUGUUUUCCCUUUUGGCUGUGUUUGUUUUCCGGAAAGUGGUUUCCGGGAAACCACUUUCCAAACUUUCUUGUGUUUGUUUGUCAUUAGAAAAGUUGGUCAACGGAAAACACUUUUCGGAAGUUGUGAAAAAUUUAGAAAUGUCAUUAUUUGUUGAUUAUAUCAAAUUUAAUCCUCAAACUUUUGAUUGCUAUAUAUAAUUUGUUUUGAAUAUUUAUUUUUCAAUUCCAUUUCUUAAAAUUUAAUUUUUAUAUUAAUUUUGCUCCUUAUUUUUAUAAUUGUUAUUUGCUUUUUCCUUAUCAUUUUUUUAUUGAAAUUUUUUAUCUGUCAAAUUUGGUCCUCAUUCUUUUGAUUGUUACUUAGUUUAUUUGAAAUAAUUUAUGAAAUGUUAAUUAUUAUUAUUUUAAUUUCUUCACCUUUCAUUUUUUUAAAAUUUUUAGAUUUGAUUUCUAUUAUUUUGAUUAUUAUUUAUUUUAUUUGAGAUAAUUUAUGAAAUUGUAUUUUUUUUCAAUUUCAUUCUCAUUCAACUUUUUAAUUUGUAAGAUUUGUUCCUCAUUAUUUUAAUAAACUUGAGAAAAUAAAACAUUAAUAAGUUAUUUUCCAGCUCAUUUUCCAUGACAUAACCAAACACUGGAAAAUGUUUUCCAACUUAUUUUUCAUUACACUACCAAACAUCAGAAAAUACUUUCCCGGAAUUCAUUUUCCCGGAAUUCACUUUCCAAAAUGAAACUACUUUCCAGCAAACAAACGGGGCCUUAAUUGUUUUUUCUCCUUUCAAGUAAAAAAAAAAAAAAAAAACAAAGAGCACCAAGAAAAUCUAAUCAGAAAUAUUUUUUUUUUAGUCUGAAAUAUUUUAUGUUGUUGUCUUGGAGAGAUGCAGAUACCGAGGAACAGUUGUGGGGCCACCAUUGGUGAGCAGUGAUACAGUGGCAAGUACGUGAAGUAACGCAUAUUACAGUGCGCAAUGAUAGAGUGAGUCUGGGUGGACAAACUUUUGGUGGUACACGUGGUGCGUAAUGAUUUGACGGCUAUGGAGAGAAGUUACAUGAGGGAAAUAAGAUGAAAAAAGUGGCCUCUCUAGAUUUUGGAAAUGUUCUCUGAAGAAAGAAAGAAAAUAAUCUCAAGGGUGGACAAAAAUGGGGUAAUAUCAGAUUUGGAACAUAAUCUUGGUUGGUGAAGAAUAACAUAAUCUGAAGAGAAAUCUAGGGCAAGCCAGUGAGAUUUGAGCUUAGAUUUUGGACCAAUUUAUAGGUGGAUGAUACCAUCAUGGAUGAUGUCUAGCUGAUAAAUGUUUAGUUACUAGCAAUUCUAUCAUAAGUUAUCAGAUUCUGUGUGUGUGAGGCUGCCAUAAAUUUCUUUCUUCUAUGAUGGAUAAAAAACGCUAAGCAAUGAACCAUUUUGUCAACCUAGUAAAAAAGGUAUUAUGGUAUUAUAGACUUAAAUUCAUAGAUAAUUAAGUAAAUUUCUUGAGGAAAAGCAAAAUUUAACUAUAGAUAAUCAAAGUGAAAAAAAAACACCUCAAAAAAAGAUGGUAGUUUCAAGAUUAAAGCCAAAAAUUCACUUUGAUUCUCAUACUUUUCAGAUAAUGACUUUUUGGUCCCUUAAGUUUUCUCACAUUUUAUUUUUGAUCCACAACUUCAUUUUUCUAUAUUCUCAUUCCCUAAUUUGAUAGAGGAGACAAAAUGUUAUUGGAUUACAAUGUUAGAGAGAGUCUCUGUAACAGCCUCAACAUUUGUAUUCAAAACAAAGAGUAAGGACAUGAUGAUUCAAAUAAGAUUAUGGAAUUUUUUUUUGUAAUCAAUAAAAAAUUCAGCAGAGUUUUUUUUAUAUUUUUAGAUACUAAAUUAUCGACUUUUCAUCUACAAUCCUCAAUUAUCAAAUUUCUUACUCAUCCUAUCAUCCAGAACUUCCUCCUCUCAUUACAUCACAACUUCUCAAUAAUCAAAUGCACAUAUGUCUAAAUAAUUCAAUAUCCCACAUUUACAUGGAUGCAAUCCAAAGAAUUAUUCUACAAAUUAUAAUUGAAGUACAUUACAUAAUUCAAAGAUUUACAAAUAAGGACCAUUAACGAAAUUAUAAUCGAAAUAAGUAUAUAAUUAAAGAAGAAAUUCAUAAUUAAGAUUAUACUACACAAAAGAGCUUUCGAUAAACUGUUGACACAUUAUAUUACAUAACAAAAUGAUAAAUUCAUUCAUUACAAAAAGAUACCCAACAAAAUAUAAGAAAAUUAAUCUAUUGUUCAGCCCGAUAAGGGGAUGUACCUGAAAAUUGAUUUAAUACAAAAAUUUAAUUAGACAGAUGAAAAAAAGAUAUCCUGCUUUCUUUCUUUCUUCCUUUUUUUUUUAAAAAAAAAUUAGUCAAAAGAUCAUUAAAUUAACUUGCUCAUGUAGUAUUAUAUAUAUAUAUAUAUAUAUAUAUAUAUAUAUAUAUAUAUAUAUAUAUAUAUCAAUUAAAUUUCAGAAUAAUCUAUGAGUUUGAGUUUGUUUUCUUUUUCUUUUUUAAUAUCAACCAAAAAUAUAAUUAUUCAUAUCACUCAAUUAACCCGACAUUACUUUCACUAAUAGAUGAUUAAUUUUCCACCAGUCUAUUCAACAAACACUAUUGUCAUCAAUCCAAAAAUUAGUUUAACGUUUCAUCCAUUCAUCAGGUACAAAUCCCAUUAACUAGGAAAAUUAAUUCUUCAUCUUGCCUAUUUGCCAGGGCACUAAUUCCAUUAAAUCAGGAAUUAGUUCAACGAUUUACCCAUUCACUAGGGUACUAAUCCCAUUAACCAAAGACUUAAUUCCUCAUCAUGCCCAUUCACCGGGACAUUAAUCCCAUUAAUUCAGGAAUUAGUUCAACGAUUUGUCUAUUCACCAGGGUUCUAAUCCCAUUAACUAGAGAAUUAAUUCCUUAUCACGCCCAUUCACCAAGGCAUUAAUCCCAUUAGUUCAAGAAUUAAUUCAUCACAUCGCAUAUCUUAUUUUCUAAAGUAAACAAUAUAAUAAUUUCAUAUUUAUCAACCAUAAUUAAUCAAAUAAAAAUACAUAUUGACCAAUAAUAAAUUCAGGUACCGUGUAAUUACCUGAUGACUAAGCUCGAGCUGAAAUUUCCUGCUGUGGUGUCGGCCUGGCAGCCUCUCUUGAAUUGACAAGUAUAUCAUAUCAUUAUUCUACUUUCCAUAUUGAAACACUCAAUAAAUAAAAUCAUUCCAAUUAUCCUUUUAUUUGCCAAAAUAAAAUCAUUUUGUAAAUUUCCUUCCUAUUCUUUCAAUUUCCACAUUGUAACACAAUUCAUUUCAUCAUUCAAAUCAAUAUAUAUAUUCUUUAAAUUUAUUUAUUUAAUUUUUACCGUAAUUUAAAUCAAAGAAAAACAUAAAAAAAUUUCAUGAUCUAUUCACUCUUUAACAUUAAUAUCAUCUCUUUCUUACACAAUCUCAUCAUCUUAUCAAAACUCUUAAAUUUUUAUUUUUCUUAUUAUUAUUUUUCCAAAAAUCCCUUCUUCAAGAACACCUAAAAUUUUGCUUUAAUUACCAUAAUUUCUUACCUUCCCUACUCACUUCAAUAAUCUUAACACAAUUUCACAAUCAAUUGUAAUUUUCUCUAAAAUAUAUCAUGAACCCUAAUUCCUCAUUUCACAAAGUUCAAUCAAUUUAAAGCAUAAAUUCUUCGAGAAUCUUAUUUAAAAGUGUGAGGACAUCUUACCAAGCAAUAACCAAAGCUUUAACACUUUUAAAUUGAGAAAUUUUCCUUGCUUGAAUUUGUUUUUCCUCUCCUGGCCGAAUGCUUAAAAAGCAAGUUUUUUUUUUUGUUUCCUUAUAGCACACUCACUUGCACUCAUAUAUAUAUAUAUAUAACUCUUUUUUUAAAUACCUUCCACAUCCCUCAAUUUUUUCUUUCCCCCUACACAUAUAUAAUUACUUAACUUUUUAAAAAUACCUUUUAUAUUCCUUAAUAGUAAAUUUUAUGAUUUUUGGGUAAAAUUUCUUGAAUCCUAAUGCCUGUUUAUACCAAAUUUUAUCCAGGUUAUUUCAAAUUUCACUCAGUUACUCGUUAGUAUUUUCAGUUUCAUGAAAUUCAUUUCCAUAAAAAUUUUAUUCAUAUUUUCAUGUUUAUUUAUUUAUAUUUAUUUUUUAUAUAUAUUUUAACACCCGAACAAAACAUUUCAAUUCAGAUUCUCGAAUAUAUCAUCAUUCUUAUAAUUUAAUUUAUCACUUUUCCUCAUUUUUCGUAAUCUUGACUUUUAUUAAUAUCAAUAAUAUUACCCGGGGUUUUACAAUCUCAGUUGGCACUGAUUUUUGCCAUAAAAAAUGGUUGAUUUUAAUGAUUUUUUUUAAUAUCUAUAUGUUUUUUUUAUAUUUUAUAUGAAUAAACUUUAUUUUCAUGAUGUGUUUAUAAAAAUAAGAAUUAUUUGUUCUUGGUAAGAAAAAGUGACCUUUAAGAUUAAAAAGAAGGAGAAAAGUGACCUUUAAGAUUAAAAGUAUCUGCUCGAAAAAACCAUUCAACAUAAGAUUGCUCUGCUAGGAAAACAUGAUAUCAGUAUCAAACUUUUGAACAAAGAGUUCAGCAUCAAGUCUCAGUCAUCUUGAGAUUUGAAUGCCCAAACAUAUUCAGAUGCUCAUAAAAUAACAUUUUUAAUAAUGCAUUAUGCAAUAGAAACAGAACAUCAAACAAAGAGUUCAGCAUCUUACGCAUGAAAGUCCACACAUUAAACCAAAAGAAACACAAAUGGCCAAGCAAACAUACGCCCUUACUUCUGGAGGCUUGUACGAUAAUGGGCAAGCAACAUUAUUUUUUUGACUAUUAAGCAUCACCAUCACCAUCACCAUCACCAUCACCAUCUUCCUCUUCCUCUACUUCUUCUUCUGUCCACCCAUUAUCUCGGGUCCACUCUCUAUUAAUGCUUGAAUCUUCAGCUACUUCAGAUACCUGUAAACCAAUCAAGAAAAGAGAAAUUCAUAAAAAAAUUACAAAGAAAAGAGAAAAUUAGCGAAAGCCAUUCAACAUAAGAUUGCUCUGCUAGGGAAACAUGAUAUCAGUAUCAAACUUUUGAACAAAGAGUUCAGCAUCAAGUCUCAGUCAUCUGGAGAUUUGAAUGCCCAAAUAUAUUCACAUGCUCAUACAAUAACAUUUUUAAAAAUGCAUUAUGCAUUAGAAACAGAACAUCAAACUGCAGAGAAAACAUGCUGAUGCAGAAAAUACUCAAGUCGUAGAAAGGAGAAUGCAUGAAAGUCCACACAUUAAACAUUAUGCCUUUCUUUUUGAAGGUUCACACACUUCAAAAGAAACACAAAUGGGCAAGCAAUAUACGCCCUUACUUCUGGAGGCUUGUAAGAUAAUAAUGGGCAAGCAACAUUAUUUUUUUGAGGUUCGCACAGUAAUGACUAAAUACACAACAUUACAUUACUCCUGUGCUGUCAACAAUUCUUCUAACUUCUUCAGCAAACACAUAGAUAGAUAAGUCGAAAUCUUCUAUGGUAAAUAAGACUGUCACAAUGUGAAGCCAAUUUGUAUCCCGUUGCCAAUGGAACAGGAGGAAUUAUUUCCCACCAAUCUAAAACAUAUUCGCAGCACCAACCUUGAAAUCAUGUAAGAGCUAACCACCAUUCAACAUGAGAUUGUUCUGCUAGGAAAACAUGAUAUCAAACUUUUGAACAAAUAGUACACCAUCAAGUCCAAAUAUAUUCACAGCUCAAAGACAUGAGUCUCCAUCUUCUUUCCACCCCAUAUUUCUGGUCCACUCUCUAUUAAUGCUUGAAUCUUCAGCUACUUCAGGUACCUGUAAACCAAUUCAAGCAUGGCAUGCUCAUUUAACUUGUAAAUCUUAUUAUUGAGAGAAACAAGAAACAAACACACUAAAAGAGAGGCAAGAAAUCAAGUCAAAUCAGCAGCACCUCUGAUUGAGCAUUCAUUGAACCAUCUGGUGUAGUAGCAAAUUUUGUGGUCAGCUUUGGACAUUGAUGGACCUUCAACUUCUCCAAACGAGGGAAUAAGAAAUAAUCACACCAUCUGAAACUAAAACAGACAAUACUUGAUAAUUGUUCUAGCGACAACUCCUUUAGAUUAGGAAGCACUAUCUCCUUCUCAACGUUGAUAGGUGAAGCUUGACCAUCCUGCCCAGGAGACUCUGGAAUUAUUUCCCUUUCACCAUCCUCUUCUCUGAUAAUAUGCUUCAAUUGACCGCAUUUACUUAUGUAAAGUCUUUGUAGCUUUGGCAGACUUCGAGCGAGGGACGGUGUGAAGAUAAAUGUCAGUUUGUUGAGAGACUCCAAAUUCAGACGAUUAAGACUUUGGAGGCUGACAUGUCUAGAUGGCCCCUUCCAUAUACANNNNNNNNNNNNNNNNNNNNNNNNNNNNNNNNNNNNNNNNNNNNNNNNNNNNNNNNNNNNNNNNNNNNNNNNNNNNNNNNNNNNNNNNNNNNNNNNNNNNAAUACCUCUUCCAAUGAUUUACAGCUGUCAACAAUCACCUCCUUUAGAUUGUUCAAAGCUCGGAGCAAUUUUGCUGGAAACGGAGUGCGAACAUCCCCACAAUCGUCUACUCGUACAAAUUUUAAUCUUUGUAAGAAGCCGUUUUGCUGCCCAUGGACGGCCAUCUUAUCAGAGAACAAUAUUAUAUUUUUUCACUCUCAUAAAAACAAUUUAUAUGAUGUAUAAAUAGGAGAAAAAAAUAGAAAAAACAGGAUUAAAUACUUUUUUUUUGUCUUAAUUAGAGAUAAGUUGAAUAAUAAUUAGAUUUUUGCGAAAAAAGGUUAAUACAACUCCUAAUAAUUAGUUUCAUGUAAAAAAUAAAAAUAAAAAUAGUAGCUAAAAUUUUUAUUUUAGUUAUAAAGUUAAUAAAUUUUUAAAGAUAUUUUAAUUGAAUUAAAUAUUUGAACACAAAAGUUAUAUAUUAAAUCUAACAGAUAUUAUGAUUUCUAUGAUUAAUUUUUGGUAUUAAUAACGCAAACAACAAUGAGGCAGUUAAUUUUCUUAUAUUUAUAUAUGUUUAGAUAAAAAAACAAAUCAUAAAAAAAAAAAAUAAGCUACUAUGUUUGUUAUAUAAUUAAAAAAAAAAUUCAAACUUGGAUUUCCUAGCAUUUAUCAAUUACUUUACUUUUAGAAAUUGGGAGGAAGAAAGAAUAAAUUAUCGCAAUUGACAAUUUAAAUUAGUGGAGAAAUAUAAAUUACGUACUUGUAGCUGUGCCAACCAAUUACCCACUUCUUCGUGGCCUUCAAUGGUUAAGUCUAUGAUGCCAUCUCUGUUAUGAGACAAAGAGACUGGGAAGACAUAUUCCAGUUUACCACAGUGAGAUAUGCGGAGAGUUUUUAAUUUUGGGAAGCGAGGAGACUCUGGAAUUAUUUCCCUUUCACCAUCCUCUUCUCUGAUAAUAUGCUUCAAUUCACCACAAUCACUUACCUGAAGUCUUUUUAGCUGUGGUAGACUUUGAAGAGUUAGAGACACGGAGACAGGGAAGACAUAUUCCAGUUUACCACAGCCUUCUAUGAUGAUAGUUUUUAAUUUUGGGAAGCAAGGAGACUCUGGAAUUAUUUCCCUUUCACCAUCCUCUUCUCUGAUAAUAUGCUUCAAUUCACCGGAUUCACUUAUGCAAAGGGUUUCUAGCUUUGGCAGACUUUGAGCAAGGGACGGUGUGAAGAUAAAUGUCAUUUUGUCGAGAGAAUCCAAAUGCAGAUGAGCAAGACUGUGGAGGCUGACAUGUCUGGUGGGCCCCUUCCAUAUGCAUUUGAGCUCAGGUAACCGGUACAGCUUUAACUCUGUUAAAGAUGACAGCAACGGCAGCUCCUUCUCCUCACCCAAUUCAAAUACCUCUUCCACUGAUUUGCAGUCCUCAAUUUCCACCCUCCUUAGAUUUUUUAAACCUUGCUGCAAUCUUGCUGGAAACAGAGUGAAAACAUCCCCACAAUCCCUCACUUCUACAAAUUCUAAUUUAUGUAAAAACAAUUGCUCAAAUGUCUUCGCAUUUAAGGAUGUACCACCCAAAAUUAAUCUUGUGGAGGUUGGGUAUCCAUUAGAAUAAUAUUUAGUAGUAUUCCCUAACAUUAAAUCAUAUUUGAGCAAGCUGGGAAAAACAAAAUCUCUGGGAAUGCAUUCAACCUUCGGUAUCCUCAAUGAUAAUACGGCUAACUGAGACAACGAAUUUAGUUCUGUUAGGCUUGCAUUCAUUCCUCCUGUGCUGUCACAUCCAACAUCAUCCCAUCCCUUAAAGCUGUCUUUCCCGAUCAACAAUUCUUCUAACUUCUUCAACCUUCAAAUCAAAUUCACAGGGAUCCUUCUUAGACUUCGACAACCUGUCACAUCCAACAACCUUAACUCCUUGAGCUCUCCUAUUUCAUCAGGUAAUUCUUCAAUGGAUAAGCACAUUAUAAAAACAAGAAUCUUAAGUCUCUGCAGCUUUCUCAACCAAAUGAGGUCCUUGCAUCCACACCUGAUCAACACCAACGAUUGAAGUUUCGUUAAGAGUUCAAGUGAUUGCAAUGACAAACACUCUCCCUCCAGAGACAAAACUUCAAUUUCUUUCAUCCCUUCAAAAAACCUCUGAGGAACAUUCAUACCAUCAUCCAGUUCUAAUAAUAGAACUUUGAGCCGUGGACAUACCAAUCCUUCAGGAAGUUCGGUUAGUUUAUUGCCCAUUAACGAAAUUGUUGUACAAGCUUCAAAGCUUUUGAUACUCAUUGGCCAUUCCUUCAACCCAAUGCCAGCCUUUACCAUGAAUCCAUAUUCUUCUGAUGAUGCUAUCUGAAUAGCAAAGUCACGAACCAAGUCAUGCAUUCUCACAUGUUCUUCAGUUUCAGUGCCCAACAGCAUGCAACAAUCUUUGAGGUUUUCGAUUGCCACGGAAACUCGUUUCCUUGCAUCUUCAAUGGGCUCCGUAUCUUGAUGUAACCCACAGCCAACUGCAUAUCUCGUCAAGUCCUCGAUUGGAAUGUCAUAAUCUUCUGGAAAUAAACAGCAUAGCACGAAACAUGACUUGGUUUCCUCGUACUUCAAAUAAUCAUAGCUCAACUUAAGACAUGUGUAAGCAUUAUUUUGUUCGUCAAUUUGUUCCAUGCGCACAAAUUGAGAUUCUUUGAGCUGUUUAGACGCUACUUCCCACUGAACUCGUGAUUUACCUCUUAGAGCCCUUCCCACUGUCACAAGUGCUAUAGGCAAGCCUUGGCAUUCUCUCGCAACCUCCCUUGCCACUGUGUUCAAGGUAGAGUCCCCAUCACGUAAACCUGCAUUGAUUCUGAAUAAAUCCCAUGCUUCAUCUUCAGGUAAGACUCUUAAAAGCACUUUUUGCUGGCACUCCAUAGAAAAACAUAUGCCUUGAACACGAGUUGUUAGAAGAAUUUUACAACCCCUGUGAUCAUCACCAAAUGGGAUCCCUAUCUCUUUCAAGUCAAUAUGUUUCCAAACAUCAUCUAGGAUUAUAAGCAUCUUCUUUCCCUGCAGUCUCUGCCAUAAUUCACUUGCUCUACCUUCUUUACUCGUUUUUUCAAAUUUCAGAUGUAAACUAUCUGCCAUUCGAUCCUGGAUGCCUAUGACAUUUGGAUUCUGGGACACCGUAGCCAUCAAAACUUCAGGAAAAAGCUGCGACUCUUUGGCUCUCCUGCCUACUUCUUUCACCAGGGUUGUUUUACCCACCCCUCCCAUGCCGUACAGUCCGAUCAUAUUGACGUUGUCAUCUUUGAGAGCUUUCAUGAUCUGUUCCAAAGCUUCUUUUGACGAUUCUGAGGGUGUGAAUUCCUUUGAUGUUAGAAAUUCUAUGGGCUGAGGAGGAGCUUUUUGGGCCACUGUUUUAAACUUUUCGCUACUUUCUCCAAGUUUUCUGAAAGUCUUCGACUUCUUGGCCAGUGCCUUGCUUAACUUGAAUUGUCGCAUNNNNNNNNNNNNNNNNNNNNNNNNNNNNNNNNNNNNNNNNNNNNNNNNNNNNNNNNNNNNNNNNNNNNNNNNNNNNNNNNNNNNNNNNNNNNNNNNNNNNNNNNNNNNNNNNNNNNNNNNNNNNNNNNNNNNNNNNNNNNNNNNNNNNNNNNNNNNNNNNNNNNNNUUUGCCGAAACCAGGUUCUCCUUUCGUUCUUUGAAUUCUUCAACAAAAUUGUAGAAACAGAACAUGCAACGGAACAGCCUUCCUACUGGUUCCACCAUGAGUUCUGCUAGCAUAGCUAUAAUGGAUCCACCAGCACUUUCGAGAGCCAUUUUCCACAGGUCUGAAAAUCAAAGAAAUAAGGAUACAGAACGUGAGAGUGAGUCACUACAAGUAAAAGAGGCUUAAAGAGAAUGGGAAUAGGAAUUUCAUUACCUUAAUUUGGGAAAAUAUGUGCGAAAAGCACUGGUAUUGAGUGUUCAAUGAAAUAGCGGGAGGAAGAAGAGGAGAAGGCCUUUAGCUCUGUAUGGAAUCCAGCUUCAAAAGCAACAAGGCAAGGUACAAGUAUAACAAUAAAAUAGUUUACAUGGAUUCUAACGGACUCUUGUGAGUUAAAGCAUUAGUUCCCUUUAAAAAUGCAUUUUGAUGACAUAAUUAAGAUAAUAUAGAGACAGUGACAAACAAAUAAAAAAAUGUGUAAAAGAACUCACCUAGCAAAGAAAGAAACGAAUGAAAGGUUCAGGAUAAUCACUUAGACGCCUCCAUGGAUGAUACCAGCUCGCUUCCAACAACAAAUAUAAUUAACCUAAGCUAUGAUCGGUCAAAGUUUUUUUUAGUUUUCUUUUUUUUUUUAAAAAAAAAAAGAUCAACAAGAGAAAAUUAAGACUUGCAGGAACGAACUCAACAAAGAAUGAAACUAAAAGAACCAUGUUUUUUAUGAUGAUCAUCUCCGUGUCACCCACUUGGGUAAUAUGAUUGACCCGAGUGUGUGACAUCCAGAGUGCGGUUACUUUUUUCAUCCCUCUUUUUUGGUUUUAUUUUAUUUCAGUUCUUCAAGUCUUUUUCUUUUGCUAUUUCAUCGAGUUGCUUUGCUCUUGAGUUGUUGUGCUUGCCCUCAAGUAUGCAUUAUGCUAGGAAUUAUAAUUACAUAUUAUAAUUACAAAUUUCAGUUUUUUAAAAAACAAAAAAAAUAUGAGAAAGGACCAAUAUUACAAUGUGAGCAAAUGAAAGGAGAAUUUUAAAUUUUCUUGUGACAUGGUGACCAAGUAAUCCAAGGAACCAAUAGAUUAUCGCCACUUGUUCAACCUUAUCUGCACAUUAAGAUAGGGGUAGAAAGUAGGAAAGAAAAAUCAUAAUCCUAGAUUUUAUUGUGACAUGGAGAUAAAGGUAAUCUCAAAAGCUAAUAGAUGGUCCUUUAUCUACCCUUAGGAAAAGAUAGAAAGUAGGAGAGAAAAGUCAUAAUCUUAGAUUUUAUUGUGAUAUGGAGAGUUUCUCUCAACUCAUUUUUAGACCUCAACUGAUGAAGAUGGUGUGUAUUUUUUUUUAAAUCAAGUGCAUGUGUUUGUUGAAAAAUUGAUAAAAAUAAAGGAGAAAGAAAUAUUUUUUUCGAACCCUGUUUGAGGUGUUUUCUACUCUUUAUAUCCUCCUCCUUUGAUGCCAAAAGCAUCAGGUUUCUUAGGCUAAUAAGGAGUCUUCAUAUAAAUCCCUCAUAAUUUGCAUUUGUUUUUUUAAAAAACUGAUUAUGCUGCUGUCGUAAUUUUUUAUUCCAACUUAGGCUCUAAUUCUGACUUGGUUUCGUAUGAUAUUUGACCAUCCUACCUAUUUUUAUCACUCAUGACAUGUUGAAGAAUUGACCUAUACCUUUAUUGGGUCCUAGGGGUCAUUGUUCUUAGGGUAGACUCUCAGUCAGAUUUGGAUGCUUGGCAUUGUCAGAUCAAGAAAACCUUUUUGACCAACCAGAUUCCUGUCAGAUUCUGUUAUCUAAAACGAUUUUAUCUCACUUCAAAUCCUUCAUCAAAGUUGUAGUCUGGGACAAGUAGAUGAAUUUGAGCUUUUGAAUUGCUUGAUUUGAAGAUAUUCCUGUUUGAAAUCUAGCAUGAAAGCAUAAAAUCCUGCCGCGAGAAGGUUUCCAGUCGAGUUUGGUUGCAAUUCUGUUAUUCAAAAGGAAUUUAUCUCAUUUUUAUCUUUCAUGAAAGUUGUAGCUCUACAAGUGUAGAUGAAUUUGGGACUUUUCAAUCGCUUGAUUUUGAUAUCAAAAGCUCAUAAUAUUCUCGUUUGAAUAUCUAACGUGAAAGCAGAGAAUUCUGUCGCGAGAAGGAUCUUGACCCGAGUUUUGCACUAAAGACUCUAUUUCCAUCACAAAAAUUAUUGAUUUGUUCUUAGGUCAUACUCUCAGUCAUAUCGCGAUGCUCGACGUUGUCAGUUUCUGAAUUAGAUCAGGAGACCCUUUUUGACCAACCAGAUUACUGCCAGAUUCUGUUCUCUAAAACAAUUUUAUCUCACUUCGAAUCCUUCAUCAAAGUUGUAGUCCUGGACGUGUAGAUGAAUUUGGGCUUUUGAAUCGCUUCAUUUCAAUAUCAAAAGCUCAAGAUAUUCUCAUUUGAAUAUCUAAUGUGAAAGUAGAGAAUCCUGCCGCGAAAAGGGUUUAUCCCAAGUUCGCAGGUCUUAUUUGAAGGAUUUUUUUGGACCAAGGACUAAAUUGAAAAGUGCUAAAAUGAGGGAUUUAAUUGAAGAAGGAUAUUGGAAGCUGGAGAGGGGGGCUGGAUCAUCAUAAAUGACGGGAUUUCUACCACACCGAAUAAGGAAAAUAAGACUUUGCAGCAUGCACCGUUACCCAUCUGAUUUCUUUUCUUUUUCUUUGCAAAUUUCUUGCUGGUUUCCACGUUUCUCUUGCUGGAUUGGAGAGCUCCAGGCCAUGUUUUUAUUGCCUCAUUUCAAAGGAAACAGCUGGUGUCUCAUGAUCCCAGAUUUGGAAGGAAAGAAAGGAGUCGCACUAUCCUCUAAAAUACUGGAAAGAAAUCAGAUAUGAUCACAGAAUCAGAAUCAAAAUAUUUUGGUUUCCUAUUUCUACUCACCCGAGAUUACACCCUAGAGUUAAUGUAAUAUUUGUUUUCUAAAUAGAGCUGCGUUUUAGGUUAUAAGCCUCCUCUACUGGGAGAAGAAAGGGAUGAAAAAAAAGAAGGGAAGCAGGACAGAAAAGAGGGAGAACAGGAGAGGAGAAAAGGGGCCAAAUCUAAACCCUCUCUAGAGGAGCGCCACCCCCCCCCCCCACUGGCUUCUGUUUUGGCUCCCAGAACAGGCCACAACGCAGAAAAGGGGGGGGGGAGGCCUUUUCUUUCAUCCUUUGGUUACUGUGAAGACUUUACUGAACGGGGAAAGAAAAGAAAAGGAAAGGAGGAGCAGAGGAAAAAACAAGAAAAGAAAGACAAGAAAAAACAUAAGAGAGGCAGGGAGUAGGAGAGAAAAAAACAGAGAACGAGGGAGUUUCUUUCCUUCAUCCUUGCGUUGUUGGGAGAUCAGGAAGGCAAGCAGUAUAAGAGAAGAAGGAGAAGAAAAAGCAAGAAAAACGAGAAAAGAAAGAGAAACCAUAAACAAGCAGAGACUGCCUUUUCGGUCUUGCUUUCAUUUUUCUGCAUAUAACAUCUGCAGAACAGGGAAGGAGAAAGUGCAGGAACCAGGGAGAGAGGGUGACGAAGACGCAGAGAAAAGAAAAAAUCAGAAAACAGACGCAAAUAUAGAACAAGAGGAAAAGGUUUGAAACAGAUGAAACAGACCGAUCAACCAUCACGCUUUCAACGUCAAGGCAGCUUCUUCGCUUCCGUUCCUAGGUCUGUUCUCUUCACCUCUCGCACCAUGCAUUUUUUUGCUUUGUGUUUGCAUUGUUCAAGUGAAUUUUAACUCACUUGAAUAGUAACGUGGUCUCUUUGCAUGCAUUUUACUUUGUUCAUUGAGAGGAUUGCGCCCUUUUUUUUGUGUCCAGCCGGGUCACUUGCAGCCAGACCUACUAUUUUUUUCUUUUAAAAAAAUAAAAGAAAGAGAAAGAGAUUUAUGAUUUUCUGGCAUAUUUAUUUAAGGUCUGAAUUUUUUUUAUGUUGUAAAAAAUAUCAAUCUCGUAUUUAGAAUACCCGGUUUUCGACGCAAUGUGACAAAUAUACAUAUAUAUCAAAAAUGUUUUCUUGUGUGUUGCAUACGGCCAAUACCCUAACAUGUUUUGAACGUUCUUUUUUAUACAAAAAAUAUUGGAAGUUUCAAAAAUGUGUCGCAUGGAUUUCUUAAACACAACAAAAAUUAUUUUCUUGCAUUUCUGGAUUUUACAACAUGUUUGUAAAACUCCAAAGGGUAUUGGCCAAUAUUCCAAAAAAAUAAAAAAUCUUAUUUUGGAGGGAAUUAAUCUAUUGUUCACCAUUAAUGUUUGGAUAAAGAAAUCUCAAAGGGAUGAAUAUCCAAAAUAUUAUUGGAAAUAACUUGUUAUUAUUCACUGUUAAUAUUUGGAUAAAGAAAUCUUAAGUGGAAAAUAUCCAAAAUAAUUUUCUAGAAAGAAUAAGUCAUCACACAUCCUUGAAAAAAGCCUUGAUUAUAAUCGAGGACAUUUUAAUUUUUUACUCCACGGUUUAUGAGCCGUGAGAGUUUAAAACACUAAGGCAAAAAUAAGCUUUUAAAGCGCCCUAAAUUUCUAAAUUUUUGUCCCUCCUCCUUGCGAUUUACGAGUUGCAAACUCUUAAAAUACUAAGGGAAAAUGAGCUUUUAAAGCACAUGGAAUCUCCUUGGAUUUCUAUCUUAAUAAAUUUAGUUGAAUCAAACCUAGAAAAACUGAUGGGAUUAGAAAAACACCAACACCAUAGCAAUUAUAAAGCAAACCAAACACCAAGCAGCUUACCUUAGGUAGGGCGUACUAGGGGUGUUAAUACCUUCCCUUUACGCAACCAGUCUCUUGCCUUAGAAUCUCUAAAAGACCAGUUAGGGUUCCUAGUGACUAAAAUAUUAGGUGGCGACUCUUUUUUCCACACAAAAAAAACCGAAAUCAAUCAAGGGUCGUCGCAAUGGUGUGACAAACAUCAUCAUUACCCAUCAACAUAACUCCUCCAUCGAACUCUUUAAGUCUUGAGAACAAGUGUUUGUUGUGGCACAUGUGAUAGGAAAAUCUAAAAUUAAAAACCCAUUCACUGGAAUGGUUUUAUGGUGAUGAGACCAUGAAUGAAGAGUCUUGUUCAUCUUCAUCUCAUGCAAUAUUCAUAGUUGGUUCAUCCUUUUUUGUUGUCCUUGUUGCUUUUAUUUGGACAAUCUUUCUUCUAGUGUCCUUCUAUCUUAAAUAAAUAGCAGACAUGCUUGGGUCCUCUUUUUUUUCCCUUUGUGAGUGUACAACGCACAGUGGUAGGCAACCUAUAUUUCUUUUAUUAUUAAGCAAACAAUAAUUCACCUAAUGGUUGGAUCAUCUAAAACUUGCUAUUAUAACGAUAGCUGGAAAAAUAUAGGGUUGGUAUAAUAAUUUAAUUUUUAAUUCAUUGACAUCUAAAAAUACUAUAAAUUUUUUUUAUAAACCACUUACCAGCUCCAAAACAUCCUUAAACCAUUCAAAAGACAAAAAAAAAAAAAACUAAAUCAAAAAAAUCUAAAAGAACUUGAAUCUAUUUUUUUCAGGUAAGAUGAAUGACAGAGAACACUUAAAUGUAACUUUUCUCCUCGAAAGAAACCCGUUUAUACAAAGAAUGAUUUUUUCAUGGUCAUAAUCUUGGCAAUCAAAAACUUUUUUAUUUUAUCAUCAUUUUUCAAUGUUUCUCUUUCUCUCAUCUCUCAAACCAGAGAUCAAGAUUAACAUCCAAUCCCCAAAUUAGAAGGGAUCAAAAUGUAACUUUGACAAAACCAAAACAUAAAAUUUAACAAAAAAACCUAGACUCUUUUAUUCUUCUUCCAUUUGGUUUCUUAACUUUUAAUUUUGUAAAAAUAAUAAAAUCACAUAAAUUUCAAUAAAAUUAAAAAUCAAUUUAAUGACAAGAAGUUUUGUCAAGAAUAUAAUAGUCUCGUGAAAAAGCAAGAAAGAACAAAUUAUAAAGAUUGAUUCCAAUGAACACAAUGUGAAACAAUUAAAUAAAACAUUGAAGAGCAUUCAAAAAGAAAACAUUGUUUAGCCCAAUUCACAAAUUCCACUAAAGAUUCCACCUUUCUCACCUUUGAUUUCUGUGUCGCCGGUCUCCGUCUUAUUUGGUUUUGGUAUCUGUCAUUGUUUUUUUUUUUUUUUUUUUUUUGGGGGGGGGGGGGGGGGGGGGGGGGAAAAAAAUUUUUAGCGGGGGAAAAAGAAAAAUAUUUGCCGCCUAUUACUUUGUAAUAAAUAAAUUAAUUCUCAAAAAAUAGUAAAUUAAACUUGCCUUCAAUUAGGAUUUGUGUUCUUCAAUUUUGAACCUUUUCUUUUAAUCCCACAAGUAGUAUUUUGCUAUUUAGUUUACUACUACAUUAUAUUUAUAUUUAGUUUCAAGUUUUUCUUAAAAAAAUCUUAAUAUAUUUUUGUGUUCUUUUCUAUAUUCUACUUUUUACAACUUUUUCUUUAAAAAAACAUUAUUUUCUACUUUUUUAAGUUUUUCUUUAAAAAAUAAUAUUUUUUUAUCAAAUCUUAAACAAUUCAUUCAUAUUUGAAUUCAUAUAUUUAUAAGAAUUUAAUUUUUGUAAUUGAUUUUUAAAUCUCAUUCCAAAUUUAUAGUGUAAAGAUUAAACUGAAUUGGUUAGGUUGAUAAACUAGCACGAAAUCCAGAAAUGGAUAAUGCUCGUAAGCCCAACACAAAGCAAUACCCAAUGGAGUCCAGCUAAAGAAGUAGAAAGGGCCGAAGGGAAUCUUUUUAUUAGGAAGCUGCUACAUUUUCAAACAAGAAGUAGAACCCUUCGGUUAUAGUCGUCAAGAAACAGAAUAACAACAAUGGACGAAGUUCAAGAAAGAGAGAAAAAAGACGAAUUCGAUGCAUCAGAGAUUGAAUACGUUAGCUAUGGUGGUGAGCAUCACCUACCAUUAAUCAUGAAUCUUGUCGAUCAAGAACUUAGUGAGCCUUACUCCAUCUUCACCUACCGUUACUUUGUUUAUCUUUGGCCACAACUUUCUUUCUUGGUAAGUGUGAUUCUUUUCUUCUUUUAUGUUGUUGGGAUUUUUUUUUUGGUGUUGUAACUGUGUUUUUGUUGGUGGGUUUUCAAUUUCAGGCCUUUCACAAAGGCAAAUGUGUAGGGACUGUUGUAUGUAAGAUGGGGGAUCAUCGGAAUUCAACUUUUAGAGGUUACAUUGCUAUGUUAGUUGUCAUCAAACCUUAUCGAGGAAGAGGCAUUGGUAAUGGCUUCUUCUUUUUUUCAUAUUGGGAUUUUGUGCACAGUUUUAGGUUGUGUUGGAUUAUAUAUGUGAAUCCUGGAUUGGUUUUUAAUGUACUAUAGAUCUAUUGGAAACAAGAAAGGAAAGGGGGUGAGGGUUUUCAAGAAAUUGGACGUGCAUUGAUAACAUUAAUGGUAGAAAUAUGGAUGUUUGGAAUGAUUAUGUGUAUAAUAAACUGGCUGCAUUUGAUUUGAACUCAAGGUCCAUUCUUUGUUUUCCUACACUUGGGAUGGCAUUUACAAAGGAUUGGAUGUGGGCUUUGAUAGUUUUUAGGCUUUGUGUUGAUAUAUCAUGUUUUUCUUGUUAAUUGUGUUGUGUAUGGGUACGUUGUAAUUUCCAGUGAAAUUCUCUCCAGACUGCAGCUACUGAACUUGUUACCAGAUCUAUUCAAGUGAUGAUGGAAUCGGGAUGUGAAGAGGUUUGUCGAGUUUUAGUUGUUGUACCUUUUGGUUUGUACUCAUCUAAAUGGAGCAUUAUUCAUACAACUAUAUCACAAAGGAAGUACGGAUUUUUUAUCCUCAAGCUUUAGUUGUACUUUCCAUGGUACCAAAUGAGCAUAUAGGAGAGUAGAAAUAACUACAUUUCCUAAGCAUUACCACCAAACGUUGGAGCUCUGUUUGGGGCUUGAAACAGCAUGGGAAACAAAGGAGAAUUAUGAAACUGCUUAAGUGGUUACCUUCACUGCCAAUUAUAGGAGAGUUGAAAUAGUUUUCCUUUCUACUCCAUUGUGCUCUUUGAUCUCAAACCAAAGAGAAAAAUAAGCUUUCCUCUCGAGUUUGACUGGCACCUUGGCAUGUGUGUAAAUGGUGAUGCCGUAUCUUUUAUUCACACCUCCAAAAACCUUUUCUUCUGAAAUUUCUUGGUGUUUGUGCAUUACUCUGUAGUAACACCAUGUCUCUUAGACACUUCAUGCUUCAUGUGUUAUUUCAAUUCUAUCUCUCCUCUUAGUUACCUCAUGCUGCAUGUGUUAUUUCAAUUCCAUCUCUCCUCUUGCUUUAAUCUUUAUUAGGGUUAAGUGAGCCAGUCCUUGGAGGUAUCCCUGCACAUGGAUAGUAGUCCAUGCAAACAAUGAAUUAUGUUGUUAAUGUGCUGCCAGUUUAUGCUCCCUGCUAGAAGUCCAAAAUAUUACAUGUCAUGUGUGAUGAUUUUGACUUGCAUUGACUGAUUGCACCUACGUGACCAAUUUAGGACUUGCAGCUGAUAUAUUGAUAUGGUUAAAUUGAACUGUCCCAGAAAUUUUCAUUUCAUUAUCUCGAGGUUGAAAUUGUGAGAAAAAAAAAUUAAAAGAAUGAUUCCAUGGAAAAAAAAAAAAAAAAAAACGAGAUCAAUGGAAAUUUACUGCUGAGAAAGGAAUAUGGUUUCAUUCAAUGUAAACGCAACUCCAUGCUUUGCUGCAGUAUCAUAGUUCUGAACGAACUUAAAUAUUGUCCCAAGAAGCCAAUAAUUUGUGAGGCCUUGGCUUUGCUGAUAUUCCUUGUGUUUUUGAAUGAUGCGUUAAUUCUAUUUCUAGUUAUUUCACCUUGAUGCAUGAAUUUGCUCUCAUUUCUCAUAUCAGGCAAAGAACAUAGAAUGAAAAGGUGGGAGAGAAUAUAGAAUCCGAAUAAACUGCUAUGACUUUAAUGUAGGAUAUCAGAACAGCUCAAAUGAACUGCAUGAUUAUUUGACUGUUUUUCCACCUUAACUGGUGAUAAGUGGUCCACUCUGGAACACAAGCAUGCCACAUUAAAGAAUAUGGUCCAUUAAAUAACUAACUACAUUCCCCCCUAUUUGCUUAUGAUUUAGCAUAUCCCAACUUUAUAUUUAUGUAUUCAAGCAUAUCACUUUCUUAACUACAUUGUUGUUGAUCUUUUAUUGUGUUGUGUUUUUCUCUUUCCUCUUCGAAGGUAACAUUGGAAGCAGAAGUUACAAAUAAAGGAGCACUUGCACUAUAUGGCCGUCUUGGUUUUAUUAGAGCAAAACGACUCUUUCACUAUUACUUGAAUGGAGUUGAUGCCUUUCGUCUGAAGCUGCUAUUCCCCCAACCAGAGUUAUACCCCUCUUUGCCUAUGAUGGCUGAUAGAGACGAUACACACGAGCAUGAUGAUUGCUAGCCAAUGGAUGAGCUUUCUGAGCUCCGAGCUCCACAGAGGCUUGGAACUAGUGGGCUUUCUACCAUUCAUUACACAGUCUCUGCGAGCUACAAGGAUGGUUUGAUAUUUGAUCUUUAGAGAGGCAGCACAGCCUCGUAACCUACACAGGGAUUCGCACAAAUGUGGGUUCUUGGUCAUGUCAUCUUUGUUCACUGAAGUCGAUGUACAUGUUUUAUUGGCCUUGUCUAAUAGAAAUGUAUCAACAUACGAGGCCGAAGCUCACAUACUGUAAUACUUGCACAUUAUAGAUGUGGCAGCUAUGACGAAAACAGCCAAUCUCUCUCUGUUCACUCUCAAAAUAUUUGAUUGAGGCGAAGAUCAAGUCUAAAAGACCAAAAAUGCUUCAGCAAUGGUUUGGUACAAAGGGUAUGAUGGUGACUUGAGACAAUAGUGGGUUACUUACCAUAACAGCCAAUGAAACACAGUCAAACCAAGAAAAUCCCAAAUGUUAAAAUAAUAUCCAUGCGUCUCUCUCUAAUGGCUGCAGGAUAUAUAACAUUUGAUUUGCGUUGUAUGGUAGGUGGGUUGCUCAAUUGAGUCAGCUGCAUGCCUAUUCUAGUCAAAAGGCUUAAGAAAGUAGCAAUACUAUUUUAAAAGUGUUUUGUUGCUACGACUUCUUGGAGGUUGCAGCACCAAUCAAAAUGUUUUUAAAAACCAUAUUCUAAUGUGUAGUUGUGUUAAUUUACAAGCACCCGCAUUGUUAAUUUGUUUGAAUUUGGUGUGUUGAAGAAAUGUCUUCAAUUUGUUAAUAUUCUCCCAAGUUUAUAUGCUCUCUAUCAUUUUAAUAACCAGAAUUAUUUUGAUAAUUAAGCAACCAAGCAUUUACGAUAUGAUGAUAUGAGUCAAUGAACACUGCACCUCUUCAGUUAAGUUGAUCUAAUUGGCAUUGUCUAAUAGAAAUGCGUCAACAUAUUAGACCUAAUACAUGUAACAUAUUAUGAAAAGUUAAAAUUAAAAUUACAUUACUGUUUUUACUGUAGCCAAUUUAAUGUUCACCCUCUCAUUUCAUUGUGGAUUUCAGUAGUAAUAUAUUUGAAAAGUUUCAAUUUAAUCUUUAAAUUUUUAUUUUGCAUAAUUGAGCUCUUUUCAGCUCAAAUUGAAUGCCAAUUUAUAUUUUUUUGGGGUGAGGGUUGAAUUAAAAGAAAGAGGGCUUAAGUGAAAAAUAAAAGUAACAUAGGUGACGGCUGUGCAAUUAUUNNNNNNNNNNNNNNNNNNNNNNNNNNNNNNNNNNNNNNNNNNNNNNNNNNNNNNNNNNNNNNNNNNNNNNNNNNNNNNNNNNNNNNNNNNNNNNNNNNNNGUUCAUUAUAGUCCCUUAUUUUUUAGCUUUGAAAGAUUUUUUUGUUUCGGAUUGAUUAUGAGUUUUAAGGUGUUUUCUUUUUUUUGUGUUUUUUAAGGCUAUAAAUUGGUUAAACAAGAAUCCAGAGUGUUUCCUAAAUAUUUUAGGUUAAAAAUAAGUUGAAAUAGGUUUUUUGGUUGAAAAAAUAAGAACCCUAUUCAAAAAAUAUUUUUUGCAUUUAUGUUUUGAUUAAUACUUAUUCUUUGCGAUUUUUUUAUUUAUUUAGUUUUUUUAAAUAACAAUUAUUUUUAAAUUAUAUUAAAUAUUAAAAAUAAAUUAAAUUUUUAUUAAUAAUAAAUAUAAAUAUUUAUGUGAAUAUAAUAAAAUCAAGUAUAAAAACAGACGAUAGAUGAUGUGAGAACUCAAUCCCAUUCCAUUUCAGAAUCAAAAUGGGGAAUAUUUCCCGGCUCAAAGGUGCAAGAAAGUUGUUCGCUGAGGCUGUGGCAUGUGUAUAUUGAAUUCUUUGUUUCGAACAGAUCCAUUAUCCCGCUUGACCAACUGAGAGAUGAUUAAUAAACAAGAGAAAAGGACUAAUCAAUGGUUUAAUUUUCAAUUUCGAACAACAUAGUACAUGCAUUGCAAAAGUCAUGAUUUUUACCAAGAGAAUUUUGAUCUUUCUUGUUGUAGAGAAAUAUUUCCCAUUUAACUUCGUAAACACAUAUCUAUAUGAUAUUAAUUAUAUAAAAAAAAAUUAUAAGAUUUGAACUUAUAAUUAUUUUGUCAAUAAAAAUACUGUUAAGUUUGCACAAGCCCCAUUAUAUUAUGCUAUUAAUUAUAUAAAAAAAUAAAGAUUUGAACUCGUAAUUUAUGUGAAUUCAUUAAAAUAUAAAAAUAUCUUAAUUUAAAAACUUAAUCUAUCGUAUAAGAUUUUAAAAUAUUAUUUAUAUUAUUUUUUAAUACUAAUAAAUAUAAAUAAUCAUGUUCUUUGCCACACUCUUGAAACUAGUGAAAACUAUUUUUCUGGGCCAUCAAACGUGGGAGAUUUUUUCCAAGAAAAACAAGAUAGGUUAUUGUCAAUCAAAAGAUUAGCGUGACUUUACACAGCUAGAGCGCAUUCUUGUUGACUAAUUAAUAUUGAAUUCAAGGCUUUGAUUUAGCAAAAAUCAAGUUGGUGAGGCAUGUGAUUCAAAUCUUUCCAAUCUCGACCAAGCCUAAUAAACCAAAAACUAUAAUAUAUAUAAAAAAUAAACCUAACCAUCUAUACUUUUCCUUCUAAAUAUUCAUACCUCUUCAACUUUAUUAUACAUUUCAUGAUAAUCACUUGAAACUACAAGAGAGGAUUACCAUACGAGCUGCCAAUGAAACACAGUCAAACCAAGAAAAAUCCCAAAUGGCAUACAAUGUCCAUGCAUUUCUCCAUAGACUACGCAGGAUAUAUAACAUAUGAUUUCCAUGGCAUGGUAGGUUAAGGUUUGCUCAAUUGAGUCAAAUUCCCAUGCAAGUCAAAAGGCAAGGAAGUAAGUAGUGAUACUUGAAUUAUUUACUAGUACAAUCUUGGAGGCUGCAACACGAUUUUAACUAAGAAAAUUGAUCCGAGUAAUUAAUUGUCUAGGUAGUCUUAAAACCUUAUAUUAUAUUGGGUCAUUUUCGUAUUAUACAAGCACACGUACGUCUAGUUAACUUGUUUGAAUUUCAUGUGGUCUCCGAUAUUAUUCUCCCAAAGUUUGUAAGCUUAUCAUUUUAAUAAUCAAAAUUACUUAAUUUGAUAAUUAGUCAACCACACAUUUUGAAUAUGGUUAAUUAAAUGAUGAUGUGAGCUCCAAUUGCAUUGAUUUAUACAAUCUUCAUGUGAACGGUGUGGUCGAGACUCUUUAAUAUACUCAUACGUGAGAUUCUUUAUAUAUAAUAUACUUAGACAUGAGAUUCUUUAUAUAUAUAUAUAGUAAUGGAUUUCUUUGAGUAGUCUACAUAUUAAUUGAGAUUAGAUUUUUUUUCUCCAGUGAUCUUAAUUGUGUAUCUACUACAUUUGCUUGAUGUGUCUCGAUGAAUUUCAUAAAUUUUCUUGAAUACUAACUCUAAAUUUUGAAUAUAAAAAGUCAAAAAAUAAAACAAAUCCCUUUUAAAUUGGCGAAGAGAGCUAGAUAUGUGGAAUGUGCAUCUUUAGAAUUCAACUUAUCAUGUUGUUGAACGGGAACAAUCUAACGUUUUGGAACCACCUAUGUGAACUUGGCAUAACAUGCAGGAGAAUUUAUUAAAUUCUUUUGAAAAUAUUAGGCUAAUAUAGGAAGUAUGUCUUUAAAAAUCACUAAAAAAAUAAUUUUAGUUUACAUGCAAGUUAUCCAUCGGAAAAGAUAUAAGUUAUUUGUGCAAGUUAGGGAAACUUUUCAUAUAUUAUAACUAGAUUAUUUCUCAUAGCUAUGCUGUGAAUUGAAUUAAAUUUUUUUAAAUGUAAAAAAAAAAAUAUCUAAGCCAUGAAGAACUAUUUAAGAUUAUUAUUAAAUCUGGUUUAGUGUGUCAAACUUGAAAACUCCUGACUGAACUCCUUAUCUAAUCAUAUUUCAAAUUAAAUCUUGUAAAAUUAUUCUAACGUGACCUAGUCGACUUAGUGGAUAUAAAAGCUAAAAAAUAAAAGAAAAAAUAAUGACCAAAAUAAAAGUAAAGAGAGAGAGAUCAGGCGCACGAGUCUAAGGACAAUAUGGAUAAUUAGUAAAAACAUAGUUUGACUUUUUUAAAAAAAUUUAAAAUAACUUUUUUUUAAAAAAAACAAUCAAACAGUGAUAUAUUGAAUCGAUCUGAGUUAACUUGUCAAACUUGUGACCAGGAUCAUGAAUUCCACUAGAUCUAAUAACAAUUAAUUAUAUGAUAAAAAAUAUGAAGACUAGUUCAAAACCAACUAAAUAUUGAAUGAAAAAAAUGAAUUUUUUUUUUAAAAUACAGCAAAAACUCAAUGUUAAAUGAUAAAACUUGAGAGAAAAAAAAUACAAGUCAUGUGCGUGAACUUGGAUUAUAACAACGAAAAAAAAAUCUUAGCUUUGUAAAGAUAUCUUAAGCCUUUAACUCAGGAAAACAAAAUGAAUUUUUUUUCUACAUUUAGUAUCAGUAAUCCAUAUUGUCAUUUUAAUCUCAUGGUUUAAUUCAAUUCGAUAUAACACAUUCAUAUACAUUACAAAUAUCAUACAAUUAUGAUUGAUGUUUCUAAUUUUUAUCAAAAUUUCAGCAGAGUCUUCUUUGUCUAGGUAACCAAACAGUUCUUCUCUUCUUCUAAAAACCUACAUAACGAUCAAGGAGAGUUUCAAAUCCCACACAUAAACAAUUUAUAUCCAGGUAUUGGGCCUCAGGCCAUUCAAUCAAUCAAUCAAUUCAUAAUAGUUCACACCUAUUAAAGUUUAUUGGGUACAUUUAAAUAAUUUAAACUUAGCUUUUCAUCAAGAUAGCAUUUCAUUACAAGAACAACAUUAUAAAUACUUAUUCAUAUUACAAUCCCCGUUCAUUUGAAUUACAAUAUACUACUAAGAACUCAUCUAACAUUGUAACUAAGAAAAUUAGAAUCUUGUCUUAGCAUGUGAUAUUCCAGAUCAUAAACAUGAAAAUUAUAGAAAUUUAAAUAAGAUAUUUAUUACAACACAAUUAAAAUAUGUCAGAUACAAUAUAUAUAUAUGAUUUUUCAUGGAGCAAACAUAAUUUCUUUGGAUAAUAAUAGAAUCGACUCAUUUGUCAUAAUCUCUACUAAUUUUAAGUAUUGUAUAGUCACCUCGUCAAGGUAAUUCCAAGCUUUAUCUUCUCAUCUAAAAGUUAUAUCUUGUUCAUAAAUCCAUCUUGGAAACUUUAUCUAUCGAAGCUCACCAUAAAGUUUUAUUAAUGGUAAUUAAAGGCCUAUUCCACGUAUCCUACCCUAUGCUAUUAAUUUAUCAAAGGUAAAUUAUCAUUUGUACUCUUUGCUCUAUAUGUUUCUUAAGGAAUUAAAUCCUUUACUAGUAUCGCCCUACAAUUUUAAAUAAAUAUAAUUAAUGAUUUAUUGAUUUCUAUUUUCCAUAAUGAAUCUUUAACAUUGAUUUAACUUAAUUUGGUUUUAGCAACAUAUCAUUCAUCUUACAACAAACUUUUAUGUACACAUGUCUUAACAUGCAUCAAUACACUUAUUUGUCCAUUGGAUUGACCAUCAUAUAGCUUGAAAUAUACAAUCAUAGAUGUCCAUGUUCUUGUCCUAUUAGGCCACCAAGAUGAUUUUCAAAUCUCUUAUCAUGUUGUACUGGAAUCAGUAUAUACUUAUGCCCUUUUACAUUAUCAAACAAUCACCAUUUUCUUCAUGAAUACACCAUCAAAACCGCAUACAUUCAACUACACCACAUUAUACAAACCAAUUCUUUAUUAUAACCCGUUUCACUAUCAUUACAAUCCUUAGAGUUCUCAUGCAUAUGUUGUCCACAACAAUAUUUGAAAUCUAUUUUCAAGUCAUUUUCACCUAGAAAACAUUGUUGUUCCCCUAAUAACUCUUUGCUCAUAUAAUAGAUUGUCAAAACAACCUACAAAUUACGCUUCGAUGCAGCCCAAAACAUAAACAUGUAGUAAUAUUAGUCAUCACACCGUGAUUGACUACCCAAUAGAUUCUAAUAUCGUUAUUGUCUAAUACUACUAGUCUUUUAACUCUAAAACACCCUAAAAUAACACAAACAAAGGGGUUUUUAUUUGUUUAGAAAUCUAUUUUCAAGUCAUUUUCACCUAGAAAACACCAUAAAAACAUUCCUAAACCAACCAUUAACUCUAAAACACCCCAAAAUAACACAAAAAAUAAAAAUCAAACUAAUCAAGAAAAUCUUAAUUGAAUCCAAUCUACUUUUCAAGCAUUGUUAGAGAAAAAGUCAUCGCUAUUUGAAAACUCAUCAUUAAAUGAAACUCGUUGAGACCAAGAACAACUACUUUUAUCGCUGAAAAGUGGUCAAACCGAUAACUUUCUCUUUUCUUAUCGUUUUUCAAUGAGUCUCUCUCAUCUAUGUAACUUGGGGUUGAGAAUGACCAAAAUAAACUUUUAGACUAAAAUAUUAAAAAUUCNNNNNNNNNNNNNNNNNNNNNNNNNNNNNNNNNNNNNNNNNNNNNNNNNNNNNNNNNNNNNNNNNNNNNNNNNNNNNNNNNNNNNNNNNNNNNNNNNNNNCUCCUCUCUCUCCUUAAAUUGGUUUAUAUCCAAAUUUCAACCAUCAUCAGCUAUAAAAGAAUCAUUGAAAAACAAAUUUGAAGACAGAAUUAAAAAAAAAGGGGACGGAAAAAAGAAAGAAAAAGGAGGGUAGUUUUUUUAGUUAAAGCUGAUGGUUUCUAGCCAAAAAAAAAGCAAUGAGUGUUGGGGUGCCACGUGUAAGGAGCCCAUUAAGUAUGUGGUGGGUGAAGUCAGCUAGAGCUAAGCAUCCAUUUUUGGUGGGGUUUUUCUGGUUAGAUUUGCCUGUUGGAGGAUCGUAGCAUGGGAUUAUAUUUGGUUGUAAAGGAAAGUGUCAAUUUAGGAGCCACCAACCAUCGACAAGUUAGUGAAAAUGGUGUCGAGUGCCGCACCCACCACCUCCUUCGAUCAAUCACCUCAUCAUCCAUGUAAUUAACCCUUUUUUGAUCUAUCACUUUUACGUUACUAAACACUUCCACUUCUAUAUUAGACGUGUGGAAUGAUUCGAUUUCUAGUUUUUUUAUUUGUGAAUCAAAUUAAUACUUGAAGCUAGUAGAUGGAUGUGUCUAAUCAACUUCCUUUGAUUCAAUUUCAUGAAAUUUUUUAUCAUAAAACAUCAAUAAAAAUGUGUUGUAUAUCUUGAACCGAUAUCUAAUAAAAUCUUAAAAGUUGGGAGUGAAAGAUAUAAUUUAUUUUAUUUUUUUAAUAUGUUUUUUAAUUAAAAAUUAUUUCAGUUUAAAACUUAAAGGAUUAUACUAUUUUAUACAUUAAAAAAUAAUUCAUAACUAUUUGGUUAUCAUGUAAAAAAAAUAUUUUAAAUUAAAAAAUUUAAAUUUUUAAAAUUAUAUAAAUUGCUCUCUUUUGAAUAACCUUUCGUAUUGUGAUGUUUCAUGGGUAAAUAAAACAUGAUAAAAUAUAAUAAGAAAGAAUUUUGCUAGGAAAAAUACAAAAAUGAGAUACCAAAUCUAUUUAUUUAAUUGAACAAAACUAUUUUUCUAUCAAUCUCACAUGUAUAUCAAACAAUAAAGGAUAAAUUAGAAAGUGGACUUGUCACUAAUUAAAUGUAUAUAUUAUGAUUUUUAUUUUCUAAGAUGAUAUAUUAGGAUUUUUUAUUAUUAUUAAUGUAGGUGUUCGGACUAACUUGCGUGUACCUCAACUAAUCUCACGAGUUUUGAAGUUAACGAUCAUGUAAAUCUUCAAUGAUCCUGAGAUUUGUAAGACUCGAACUGGUAAUAUCUAGAGAAUAAAUUUAGAAUAUGAUGAAUUAAGUUUCACUUCUCAUGAUUAAUAUAUUUAGAGUUUUGAAUACUUAAAAGGAGGUGUUGUUUUUAUUUUUAUUUUCAAAUCUAAGAACCUCAAAAACUUUUAGGAAUCUAAAAAAAAACUCAUUUUUUUAACCCCAAAACAUUUUCUAAUUAGCCUAAAUAAUGAAAAUCAAUCUGAAUAAAAAAAAUAUUGGUCUAAUAUAUUUUUUCUAGCAUGGUUAAAAGGCAAAAUCAUUUUUAUUGAACUCUUUUUUUCAAAACAAAUCCAUUGAUGUUAAAAUUAGUUUUUUUAUGACCGGAAUAUGAUUAGCUUCACCACAUUCUCCCCCUCUCAACAUACAAUAACUAAAAAUAUGAUAAAAAUGAAGUUUUAAGAUGGAGUCGUAAAAAUUUUAAACAAUAUGAUUAAAUAAAUCUGAAAAACAAAAACUUCAAGGACCAUAUUAAACUUUUCUACAACUUUGGAAAAAGAUUGCAUUAUAGGAGAAUAGUUUAAUGCACAAUAACUUGAGUCUUGCUGCACAAUAAAAUUUAUUAUGGUAAGAAUAACAAAUGUUUUAAUUUAGAUUAUAACACGAAGCAUACACAAUUAAGAUUACAACAAGGAGAUUUCAAGUAGUUAAACUUAGGUUAUAUUAGAUAUGACUUUUGUAAAUUGAUUUAAUAUAUUUUUCACUUUUGAUUUUAAUUUUAAUUUUUUUUAAGUAAGUUAAAAUAGCUUUUGAUUUAAAUUUUUUUUGUUAUAAAUUGGAUUCAAACCUUUGAUUUAAUAAAAAACAAGAAAAUUUUACUUUAGUUUGUGGAUUUUAUACUGAAUUCCUUAUUAAAAAGUUAUUUUGAAUCAUUUUUACAAAUAAUGCUUAUAACUUACGGUUAUUUUAAUUUAUUUUUUUCAUAAAUUGUUUAUAAAAAACAACUUUUAAAUUACAAUUCAAAGUAAAAUAUCAUAAUUAGUUAUGAAUUGGAUUCGAUGAAAGGAAGAUGGGAAGAGGGGAAAUGGGUAACGGGAAAUUAAAGAGAGAUGAUGAUCUGCGCAUGGCUACCUGUACCAGAACAGAUGGAAAAAACUCGAAACAACUCGGCUAGAAUUUAGGCAAGAAAUUCAGAAUGAGUCAACAUUUUAAGUGAGAUGAAAUUUGUCUCACUUUGUUCUAUUAAACAGAGGAGCAUUUAGAGGAUAGAAUAUUAGAGUCUCUAGCAAAAGCCAGCAAGGUAUAUUUAGAGCCAAAUUCGGGUAACAAAUUAUCAUAACCAACUGAUCCAUUUCGGCUCGGAGGCUUCAGAUUUGUACCAGUCAUCAACUGGUGCUCUUUGCUUUGCAGCCUUUGAGGAAGAAGUAAAAGCCUCCAAAAAUAUCAUCAUUAUUAUUAACAGAUGAACUAGACCCGUUUAACCCACCAAAAUAUAUCAUCAUUAAAAGAUGAUUUCGCACUCGUAUUUUUAGUACUGGAAAACACAAAAUCAUAACCGAAAUCAAACCCAGUGCUAUUUUGUUUUUAAUUCUUUUGAAAAACAUCAAAAAUGUCAAAAUCAUCAUCAAAAUUCUAUAAUUUUGAAUUGCUAAAGAGAGUUUCGUGAUAAUCCAUGAAAGACCUAUCAAAAGAAUUGGAAAUGAAGGUUAAUUUAGAAGAAUAUGAGGAGGGUUUCUGGUUUGAUGGAGGGAAAUUCAAAUAACAAAACUGGCUAUAUGUUUCUUUGAGGAUGAAACAUGCAAGAGAUUCCACCACCAGGACAGACAACAACACNNNNNNNNNNNNNNNNNNNNNNNNNNNNNNNNNNNNNNNNNNNNNNNNNNNNNNNNNNNNNNNNNNNNNNNNNNNNNNNNNNNNNNNNNNNNNNNNNNNNUAUUCAACUUUUACCUACUUUUCUUCGCUUAGAAUUAGAAAAUCCAUACUUGCAUUUAAGAGAAUUUGAAGAAGUUUGUAACACCUAUAAUGACUUAAAUUGUAGCAUAAACACCAUCAGAUUAAAGUUUUUUCCUUUUUCAUUAAAAGAUAAAGCUAAAACAUGGCUACAAAAUCUUAGGUCAGGAUCCAUUCGUGCUUGGAAUAAAAUGCAACAACAAUUUUUAAAGAAGUUUUUCCCUUCUCAUAGAACAAACUCUUUCAAAAGAUAAAUCACCAUUUUCAAUCAAAAACCAGGAGAAAUAUUUUACAAGUGUUGGGAUAGAUAUAAAGACUUGCUUAAUACCUGUCCUCAUCAUGGUUUUGAAACAUGGAGAUUGGUUUCACAAUUUUAUGAAGGGUUAACACCUAAAGAUAGACAAAUGAUGGAAUUGAUGUGCAAUGGAACUUUUGAAAACAAAGACCCUGAUAAAGCAAUGGAGUACCUAGACUUGAUAGCUGAAAAUGCUCAAAAUUAGGACACUACAUGCACUUGUGAGGCACCAGGUAAAACUUAACCUCAUACAUUUAGUGGAGGCAUGUAUAACCUUAGGAAAGAUCAUGACCUCCAAGCCAAAUUUGCAUCUUUAGCUAGAAAAGUUGAGGCACUAGAAUUAAAAAAGAGUGGUCAAUUAAAAUCUGUUCAAGAAAUUGUGUGUCAAACUUGUGAAACUAAUGAACACUCAACCAAUGAUUGUCCAACUUUGCCUUCUUUUAAUCACCAAAAUUUCAGUUGGAAGAGUAGUAACAAUAAUGCGCAAACUUCACAACCACCAUUUCAAACACAUCAUAAUUUUCAAAAUUCUCAUGGAUAUGCACCUCCUUAUGUUCCCCAUCCUAGAAGAAAUCUUGAGGAAAUAUUGGAUGCAUUCAUUGAAAAGCAAGAGACAAUCAACACUCAACUUGCUUAAAACAUGACAGAUUUUAAAGAUACUCUUGCAAAAUUCACAUCUGCUCUAAGUUUUCAGGAGAAAGGUAAGUUCUCAUCUCAACCACAGCAAAAUCCCAAUGGGAAAUACAAUGCAAAUGCAAGUAGUUCUAGAAGCCAACACAUAGAUCAAGUCAAAUCAGUCAUUAUUAUCCACGGUGGUAAGGUUAUUGAAAAACCAAUUUUUGAACCUUGUGAGAAAGAUGAUGAGUCAAUCUCUAAGGGUAAUUAAGGAAAGGGUUAAACCUGAACAUUGCAAAGAAAAGACUAAUUCCCCACUAAUACUUCCAUUUCCUCAUGCUAUGACCAAACAAAGGGAAGUCAAUCACGAUUCUGAAAUUUUUAAAACUUUCAAAUAGGAAGAAAUCGAGGAUGAAAAAGGCACCGAAAAUAUUGUCGUGGAUCAUUUGUAAAAAUUGACAAUAGAUUCGAUAUCUGACAUCACACUAAUUGAUGAUUACUUUCCAGAUGAAUCUUCACUUUCUAUUGCUUCAAUACCUUGGUCUGCUAAUAUUGAUAAUUUUCUUGCUUCAAGAUUUUUGCCAGCUCAUUUGGAUACCCAAGAUAAAAGAAAGUUCUUGAGCGACAUGCAGAACUUUUAUUGGGAUGACCCUUACUUAUUCAAAUAUUGUCCUAAUCAAAUAUAUCAAAGAUGCAUUUCUGACAAUGAGGUAAGUGGUGUCAUAAAAUUUUGUCACUCUGAAGCAUGUGGGGGUCAUUUCUCAUCAAGAAAGACGACUGCAAAAAUCUUACAAUGUGGAUUCUACUGGUCCAUCAUGUUCAAAUACAAAUAUGCAUUCUGCAAAACCUGUGAAAAUUGUCAAAAGGUGGGAUUUAUUUCAAAACAUAGAGAGUCUUUAGAUAAUCUUCUAUUGACUCUUAAGUCUCAUCGUAAUGGAGAUGUGCAUCGUGCAAUUCAUGAUUUAUAGCCCUAUUUUCAUAAAGAACAUGAUCGACUUAGUCUUGAGAAUCUAACUAAAAAAGACCCUGUUUGUCAGUUUUUAAGAAAACUGGAUGGGAAGCGUAUCCCUGACCCAUAGAGAGUGUUUAAGCCAUUCUUGGACGUAAAAUCAAGGGAAGAUGUGAGCCACGAUCACAACUACGAUUUAAGCCUUAGGUUGCAAAAAUUUAUGUAUUUUGGUUUUAUUAAUAGCAUAAUAUUUGUGUUCUGUUGUUUCUUAUAUUUGUUUAAGUGUGUUUUAGGUUUGUUUGUAGUCGCUAUUUUAGGUGAUGUCUUCUAUAUUCUAUCUUUCUGCCUUAAAACAUUGAGGACAAUGUCUCCUUUUGUUUGGGGGGAGAGGGUAGUAGUUGACAAAAAAAAUAUUACUAAUUGUGUUUUCUAUUAUUAAAAUCAUUUGCAAAACUGUUGUUACUAGGAUGGCAGAGUAAAUGAGGAACUUUAAUAACUCUUGAGACGCAUCUUAGUAAAUAUUUUUAACAAAGUCUAUCAGAAUACUUCUUGAAAUAUUCAGGUUUACAAACUCUUGUAUUGUUAUCACUUGAUUCUGCUCAUAUACUCAUUUAAUAAAUAUUCCUAAACCUUUAUUUUCACACACACACUUUAACAUAUGAUUGUGGGUUGCACAUUGGAUUAUUACAUUAUUUAUGUUCUUUUGUUAAAGGUAACAACUAAGGGAAAGGGAAUAUAUAAUAUUCAAAAAAAUAAACAAAACAAAAACAAAAGCAAAUUGAUAAUAAAAUGAAUAAAUAAUGAAAAAGUAGAUAAGUUUGGAUUCGUAGCUCUUACUUAAGCAAUUAAGCCCGAAGGGGUGUUUUAACACCUAGUNNNNNNNNNNNNNNNNNNNNNNNNNNNNNNNNNNNNNNNNNNNNNNNNNNNNNNNNNNNNNNNNNNNNNNNNNNNNNNNNNNNNNNNNNNNNNNNNNNNNGCUUGUUACAUGGGUUGAGGAGAAAGCUUAAGAGAAUCAAACAUUGCACUAUCUACGUAUCAGUAUCUGCAACCCGAGUUACUAAGCUCGUAGGGGUGUCUCAACACCUGAUGCCCUUAGACCAACUAGUUUGGUAGUCAUUAGCCGAAAGCUCGUUACAUGGGUUAAAGAUGCAUUGUGUUUUAAGUUAUAUGUAUAUAUACCAAAAUAAUAAUAAUAAUAAUAAUAAUAAUAAUAAUAAUAAUAAUAAUAAUAAUAAUAAUCCCAACUCAAUGAAGUUAACCUUAGAAAAAUAUUAGAACAGAACAUUGUUUUCUUCCAAUAAAAGCCCCAUCAUCCAUGUUUUCAUAUAUUAAGCACAUAAAAAGAAGGUUUAUUAAUAUCUUGUUUAAGAAGUAUAAAGCAGAUAUAUAAAUGAGAGUUUGUUUAUUUGGAUAGAUUAAUGGAAGUUAAAUGAUAAAUGUCUUACUUUGUGGAACUUUCAAAUUGUUUUUCUAUUUUAACACUUUGAUUACUAGGGACUAGUAAUAAGCUGAUUGAGGGGUGUAAUUAGUACUUAAAAGUGCAUUUUCAUUAAGGUUUUAUAUUAUCAUAUUGCACUAAAGUAUCAUUAAAUUCCCUAACUAAAACAUGUUUUACAAUAACAAGAGUCAUAAAUUGAUUAAACAAGAGUCCAAGGGUGUUUCUUAGAUAUUUUGGGUUAAAAAUAGGUUGAAAUAGGUUUUUUGGUUGAAAAAAUAAGAAUCCUAUUCAAAAAAUAAUUUUUGCAUUUAUGUUUUGAUUAAUUCCUCUUCUUGGUGAUCGAUUUUUUUACUUAUUUAGUUUUUUUAAAUAACAAUUAUUUUUAUAUUAUAUAAAUAUUAAAGAUAAAUUAAAUUUUUAUUAAUAAUAAAUAUAUAUUUAUGUGAAUAUAAUAAAAUCAAGUAUAAAAACAGACGAUAGAUGAUGUGAGAACUCAAUCCCAUUCCAUUUCAGAAUCAAAAUGGGGAAUAUUUCCCGGCUCAAAGGUGCAAGAAAGUUGUUCGCUUAGGCUGUGGCAUGUGUAUAUUGAAUUCUUUGUUUCGAACAGAUCCAUUAUCCCGCUUGACAAACUGAGAGAUGAAAAAGGAAAAAAAAACCAUGAUUAAUAAACAAGAGAAAAGGACUAAUCAAUGGUUUAAUUUUCAAUUUCGAACAACAUAGUACAUACAUUGCAAAAGUCAAUAUUUUUAUUUAUAGAAUUUUGAUCUUUCUUGUUGUGGAGAAUUUCCCAUUUAACUUCAUCAACAUAUAUUAUGCUAUUAAUUAUAUAUAUAAAAAAUUUAAACUCAUAAUUAUUGUGAAUUCGUUAAAAUAUAAAAAUAUCUCAAUUUAAAAACUUAAUUUAUUCGAAUAAAAUUUUAAAAUAUUAUUUAUAUUAUUUUUUAAUACUAAUAAAUAAAUAAUCAUGUUCUUUGCCACACUCUUGAAACUAGUGAAAACUAUUUUUAUGGACCAUCAAACGUGGGAGAUUUUUUCCUAGAAAAACAAGAUAGGUUAUUGUCAAUCAAAAGAUUAGCGUGACUUUACACAGCUAGAGCGCAUUCUUGUUGACUAAUUAAUAUUGAAUUCAAGGCUUUGAUGUAGCAAAAAUCAAGUUGGUGAGGCAUGUGAUGCAAAUCUUUCCAAUCUCGACCAAGCCUAAUAAACCAAAAACUAUAAUAUAUAUAAAAAAUAAACCUAACCAUCUAUACUUUUCCUUCUAAAUAUUCAUACCUCUUCAACUUUAUUAUACAUUUCAUGAUAAUCACUUGAAACUACAAGAGAGGAUUACCAUACGAGCUGCCAAUGAAACACAGUCAAACCAAGAAAAAUCCCAAAUGGCUUACAAUGUCCAUGCAUUUCUCCAUAGACUGCGCAGGAUAAAUAACAUAUGAUUUCCAUGCAUGGUAGGUUAAGGUUUGCUCAAUUGAGUCAAAUUCCCAUGCAAGUCAAAAAGGCAAGGAAGUAAGUAGUGAUACUUGAAUUAUUUACUAGUACAAUCUUGGAGGCUGCAACACCGAUCAACACGAUUUUAACUAAGAAAAUUGAUUGAGUAAUUAAUUGUCUAGCUAGUCUUAAAACCUUAUAUUAUAUUGGGUCAUUUUCGUAUUAUACAAGCACACGUUCGUCUAGUUAACUUGUUUGAAUUUCAUUUGGUCUCCGAUAUUAUUCUCCCAAAGUUUGUAAGCUUAUCAUUUUAAUAAUCAAAAUUACUUAAUUUGAUAAUUAGUCAACCACACAUUUUGAAUAUCGUUAAUUAAAUGAUGAUGUGAGCUCCAAUUGCAUUGAUUUAUACAAUCUUCAUGUGAACGGUGUGGUCGAGAUUCUUUAAUAUACUCAUACGUGAGAUUCUUUAUAUAUAAUAUACUUAGACAUGAGAUUCUUUAUAUAUAUAUAUAGUAAUGGAUUUCUUUGAGUAGUCUACAUAUUAAUUGAGAUUAGAUUUUUUUUCUCCAGUGAUCUUAAUUGUGUAUCUACUACAUUUGCUUGAUGUGUCUCGAUGAAUUUCAUAAAUUUUCUUGAAUACUAACUCUAAAUUUUGAAUACAAAAAGUCAAAAAAUAAAACAAAUCCCUUUUAAAAUGGCGAAGAGAGCUAGAUAUGUGGAAUGUGCAUCUUUAGAAUUCAACUUAUCAUGUUGUUGAACGGGAACAAUCUAACGUUUUGGAACCACCUAUGUGAACUUGGCAUAACAUGCAGGAGAAUUUAUUAAAUUCUUUUGAAAAUAUUAGGCUAAUAUAGGAAGUAUGUCUUUAAAAAUCACUGAAAAAAUAAUUUUAGUUUACAUGCAAGUUAUCCAUCGGAAAAGAUAUAAGUUAUUUGUGUAAGUUAGGGAAAUUUUUCAUAUAUUAUAACUAGAUUAUUUCUCAUAGCUAUGCUGUGAAUUGAAUUAAAUUUUUUUAAAUGUAAAAAAAAAAAUAUCUAAGCCAUGAAGAACUAUUUAAGAUUAUUAUUAAAUCUAGUUUAGUGUGUCAAACUUGAAAACUCCUGACCGAACUCCUUAUCUAAUCAUAUUUCAAAUUAAAUCUUGUAUAAUUAUUCUAACGUGACCUAGUCGACUUAGUGGAUAUAAAAGCUAAAAAAUAAAAGAAAAAAUAAUGACCAAAAUAAAAGUAAAGAGAGAGAGAUCAGGCGCACGAGUCUAAAGACAAUAUGGAUAAUUAGUAAAAACAUAGUUUGACUUUUAAAAAAAAUUCAAGAUAACUUUUUUUAAAAAAAAACAAUCAAACAGUGAUAUAUUGAAUCGAUCUGAGUUAACUCGUCAAACUUGUGAUCAGGAUCAUGAAUUCCACUAGAUCUAAUAACAAUUAAUUAUAUGAUAAAAAAUAUGAAGACUAGUUCAAAACCAACUAAAUAUUGAAUGAAAAAAAUGAAUUUUUUUUUAAAAUACAGCAAAAACUCAAUGUUGAAGGAUAAAACUUGAGAGAAAAAAAAUACAAGGCAUGUGCGUGAACUUGGAUUAUAACAACGAAAAAAAAAUCUUAGCUUUGUAAAGAUAUCUUAAGCCUUUAACUCAGGAAAACAAAAUGAUUUUUUUUUCUACAUUUAGUAUCAGUAAUCCAUAUUGUCAUUUUAAUCUCAUGGUUUAAUUCAAUUCGAUAUAACACAUUCAUGUACAUUACAAAUAUCAUACAAUUAUGAUUGAUGUUUCUAAUUUUUAUCAAAAUUUCAGCAGAGUCUUCUUUGUCCAGGUAACCAAACAGUUCUUCUCUUCUUCUAAAAACCUACAUAACGAUCAAGGAAAGUUUCAAAUCCCACACAUAACAAUUUAUAUCCAGGUAUUGGGCCUCAGGCCAUUCAAUCAAUCAAUCAAUUCAUAAUAGUUCACACCUAUUAAAGUUUAUUGCGUACAUUUAAAUAAUUUAAACUUAACUUUUCAUCAAGAUAGCAUUUCAUUACAAGAACAACGUUGUAAACAUUAUAAAUACUUAUUCAUAUUACAAUCCCCGUUCAUUUGAAUUACAAUAUACUACUAAGAACUCAUCUAACAUUGUAACUAAGAAAAUUAGAAUCUUGUCUUAGCAUGUGAUAUUCCAGAUCAUAAACAUGAAAAAUAUAGAAAUUUAAAUAAGAUAUUUAUUGCAACACAAUUAAAAUAUGUCAGAUACAAUAUGUAUAUGAUUUUUCAUGGAGCAAACCUCCAUAAUUUCUUUUGAUAAUAAUAGAAUCGACUCAUUUGUCAUAAUCUCUACUAAUUUUAAGUAUUGUAUAGUCACCUCGUCAAGGUAAUUCCAAGCUUUAUCUUCUCAUCUAAAAGUUAUAUCUUGUUCAUAAAUCCAUCUUGGAAACUUUAUCUAUCGAAGCUCACCAUAAAGUUUUAUUAAUGGUAAUUAAAGGCCUAUUCCACGUAUCCUACCCUAUGCUAUUAAUUUAUCAAAGGUAAAUUAUCAUUUGUACUCUUUGCUCUAUAUGUUUCUUAAGGAAUUAAAUCCUUUACUAGUAUCGCCCUACAAUUUUAAAUAAAUAUAAUUAAUGAUUUAUUGAUUUCUAUUUUCCAUAAUGAAUCUUUAACAUUGAUUUAACUUAAUUUGGUUUUAGCAACAUAUCAUUCAUCUUACAACAAACUUUUAUGUACACAUGUCUUAACAUGCAUCAAUACACUUAUUUGUCCAUUGGAUUGACCAUCAUAUAGCUUGAAAUAUACAAUCAUAGAUGUCCAUGUUCUUGUCCUAUUAGGCCACCAAGACGAUUUUCAAAUCUCUUAUCAUGUUGUACUGGAAUCAGUAUAUAUUUAUGCCCUUUUACAUUAUCAAACAAUCACCAUUUUCUUCAUGAAUACACCAUCAAAACCGCAUACAUUCAACUACACCACAUUAUACAAACCAAUUCUUUAUUAUAACCUGUUUCACUAUCAUUACAAUCCUUAGAGUUCUCAUGCAUAUGUUGUCCACAACAAUAUUUAAAAUCUAUUUUCAAGUCAUUUUCACCUAGAAAACAUUGUUGUUCCCCUAAUAACUCUUUGCUCAUAUAAUAGAUUGUCAAAACAACCUAAAAAUUACGCUUCGAUGCAGCCCAAAACAUAACACAUGUAGUAAUAUUAGUCAUCACACCGUGAUUGACUACCCAAUAGAUUCUAAUAUUGUUAUUGUCGCGGGUGCGUGACGUCGCGGCGAAUAUUCCACUUUUAAAAUCUAGGAAGUGUGUAUGGUAUCUAUCUGGCAAAUGUGGGGAGACAAGAAAAUAUUGUCUUUUGUUGGUAGAAAAUGGAAUGGGAGUCGCCACCUAGUAUUUUGGUCACUAGGAACCCUAACUGGUCUCAGAGAUUGGGUACGGGGACUGGUUGCGUAAAGGGAAGGUAUUAGCACCCCAAAUACGCCCUACCUAAGGUAAGCUGCAUUGUUUAUUUGUCUGAUAAAAUUCAAGGUCUCGUUGUGUUUCCUAGUUGUUGGUCCGUCUAUGGUUCAAGAAAAGUCCUCCUCAAUAAGGAGGUCCUUAUCUUAUCGGGUAAAAACCUAAUCCUUCUAACGUCUAUGUAUGUUGGUCCGUCUAUGGUUCAAGAAAAGUCCUCCUCAAUAAGGAGGUCCUUAUCUUAUCGGUUAAAACCUAACCGUUCUAACGUCUAUGAAAAACCAUAUUUUUAAUAUCAGGAAUACGUCUUACGUAUAAAUUCGUAAUCCCAUGUACUAAAAGAAGACAAAAAGAUUUUUUAGAAUUUUUGAAAUAUUGGCCUAGUUCUCAUGGCUUGAAUAAACUGGUUAUUAAAGCCAAAAUGCAUGCUAAUACAUAUAUUGUUUUGAAAUUUUCUUUGUUGUGUGAAAAAUAUGAUGUUAUAAUAUUUAUAUAUAUAUAUUGGAGAGACUAGGCCGUAUGCAUGAAAACAAAACAUUUUUUAAAAUAUUUUAUUUAUUUUUUUAUGUCUUGACGAAAACCGGGUAUUUGAAUACCGGAUUUGUAUCUUUACAGUAUAAAAAUACAAAUCGAUAUUGAUCAAAAUACAGUAAUAAACUUGCAGAAAAUCACAUAUUUUUUUGGAAUAAUUUUCGAAGAAAUUAAUUAAUUUUUCUAUAUAUAUAUCUAGAUAUAAAUAAUACAAAAUACAAUACAAUAUACAUCGUAUAUAAUAUAUAAUUGGGCUGGGCUGGGCCGGCCCAACGAACUAGGCCGGACUCAGCCCCAAAAUGUGUUGGGCCGAUCUCGGGCCAAGAGGUAUUGGGUCGAUCUCGGCCCAAACAAAAUCUAUUUUAUCAUGGGCCGGAUCCAGCCCUGCCAGCAGGGCUGGGCUAGGAUCAGUCCGGCCCACAGAAGGAAACCCAUAUUGCUGGGCCAGAACCAAUCUGGCCCAGCCUAAUUAAAAACCAACGGGGGGAAUUAUUUCCCCCCCAUCCUGCAUGCAGAACGCUGUUCGUUCUGCAUGCAGGAGAAGAACCAAACCGAUGCACAAAGAGGGGGGAGAAGAGCACCUGGCGUGGAAGAGGCGGUGCGUUGCUGGUAUGUCCGCGGUGCUGCGGUGGAGGCUGGUGGCUUCACUGGCGUGCACUGGUCCCGGUUGGAAGAAGAAGGAGCAGAUUCCUACAGAGGAGAAGGAAAGCUCUCGGCUGGAGCUAUUGGUGUGACUGAGGAAGGAGCUACUACUCCGGUUGCUGCUGGGCGUCGCUGGAGGAAGGAGGACUGCUGUUGGCCGGUGAAGAAGCUGGAAGGCGGAGGCUUGCUCCUGUGGAGGUUGUCACUGCUGAGGAGGCCGCGGGAGGCGUUGCUGGGGCUGUUGAAGCUGCGAUGAAGGAGAAGCUGAGGUGAAGAUCUGUUGCUGGCGUUGUGUUGAUGGGAGGGAGAGGGGACAAUGUUUCUUUGGGACUGCUGGAAGAGAAUGAGAGGAAAGGGAGGGGGCUGCCCCGGUUUGGCUUUGCAAGAGAGGGGGUUGUCCCUUGUUGCUGGCUGCUGAGGGGAAGAAGAAAAUCAAGGGGAGGGGAGAGGUGUGUGAGGGCUGUUCGGGUGUGUGGGUCUGUGGGGGGCUGGACUACGGCCGGCUGUCACUGGUUGAGGGAGAAGAAGCUGGAAAAAGAAAACUGGUUGCAGGAAAACCGGGCUGGAAAAGCUUAUUUUGUGCCAAUUUUGAGCUCCAUCCCACCAACCCUUUGAGCAUGAAAAUUGCUCCUAUUUAUAGGGCUGGAAAGAGGGUAAUCUUGUCUUCAACGGGGAAAAAGUCUCAGCCCUUGAUUCGACUCGAGUAAUCCAAACCAUUAGUUCAAAGUGUGCACCUCGAACUGCCAAAUUUGCAGACUACCCGAGGUGCACGAUUUGGGCCAAAAAACGGAGCCGUUCCAAACCUUUUUGACCCGACCGGACCACUCCCCAUGAUAAAUGGGUUCCAGGUGGAUAUGUUGGUGCAUGCUUUGUCGGAUUUGGGGGCCAAACGAGGCAGAAAACACGCCUGGAAGUCGGCCACUCGGGCAACUCGGUGGGGAAGAAAAUGAACAGUACCGGGCGACGCGUCGCCUGGUUCCUGCCCCUUCUUCUUCUUUUUUUUUUUAAAAUGCAAAAACGGUGCCGUUUUGAUAAAAAUAGGGAUUUCUUUGCCAAUUUUCAAUUUAGUCCUCCGACUUUCAAUUUCGUUCAAGAUUAUUCCCUAAUUGACCCUAAAACUUCUGAUUUGAUGCAAUUUAGUCCCGGCAUAACUUCAUCUUCGGCCCCAGAGUUACGCGCCUUUUGCAAUAUGGUCCUUGGUCUCGGAUUUAUGCAAUUUCAUCCCUAAUUGACCAUUAAACUUUCAAUUUCUUCAAUUAGGCCCCUGAACCGAAUAAUCGCAGCCCCUCCAUUUACGCGCCUCUUCCAAUUUGGUCCCUGGUUUCGGAUUUUCUCAAUUAAGUCCCCAAUUGGCCCUUAAACUUCAAUAUUUAUGCAAUUAGACCCCUGAUUUGACCUAAUAAAUUCCUAAAAAAUAUAUUUUGGCCCCAGAACUUAAAUUUCUUCUAAUUAAAGCCCAAAUUGACUUAAAAAUCAAUUUUUCUUACAAUCAAAUCUCCUAUAAAUUCAUUUAAAAAUCCAAUUAAGUCCAUAAACAUCCAAAUUUGGGCUUUUCUCCUCAAAUUUCAAAUUUUCCUUCUCAACAGGGCUAUCCUCCUUCAAGAAUAUACUGUCAAAAAAUCCAAUCUUUGUAUUUUUAACCUCAUUGACCAAUUUUCCAACCAUUUUCUGAGCGCUUCUGCCUUCUGUUUUUUCUAACCUCCUUUGGCUAUAUAUUUUUAUAUAUAUUUUGUGGGGACCCAAAAAUGGGUUACAACAGUUAUUGUCUAAUACUACUAGUCUUUUAACUCUAAAACACCCUAAAAUAACACAAACAAAGGGGUUUUUAUUUGUUUAGAAAUCUAUUUUCAAGUCAUUUUCACCUAGAAAACACCAUAAAAACAUUCCUAAACCAUCCAUUAACUCUAAAACACCCCAAAAUAACAGAAAAAAUAAAAAUCAAACUAAUCAAGAAAAUCUUAAUUGAAUCCAAUCUACUUUUCAAGUAUUGUUAGAGAAAAAGUCAUCGCUAUUUGAAAACUCAUCAUUAAAUGAAACUCAUUGAGACCAAGAACAACAACUUUUAUCGCUGAAAAGUGUUAAACCGAUAAUUUUCUCUUUUCUUAUUAUUUUUUAAUGAGUCUCUCUCAUCUGUGUAACUCGGGGUUGAGAAUAAGAAAAAUAAAUUUUUAGACUAAAAUAUUAAAAAUUCUAAAACUUUGAAAUUAACAAUGUAUUUUCUUCAUGUUUUACAUUUCACUCCUCUCACUUUUAAUUUGGUUUUUAUUAUCAAAAUUGUCGCACGUGAGCGACGUCGCGGCGAUCGUCCACCCACAAAUGUAAUGGGGGGAUAUAUAUCUGGUCAAUGUAGGGAGAUAAGGAAUUCGUUGUCUCUUAGCAGUGAAAAAUGGUGUGGGAGUCGCCACCUAGUAUUUUGGUCACUAGGAACCCUAACUGGUCUCAGAGAUCGGGUACGGGGACUGGUUGCGUAAAGGGAAGGUAUUAGCACCCCAAAUACGCUCUACCUAAGAUAAGCUGCAUCGUUUUAUUGUCUGAUAAAAUUUAAGGUGUUUUCGUUGUGUUUCCUAGUUGUUGGUCCGUCCAUGGUUCAAGAAAAGUCCUCCUCAAUAAGGAGGUCCUUAUCUUAUCGAGUAAAACCUAACCGUUCUAAUGUCUAUGUAUGUUGGUCUGUCUAUGGUUCAAGAAAAGUCCUCCUCAAUAAGGAGGUCCUUAUCUUAUCGGGUAAAAACCUAACCAUUCUAAUGUCUAUGUAUGUUGGUCCGUCUAUGGUUCAAGAAAAGUCCUCCUCAAUAAGGAGGUCCUUAUCUUAUCGGGUAAAACCUAACCGUUCUAAUGUCUAUGUAAAAAAGCUAUAUUUUUAAUAUCAGGAAUACAUUUUACGUAUAAAUUCUUAAUCCCAAAUACUAAAAGAAGACAAAAAGAUUUUUUUAGAAUUUUUGAAAUAUUGGCCUAGUUCUCAUGGCUUGAAUAAACUGGUUAUUAAAGCCAAAAUGCAUGCUAAUACAUAUAUUGAUUUUUGAAAUUUCAUUUGUUGUGUGAAAAUAUGCUGUUAUAAUAUUUAUAUAUAUAUAUUGGAGAGACUAGGCCGUAUGCAUGAAAACAAAACAUUUUUUUUUUGUAAUUAUGUAUUUUUUGAUGUUUUGACGCAAAUCGGGUAUUUUAAUACUGGGUUUGUAUUCUUACAGUAUAAAAAUAUAACCAAAUAUUAAUCCACUUUGAUAAAACAAAUGCAGAAAAAUUAACAAUAUUUUUAAAGAUAUUUUUAGAAAUAUAUAUAUAUAUAUUUUUAAUUAUCAUAUUUUAUAUAUAUAUACAUAUAUACACACAUAUAUUAUAACAUAUUAUAAUAUAUAAUAUAUAAUAUAAAAACAAAUCGGGCUGGGCCGGCCCAAGUAAAUGGGCCGGACUCAGCCCAACAAAGAAAGGUUGGGCCGAUCUCGGCCCAGACUGGGUUGGGCCGAUCUCGGCCCAACAGGCCAUCAUGCUUCUUCUGUGACGGGAUACUGUACACAACAGUGACUGAGAUACUGUACACAAAUAGUGACGGGGUACUGUGCACAAAUAGUAACCGGGUUACUGUACAUAAGCACAGUAACCCGUUAAUUAAUUAGGUGGCUACUGUGCACCUGCACAGUAACAUGUUAAUUAAUUAGACCUGCAUAGUAACCGGGGGAAUUAAUUAGCCGGUUACUGUGCCCCUGCACAGUAACCAGCUAAUUAAUUUCUUGCUUGCAGAACGUGCACAGUGCACGUUCUGCAUGCAAGAAGAUGAACAGGGGAAGAGUUACCUGCGACGAUGAGCUUGGGUAGAGGAGCUGACAGUGGUGCUGGUGGUGGUUUUGCUGGUGGUUGCUGACCGAAGGUUGGCUCUUCCUCUUCUCUACUGCUUUCUAUGUUAUUUCUCCUCUCCUCUCUCUCUUCUGUUUUUUUUCUUCCUCCUUCCUGUGUCUGUUCUCUUCUCUAUUUAUAGGAAAAAAUGGAGCAGGUGCGCCUUCAAUCACGCAACGGCUGGUCGGCCAGUGACCCGUUCGGUGGUCUAAAGGUGUGGGGACGAGGAGAGAGAGGCGGGACUUUUUUUGAAAAUGGUUUUUGUCUUCUGUUGUUGUUCAACGGGGGAAGGAGGAAGAUGAACAGUGUCGUUCAAAACGACACCGUUCUGGCCUUCCUCUUUUUUUUUUUUUUUAUAUGAAACGACGUCGUUUUGGAUAAAACGCGUCGUUUCAUUUAAAUGAGCCAAACUUCAAAUCAGUCCUCUAUCAUUUCUUGUUCAUUUCAAUUGUAUCCCUGCCAAAUUCGAUCUCCGCCCCCAUAGUUGGCCGCGUUGUUCACUUUAGUCCUUGGCCUCUGAUUUAUGCAAUUAAGCCCUCAAUUGAUCAAUAAACUUCCAAUUUCUUCAAUUAGGCCCCUGAACCAAAGUAAAACAGCCCCCCUCUAUUUACCCGGUUUUUCCAAAUUGGUCCCUGGUUUCGGUUUUUUUAAUUAAACCCCUAAUUGGUCAUUAAACUUCAAUAUUUAUUCAAUUAAACCCCUGAUUUGACCCAAUAAAUUCCUAAAAAAUAUAUUUUGGCCCCAGAACUUAAAUUUCUUUCAAUUAAAGCCUAAAUUGACUUAAAAAUCAAUUUUCUUGCAAUCAAAUCCCCUAUAAAAUCAAUUAAAAAACCAAUUAAGUCUAUAAACAUCCAAACUUGGGCUUUUCUCCUCAAAAUUCAAAUUUUCUUCUCAACAUGGCUCUCAUUCUUCAAGAAUAUACUGUCAAAAAUCCAAUCUUUGUAUUUUUAACCUCCUUGACCGAUUUUUCUGACCAUUUGCUGAGCGCUUCUGCCUCCUGUUAUUUUUCUAACCUCCUUUGGCUAUUUAUUUUAUUUCAUUUAUUUGGGGACCCAAAAAUGGGUUACAACAAAAAUUUCAAACCAUCAUCAGGCUAUAAAAAGAAUCAAUUGAAAAACAAAUUUUGAAGACAAAAAUUAAAAAAAAAGGGACGGAAAAAAAAAGGAGGGUAGUUUUUUUAGUUAAAGCUGAUGGUUUCUAGCCAAAAAAAAAAAGAAGCAAUGGGGGUUGGGGUGCCACGUGUAAGGAGCCCAUUAUGUAGGUGGUGGGUGAAGUCAGCUAGAGCUAAGCAUCCAUUUUUUGUGGGGUUUUUCUGGUUAGAUUUGCCUGUUGGAGGAUCGUAGCAUGGGAUUAUAUUUGGUUGUAAAGGAAAGUGUCAAUUUAGGAGCCACCAACCAUCGACAAGUUAGUGAAAAUGGUGUCAAGUGCCGCACCCACCACCUCCUUCGAUCAAUCACCUCAUCAUCCAUGUAAUUAACCCUUUUUUGUUCUAUCACUUUUACGUUACUAAACACUUCCACUUCUAUUAGACGUGUGGAAUGAUUCGAUUUCUAGUUUUUUUAUUUGUGAAUCAAAUUAAGACUUGAAGCUAGUAGAUGGAUGUGUCUAAUCAACUUUUUUGGAUCCAAUUUCAUGAAAACUUUUAUCUCAAAACAUCAUAGAAAUAAGUUGUAUGUCUUAAAGGAUAUCUAAUAAAAUCUUAAAAGUUGGGAGUUAAAGAUAUAAUUUAUAUUAUAUUUUAAUAUAUUUUUUAAUUAAAAAUUAUUUCAGUUUAAAUUAAAUUUACAAAAGAUUAUACUAUUUUAUACAUAAAAAAUUAUCAAUCACCUCAUCAUCCAUUUUUUUGAUCUAUCACUUUUACGUUACUAAACACUUCCACUUCUAUUAGACGUGUGGAAUGAUUCGAUUUCUAGUUUUUUUAUUUGAGAAUCAAAUUAAUACUUGAAGCUAGUAGAUGGAUGUGUCUAAUCAACUUCCUUUGAUUCAAUUUCAUGAAAUGUUUUAUCAUAAAACAUCAAUAAAAAUGUGUUGUAUAUCUUGAACCGAUAUCUAAUAAAAUCUUAAAAGUUGGGAGUGAAAGAUAUAAUUUAUUUUAUUUUUUUAAUUAAAAAUUAUUUCAGUUUAAAACUUAAAGGAUUAUACUAUCUUAUACAUAAAAAAGUAAUUCAUAACUAUUUGGUUAUCAUGUAAAAAAAAUAUUUUAAAUUAAAAAAUUUAAACUUUUAAAAUUAUAUAAAUUCUUGCUCUCUUUUGAAUAACCUUUCGUACUGUGGUGUUUCAUGGGUAAAUAAAACAUGAUAAAAUAUAAUAAGAAAGAAUUUUGCUAGGAAAAAUACAAAAAUGAGAUACCAAAUCUAUUUAUUUAAUUGAACAAAACUAUUUUUCUAUCAAUCUCACAUGUAUAUCAAACAAUGAAGGAUAAAUUAGAAAGUGGACUUGUCACUAAUUAAAUGUAUAUAUUAUGAUUUUUAUUUUCUAAGAUGAUAUAUUAUGAUUUUUUUUAUUAUUAAUGUAAGUGUUCGGACUAGUUUGUGUGUACCUCAACUAAUCUCACGGGUUUUGAAGUUAAUGAUCAUGUAAAUCUUCAAUGAUCCUGAGAUUUGUAAGACUCGAACUGGUGAUAUCUAGAGAACAAAUUUAAAAUAUGAUGAAUUAAGUUUCACUUCUCAUGAUUAAUAUAUUUAGAGUUUUGAAUACUUAAAAGGAGGUGUUGUUUUUAUUUUUAUUUUCAAAUCUAAGAACCUCAAAAACUUUUAGGAAUCUCAAAAAAACUCAUUUUUUUAACCCCAAAACAUUUAAUUAGCCUAAAUAAUGAAAAUCAAUCUGAAUAAAAAAAAUAUUGGUCUAAUAUAUUUUUUCUAGCAUGGUUAAAAGGCAAAAUCAUUUUUAUUGAACUUCUUUUUUCAAAACAAAUCCAUUGAUGUUAAAAUUAGGUUUUUUAUGAUCGGAAUAUGAUUAGCUUUACCACAUUCUCCCCCUCUCAACAUUCAAUAACUAAAAAUAUGAUAAAAAUGAAGUUUUAAGAUGGAGUCGUAAAAAUUUUAAACAACAUGAUUAAAUAAAUCUGAAAAACAAAAAAUUCAAGGACCAUAUUAAACUUUUCUACAACUUUGGAAAAAGAUUGCAUUAUAGGAGAAUAGUUUAAUGCACAAUAACUUGAGUCUUGCUGCACAAUAAAAUUUAUUAUGGUAAGAAUAACAAAUGUUUUAAUUUAGAUUAUAACACGAAGCAUACACAAUUAAGAUUACAACAAGGAGAUUUCAAGAAGUAGUUAAACUUAGGUUAUAACCUAAGUUUUAAUAUAUUUUUUACAUUUGAUUUUAAUUUUAAUUUUUUUUAAGUAAGUUAAAAUAGCUUUUGAUUUAAAUUUUUUUUUUGUUAUAAAUUGGAUUCAAACCUUUGAUUUAAUAAAAAACAAGAAAAUUUUACUUUAGUUUGUGGAUUUUAUACUGAAUUCCUUAUUAAAAAGUUAUUUUGAAUCAUUUUUACAAAUAAUGCUUAUAACUUACGGUUAUUUUAAUUUAUUUUUUUCAUAAAUUAUUUAUAAAAAACAACUUUUAAAUUACAAUUCAAAGUAAAAUAUCAUAAUUAGUUAUGAAUUGGAUUCGAUGAAAGGAAGAUGGGAAGAGGGGAAAUGGGUAACGGGAAAUUAAAGAGAGAUGAUGAUCUGCGCAUGGCUACCUGUACCAGAACAGAUGGAAAAAACUCGAAACAACUCGGCUAGAAUUUAGGCAAGAAAUUCAGAAUGAGUCAACAUUUUAAGUGAGAUGAAAUUUGUCUCACUUUCUUCUAUUAAACCGAGGAGCAUUUAGAGGAUAGAAUAUUAGAGUCUCUAGCAAAAGUCAGCAAGGUAUAUUUAGAGCCAAAUUCGGGUAACAAAUUAUCAUAACCAACUGAUCCAUUUCGGCUCGGAGGCUUCAGUUUUGUACCGGUCAUCAACUGGUGCUCUUUGCUUUGCAGCCUUCGAGGAAGAAGUAAAAGCCUCCAAAAAUAUCAUCAUCAUUAUUAACAGAUGAACUAGACCCGUUUAACCCACCAAAAUAUAUCAUCAUUAAAAGAUGAUUUCGCACUCGUAUUUUUAGUACUGGAAAACACAAAAUCAUAACCGAAAUCAAACCCAGUGCUAUUUUGUUUUUAAUUCUUUUGAAAAACAUCAAAAAUGUCAAAAUCAUCAUCAAAAUUCUAUAAUUUCAUCAUUAAAAGAUGAUUUCGCACUCGUAUUUUUAGUACUGGAAAACACAAAAUCAUAACCGAAAUCAAACCCAGUGCUAUUUUGUUUUUAAUUCUUUUGAAAAACAUCAAAAAUGUCAAAAUCAUCAUCAAAAUUCUAUAAUUUUGAAUUGCUAAAGAGAGUUUCGUGAUAAUCCAUGAAUGACCUAUCAAAAGAAUUGGAAUUGUAGGUUAAUUUAGAAGAAUAUGAGGAGGGUUUCCGGUUUGAUGAAGGGAAAUUCAAAUAACUAAACUGGCUAUAUGUUGAUGAAACAUGCAACAGAUUCCACCACCCAGCGGACAACAACAUUGAGAACAAAUCCGUGUGAGAAAUCAAUUUUAAUAGUCAUUUUAUUUUUUAAUUUGAGAGAAAUCACAAAUUCUUCACUGUUUAUUACUGAAAAAGAAGAGAGGGGGGAAGAAAUGAUGUCUUCAGAUGUUUCUGAAUUAUAGGAUGCUAGGGUAAUUUUUUUAUAUAUAAAUAUAUAAAUAGAAGAUUGUGUUAAAAAAUCAAAGGGAGCUUUUACAAGAAUACUAUUAUCUUUUUUCUUUUCUCAAAAUCAAUAAAAAGAAUUUCACUGAGAGAAAAAUAGUAUAUCAUCAAUCUAAUGACUGCAUUUAUCUUUACAAUCUUCCAAAGGAACAACUUUAUGUUAAGAAGAGGAGAAAUAUUAUAACAAAAUAAUUUUUAUGGAUUCAAACUAGUGUUAUAGACUCUUGUGAGUAAAAGUGUCAAUUCUCAUAAAAAAAAUUGCAAUUUGAUGACAUAAUGACUAAUACAGAGACACUAACAAACAAAUAAAAAUAAUAAUUUGUACAAAUACUCACCUAGCAAAGAGAGGAACGGAUAAAAGGUUCACCACGGUCAAUUUUUUUUCUUUUUCUUGGUUAAUUUUUUUUUUUGAAAAUGAUGAAUAAUGGGAAAAAAAGAAGAAGAAAAACUUGCAAAGAAGCACUUAUAAUGGAACAAGGUUAUGAUGACAAUCCCUGUAUCACACUCUCAAAUAAUAUAAUAUAUCCAUUAUAUUUUGCAUUAUAUAUAUAAACUAAAAGAGUUAGGCUUUUUGAUGGCAUCCAAGUGUAGUUGCUUUUUUCAUCCCGCUUUUUUUGUUUUAUUUUAUUUCAAUCAUUCAAUUUUGUUUCUGUUAUUUUAUCAUGCUUCGAGUUGUCUUUUUCAAUUUGAUUUGGUGCCAGCUUGGGAAUCACCAUUUUAAUUGUGGUUGUGAUUUCUAAUUGUUUGAUAGUAUUUCAAAAGCUGAUAUUAUAGCCUCUUCUAUAUGUUAUUUUCAGAAGUUACAAUUUAUAGCUUUUCAAAAGCCAUAAUUGCCUGUUUGUUUCUGCGUUUAAAAAACGUUUUUUAAAAAAAAAUUAAAUUUUUUUAAUUUUUUAUUAACUUUAAAUUAAUAUAUUUUUACUAUUUUUAAAUCAUUUUGAUGUGCUGAUGUCAAAAAUAAUUUUAAAAAAAUAAAAAAACAUCAUUGGCAUACAUUUUAGCACGAAAAGUUAUUUGAAAAACAACCGCAACCACAUUGUCAAAUUUCCAAAUAGAUUCUUGAUAGAGGGUUGUUUUGAUCUUGAGUGUUGUGCUUGCAAAGGAAUUACAAUUACUUUACACAUUAUAAUUAUAAAUUACUGUUUAAAACAAUUAAGAGAAAGGACCAAUAAUAUAGAGUGAGCAAAUGAAAGCAUAAAUUUAGAUUUUAUUGUGACAUAGAGAUUAGGUAAUCAUGAAAGUUGGUAAUAAUAUACUGUGAGCAAAGGAACCUGCUCGAAAAAACCAUUCAACAUGAGAUUGCUCUGCUAGGAAAACAUGAUAUCAGCAUCAAACUUUUGAACAAAUAGUGGAGCAUCAAGUCUCAGUCAUCUUGAAGUAUGUCGACAACAAGUCACAUAAGCAUAUGCAAUAGAAACAGAGCAUCAAACUGACAGAGAAAACAUACUGAUACCCUUAUUCACACAGAAAACAUACUGAUAGAUAAGUCGAAAUCUUCUAUGGUAAAUAAGACUGUUACAAUGUGAAGCCAAUUUGUAUCCCAUUGCCAAUGGAACAGUAGGAAUUACUUCCCACCAAUCAAAAACAUAUCUGCAGCACCACAGCUCAAAGACAUGAAUCUCCGUGAAAUCGCCUAUUGAGGAGUUGAUCGUGUAACAACCAACCAACCUUGCCUCAAGCAAACACGAAGAACAAAGACCAUCCAUGCAUAUUUAAUUCACCCAUUAAAAGUUGAAGGAUAAGGAGAGAAGAUAAAUAAUCAUAGCCAUGUUACCUAGUCAGGGCAAGGAUGAAUUAUUAGCAUGUUUCUCAAAUCCCAAUCCCAAACUAAUCAUUUCUCUUCAUUUUGUUGUGCUCAGCGAAGGAACUACCAAAUCUUACUGAAAGUAUUUAAGUGAAGACAACAAAUAGAUGUGUACUGUUUUAUUUGAACUGAAAAGAAUUGAUUGCUUACAGAUCAUUGCAAUCCUUACAAAUAUAUAGUAAACCAAACAAACUGAAUUGCUAACUUAAAGCACCAAAUCAUGCAAAAUGCUACCAUCAUUACCUUCAAAUCUAUAGUUAAUUCCAUUUUUCUAUAAAAGACAAAACCAUCAGUAUCCAAUAGUUGCCGACUUCACCACGGGUUCAACAUUUUUUUGACAAGUUGGGAUUCGAUACUAAUGAGCAUAUUUUCUUAAGUUGAAAUAGUGCUACCCAAUCUAGGUUACAGUGGGUUGAUGAAUUAAAGAGCAGUUGUUAUUUGACACUGCAAUUAGAUGGCUCAUAUUUGAUUUACGGAGCUAUGAUAUGGGAAUCGUGCUUGUAUCACAUAUAAAAAUAUUUACAUAGUAACAAGCAUUAUUAAAGAUGGUACACUAGUAAGUUUCCAAAUGCUAUCAACAAAUAUUAUAACCUCUUAAUUUAUACAAGGAUUGAGCUAAAUUGCAUACAAGCAAUCCCUAACUUUGGUAGUUUCUUUGUGUUAAAAAUGGAGACUUCUUGGUGUUUGCCGGAACUCCAACUUGGGUAUACCUUUUGUGAACAAGAAACAAGGUAAAAACAUCUUUCAACGAUAUCAAAUCAUUUAUUCAUAUAAAGUAUUAGUGUUGUCAUUUAAUUUCACUACAUUGAAGAAAAUUCUGAUUUGAUACCAAUUCAUGCUUGGCACGACUGUUACAUGACACCUGGGAUGCUCAGCAACACUACAUCCACAAUCAUGACAACGAACACUGAUGCAGCCUCGAAAACAUCAAAACACUAUUUGCUUUGGUAGUAGUAUUGACUGCAAACUUGGUUGACCAACAGAAUCCCUGCCUUCAGCCAACCCCAAAUUUGACUAUCAUCGUAUAAUAUUGAUCGUCACAUUAUAUUUUCCAACUUUUAAUAGGAUUUUAAGGACAAGUUACAGUUGAAAGCUAAUAUAACAACCUUCUUAAAUUCACAUCCUACCGACCAUUAUGGCUAUUAGCUUCCAACCAUUCUCCAUGUUUCACUUUUCUUCAAGUAUUUUCACCAAAAUAAAGCUUCAACCUUUAAAGUUUUGCUUAUAAAGUCAAGAUCCAUGGGGAUUAUUUAAGAUUUUAUGGGAAGCAUUUCAAAUAUUUUAUGUUUUUUUUUUUUUUAAAUAUUGUUAUAGACAUAGAAUCAACAAGAUUGUGUGACAUUCUAUAUUGAUUUUGUGAUAUUUUAAUCACUAAAAGUAUGGUUUCAGAAAGAUAAAAACCAAACAAAAAAUUGAAAAAAUUAAAAAUUUUCAAACCAACAGAAUCCAACAUAUUGAUCAGUUUUGGUCUGAUUUGAUUCGGAUAUUUUUUAGCUGAAACAAUUAAUAACCAUUUUCAAAAGGUAAGUAUUGACAAGCCUUUCACGAAACCAUGUUCAUUUAUGCUGAAUCAAUCCAAAUCAGGUUCAGGUUGCUAACUCAAACUAACAUAAUCCAAAAUUGAAUGCACACAGACUCUGGGUUGUUUCAGUUUAAUGAUUUUUAGAAAUGUCAAACUGAAACCGAACCGAAAUAUAUGAAUAUUUCUAACUGAGACGCCCCCAAAUACUAAAAAAAUGAUUGGUUUUGUUUUGUUUAGUUUGGUUAUAGCAGAUACCCCUAACAAUCUGCUUUUUCACUCGACAUCAAACAACAAGCACUAAUAUUAUGUCUGUAAGUAAAUUACUAUAAAGUAUAAAAAUAUAUGUGGAUAAUUGAAAAUUUGCUUAGAGUUGCUAAUAAUUCACAACUGCAACAACCAACACGACCAGGUAAUGCUUGGGAAUGGGAUCAUGUAAUGCCCGGGAAUGGGCCUUGGUGCACAAUCAUGAUUGUAACCAUGAUUUAAAAUCAUUUCCACACUAGACUAUCCAAGACAAUUGGUAUUGGAUUGUUAGCAACAAUUCAGUUUAUAAUAAUAAUAAUAAUGUUGAUUCUUUUAUCUCCUACUUAAUGCAAGUGUCCAUCGUGUGCUGAAAUUGAUUGUUUACCUCAUAUUUCUUUUAAAGGUAGAGAUUUCUUGGUUGACAAUGGGAAAAAGUAAUCGCAUGGUUAUUUUCCAUAAGAUUCAUUUGAGUAAAUAUUCUCUAUUGGAGGUCAAUUUCAUCGAAGCAAUUACUUCAAGGAACACAUCCUAACUAUCAACCUCUAAGUAGUCAUCUCCCUUAUCCUAAUUUUUUAUUUCCUAAUAAAAUCUCACGGUUUUUCAUCAUGUUCAAAGGAAAAGUUGACGUUGCAAAUGGUGCUCUAAGGAACCAAGUCAUCCUAGAACUAAUCAUCCACCUAAUCUCAUCAACUCCUUGUUGCACAAACAGCUUGUCUCACUUAAAGGGGAUUUUAAUGAUGAACAAACACCAACUCCUUGUUGCUCAAAUACAUAUGCUCAUUUAAACACAAUUUUGCAUUACCUAGAACUGACAAGGCCUAAAAUCCCGGAAAUAGAAUUUUGUUUUAAAGGAACUUCAGGAUUUCUAUAUAGGAUGCUUGACCUCAUUAAAGACAAACUGACGACAUCCGUCCGUAACAUAAAUUAUCUUCCUUGCCCCAAAGUCAGCACAUAAAAACCUUGUUCACUAUAAAGGCUCUGAAUGUUUUUCCUAAAUUUCAUGAUAUGGCAUUCAGCAUUCUUAAGCAAACUACAACUGCAUAAGGCUUGUACAUGUAGGGGAGACGUAGGAAGAACUGCAUGAAUUUGAUCUCAAAGGGGUACCACCUCAUAUGCCUACAGGAGAUACAUGACCAGUGAUGGUUGUUCUAUCCACAAAAUUAGCUAACAUACGACUAUUUUAUUCAACUACCAUUUCAGGAUAUGAGUUCUCCUAGCCACACUCAAAAGCCCUAGCCGCUAUAUGAACAAAGCACCUAAAAAAUUAAUCACCUACCUAAUCUAAUUCAGGAAAUUUUGGUCAAAAUCUCCUACAAUGAAACGAGUUAUUUGAAUGCAUAGACAGGAAAUUCAGGUAAACACACACACACCCCCCUGAUCAUAAAUUUCCUAAAGAAAUUCUGAAUUGUAACAUUGGUAAACAAAGUGUGACAAUAUCAUCACAUUAAAAAUGCAUUUCACUCAAAACAAAUACUAGCUCAAGAAAAAAAAUUGCAAGAAGCCAAUAGAGAAUAAAGUAAGCAGUCCAUAAACAAGAGACAGAGAGACAUUGUUCCAAUACAGAAAAGUAAUUAAAACCCAACAACUAAAACUGAGAAAGAAUCAAACCAGUGAGUAACUAAUCCUUUUAAAGCAUUCCAAGAAUGGCAACCAAAUGUAACAUAAUCAACCUGCAAAAACAAACACAAAAAGAAUUAGAAGAAGAAACCCCAUUAGUUAAUAAGUUAAAACAGCAGCAGCAGCAAAAAGACUCAAAUUUUAGUUAUUUGGACUUGAGAAAAAGCACUGAACCCUCUGUGAAAAUGCCAUGAAAGGGGUGCUAAGAAACCAGGAAAAUAAAAACUUUUAAAAGGGUGUUUUUACAAAGCAAGAAAGAAGCUAGGAAGCAAGCCAGCCUACCCUCACGAACUCUGUUUGUUAAUUGUUUUUUCUCCUUUGAAGUGAAAACAAAAAAAGAAAAAAAAAACGAAGAGCACCCGGAAAAUCUAGUCAGAAAUAUUUUAUGUUGUUGUCUUGGAGUGACGCAGAUACCGAGGAACAGUUGUGGGGCCACCAUUGGUGAGCAGUGAUACAGUGGCAAGUAUGUGAAAUAACGCAUAUUACAGUGCGCAAUGAUAGAGUGAGUCUGGGUGGACAAACUUUUGGUGGUACACGUGGUGCUUAAUGAUUUGACGGCUAUGGAGAGAAGUUACAUGAGGGAAAUAAGAUGGAAAAAGUGGCCUCUCUAGAUUUUGGAAAUGUUCUCUGAAGAAAGAAAGAAAAUAAUUUCAAAGGUGGACAAAAAUAGGGUAAUAUCAGAUUUGGAACAUAAUCUUGGUUGGUGAAGAAUAACAUAAUCUAAGGAGAAAUCUAGGGAAAGCCAGUGAGAUUUGAGCUUCGAUUUGGGACCAAUUUAUAGCUGGAUAAUACCAUCAUGGGUUAUCAGAUUCUGUGUGUGUGAGGCUGCCAUAUGUUUCUUUCUUCUAUGAUGGAUAAAAAACGCUAAGCAAUUAACCCACCUAGUAAAAAAGGUAUUAUGGUUAUGAUAAAAACUCUACAGCCUGUGAUUCUAUUUUUGAAGAUAUUCUUAUUAUAUUUAUAAUUAUAAGAAUCUUUAAAAAAGACACGGGUAAAAUAUUAUUCUCACAUCACUAUUCACUGGUGUUAUCGGCUUAAAUUGAUAGAUAAUUAAGUAAAUUUAUUGAGGAAAAGCAAAAUUUAAAUAUAGAUAAUCAAAGUGAAAACAAAAGCGCAAAAAAAGAUGGUAGUUUCAUGAUUGAAGUUAAAAAUUCACUUUGAUUCUUAUUUUUUUUUAAUCAAUAAAAAAUUCGGCAGAGUUUUCUCUAUAUUUUUAGGUAUCAAGUUAUCGACUUUUCAUCUACAAUCCCUAAUUAUCAAAUUUCUUACUCAUCCUAUCAUCCAGGACUUCCUCCUCUCAUUACAUCACAACUUCUAAAUAAUCAAAUUCACACAUGUCUAAACAAUUCAAUAUCCCACAUUUACAUGGAUACAAUCCAAAGAAUUGUUCUACAAAUUAUAACUGAAGUACAUUACACAAUUCAAAAAUUUACAAAUAAGGACCAUUAACGAAAUUAUAAUCGAAAUAAGUACGUAAUUAAAGAAGAAAUUCAUAAUUAAGAUUAUACUACACAAAAGAGCUUUCGAUAAACUGUUGACGCAUUAUAUUACAUAACAAAAUGAUAAAUUCAUUCAUUACAAAAAAAAAAAUACCAAACAAAAUAUAAGAAAACUAAUCUACUGUUCAAUCCGAUAGGGGGAUGUACCUGAAAAUUAAUUUAAUACAAUAAUUCGAUUAGACAGAUGAAGAAAAGAUAUCCAUAAAAUUCUUUUUACUUUCUUUCUUUCUUCCUUUUUUUUUUUUUUGAAAAUUUAGUCAAAAGAUCAUUAAAUUAACUUGCUCAUAUAGUAUUAUAUAUAUCAAUUAAAUUUCAGAAUAAUCUAUUAGUUUGUUUUCUUUUUCUUUUUUAACAUCAACCAAAAAAAUAAUUAUUCUCAUCGCCCAAUUAACCCGGCAUUACUUUCACUAAUAGAUGAUUAAUUUUCCACCAGUCCAUUCAACAAGCACUAUUGUCAUCAAUCCAAAAAUUAGUUUAACGUUUAAUCCAUUCAUCAGGGUACAAAUCCCAUUAACCAGGAAAAUUAAUUCUUCAUCUCGCCUAUUAAUUUGUCAGGGCACUAAUUCUAUUAAAUCAGGAAUUAGUUCAACAAUUUACCCAUUAACCAAGGACUUAAUUCCUCAUCACGCCCAUUCACUAGGACAUUAAUCCCAUUAGUUCAAGAAUUAAUUCAUCACAUCGCAUAUCUUAUUUUUUAAAAUAAACAAUAAAAUAAUUACUAAUUUAUCAACCAUAAUUAAUCAAAUAAAAAUACAUAUUAACCAAUAAUAAAUUCGGGCACCGUGUAAUUACCUAACGACUAAGCUCGAGCUGAAAUUCCCUGCUGUGGUGUCAGCCUGACAGCUUCUCUUGAAUUGACAAAUAUAUCACAUCAUUAUUCUACUUUCCAUAUUGAAACACUCAAUAAAUAAAAUCAUUCCAAUUAUCCUUUUAUUUAUCAAAAUAAAAUCAUUUUGUAAAUUUCCUUCCUAUUCUUCCAAUUUCCACAUUGUAACACAAUUCAUUUCAUCAUUCAAAUCAAUAUAUAUAUAUAUUCUUUAAAUUUAUUUAUUUAUUUUUUACCGUAAUUUAAAUCAAAGAAAAACAUAAAAACAUUUCAUGAUCUAUUCACUCUUUAACAUUAAUAUCAUCUCUUUCUUACACAAUCUCAUCAUCUUAUCAAAAUUCUUAAAUUUUUAUUUUUCUUAUUAUUAUUUUUCCAAAAAUCCCUUCUUCAAGAACACCUAAAAUUUUGCUUUAAUUACCAUAAUUUCUUACUUUCUCUACUCACUUCAAUAAUCUUAACACAAUUUCACAAUCAAUUGUAAUUUUUCAUAAAAUUUAUCAUGAACCCUAAUUCUUCAAUUCACAAAGUUCAAUCAAUUUAAAACAUAAAUUCUUCAAGAAUCUUAUUUAAAAGUGUAAGGGCACCUUACCAAGCAAUAACCAAAGCCUUAACACUUUUAAAUUAAGAAAUUUUCCUUGCUUGAAUUUGUUUUUCCUCUCCUAGCCGAAUGCUUCCUUCUCUUUGAAAAAGCAAGUUUGUUCUUUUUUUUUUUGGCUUCCUUACAACACACACUCACUUGCACUCAUAUAUAUCAAUUUUUUCUCCCCCCCCCCUCCCCUUCCCCCCCACACUUACACACAUAUAAUUACUUAACUUUUAAAAAAUGCCUUUUAUAUCCCUCAAUACUAAAUUUUAUGAUUUUUGGGUAAAAUUUCAUGAAUCCUGACUCCUGUUUAUACCAAAUUUUACACGGGUUAUUUCAAAUUUCACUCAAUUACUCGUUAGUACUUUCAGUUUCAUGAAAUUCACUUUCAUAAAAAUUCUAUUCAUAUUUUUGUGUUUUUUUAUUUAUUUUUAUAUAUAUAUUACUAUUUAUCUGGUAUCAGAGCCUAUUGGGAUCUGGGUGGGAAUAGUAACAUAAAAGCCAGUAUUCUUAGAAAGAACAAGAGACCAUUAGACUAUAGGUAUGCAACUGAAUGGUGUAAGUCCCGUUUGAGUUUUAGGGCAAUAAAUCCAUAUAACUUGCAGCGUGUUCCCUAGUUUAUCUUUCCUUUCUAUGGAUUCCGUCUUUCACAGGACUACUUCUCUUUCAGCUUCCUCUACCUCUGAAUCUUCUGAAAGCAGAAGAAUAGUACAAAGUGAAGAGAUAACUAUUGAAGACUUUACAAAAAACAUUGAUGACUGGAAAAUUCCAAAAAUUUCUCAAACUCAGAUUUAUCAAAAAUCUAAAUAUGAUAUUUUCAAAACAGAUUUUACUAUCAAAACUGAAGAGCGAGAUAUUCAGCUUACCAAACCUUUUGAAACCAUUCAACUCCUCUCUCAAAAAUCCUUACAAAAACAUCUAGCCCGAAACUAUAAAUAUAUUCAUGUUGGCCUUGUCCAGAUUGGAAUAAAACCCCUUACAAAAGAAGGCUUAAACACCUCUAUUCUAGCUGUCCUCCGUAAUGCUAGAUUUCAAAACUUCCAAGACUCCCUCCUCAGUUCUAUUGAGUCUAGUCUUUGCAGUGGGCCGAUAUCAUUUGACUGUUAUCCAAACAUAACCAUACCCCUCAAAGACAAAAAUAUCUUGCAGAGUAUGCUACUACAAAUAAAGACCCACAACUAUGACAUGCUAAAAGGAUCUAUCCCUGUUGCUCUCAUAUUCAAAAUCCAUUACAAAGCCAUGUUCUCAGCCUUUGCCAGCAAAGACAAAUUCCAAUCUCAAAAAGGUGAAACACUCCUACUACAAACAGAUUUAUCCCGCUCAAACACUGUUGUCCCAAAAGCAAUCCAAUGGAAAGACAUAUCCCUACCAGAAGAUUGGAUCCUUGAAGGUGCAGCACCACCAGAACUACCACCACCACCUCAACCCAAUGUCCAAAUUAAAAAUAUUACCCAAUAUACAGAUGGAAAAGUGAAACUGUCUUUCCACCGACACUCUACAAGUUCCAGAUUCUCAGAAGCCUCUUCCUCUUCCAGUACAAUAGAUUUGGGAAGAAUUUCCAAAAUCCCUUCUGUUAUCAAUAUCCCUUAUCACGAAAACCUUCCAAGAAAAUCUACAUCCGAUAUCCCUUCUCCUAGUUUCCAAAAUGCAGACUAUACUACAAAUAUACCAAAACCUGUCUAUACAAACCUUGAGCAACCAUCUCCUCCAACUUCACCGACCUUUUCAGCUAUUACUGAAAAUAUCCAAAACGAGCUGAAUGUUUUGACUUCAGAGAAACAUUUCGUUCUUGACAAAACACUUUUCAAAAAGGAUUUCUAUUCGGCCUGUAACUCUACAAAACGAAUUUGGUUUUUUCAAAACUUUCUCGAGCAAAGAAGUGAAAUACAAAAACAAUUUUAUAAUUUCAUUGAGCUACAUAAAAUACAAAUUCUAUUCUUUGAUUGAUUCGAAUUAUAUUAUGCAUCUGAACAUCACAUUUCAUAUCCUUUUGCAUCAAUUAAGCAUGCAUGCCCGGUCACAUCCAGGUCAAAAACCCAUGUAUGGAACCUCACCAGUGGACCUACAGUUGAGUCUGAACAUCCACAUUUGAGAAAUAUCCAAAUAACCCAUAAUAACCAGACUGUCGAGGCAGCCCCUUACAAAAUAUCCACUGAUGACACCCUUUCCAAUACAAAACACAUCAUUAACCAAAACAACUUUACAAACACCAACCUUAAUACCUUGGGAAAACAGCUUACACGGCUUGAGAAACAAAUACAAAGAACUGCUACAAGUUCAGCUGGCAUUAAAACCUCAACCGACUUAAAGCUAAAAAACCCAGUCUUCAAACCCUACCAAAUUACAAAAACCAGCCAAACACAGAUCCAAGAAAACCAAACAGAUUUUCUUAAAGCUAUUAAAACGCAUCUACAACACCUUGACAGUUCAUCUUUAACUGUCCCUGACACACCACAAAUAACCAACCCUUCUACCUCUACAAAUCAAGUCAACACUUUACAGAAUAGUCCUCAGGAAUCUUCUGAUGAAGGUACUUCUCCACGAAAACCUCUUACCCUAAACAGACUUACCUGGCAAACUCCCAAAACAACCAUUGCCCCAGACAUUUCCAUAACUACUGAACCAACUAUUCUUACUCAACACAAGUAUAAUGCCUCUUCCCUCUAUGAAUGGAAUAUAGAUGGAAUGUCCGAAUAUAAUAUCCUAAACACUCUCCAACAAAUGACCAUGGCAGCGAAUGCUUACAAAACCCAGACAGGAACCCCAGAUAAAGCUAUUGCUGAGCUCCUUAUUAAUGGUUUCUCCGGCCAAUUAAAAGGAUGGUGGGAUUACCAUCUCACUGACACUGAUCACCUGCAUAUCCUAAACUCCUUCCAAACAUAUGAGGACCAAACACCCAUCCUUGACCCAUUCGGAAACACCAUCCAAGACGUUGUGUCAACCCUUAUUCUUACAAUUUCCCUACAUUUUGUUGGAGAUCCUUCACAUUUGAAAGACAAAAAUGUUGAACUCCUUUCCAACCUUAGAUGCAAGAAACUAAGUGACUUUCAAUGGUACAAAAACACCUUCCUUACCCGUGUCAUGCUUAGGGAAGAUUCAAACCAACCCUUUUGGAAAGAAAAAUUCCUUGCAGGACUACCUAUUCUCUUAGGAGAAAAGGUUAGAAACAAAAUCAAAGAUACCUUCACAACAAAAACCAUCCCAUAUGACCAGCUCACAUACGGUGAACUUGUAAGCAUUACUCAAAAGGAAGGUCUGAAGAUCUGUCAAGAUCUUAAACUCCAGAAGCACCUAAAGUGGGAAAUGAAACGUACCAGGCAAGAACUUGGUAGUUUCUGUCACCAGUUCGACCUUUCCACCAAAAAACCCUCCUGUAACGGAAACUGUUCACAUCCCAAAAAAUAUUCAAGCCAGAGACCUCCUUAUAAACGAUCACUACAUAAAAACCGACAACAAUUCUAUUCUAAACCAGAUCAACCUUACUACAAAAAGCCCUAUAAAUUUACCAAGCCCCACAAACCUUUCCAGUCGAAACCUAAAACAAAAUUUGAUCCCAAAAACAUUACCUGUUAUAAAUGCAACCAGAAAGGACAUACAUCCCGUUUCUGCAAGGUCAAUACUAAACUUCAUGAACUCCAAAUAGAUGAAGACACCAUCAACCAAAUACAAAAUCUCUACAUUGAGGCUACAGACACUGACCACUCUCCUUCAGACACUUCUGAAGAAGAAUUCCAAAUCGAUGAAAUAGCAACCACCAGUGCUACUUCAGAUGCCUCUACAAAUUCCAAACAAUUCAACGUCUUGACCCAAGAUCAAGAGUUCAUUCUUGAGGCUAUCAAACGACUUGAUGAUCCUCAACUUCAAAAAACCUAUUUGGAUAAAUUAUUGAAAGACUUCAGCCAACCGGAGCACCCCCAGUCUAACCGCUCUAUAUUAACUUCUGCCAGCACCAAUACCUAUGAUCUUACAAAAAUUCUUGGCAGAAAGAAAUCCAAAACCACAGUCACCAUUCCAGAACUACAGUCUGAGAUAAAAACCCUCAAAUCAGAAUUGCAAAUCCUCAAACAAGCCCAACAGAAAGACUCUGCCAUACUACAACAUCUUCUGUCCAAAAUUGAAAGCCCGUCUGAUACUGAGUCUGAUACAGAGGAUCAAACCAUUGAAUCUCAUGCAUUACCACAUACACUUACAAAUAUUGAGCAUAUUCCAGAUGAUUUCUUAAACGUUCUAACCCAAAUAUCUUCCAAGAAAUAUUUAAUUCGAAUUACUCUUGUUUUCUCAGAAGAUUUCAAGCUUGAUACUAUUGCCUUAUUUGACACAGGUGCAGAUUUGAACUGUAUCAAAGAAGGCGUGGUUCCAAAAAGAUUUUUACAAAAUACCUAUGAAAAACUCUCUGCUGCUAACAAUUCCAAAUUACACAUUGCAGGCAAAACCCAAGCCUCUGUUUUCAAUAACGACAUUUCUCUUAAAACAUUUUUUGUUGUUACAAAAGACAUCAAUCAUACCAUCAUUCUUGGCACUCCAUUUAUUGACAUGAUCACUCCAUAUCAAGCACGUCAUAACUGUAUUACUUCCAAAAUUAAUAACACCAAACUUGUUUUUUCAUUCUUAGAAAAAUCUAAGACUAGGAAUUUAAAUUUAAUUAAAGCAUGUUCCAUACAUACCUGUCAUAUCAAUGCACUAAUUCAUGGGAAACAAUUCCAUCUACAUGAUUUACAAAACCAUGUUUCUUUUUGUCGUAUCAACAAACAAUUACAAAGUUCUGAUUUACAAAAGAAAAUCAUUGAUUUCCAAAAUAAGAUUGAACAACAGAUAUGUUCAGACUUACCCAAUGCUUUUUGGAAGCGAAAACAACACAUCGUUGAUCUUCCUUAUGAAGAUACAUUUUCAGAAAAACUAAUCCCUACAAAAGCAAGACCUAUACAAAUGAAUGCUGACUUAGAACAGCAUUGCAGACUUGAAAUCCACGAUCUCGAGUCUAAAGGUCUUAUCCAAAAGUCUAGAUCACCCUGGUCGUGUGCGGCCUUUUAUGUCAAUACAAAUUCUGAAAUUGAAAGGGGCACACCAAGACUUGUGAUCAAUUACAAACCUCUCAAUUCUGCUUUAAAAUGGAUCAGGUAUCCAAUCCCAAACAAAAAAGAUUUAUUACAAAAAUUGCACUCCGCAUUCAUAUUUUCUAAGUUUGAUAUGAAAUCUGGAUUUUGGCAAAUCCAAAUUGAUCCCAAAGAUAGGUACAAAACUGCUUUUACAGUUCCUUUUGGCCAAUAUGAAUGGAAUGUCACUCAAAAAUACACCAUCCGAAUUUCAACGCAUCAUGAAUGACAUAUUCAAUGCACAUUCAAAAUUCUGCAUUGUUUACAUUGAUGACGUGCUCAUUUUUUCACAUUCCAUAGAACAACAUUUCAAGCAUCUACAUAUAUUUUUUCAUACUGCCAAACAAAAUGGUUUAGUUGUUUCUAAAACAAAAAUUUCUCUUUUUCAAACCCGUGUCCGUUUCCUCGGUCAUUACAUCUGCCAAGGUACCGUAAUACCAAUAGAGAGAUCUUUAAACUUUACAAAUAAAUUUCCUGACAAAAUCACUGAUAAAACCCAAUUGCAAAGAUUCUUAGGAAGUCUUAAUUAUGUCUUGGACUACUAUCCCAAUAUUAGUCGUCUAUCCAAACCCUUACAUGACAGGUUAAAAACCAACCCCAUUCCUUGGUCUGACCUCCAUACCAAUCUAGUCAAACAGAUUAAGAAACAGGUCCAAACUAUUCCUCUCCUCCAUUUAGCUAACCCUUUAGCCCCUAAGAUUGUUGAGACUAACGCCUCUGACCUAGGGUAUGGUGGAAUUCUUAAACAGUUACAAGAUAACAAAGAACAAAUAAUCCAGUACACAUCUGCCCACUGGAAUGACUGCCAGAAAAAUUACUCUACUAUUAAAAAGGAAAUCCUUUCAAUUGUUCUUUGUAUUACAAAAUUUCAAAGUGAUUUAUUAAACCAAAAAUUUCUCUUACAUGUUGACUGCAAAUCUGCAAAAGAAGUUCUCUAAAAAGAUGUCCAAAAUCUUGCUUCCAAACAAAUCUUUGCCAGAUGGCAAGCCAUUUUAAGUAUCUUUGAUUUUGAUAUUGUUUACAUUAAAGGAGAAUCAAAUUCCAUCCCUGAUUUCCUAACCCGAGAAUUCCUUCAAAACAGGUCUUGAUGCCUCCUAAAGCAAAAGCCAAGGACAAGGGAAAAGCCCCUCAAACACAGCCUACAAAACCAGAGAGCCCCAAGCCUUCUACAAAACUCAUGUCUUCCGCCAUCCUCGCUGCCAAGCCUAUCAAAUCUUGGUAUGAGGCAGUUAUUGAAGAUGAAGAAACUACAAAACCACCACAAGUACAAACAGACGCAGUUCAACAUUGGGUUGACACUAUAUCCAAAUCGCCAGAAUUACUCCUGGCAUUGCAAAAAGUAUCCCAACAAGCCUCCAGUGACUCCGUGUCUCAAACAGGUAGUAUUUCCAAAUCACUUUCAAAACCCCAAGGAGGCAUUUUAUCUUCAAAACCCCUCCUUUCCUUACAACAAACAAGUUUUCCAAAAACCAAAUCCAAAUAUAUUUUCAAAAAUGCUUUCCAAAACAUUUUAACUAUGGAAGAAGGAUUUUACCAUGAAAACCCUUCCAUUGCUGCUUCAAAAAUAUUCCCUCCAAAAUGGCACUAUAAACCUUGAAAUCUAGCUCAACCACAAUCCUAUUAUGCAACUAUCCUUGAAAUUACCGAUUCUAUCGAAUUCAAACACUUCAAAUUACAUUCUGAUCACACUGAACCAGCUUACUCUACAUGCAUUAUUCACAAAGUCAUCCACCCUAAAGAUUGGGGACAACCCCUGCAUCAACCUCUCUCCUUCCCAAUACAAUACCGCACAAGCCCCCAAGACUUCAAUACCUCCUACACAUAUUGGGAUUACCAACAGGCAUGGUUUAAUGCCUUCCUCAUACAAAAUCAAAAUCAUAGCCAUUCUUGGCUCUUCUACUUCCACAAUACCAUGAAUACUACAAAUCUCUCCCUCUGGUUCCUUCAAUGGUGGGACUUUUAUGGUUGUCAUGUUGAUUACCUUAAAGAACAUCCUUUAGUUGAAAAUGGUUAUCUACAUUUCAAAAACAAUUUCCAACCAGCUCCCUCUGAAAGAAAGUUUUCUUCCCUCCUUAUCUUCUAUACAAAAUUUUUUGUUCCGUGGGUAUGUUCAUGGUUCUUUGAUUAUAAUUUACAAAACGGACAUCCAGUACUUAUUCGCAAAUUCAAAAUCAAGUGGUGGGAUUCCUUUGCAGCUGAGUCCAAAAGUUCAAAAUUAGCUGUUACGGAAUGGUUACAAAAACAUCAAACAACUCCCAUCAUCGAUCCUCAUCCUCAAUCAAAGUUCUUAGCCAGAAAGGCCCAAACGGCAGCUCUCCUUGCCUCUGCUAGAACUGAGGAAGAAUACCUACAAAUAGUACAAGGAAUUAUGCAAAGCCAAGACCCAGAAACAGUCUUGUCCCAAUCCAGCUCAUCUGGCUCAACAUCUCCUGCCAUUUCCCUCGACAAUGAUAAUGAAGAUGACUGUUUUGGUAUCCUGCCAUCUAUCACGUGACGUUAAAAAAAAAUAAAAAAAAAAAGAGUAUUUCAGGUCUUUUUAAGGCUCAUCUGUUUAGAGCCCAUUUUGGUCUUUUUUAAUGCUCAUCUGUUUAGAGCCCAUUUUGGUCUUUUUUAAGGCUCAUCUGUUUAGAGCCCAUUUUGGUCUUUUUAAGGCUCAUCUGUUUAAGAGCCCAUUUCUUUUAGACUCAGAUGUUUUGAGUCGUUUUUCGGCCUAUCUGUUUUAAGGCCUUUUUCUACAAAAGUUACUAGUUACUACAAACCCACCAAUCAAGUGUCGGUGGCAAGACGACAACAAACGAAGCUCAACCAAAAACGUGGACAAUUUCCAUUUUGUCGCCAUCCAAUCAAGGCAGACAGCACCACAUGGGCUUCUAUAGGUUCUGCCAAAUGCCACAUAGGUUCACAUGGGUCCUGAAGAGCUUCUCCAACAGGACAAUUUGGCCUCUUCCAUGCCAACUCGCCUAUAAAAGGCCACUUCAAAACCCUUAGAGGGCGGACUAAUCUUUCCCCUAGAAAAAAUUUACUCUCCCCUAAAAAUUUGUAACCCAUUCUCCUCUGUAACCAAUAUCUCCUGUCUUAAUUUUGUUACAAAUUUAAGUAAGAUAAUCUUAUUUUUAUCUACGUUUUUGUUAUAUCUGUUGUUGUUCUUUUUGUUACUUUUAAGUAUGCUCUGUGUUUGAUCAAGGAUCCUGACAUUGUUGGUCUUGCCUUGAUCAUUCGCAUCAGAAAUCUGUUUAUAUUGUUCUUUUCUUUGUUCUUUUAUACAAUCAGUAUAUAGGCUGGAAACCUAUGACCCGAUCUUUUAAAGAUCAUUCUCAGGUAUAACAACGCCACGUACUGUUUACUAUUUAUCUGUUUACUAUUUAUCUGUUCCUGUUUACUAUUAUAUAUAUAUAUAUUAACACCCGAACAAAACACUUCAAUUCAGAUUCUCGAAUAUAUCAUCAUUCUUAUAAUUUAAUUUAUCACUUUCCCUCAUUUUUCGUAAUCUUAACUUUUAUUAAUAUCAAUAAUAUUACCCGAGGUUUUAUAGUCUCAGUUGACACUGAUUUUCACCAUAAAAAAUGGUCGAUUUUUGUUUUAAUGAGUUUCAUUUGAUGAAGAGAGUUUCAUUGAAUUUUUUUUUUCCCUUGAAAUUGCCAAAAAAUUUAUGGUUUUUGGGCUAUUUUAUUAGUUUAUUACAUCAUAAAGACCAUUUUUAGGUGUUUUGGUGUGAACUUUGCUUAAAUUUGCAUUUUCGGGUCAAAAACACCCUGCUUAAUUUUCUAGUCACCUCUCCAAUGGUCAAGAACAGGAAAGUCUCGGUAGGUGACAUGUCGCUUUUUUUUUCAAAAUUAUUUGGAGCAUUUUCAAAUAAAAAAAGGCCCAUAUGUACCAACCCUUUUUAAAAUGGGCUUGAUGUGUAGGCCUGACUUACUAGGCCCAAAAGCACUUGAUCUAUUUCUAUUUUUUAAAAAAUUUUGUUUUCUUAAUUGAUAUUUUUUUUUAUGUAUUUUUAAUGAAUUUUUGAAUUUAUAUUUAAAUUAAUACUUUUCUCUCUAAAUAUUUAGAUUGUUUAUUUAGUUUUUUUUUUAAAUAUAGGUUAUCUUUUACUUAUCUUUUAUGUAUUUAAUAUCUAGAAAAAAUUAUUUCAAUUCAUCUAUAUGGUUUUUUUAUAUUUUAUAUGAAUAAACUUUAUUUUCAUGGCGUGUUUAUAAAAAUAAGAAUUAUUUGUUCUUGGUAAGAAAAAGUGACCUUUAAGAUAAAAAAAAAAAAAGAAGAAGAAAAGGAGAAAAGUGUGUAUGAAGAGGAAAGUUAAGGUUAAGUAUCAUAUUUAUGUAUCUUUUACUUUUAUGAAAAUGAUUAUCAUUUUAUUUUAUAAUUUGAUUGGCAUUAAGAACUCUUUAUUAGUUUAUUAGUUCAUAUUUUUGUAAGAUUUGUUUUUUACAUUUCUCAAUUAAGAGAAUCGUAAUACAAUGAAAUGCACUUGAAACAUUGUCCUAUUUUUCUACUACAUUAAAAAUUAACUUAAGAUCCUAUAUGUGGCACGAUGCGUUAACAACUAUUUUUUGUAUUUAUAAACACUUAUGGUCCUUACUUUAUUUUUAUUAUAUGUAAACAUCAACUUUUUUAUUCACAAUUAUAAUUUUCUCUUGAUUUUUAAAAAUACAUUAACAACAUUUAUACAUUUUUCUUUUGCGUUCAAAACAUUAUCUGACUCGUAGCAAAAUGAAUUAAAUAAACAUGUCAACACUUUUUUUUUGUAUUUAUGAUUAGGAUUUGUUUUUGUUAAAAAUGCAAUUGAAAAGCAUACAAAUUUAUUUUUUUGCUAAAAACAAUUUUGUGAUCCAUAACAAAGUACGAGUUAAAUAACUACUAAUAUGGCUAUAGUAAGUCUUUUAGUAUAUAUGGAUGUAGGAAGCAAUGUGUUAUAUUAUUAGUUAGAUAUAACUUACCUAUUCAUUAUUAAAAAAACAUAAAAUAAAUAAAUAUAUUAAUAGAAACCUAAAAGAGAUCGGCUGAAAUAUAAUAUUUUUGUCCUUUUUUUAUUUUGUUUCACAUUUCUCAAUUAAGAGAAUCAUGAUAUAAUGAAAUGUAUUUGAAACACCGUCCCAUUUUUCUACUACAUUAAAAAUUAACUUCCUACAUGUGGCGCGUUGCGUUAACAAUUGUUUUUGUAUUUAUUAACAUAUAUGAUCUCAAGUUUAUUUUAUUAUAUGUAAAUAUUAACUUUUUUUAUUCACAAUUAUAUUUUUUCCUCUCGAUAUAAAAAAAAUACAUUAACAACACUUAUACAUCCAUUCUUUUGUGUUGGAAAAUAUUAUUUGACCCAUAGCGAAGCGAGUUAAAUAAACACGUCAAUAUCUUUUUUUGUAUUUGUGAUUAGGGUUUAUUUUUUUUUUGUUAAAAAAAUACAUUUGAAAAGCAUUUAUAUUUAUUUAUUUUGCUAAAAAACAUUUCUUACCUUUAGUAAAGUGUGAGUCAAAUAACUACUAAUAUGGCUAUAGUGAGUGUCUUUUUAUACAGUAUACUUGGAUGUAGGUAGCAAUGUAUUAUAUUAUUAGUUAGAUAUAACUUACCUAUUCAUUAUUAAAAAAAACAUAAAAUAAAUAAAUAUAUUAAUAGAAACCUAAAAGAGAUCGGCUGAAACAACAUAGUCUCCAAGAGGAAAUAUUGUGAAUUCACACAAUGUUUACUUUCUUUUUUUUUUGUCCUUUUUUUUAUUCAGUUAUCUUUGAUGAUGAAUUAAUAAAGAUUUGAGAUGGUUUAAUUUCACAAAAUUUUCUUUUAUUGUUUGUAAGAAAUUGAAAAUGAGAAGAUCAAAAUUAAAAUAAAUAAAAAACCAAAUUUUUUUUUAAAAAAAAUAUGGUGUCAACUUUGCUUUUUAUUUUUUGCUUUUAAUCAUCUAUUUUUUUUAUAUAAAAAAAUAAUCUUUCAAUAUUGUGUUAAUUAUUUAUUUAUAAAAAAUUAAUCUUUCAAUAUUGUGUUAAUUAGAAUUUGAAAUUGGUAAUUUUAUAUGAGCAUCUAGAACUAAAUAAAAAGCCGCACCAUUGGUUUGGUGCUCAACUUUACAAAUAAAAAAAAAAAUCGAUUGUAUUGUUUUAGAAAAAAUAAAAAGAUCAAAACUAAAACACGAAAAAAGAAAAGAAAAAAAGGAGGCCUUAAAAAAACAAAUUGUGUCAGCACCUCCAUGCAUUGUAAUUUUGAUAAAUCUUCUUUUUGGUAAUGAAACUUUUUUAUUCAAAACUUUUUGAUUCAAAACUUUAUUUUACUUGUAUUUUAAUUCUUGAGGAUGAGAAAGAAAAGAGAAAUUCAUCAAAAAAUUACUAAGAAAAGAGAAAAUUAGCGAAAGCCAGCAAGGUAUCUGCUCGAAAAAACAAAUGGGCAAGCAAACAUACGCCCUUACUUCUGGAGGCUUGUGCGAUAAUGGGCAAGCAUCAUUGUUUUUUUGGGGGCUUGUACGAUAAUGACUAAACACACAACAUUACAUUACUUCUAGCUUCUUCAGCAAACACAGAUAGAUAAGUCGAAAUCUUCUGUAUUCCCAUUGCCAAUGAAACAGUUGGAAUUACUUCCCACCAAUCUAAAACAUAUUCGCAGCACCAACCUUGAAAUCAUGUAACAGCUAACCAACCUUGCCUGAUGCAAACAUGAAGAACAAAGACAAUCCAUGAUUUAAUUCAACCAUUAAAAUUUGAAGGUAAAGGAGAGGAUAAAUAAUCUUCAGCUAUAUCACCUGGUUUGGGCAAGAAAGAAUUAUUAGACUACCAAUCAUCACCAUUCUUUCCACCCCUUAUCUCGGGUCCACUCUCUAUAAAUGCUUGAAUCUUCAGCUACUUCAGAUACCUGUAAACCAAUUCAAGCAUGGCAUGCUCAUUUUUACUUGUAAAUCUUAUUAUUGAGCCAAACAAGAAACAAACACACUAAAAGAGAGGCAAGAAAUCAAGUCAAAUCAGCAGCACCUCUGAUUGAGCACUCAUUGAACCAUCUGGUGUACUAGCAAAUUUUGUGGUCAGCUUUGGACAUAGAUGGACCUUCAACUUCUCCAAACGAGGGAAUAAGAAAUAAUCACACCAUCCGAAACUAAAACAGACAAUACUUGAUAAUUGAUGUAUCGACAACUCCUUUAGAUUAGGAAGCACUAUCUCCUUCUCAACGUUGAUAGGUGAAGCUUGACCAUCCUGCCCAGGAGGCUCUGGAAUUAUUUCCUUUUCACCAUCCUCUUCUCUGAUAAUAUGCUUCAAUUGACCGCAUUUACCUAUGUAAAGUCUUUCUAGCUUUGGCAGACUUCGAGCGAGGGACGGUGUGAAUAUAAAUGUCAGUUUGUCCAGAGACCACAAAUCCAGAUAAGCAAGACUUUGGAGGCUGACAUGUCUGGUGGGCCCCUUCCACAUGCAUUUGAGCUCAGGUAAACCUGACAGCCGUAACCCUGUUAAAGAUGACAGAAGCGGCAGCUCCUUCUCCUCCCUACUUCCUUCAUCAGGCUCACCUAAUUCAAAUACCUCUUCCAAUGAUUUGCAGCCGUUAAUGUUCACACUGCUUAGAUUUUUCAAAGCUCGCAGCAAUUUUGCUGGAAACGGAGCGCGAACAUCCCCACAAUCGUCCACUCGUACACGUUCUAAUCUAUGUAAGGAGCCGUUUUGCUCCCCAUGGGCGGCCAUCUGAUCAGAGAACAAUAUUAUAUUUUCUCACUCUCAUAAAAACAAUUUAUAUGAUGUAUAAAUAGGAGAAAAAAACAGGAUUAAAUACUUUUUAGAGAUUACAUAUUAUUGUUUUAGUUUUGUUCUUAAUUAGAGAUAAGUUGAAUAAUAAUUAGAUUUUUGUGAAAAAAAGGUUAAUACAACUCCUAAUAAUUAGUUUCAUGUAAAAACAAAAACAAAAAUAAAAAUAGUAACUAAUAUUUUUAUUUUAGUUAUAAAGUUAAUAAAUUUUAAAAGAUAUUUUAAUUGACUUCAAAAUUUUCAACACAAAAUUUAUGCUCUUAUAUAUUAAUAAUUUAUUUGUGAAGUUAUUUGAUGUACUUUUGUAUAAAAAACAUUUUUUAUUACGUGCAAAGUUGUUUAAGUGGACAAACUUGUCUAAUUUUUAUCCAGAUAGAUUACCUCCAAAGUAGUCAAUUUGCUCAGCAGAAGACCCCUCAAGUCAGGCACGGAUUCCAAGCGUAAUUCUUUCAAAUUUGUGAACCCCUGCAUCAAAAGAAAUUUUGUGCACUUUUGAACUAUAUAAUUUUGGUAAAUAGAUGAACGAAUUGUCCAUAUAAAACUUCAGCAAAAAAACUUAUCAACAAAAGGAUAGAAGUAGACAUGGCAACAAGGCAUGGGAAUAUGAAAUCAGAAGUUGCAGAUGGAGGUUUAUCUUCCUCUUCAAAUACUUCUAUUAAUUGGGGGAAGAGCCUCAAUAUCACUUAAACUGGGAAAGCAUAAAGAUUGAAAAAUCAAGGUAGGAUUUCAUUACAAUAAUUAAUUUCUUACUUCUUAAGCCCUGCAUCAAGAGACAAGGAAUGAUAAAGUUAGACAACUCCUUUUAAAUUUAGUGAAUGGCUAAAGGAUUUAUCUCCACUUAUCAAUUACUUCAGUUUCAGAAAUUUGGAGGAGAAAUCAACCUGUAUUGAAGUUGACAAUUUAAAUUAAGAAGAAAAAAAAAUUAUAGGAGAAAUAUAAAGGACGUACUUGGAGCUGUGCAAACAAAUUUCCCAAUUCUUUGUGGCCAUUGAUUUUUAGAAAUCGCAAAGAAGGCAAUUGGGCAGCAAGAUUCGUUGGACCAAAAAAGCUGUAAUUUGAUAUGGAAGAAAGAACCAAGUCACUUAAUCGAGGGAACUUGAUGAUGCCAUCUGUGGUGAGUGCGUCUCCUUCUCCACUGUAAAAUAUUUGCUUUAAAUUGUCAGUACGAUCAAUCGUCAUCAAUUCCAGGUUCGGAAGGCUCGGAGACACAGAGACAGGGAAGACAUAUUCCAGUUUACCACAGUCUUUUAUGAAGAUAGUUUUUAAUCUUGGGAAGCAAGGAGACUCUGGAAUUAUUUCCCUUUCACCAUCCUCUUCUCUGAUAAUAUACUUCAAUUCACCGCAUUCACUUAUCUCAAGUGUUUCUAGCUUUGGCAGACUUCGAGCGAGAGACGGUGUGAGGAUAAAUGUCAGUUUGUCGAGAGAAUUCAAAUACAGAUAAGCAAGACUUUGGAGGCUGACAUGUCUGGUGGGCCCCUUCCAAAUGCAUUUGAGCUCAGGUAACCCUGACAGCAGUAACUCUGUUAAAGAUGACAGCAGCUCCUUCUCCUCACUGCUUCCUUCAUCAGACUCACCUAAUUCAAAUACCUCUUCCAAUGAUUUGCAGCCGUUAAUGUUCACACUGCUUAGAUUUUUCACAGCUCGCAGCAAUUUUGCUGGAAACGGAGUGCGAACAUCCCCACAAUCGUCCACUGCUACAGAUUUUAAUCUUUGUAAGAAGCCGUUUUGCUGCACAUGGACGGCCAUCUUAUCAGAGAACAAUAUUAUAUUUUUUCACUCUCAUGAAAACAAUUUAUAUGAUGUAUAAAUAGGAGAAAAAAAAAAGAAAAAACAGGAUUAAAUACUUCUUAGAGAUUACAUAUUAUUGUUUCAGUUUUUUUUUUCUUAAUUGGAGAUAAGUUGAAUAAUAAUUAGAUUUUUGCGAAAAAAGGGUUAAUACAACUCCUAAUAUAAUAUAAAUUACGUAAACCAUGAGGCAGUUAAAUCUAACAGAAAAUAUAUUUCAAAUGAGGCAGUUAAAUCUAACAGAUAAUAUGUUCUUCCAUAUGAUUAAUUUUUAAUAACGUAGACAACAAUGAGGCAGUUAAGUUUCUUAUAUUUAUAUAUGUUUAGAUAAAAAUAAAAAUAAAAAUGAGCAUUUAUCAAUUACUUUACUUUUAGAAAUUGGGAGGAAGAAAGAAUAAAUUAUCGCAAUUGACAAUUUAAAUUAAGUGGAGAAAUAUAAAUUACGUACUUGUAGCUGUGCCAACCAAUUACCCACUUCUUCGUGGCCUUCAAUGUUUAGUUUCUGCAAAGAAGGCAAUUGAAAAUCAAAAUUCCUUGGACCUAUAAAGCCGUAAUUUGAUCGGAGCCCAAGAGACAAUUGUCUUAGUUGAGGGAACUUGAUGAUGCCAUCUGUGGUGAGUGCAUCUCCUUCUCCACUGUAAAAUAUUUGCUUUAAAUUGUCAGCAUAAUAAAUCGACAUCUGUUCCAGGUUCGGAAGGCUUGGAGACAUGGAGACAUGGAGACAGGGAAGACAUAUUCCAGUUUACCACACCGUUGUAUGAAGAUAUUUUUUAAUUGUGGGAAGCAAGGAGACUCUGGAAUUAUUUCCCUUUCACCAUCCUCUUCUCUGAUAAUAUGCUUCAAUUCACCGCAUGCUGUUAUGUUAAGUGUUUGCAGUUGUGGUAGACUUUGAGCGAGGGACGGUGUGAAGAUAAAUGCCAGUUUGUCCAGAUACCCCAACUCCAGAAAAUUAAGACUUUGGAGGCUGACAUGUCUGGUGGGCCCCUUCCAUAUGCAUUUGAGCUCAGGUAACACUAACAGCCGUAACUUGGUUAAAGGUGACAGUAGCGGCAGCUCCUUCUCCUUACUGCUUCCUUCAUCAGCCUCACCCAAUUCAAAUACCUCUUCCAAUGAUUCACAGUUGUCAAUAAACACCUCCUUCAGAUUUUUUAAACCUUGCCGCAAUCUUGCUGGAAACAGAGUGAAAACAUCCCCACAAUCCCUCACUACUACAGAUUCUAAUUUAUGUAAAAACAAUUGCUCAAAUGUCUUCGCAUUUAAGGAUGUACCAGCCCAAUAAAAUCUUGUCGAGGUUGAUGAAUAAUACUCAUAGCCUAAAGCAUUCCCUAAUGUUAUAUCAUAUUUGCGCAAGCUAACUGGAAAAACAAAAUCUCUGGGAAUGCGUUCAACCUUCGGUAUCCUCAAUGAUAAUACGGCUAACUGAGACAACGAAUUUAGUUCUGUUAGGUUUGCAUUCAUUCCACCUGUGCUGUCACAUCCAACGACAUCCCAUCCCUGAAAGCUGUAUUGCCCAAUCAACAGCUCUUCUAAUUUCUUCAACCUUCCAAUCAAAUUCACAGGGAUCCUUCUUAGCCUUUGACAACCUGUCACAUCCAACAACCUUAACUCCUUGAGCUCUCCUAUUUCAUCAGGUAAUUCUUCAAUGGAUAAGCACGACAUAAGACCAAGAAUCUUAAGUCUCUGCAGCUUUCUCAACCAAAUGAGGUCCUUGCAUCCACACCUAAUCAACACCAACGAUUGAAGUUUCGUUGAGAGUUCAAGUGAUUGCAGCGACAAACGCCCUCCCUCCAGAGACAAAACUUCAAUUUCUUUCAUCCCUUCAAAAAACCUCUCUGGAACAUUCAUACCAUCUUCCAGUUCUAAUAAUAGAACUUUGAGCUGUGGACAUACCAAUCCUUCAGGAAGUUCUGCUAGUUUAUUGCCCAUUAACGAAAUUGUUGUACAACCUUCAAAGCUUUUGUUUCUCAUUGGCCACUUCUCCAACCCAAUGCCAGCCUUUACGAUGAAUCCAUAUUCUUCUGAUGAUGCUAUCUGAAUAGCAAAGUCACGAACCAAGUCAUGCAUUCUCACAUGUUCUUCAGUUUCAGUGCCCAACAGCAUGCAACAAUCUUUGAGGUUUUCGAUGGCCACAGAAACUCGUUUCCUUGCAUCUUCAAUGGGCUCCGCAUCUUGAUGUAACCCAUAGCCAACUGCAUAUCUCGUCAAGUCCUCGAUUGGAAUGUCAUAAUCUUCUGGAAAUAAACAGCAUAGCACGAAACAUGACUUGGUUUCCUCGUACUUCAAAUAAUCAUAGCUCAACUUAAGACAUGUGUAAGCAUUAUUUUGUUCAUCAAUUUGUUCCAUGCGCACAAAGUGAGAUUCUUUGAGCUGUUUAGACGCUACUUCCCACUGAACUCGUGAUUUACCUCUUAGAGCCCUUCCCACUGUCACAAGUGCUAUAGGCAAGCCUUGGCAUUCUCUCGCAACCUCCCUUGCCACUGUGUUCAAGGUAGAGUCCCCAUCACGUAAACCUGCAUUGAUUCUGAAUAAAUCCGAUGCUUCAUCUUCAGGUAAGACUCUUAAAAGCACUUUUUGCUGGCACUCCAUAGAAAAACAUAUGCCUUGAACACGUGUUGUUAGAAGAAUUUUACAACCCCUGUGAUCAUCACCAAAUGGGAUCCCUAUCUCUUCCAAGUCAAUAUGUUUCCAAACAUCAUCUAGGAUUAUAAGCAUCUUCUUUCCCUGCAGUCUCUGCCAUAAUUCACUUGCUCUACCUUCUUUACUCGUUUUUUCAAAUUUCAGAUGUAAACUAUCUGCCAUUCGAUCCUGGAUGCCUAUGAAAUUUGGAUUCUGGGACACCGUAGCCAUCAAAACGUCAGGAAAAAGCUGCGACUCUUUGGCUCUCCUGCCUACUUCUUUCACCAGGGUUGUUUUACCCACCCCUCCCAUGCCGUACAGUCCGAUCAUAUUGACGGUGUCAUCUUUGAGAGCUUUCAUGAUCUGUUCCAAAGCUUCUUUUGACGAUUCUGAGGGCGUGAAUUCCUUUGAUGUUAGAAAUUCUAUGGGCUGAGGAGGAGCUUUUUGGGCCACUAUUUUAAACUUUGUGCUAUUUUCUAGAAUUUUUCUGAAAGUCUCCGACUUCUUGGCCAGUGCCUUGCUUAACUUGAAUUGUCGCAUGCAGUUUGGGCACCAAGUAAAGCAUUUGCCGUUUUUUCCUAUUUCAUUUUCCAAGGGCUUCGCACCUUCAAUUUGGUUGUUUGCAUCUUCCAGCCACUUUUUGACAUCUUUGUAAGUUUUUUCAGCAUUCCUUUCAGCAGCUUCGACAUCGUCUUGCAGACGUUCUUUUGCCGAAACCAGGUUCUCCUUUUGUUCUUUGAAUUCUUGAGCAAAAUUGUUGAAACAGAACAUGUAACGGAACUGCCUUCCUACUGGUUCCACCAUGAGUUCUGCUAGCAUAGCUAUAAUGGAUCCACCAGCACUUUCGAGAGCCAUUUUCCACAGGUCUGAAAAUCAAAGAAAUAAGGAUACAGAACGUGAGAGUGAUCACUACAAGUAAAACAGUCGCAGAGAGAAUGGGAAUAGGAAUUUCAUUACCUUAAUUUGGGAAAAUAUGUGCGAAAAGCACUGGUACUGAGUGCUCAAUGAAAUAGCGGGAGGAAGAAAAGGAGAAGUCCUUUAGCUCUGUAUGGAAUCCAGCUUCAAAAGCAACAAUAAAAUAGUUUAGAUGGAUUCUAACUGACUCUUGUGAGUUAAAGCAGUAGUUCCCAUUAAAAAUGCAUUUUGAUGACAUAAUUAAGAUCAUAUAGAGACAGUGACAAACCAAAAAGAAAGAAACGAGUGAAAGGUCCAGGAUAAUCUAAGCUAUGAUCGGUCAAGGUUUUUUUUUGUUUUAUUCUUUUUUAAAAUAAAAAAAAAAAAACAGGAAAAGACUUGCAAAGAAAUAGAAUUACUGGAAUGAACACAAUAAAGGAUGAAACUCAAGCAAUUAAAAAUAAAUUAUCUAUGAUGAUCAUCUCUGUGUCACACUCAAUGAGGUAAUAUGAUUGGCCUAUUACAAUAUUAAAUAAAUAAAUAAAAAAGCUAAAAGAACUAGGUUUUUGGUGGCAUCUAGAUUGCGGUUACUUUCUUCAUCCUUCUUUUGUGGUUUUAUUUUAUUUCAGUCCUUCAAAUCUUUUUCUUUUUCUAUUUCAUCGAGUUGCUUUUGAGUUGAUGUGCUUGCCCUAGAAUAUGCAUUAUGCUAGGGAUUACAGUUACAUUACAUAAGAAAUUAUAAUUACAGAUUAUAAUUAACAAUUUCAGUUUUUUUUUAAAAAUAAAUUUAUGAGAAAGGACCCAACGUGAGUAAAUUAAAGGAGAAUUUUAAAUCUCAAGGAUUUACAUGAAAGUGUUUUUUUAGAUGUAAAACAUUUUCCAGAAAUUAUGAAAAAUUUAGAAAUAUGAUAUUAUUUAUUGAUUAUAACAAAUUUAGUCCUAAAAAAUUUAAUUGCUAUAUAUUUUGUUUAGAAUAUUUUUUUUUCAAUUUCACCCCUUAGAAUUUGAUUUUUAUACUAAAUUUGGUUCUCAUUUUAUGAUUGUUAUUUGCUUUUUUCUUUUUAUUUUUUUAAUUGAAAUUUUUUAUUUAUCAAAUUUGAUCCUCAUUAUUUUGAUUGUUACUUAUUCUAUUUGAAAUAAUUUAUGAAAUUAUAAUUAUUUUAAUUUCAUCAUCUUUUAAUUUUUUUUAUCUUUAGAUUUGAUUUUUAAAAGGCUUUUCAAAAAAAAAAAAACAGAGAGGAAAGGUACGGUUGAAAUAAGAUAGGGACGUGGAAAUAGAGGGAGAGGUUGUUGGAGGCAGAAAAGGAAAGACUACGAUAGUAUUUUUCUCUAUAUUUUGAGUUUUAGUUGUUAACAGCCAUGCUCGUUUGAUUUUAUUUUAUUUUAUUUUUAUUUAUUUUCUACAUGCUCUUGCAAAUAAGGCAGGAAAGGAGGACCUGAAAUCACGGCAGCAAAUAAGGAGGGUAAUAGCGUGUUUGUUUUUUAUUUUUUAAAUUAUUUUUUUAUAAAAUAAUGUUUUGUAUUCUAAAUUAAUUUUUUUUUAUUUUUAUAUUGAUAUUAAAAAUAAUUUUUUAAAAAUAAACAAAUAUUAUUUUAAUAUAUUUUUAAAAUAAAAAAAUAUUUUAAAAAACAACUAGUUAUUCAAACACUUAAAAUGAAAAUCUUAAAAUCACAGCAUGAUAAAAGGGGAAAGAAAGGAAUGGGAUAAAGAAGGAAGAAAGCCAGUCUUGUAGAAAAUAGAAGAUGAAAAUUAGUAUGAAAAGGAGGCUAUUUGUUUUUGUAGUGUUAGAGUGGUUUUUAUAAUUAUAUUUAAUUUAUAAAAAUAUUUAAUUAAUAUAUUUUUUAAUAUUUCUUGUUAUUUUAUAUAUAUAUAUAUAUAAUAUUUUAAUAUGUUUUUAAAUAAAAAAUUAUUCAAAAAAAUAUGUGUCACAAUACUAAAUUAUAGUAUAUAUUAAAAGAUAAAAGAGUUUUCUGUUCAUUAUUAUUUACCGAGACUUAUUUUAUUGUGGAUGUGGAUGUUAAUAGUGAAUUUUUUUAAAAAAAUUUCAAUUUUGUAUUUGGAUUUUUUUUUUUUUUUACAUAAUUGAAUCUCUUUAUGCCAAAAUUAAAACUCAAUUGUAUUUUUUUUUAAGGAUAAGAGUUGAAUUGAAAGAUAGAUAACUGAAAUGAAAAACUCGAUAAAAAUAUAUAGUGACACUGUAAUUGUUUGCAAAGUUCAUUUUAGUUCCUUAUCUUUUUGAGCUACUAAGUAACAUGUCCCUAUAAUUUCUCAACAUUACAUUUUAUACAGAAUCUCGGAUUAUGCUCUUGGAACUAAACUGAAAUUUUCACAAAUUGAAGGACCAAACUGAAAUUUUAUGAUCUUCAACCUCAAACCCAGAAUUUUCAAAGAUCACCUAUUGAUAUCAAGAUUUCUAACUCAAAUUCAUUAUUAAAACAAACCAUAACUCAAAAUCAUUAUUUUUACUUAAAAUCUUUCAAAAUCAACUAUAUAACUCAUUAUCAAUAACAAUCAACACAUAAUAUUCAAAUUAAUUCAUCAAUCAAACCCAAAACACAAUCUUCAAAACUCUAAUAUUCAACAAAAUAGAAAAUUAAAGCUAAGGAAAACACAUUUAUACACUUCAAAGCGUAACUCUUACAUUUUAACUUAUUUUCUCCAACUCUCUUCUCCUUUCUUUAUCUUUUCCUCUUUUUCUCUUUUUCUUUUUUCACUCUCACGGUUUUCUCUCUAAGAAUUGAGAGCUUUUUAUUUUUUUUUAUUUAUAUUUAUCAAUUAUUUGUUCAAUUACUACCGUUCAUUUAUUUAUACCUCCUUGCCUCCAAGAAUUUUGUAGCCUUUUUCUAUUCUCUUUUAUUUUCAAAAGAUCACAAUAAAAUUGUAUUCUUUUUAUUAAGCUGUUAAUUUAUGCAGCUUUAGCUCUUGUUCUCUUUUCAUGUUUGGCAACUCUGAUCUGAUCCAUUUCUUUGCAUGAUAUAUAAGAGCAGGUUCUUACCUCUUGAAGUCUGCUGGAUAAACCUAUCAGCAGAAGAUCAUGAACCGAUCCCAAAUCACAGCUUCAAUCCCCACCACAACCAAUCUCCUCUUUCCCGUAGUCUUCCGUCCUCAAUUGGGAAAUGAUCCAAAAUCAACAACCGGUGCGGAGAUAGUUUGAGUGAAAAGAAACGGCUGAAAGAUGAAAUGUGAAGGUUAUGGUGAGAAAUUGGAUGACAAACUUACUUUGUCCUACUAAUGCUUUUGCUUUCAUUGUUUCAAAAAGUAAAAGAGACAUAAGCAUAAUCAUAAGAAUCCUGUUUUUUCUAUUUUUUUCUCCUAUUUAUACAUCAAAAAAUGGCAGUUUUUCUUUUCCUUUCUUUUUAAAAUCUUAUGCCUUUGGGUGAGGAAAGUAGUGGAGCAUUAGACUUUUUAAAAGACAACAAAAAGAAGCAAUGUCUCAUCUUUUGAUAUGGUGGUACAAGAUACACCAUGGUAUGGUGGUCCUGCAAUAUUAGUUUGUUGAUGAAGAUAUCGAAAGAUUCCAGUCUCCGUUCUAGCUAAUGUUGGAUGCAAGGCUGAAGUUAAGAUUAUUUUAGAAUAUUUUUUUAAUCGGUGGUUUGUGUGGAGUAAUUUACGAUAAUUUAAUCUUUAAAAAAAAUUAGAUUUUUAAUUAAUAAAUUUUUAAGUAACUAUAAAUUUAUUUAAUGAGAUCUUCAGUAAUAAUUCUAGUUGGUUAGGCAAUAUAAACAGUUUUCACAAAGAUUCUACUACUGAUGUGUCCAUAUUACACAGGAACAGAAUGCUAGAGAAUAACUUUCUUUUUACAAAAAAAAAAAAAAAAGGUCGAGAAUUUUCCUUAAAGCAGACACCCAUGAAGAAGAGAUAGUUGCCUUAGCCAAGCUUCUCACUUUACAAAAUUGUAUCGUAGUAGUUUGCACCCACUAGGAAGUCCAGAAUAGGAAAAGAAAAACGGACGCUUAGCGGACCCACAAAAGUUUAAAACACUUGCAUUUCUUUUUUAUUUUCAAAUUAACAUGGUAAAUUUUGUAUGUUUAAAAAUAUCGUAAUGAAAAACACAGCAUUCGAAAAAAAACACAAUUGAAAUAAAUCUAGAUUAUCCUUCUAUUGUGUAUCAAAUUUAUGAUUUUUAAUGGUCAGGGAUUUUAAAUCCAGUUUGGUGUACGACCCGAUCCAAUAAAUUCGAGUCACGAGUUUUGAUCGGGUCACCCGAGUCAACUUUUUUUUUUAUAUAUAUAAAUCAAAAUAAUAUCGUUUUUUAUUAAAAAAAAUAGUCAACAUGUUACAAUUAGAUUUUUUACCGAUUCUUUCCAGGUCAACCGGAUUACCAAGUCACUUGACUUUUUAUUUUUUUUUAUUUUUUUUAAACCCGACUUGAUUCCAAUCCUGAAUCUAACCUGUAAGGUCAGACCAGGUUUUAAAAAUAUGCUAUUUGACUGAAAAGGAUGUUACACCCCCAUGUUUUUUUGGUGAAGAAUUGCAUGACGUAGUGUCAGAGUAUUGUGAUAUUGUGUUAUAAACAGAAGUUUUCUGGUUUUGGUUUAACCCACAAUUAGAUAAAACAAAGUAUUUUCUGGGAGCUUCCUUAUUGGAAGAUCAAUCUGCUCCACCAUAACCUUGAUGUCAUGCACAUAGAAAAAAAAAACAUGUUUGAAAACAUUUUUAACGGUCAUGAACGUGAAGGGAAAGACAAAGAACAAUAUCAUGGCUAGAAUGGAUAUAAUAUUUUUUUGUAACCGUAAAAAUAUGGAGUUGGUUUUUGAUGGGUCACGGGUCACAAAGUCCAGAGCAAGCUUCGUCUUAGAGAAGAAUACACAACUACUAGUCUACCUAUAGCUUAAAAGCCUGUGUUUUCCCGAUGGACAUGCCUCGAACAUAUUAAGGUUGGUUAAUCUAGAGAAAUUCAGAUUGUAUGGAAUGAAGAGCCAUGAUUGCCACGUGUUUUUGCAAACACUCAUUCCAUUAGCUUAUCUUGAUUUAUUGCCAAAGGACAUAUGUGAUACACUCAUGGAGAUCAGUCAUUUCUUUAGAGAUAUGUGCUCCAGCAAGUUGUAGACACAUCACAUUGAGAAGCUUGAAACAAAUAUCAUUGAGACAAUAUGCAAACUUGAGAUAAUAUUUCCUCUAUUGUUUUUUUGACUUGAUUGAGCAUCUACCAAUACAUUUACCGUAUAAGGCAAAAGUUGGAGGCCCAGUCCAAAAUAGAUGGAUGUAUCCAUUCGAGAGGUUAGAUAUUAGAGAUGCAAUGCAAGUAUUAAUGUAUUUUCAUUGUUUUUCUUAAUUGAAAAUGUUUGUUUAAUUUGAUGUAGGUACUUGUUCAAUUAAAAAAAAAAAGAAGUUAAGAAUAAGGUGCAUGUUGAGGCUUCGAUAUGUGUGGCCUAUAUUGUUGAGGAGAUCUCAACAUUUAUAUUAUACUAUUUCGAGCCUCAUCCGGGAACGAAAAUCAACCGCGUUCCACAGCAUGAUGAUGGUGGUCAAGUGCCUUCAAGUUCGAACUUGUCAAUAUUCUCCAAUCCUGGAUGACCCACAUCUAAAAAUGUUGUAAGGGGAACAUAUUUGUCUAAAAUAGAAUUCAAACAAGCACAUAAUUAUGUGUUAUUUAACUGCAAUGAACUGAGACUUUUUAUUUAUUUAGUAUAUAUACUACUUAAACUUUGUUGUAAAUGGACUAUUUAUCUAUUGUAAUAUCACAAAUUUGUACAUUUUUGAAAACCUCGUAGGCAAUGUUGACAAUAUUUACUAACUCACAACUGACGGAAUCCCUUCAAUUACAAGAUGAACAAUUUUCCAGGUGGUUCAGAACAUAUGUAAGUACUAUGACAAACUCAUCAUGUAUCAUUGUACUUAAUUUCAUUACAGAAUUCUCAUUUACUGUUCAUUGUUGUAGUUUGUUGCUACCCAAUUUUGACCCAUGUUUUUGAUAAAUUUUCAAAAAAAAGCAAAAAAACAAUGAAAACCCCAAAAAAUGCAUUUUUGAUAUGUUUGCAUCGUUUUUAGCAUUUUCAAUGUCAUCUCAGAAGAAUUUAAAUUUUCAAAGGUAUUUUGAACACGUUCAACUUUUAAUGUGUUAAUUUUACAAUCACUGAUUUUUCUUGUUGGGUCAACAUUGAUAUUGCUUGCUUUCAAAAAUACAAAAAAAAAUAAUUCAAAAUUGACAAAAAAUAAAGAAGUUGAGGGACCAAUGUGUUUUGGGGACCAAGCCACUUUGCCUAUAAAUAGAGGUCACAACACACGCAAAAGGAGGAGAAAAAUUUUACAGGGGAACAAUUUUAAGACAGAGAAAUUUAGGGCAACAAAAAAUAAACCUAAACCUAAAUUAUUUCUCCCAAGCCAGCCGACUGCCUCCCUCCCUUUGCAAAAAAGGUCGGCCGCCGCUUCCCCCAGUUUUGGUUCCCUUUGGCUCCUUCUUAAACCUUCAGCCCCUCCAUCACUAGGGUUCCCAUUUCCACGAUCUCCCCUAAGCUGGCCCCUGACCCAUUUCCGGGCAUUGCCAGCAGUGGCGCUGCAUGGAGCAAAUGCGCCGUCAUUAUUCUGGCAGAUUCCAGAAGGCUUUCCACUGAUCUUGUAGUUUCUGGGGGCUUAUUUUGUAAUUUUUGAAUUGUAUUUGAUACAUUUAAAAUUUUUGUUAUUUUGAAACAUGUCAAAAUGAUGUGUGAGUUGAGCAUAAUAAAAAAAAGUGAUGUUAGUGUGUGUGUUUGUGUUUUUUUUAUGUAUGUUUUCUUUUAAUGUUAAAAUUAAAAAAAAAGGUGAAAAUGUGAUGUUAGUGUGUGUGUGUGUGUUUGUAUUUUCUUUUAUGUAUGUUUUCUUUUAAUGUUAAAAUAAAAAAGACAAAAAUAUUAAAAAGAAGAAAAAAGAAUUAAGUGUUUAAUUUGUAUAUGGUCAAGUAUUUUAAGGACAAAUAAAAUCAUGUUGUACUUAUUUUGAUUAUUUUAAGGACAAGUAUUUUUUAAUUUUUUUAUAUGCUAGAUUUGAUUUUUAUUAUUUUUAUUUUUAUUUAUUUUAUUUAAAAUAAUUUAUAAAAUUAAAUUUCUUUUUUAAUUUCAUUAUCUUUAUUUUUUAUUUUUAUAAUAAACUUGAACAGAAAAACUCAAAUAUUAAUAAGUUAUUUUUCAAUUUAUUUUUUAUGACAUGAACAAACAUUUGAAAUUAUUUUUUAACAUAUUUUUUAAUUUAUUUUUCUUAACACUAUUAAAUAUAAAUAAAUAACUUACUUUGUAAGAAUUUAUUUUCUAUAAAAACUACCUUUUAAAAGAAACUACUUUAAAUAAACGGGGCUCAAAUCUCACUCUCAUGGCUUUAUUUUUCAAGUUUUAAGAGAUAGAUAGACCUUCAUAACCGCAUGUGGUUAUUUAUCAUGAUAUUACCUUCUUCUGGAGUUAGGACAUGAUGAAAAUAGGCAAACAGAACCUAAUAAUUUAGUCAUUCUCAAUGUUUUGGAAGAUUUUUGCGAAAGAAAAAUUAUUACAAAUUUCCCUAGUCAUGAUCAUAUCCAUGACAUCUGACAAAAUUAUUAUAAACAGAAUUUUUUUUUGCAAACAUUUAGAAAAAAGAGUUUAUUAUUUGGUGAAAAACAACUAGUCAUCACCCAAAGAAACCGAGUGAAUGAGAAAAAAAGACAAAUAGCUAGAAAACAAUCAACAGAUCCAAGAACUUUCUGUAUGGUUUCCAAGAAAAUAAAAAGAAACGAGCAGCACAUGUUUUGAGUCUAGUGUAUUAACCUAGAAGGAUUAAAAUCAAUAAUUUCUUCUAAAUGAUCAAAACAUGUUGUUUUGAAAAGACCAAAAAUAUCAAUUAGAAAUCUUAUCAAGUUUUGACUAGAUUACAAAUCAAUUCAUCAUCAAAUCAAUCGGGUCAACCUAUAUUAAUGUUGGGUUAACUUUUUUUUUAUACCCAACCCGAGCAAGCUGACGGAUUGUUCAAGUCAAGUUUAAUAACAAUGUUUUCAUCUAUUUAACUAACCCUUUUAAUCUAUAUAUUUGCGUUGAUGUAUUUUUUUUCAUUCCACAGUAAAAGAAAAUCUCUUGAUUUCUCAUGAACAAUCUUAAAACUGUUCUUCAAGAUUCUGAAGGAAAAGACAUUAAAGAAGCUUCUUAUGACAUGCAGUUUCAACGAAAACUCCUUCACGCUAUUUUCCAAGAUACUUCUACCCACUAGAAACCUGGAAAAACUUAAAUAAUAUCAGCAAAAGUUUUGUUGUCAAUGAACAUGGCAGUAACAGGUUGGGAAUGUGUCAGCAUGCGAAGUGCCAAAGGGUAAAAGUAUUAUUAAAGAGGCGUGACACAAACGAAGCUACCCCUUACCUACUCCUGGGAAGGAAUAUAUGUCAGACUAUACAGCUUUUUCAAUUCAUUAAUGUCGUUCUCUGUUUGUCUUCUAAAACCUACUCCCAUCAUAUACAUGUAUUAUAUUCUUAAAAUUGCUCUAUGGGAUUGCAGGUCAUGCUCGUUUGAUUGCUUUUUUUUAUAUUCUUUUCAUGCCUUGCAAAUAAGGCAGGGAAGGAGGACCUGAAAUCACGGCAGCGAAUAAGGAGAGAAAUAGCCCGUUUGUCUUUGCUUCUUUCUUUUAGUAUUUUUGAAAAAUAUUAAUUUUUUUACUUUAAAUUAUUUUUUUAUAUUUUCAUAUUAUAUUGAUAUAUUUCUAAAUAAAAAAAUAUUUUAAAAAACAACCGCUAACACACUCUUUUUAAAGCUAUUAAGUAACCAGUCCCUAUAAUUUUUCAACAUUGCAUUUUGGUACCAUCCAUUUUUUUCUUGUGUUCAUACUUAAAACCUUCUUAAAGGAUUCUUAUUAAUAGCUUUAAAACCUCUCUCUCAAGAUUAAAAGGUUAGAAAUAACUUUAUGCUCUCUAAAUCUAACAAAACCACCAAGUACCCUUAAAAUCAAAACCAUCAGUUUAGUACAAGAACUUUUAGCUGUUAGCUUUUAUCCAGAACCUUUUACUUUGAUCAAAUGGUUAAACUUUCAUUAAUUUUUGAGGGAAUCCACAAAAAAACCUAGAAAAACCUAUAAAUACUCUUGAAAAUUAGAGCUGGAGAGGAGGAGAAAAUGAGAGAAAAAGAGAGGAAAAACGUGAGUAAAUAAUUUGUUAAUAGACUCUAUUACGAAGAUUCAAGAGCCUAAUAUAAAAGGUCUAACCAGCUUAAAAAAAAAAAAAAAAAAAGGAAAAGAAGGAAGGAAAAGAGAAGAAGAAAAUAACAACGUAAUUUUGAACUAAAAAGGCCUAAUUUCAGUGAAAGUUAAGAGCAUUAGAGACUAGACCGUGCUUAUACCGAAAGCGACUCUCAUCGUUGAAGGAAUGCAAACGGUUGUUAACGAGACACUUAUGUCGUUCCAACAUUCAAAGGUUGUUGAAUCUAGUACUGGUGCUCAUUCUGGAUCUAGUACCAAAAGGAGAAUAUAGAAAGAGAUAGUAGUGAAUUAAUUAUCUUUCAUUCAGUAGUAGGAUAAAAUUUAAUUAUCCUAAUACAAGACUUAAUACAAUUUCAUAGUUGUGGAACACUAACUAGAUAUAAAGAAAAAGUACAAAUUACAACAAAAAAUACAGGUUUUGAAGGUUGAUGACUCUCUCGACCAACUACGGUUUCAAAUACGAUGUGCACUAAGACUAACACUACUCUGUUAGCAUGAGCAUUCUAGCUGGCAUACCAUAAGUUCAUAUCAUAAUCAAACAAACAAAUUCAUAUCUCAAGGCCCAACUCAUGACAUUAAUAAAAUAAGAAGCUAUCAAUUCAGAAGUCAAUUUAGAAGUAUAUAUUGGCUUAUAUCAAUAAUUCAGAUUCAAUAAUUGAUUAUGUUUUAUCAUAACAAAGAUAAUAAUCAACAUAUAUAUUAUCAAGAAGCACAAUCCAAUUCAUAUUAACAACUCAAAUAUUUAUAUUAUUUCUCAUGCAUAUGAAAUUGACUUAAAAGUGAACAGAACUCAAAAGCAAAUACCGAAGAAAAUCUUACUGAUAUUCCGCAUGUAGAAUAUCAAGAUUAUCUAAAUACAAAGGAGACAUAUUAUAAAAUGACUCGAAAAGAACAUACAACCUAUUUAAUACACUUAAUUAAGGGUCUAUUUCAUAACCCUAUAUAUUUUUUUUUAACUAAACUAGUUAUUUUUCCCAAAAACCAAAAAAGUAAACGGUUUUCCGGAAAUCUAAUUCAUAAUAAAAAAAAUAAUGAGACUUGAUAAUAAUUCACUAAAUAACCAUCAAUUAUUUAUCAAAACAAUAUGAAAAAGCUAAUAUUAAAGCUAAGGACCAAUCUGGAAUUUUAUCAUAUUUUUAGGGGUCAAAUUAUAAUUUUAUCAAAUUGGAAGACCAAACUAAAAAUAUCAUAAAUUCAUGACUAUACUGGAAUUCUGCCCAUAAUUCAUCCUCAAUUCUGCCCAGAAUCUCAAAUUAUGCUCCAGGGACCACUAUAGAAUUUUAUCAAAUUUUUAGGGUCAAGUUGUAAUUUCAUCAAAUUGGAGGACCAAAGUGAAAAUGUCAUAAAUUCAUAACUAUACUGGAAUUCUACCCAUAAUUUAUCUUUGAUUCUGUCCAGAAUCUCGGAUUAUACUCCAGGGACCAAUCUCUAUUUUUUCCAAAGUUCAGAGACUAAAUUGUAAUUUUCACAAAUUGAGGGACCAAGCUGAAAUUUCAUAAUCUUCAACCUCAAACCAGAAUUUACAUAGAUAACCUACUGAUAUAUCAAGAUUUCUAACUCAAAUUCACCAUUUAAAUAAACCAUAACUCAAAAUCAUCAUUUUUACCUAAAAUCUUUCAAAAUCAACUAAAUAACUCAUUACCCAUAACACUCAACCCAUAAUUUUUUUGUAAUGUAAUUGUAAUUCCUAGCAUAAUGCAUAUUCGAGGGCAAGCACAACUACUCAAGAGCAAAGAAACUUGAUGAAAUAGCAAAAGAAAAAGACUUGAAGGACUGAAAUAAAAUAAAACCAAAAAAGAGGGAUGAAAAAAGUAACCGCAUUCUGGUUGCCAUAAAAAACAUAGUUCUUUUAGUAUUUUUUUUUAAAAUAUUGUAAUAGGUCAAUCAUAUUACCCGAGUGUGUGACACAGAGAUGAUCAACAUAGAAAAUUACUUUUAAUUGCUUCAACUUUCCUCGUCUAAAUAAAAGAUUAAGAGUUUUCAUGAUUGGGAGGAUGUUAUAUAUUUUGGGUUUUGAUGGUGAUUGUGAAGGAUUUGUGAGAUGAAUUAUAGUUUGGAAGUAAAAAUUAGUGACUUAUGAAGCAUAUAGAGAAGAUGAGAAGUAUUAGGGUUUUUUUGAGUGAGAUCGAGAUGUUAUUUGAAUCGGGAUGAAGAAAGAUAUUUGAGAGGAAAUGUGAUUUUAAGAAGUAUAAUUACAAGAAUUGUAAUUUAAUGUAUUCAAUUGUAGUUUUCAACACACCUCUACUAAUCUUUGCCAUUUGUAUGAAGAUAUCGAAAGAUUCGAGUCUCCGUUCUAGCUCAGGUUGGAAGCUAGGCCGAAGGCUAAGCUUCUUUUAAUUAUGAAUUGUUUAUGCAAAGGAAACCCAGAAGCUUGAACAAACAGAAAUGCCUUGUUGAUUUCUCUGCUACUACUCAUUAUUUCCAAUAUUAUUCCAUUAUCUUACCCGAAAGCAAUUAUACAAGAAAUUUCAUUAUCCCGCCCCAAAAGGCAAUUUAUUACAAGGACUUCCUUUAACCUCCUUUAAGGCAAUUUAUUUGAUGAAAAUAACCUCCUUUAAGGCAAUUUAUUUGAUGAAAAUUCCUUUAAUCCACCUCAAAGACAAUUUAUCUUAGGGAAUUCCAACGACCCAGGCAAUUUAUUUCUUGGAAAUUCCUUUAACCCGCCCUAAUUAAGGCAUUUUAUCUAAGGGAAUUCCAAAAUCAAUUUAUUUAUUGGACUCAGGAUUCUUUGAUACUAUUUAUUUAUAUAUAAUUUAACAACACUUUUAUCUUACAUUUAAAAAGAAAUUCAAAAGUAAGGAUAACCCUUACCUAGAGCUCCUGUGGUUCUUGCUCCCGAGAGAAUUGGCUCCAUUCCUGACAAAUCUAUUACCAAAAACCCAAGUUUCAACCAAUCAAUAACAUCAACACCCAUUUUAAUUCAAUGCAAUAAGUUUUUCUUAACCAAUUUACUUGAUGCAAGUUCUUAUAAUCAAAGUGACAGUAUUCAGGGUGAAGACAAGCAGAAGGGCGUGUAUUAAUUUUAUUUUUUAAUGUUGAGUUUUUUUAUUGAAUUUUAUUUGUCAAUAUUAAAUUAAUUAUAAAUUAAAUUUUAUAUAUUUUUUUAUCAUAUAUAAAAAAACAAAGUAAUCUCAUCUUUUGAUACGAGUGGUCCAAGAUUCACCAUGACAUGGUUGUAGUUUUUUUUUUUGCCUUUUUCUUUUAAAAAUGUUAUGUCAUUUAAUUUAUAAUUAUAAAUUAAAUUCUUUUUAUUGGUCAUUUUAAAUUUUUUUACUUUUUUUAUAUAUAAUUUUUUAAUUUUAUAUUUUAUUAAUGUUGAGUUUUUUUAUUAAAUUUUAUUUGGCUAUAAACCAGAACUUUUUAUUUUUUAUUUUUUGGACAAGCAGAGACAAAUUAAAUAAACAAAGUAAUCUCAUCUUUUGAUAUAGUUGUAGUUUUUUAUUAUUUGUUUUUUGCCUUUUUCUUUUAAAAAUGUUAUCUUUGGUAAGGAAUCCUUGGUUCCCAACGGCAACUGUAGCAGAGUUGACGGUUGCGUAAAAACAAAUCUCUAAACUCCACCGAAAGUAGUGGAGCAUUAGAGUUUUAAAAGACAAAACGGGAACAAGUGGGAGACGGAGAAAAAGACAAUAGUAGGUGGUCUAAGAUACACCGUAUAUAUGAUAAUAAUAAAACAAGUGUUUAGUUCCCGUUUGUUUGCUGGAAAAUAGUUUUUUUUUAAAAGUAAAUUCCGGGGAAAGUGAAUUCCGGGAAAGUAUUUUCCGAUGUUUGGUAGUGUAAUGGAAAAUAAGUUGGAAAACAUUUUCCAGUGUUUGGUUAUGUCAUGGAAAAUGAGCUGGAAAAUAACUUAUUAAUGUUUUAUUUUUCUCAAGUUUAUUAAAAUAAUGAGGAACAAAUUUUACAAAUUAAAAAGGUGAAUGAGAAUGAAAUUGAAAAAAAAAAAAUUUCAUAAAUUAUCUCAAAUAAAAUAAAUAAUAAUCAAAAUAAUAGAGAUCAAAUCUAAAACAUUAAAAAAAAUAAAGGUGAAGAAAUUAAAAUAAUAAUAAUUAACAUUUCAUAAAUUAUUUCAAAUAAAAUAAGUAACAAUUAAAAGAACGAGGACCAAAUUUGAUAGAUAAAAAAUUUCAAUAAAAAAAUGAUAAGGAAAAAACAAAUAUCAAUUAUAAAAAUAAGGACCAAAAUUAAUAUAAAAAUUAAAUUUUAAGAGAUGGAAUUGAAAAAUAAAUAUUCAAAACAAAUUAUAUAUAACAAUCAAAAGUUUGAGGAUCAAAUUUGAUAUAAUCAGCAAAUAAUGACAUUUCUAAUUUUUUCAUAACUUCCGGAAAGUGUUUUCCGCCCAAAUUUUCCAGGAAAACACUUUCCUGAAAACCAAGCUAAAUUUUCCUUUGACUGGAAAGUGUUUUCCGUUGACCAAUUUUCCUAAUGGCAAACAAACACAUGAAAGUUUGGAAAGUGGUUUCCCGGAAACCACUUUCCGGAAAACAAACACAGCUAAAAGGGAAAACACUUUCCUGGAAACCAAACCAAAUUUUUCUUUGACUGGAAAGUGUUUUCCGUUGACUGGAAAGUGUUUUUCGUUGACCGGAAAGUGUUUUCCUUUGACCAACUUUUCUAAUGGCAAACAAACACAGGAAAGUUUGGAAAGUGGUUUUCCGGAAAGUGAAUUUCGGGAAACAAAUAUGGCCUAAAACAACUCUGAAAACAAAAUUUUUUAUAAUUCAUAAUUUAUAAACACAUGCGAUAAAAUAAAUCAUACUGCAUGUUUUCAUUUGGCAUUUAAUUCCAUGAACAUGAUUUUUUUAGAUUAAUAUGGAUAUCCGGGUCAGCUUGUGUAUCUCGACUAAUCUCAUGAAUCCUAAAAUUAACGAUUAUAUGAGCAUUUAGCGGGCCUGGAGUUUGUGAGAUUCAAACUAAUAAUUUUUAGAGAACAAAUUCAGAAUCUGACCAGUUGAGCUACACUUAUCGGAAUUUCAUUAACAUGAUCUUACUUUUCAAUCAAAUUGCUGCGACCAUAUUAGACUUGUAAUCAGACCAUUAAUUGACUGUUCUUGACUAGCUAUUGUUUCUCAUUGGCAAGAGUCAUUGCCAAUUAUCAUAACAUGUUAGUGAUCUAUUACAACUAGUCUAGCAUCGACAGAGUUGUUAUUUAACCAUUAAAUCAAUUUAUAAAACAUUAUUGACUAGCUAUCUAACACUAGCAACUAAUCACUGAUAAUAUUUAUGCAAAACUUGUAGCUUAAUACGAACUCUCAGAAAUGUGGGUGGGGCAACUCAAAGUACAGGGAGAGUGGUAACCUCUGAUAUAUAACAGAGAAAAUUAACAACAGAAAUCUAGAUACUUCAAUAAAUUAACACACUGACUAAUAAAUCCCCCCCACCAUCAUCCAGUUAUCACAGGUGCAUCUACAAUGAACAGUUCUCGAGAAGAAACUCAAGAAACGCAUAUAAAGCUACAUGAUGACAUAAUAGGAACCUGCAUUGCCUCCAUUCCAUGAUGAAAGUUCAAGAAAUUCUACUUCGAAACUCAAGACAAAGUCUCUCAGACUACAUAUUAGUGGGAUUUCUAUAAACAACUGAUUCUAUUGCAAAGCAACAUUAUGAAAAACUGAAUAUUUCACACAUAGUCUAAUAAAAGUAGGUUCCAUUGUCAAUUCCUUAACAUUUUCCGAACAAAUCACAGUUGCUCCUCGUUUGAUACUUUCUUGAAGGUUUCUUUUCUCUUAUUACCAAUUUCUGUGAGUUUGUGAUUUUUUAUCUGUACCGUAUCAUCCGAUCAAUUACUAGCUAGAACCACACAACUAAUAUGUAAAUUCACAAAUUCCCUACAGUUCAUAUUGCCAACAAACUCCUCUUGCCAUUCCCUAAUUGCACUGAGCCAGCUAAUCUGGAUGAAAGUUAUCGAAGAGGGGAAAAGACAGAUGAAGAUCUGCGCAGGGCUACCUGUUUUGAGAAUUAUGGAUUUUUAUCACUAAAUCAGAACGGCGCCAAUUAUAAGUUCAAUAAGAAAAAAUCUGUAACAGAACAGAUGGAAAAAACUCGAAACAACUUGGCUAGAAUUUAGAAAAGAAAUUCAGAAUGAGCCAAGAUUUUAAGUGAGAUGAAACUUUGUUCUUUGAAAAAAAUAAUUAAUAUGAGAUAUACUUUUCAUUUUAGUGAACCUUAAAGCAGAGCCAACAGUUAAGUAAAAGUUAUCAAUAGCUGUGUAAACCAUUGAAACUGUUACCGUUGGUGCACCCUCGAUUACACCAUGGAUUCACAUAGUGCAAUUGUUAUUUUUUAAAAAAAUUCAAUGUUAUUUUUUUAUUAAUUUGAACCUUUUUUUGUCAACAUGUUUCGCAAUUGGCCUUGGUAUUUUGUUUUCAUUUUCUCUAUGUUGCCUUCUUCUGUAGAUAAAAAACAUCAUGUCUUGGGGCUCGUGCUUGAUAGUGCAAAAUUAAUGACACAAUAAUCAAAGAACACAAAAAUUUUUAUAGGCAAAAGGAAUUGAAGAUGUAAACCCUAGAAUUCGUAAGUUUAUUUUCUCUAAAAUAAUAAUAAUAAAAAUAAUAAUAAAGUCUAUCUUUUUAGGAGGUUUACAAAGCCUUAAUUAAAUAGGUUAAGAACCUUACCCCAACUAGGAAGCAAAAAUAAAAAUCCAAAAUUAUAAAGGAAAGAAGCAUAAAAUCCGAAAUAAAUAAGAAAUCUAAAAAUAAUAAGGAAAAUCACAAAAAUUACCAAAACUAGAGGCCUCAAUGAGAUUUUUGAUAUCUAAAGAUCCGAUGGUCUGCAUAAAAAUUUGAGCACAAUCCAACAAUUAAAUAAAAAAUUAUGACUCUUUUGAGUUGUUAUUCUAGUCUAGCGUGACCAAACCUUCUCUUAGGCUUAAACAUGUUUCAUUGGUCCAUAAAUACAUUUGCUAGGCUAUCAACAUAAUUUAUCUAGGACAAAUCUUAAUCUAGUUAUGACAAACUCACACCUAACUGCUUAGAAUCACUAAUUAUUAUAGGAUUGACUACAUCAAAAUUGGUCGGUUUUUUUGUUUUCAAAGAGAUUUAAACUUGAUGUAGAUGAAAGUUAUAAACACAAUAAUCAAAGAACACCAAAAAAUGUAUGAGCGAAAGAGACUGUAGAUGUGAACCCUCAAAUUCCCAAGUUUAUUUUCUCUAAAAUAAUAAUAAUAAAGUUUGUCUUCUUAGGAGGUUUACAAAACCUUAAAUAUGUUAGGAACCUUACCUCAACUAGGAAACAAAAACAGAAACCCAAAAUUACAAAGGAAAGAAACAUAAAAUCAAAAACAAGCAAGAAAUUAAAAAAAUAACAAGGAAAAUCACAAAAACUACCAAAACUAGAGGCCUAAACAAGAUUUUUUAUAUCUAAAGAUUCGAUGGUUCACGUGAAAAUUUGAGCAUGAUCAAAUAAUCGGAUAAAAAAUUAUAAUUUUUUUAGCUUUUAUUCUAGUUUGACGCGACCAAACUUCUUCUUGAUCCUAAACUUGUUUCAUUGGUCCAUAAAUACAUCUCCAUGACUUUUUUUUUUUGUUUCACUAUAAAUGAAGUUUGACCAUCAUCAUAUAUGGUUUGACUUAGCCGUAUUGGUUUUCAAUUAUAUCAACUUUAUAUAUUAUGGGUUUACAUUUACUAUUUUUUUUAAAAUGCUCACAAGUCCAUUUUUCACACCUCAAACUCAUAACUGCAGCGAUUCGUAGGCAACGAAACUAAUUAGAGACUAGAGAGUAAACAUGCUACUAAAGUUUGCAGGUGAGGGUAUAGAUUAGAUUAUUUGUUGUGUUGUUUCAAAUAUUAGAGCAGUCUCAACUCAUUAAAUAAACAAGUGGUGCAUUGAUCCUUGGACUCAAAUCAUAUAUACACGGUGAGCUCAUUUGUGUUUUUAUUAUUUGUUCCUCCCUGUACUUGUAGCAGGAGAGAAGCUGCUCUCAACUUUGAAGGAAUGCAAACAAUUGUUAAUAUGAAACAUAUUAUGUACAAAUUAUAAUAUUUGUAAGAAGCCGUUUUGCUGCCCACCGGCGGCCAUCUGAUCAGAGAACAAUAUUAUAUUUUUUAAACCCCUUCACUCUCGUAAAAACAAUUUAUAUGAUUAUAAAUAGGAAAGCAUAGAAAAAAAUAGGAUUAAAUAUUUUUAGAGAUUACAUAUUAUUGUUUUAGUUUUUUUUCUUGAUUAGAGAUAAGUUGAAUAAAAGUAGUAAUAAUUUAUUUUUGUGAAAAAAGGUUACUACAACUCCUGAUAAUUAGUUUCAUGUAAAAAAUAAAAAUAAAAAUAGUAACUAAAAUUUAUUUUAGUUAUGUUAAUAAAAUUUUAAAGAUAUUUUAAUUGAAUUAAGUAUUCCAACACAAAAUUUAUGUUCUUAUACAGUUAUAUAUUAAUUCUAACAAAAAAUAUGGUUUCUAUGUUUAGAUUUUGGUAUUAAUAACGCAUACAACAAUGAGGCAGUUAAGUUUCUUCGAUAAAAUAAAAUCAUUUAAAAAAUAAAAAUAAGCUAGUAUGUUUGUUACAUAACAAAAAAAAAUGAUUUUUUCUAAAAAUGAUUUUUUAAAAAAUAAUUUUAAUAGACUGAUAUUAAAAAUAAAUUUUAAAAAAUAAAAAUAUAUAUUAUUUUGAUAUAUUUUCAAGAGAAAAAAAUUAUGAAAAGAAAUUGUUAAUAUUUGAUAUAUUUGAUUUAUGGAGCUAUGAUAAGGGAAUCGUGCUUGUAACACAUAUAACAAUAUUUACAUAGUAACAAGCAUUAUUAAAGAUGCUACACUAGUUGAUUUACAUAUAACAAUAUUUACAUAUAACAAUAUUUACAUAGUAACAAGCAUUAUGUUUCCAAGUGCUAUCAACAAAUAUUAUAACCUCUUAAUUUAUACAAGGAUUGAGCUAAAUUGAUUUAUCAAAUAUUUUAUGUUUUUUUUUUGAAAUAUUGUUAUAGACAUAGAAUCAACAAGUUUAUGUGACAUUCUAUAUUGAUUUUGUGAUAUUUUAAUCACUAAAAGUAUGGGUUUCAGAAAAAUAAAAACCAAACUAAAAAUUGAAAAAAUUAAAAAAUUUCAAACCAACCCAAUCCAAUUUUGUGUUUUUAAAAAUAUCGUAAUGAAAAACACAGCAUUCGAAAAAAAAUACAAUUAAAAAAAAAAUCGUUAGUUUAAGAAAACACCCCCUUCUUUGCAAUUAUUGUCAAUCCCCCACGUGGCUACCCAUAAUUGGACUGUCAAACUGGCAAGCUACAUCCCCAUCUCAAUCAUCACAGCUGUAUAAAUUUCUCGCUCAAGCCAAAAACAGAAACGCACAAAACCCCUCCCCCAACGGAGAAUCAAAUGAUAGCUAGAUGUCUGUGUAACCGACCAAUCGCGUUACCAAAGGAGCCUGCCUAGUACUGACGUGUCACUCUAACAUUUCCAUGACCAUAACAAUAAUAAUCAUAAUCCAACCAUGCCUUACUUUUUUAUUUUGUACCUUAAUAAUCUACAAUUACACUCUUGAAUUAUCCCUCAUUUUUUCAAUGGUAAAGAUAUCCUCGUGUCUGUCACCUUCUACAUUAAGUUUUAUAAAAUUCUUGAUUUUUUUUAAAUUAAUUUUUCAAGUUUUAAUUAUGAAUUGUUUAUGCAAAGAACCAAAAGAAAAAGAAAAAAUUUCUCAAUGUUUUCUGUUACUUGUUUAGCAGGAAAACAUGAAAAAUUAAAUAGAAACAGAACAUCAAAACGAUAGAGAAAACAUGCUGACGAGGAGCAUGAAACUCCACACAUUAAACUAUAAGCACCCACAUGAGUAACCAUUAUGCCCUUGUUUUUGAAGGUUCAGACACUUGAAAGAAACACAAAUGGGCAAACAAACACACGCCCUUAUUUUUCUGGUGCUUCACACAGCAAACACUUAGAUAGAUAAGUCGAUAUCUUCUUUUGGGGGUUCUAUGGUAAAUAAGACUGUUACAAUGUGAAGCCAAUGAAACAGUAGGAAUUACUUCCACCAAUCAAAUUCUUCUUCUUCUCCUCAUUCUUCCCAUCCAUCAUCUCUGGUCCACAUUAUGUAAGUGUUGGUUGGCACCGAGCAAUCAUCGCUUGAAUCCUCAGCUACUUGAGAUAUCUGUAAACCAAUUCAAGCAUGACGUACAUAUUUUAACUUGUAAAUCUUUUUUAUUGAGUGAAACUAGAAAGAAAUCAAAGUCAGAUCAGCAGCACCUUAUAUCGAGCACUCAUUGAACCAUUUGGUGUAGUGUCAAAAUUUGUAGUCAGCUUUGGGCAUUCAGACACCUUCAACUUCUUCAAACGAGGGAACAAGAAAUCAUAAUAUCCGAGAAUGAAGGAGAUAAUGCUUGGUAAUUGUUCUAGCGACAGCUCCCGCAGAUUAGGGAGCACCAUCUCCUCAACAUCGACAGGUAAAGCAUUAAUAUCAUCUUGCCCAAAGACUCCCAAUAAUCUAGAAGCUUUUGUUACUCUAAGUAUUUUGAGCUUCGGGAGACCUGAAGCCAUGGCUAUUGGGAAGAGAUUCUUCAACUUUCUGCAUUCUCUGACCUCAAUUUUACACAAACUAGGAAAGCAUAAAGAUUGAAGAUGACUUACUGACAAUAUCUGAUCCCUUUCAUCAUCAUCUUUAGCAAUGAUUUGCUCAAGUUUCUCGCAUAACCAUAUCUUUAGAACUUUUAGGUGAACUAGACCGGCAAUCAUGCUGUAAGUGAACACAUGUGUGAUUCUCUUACACUCAUUCACCUCUAAAGUAGUCAAAUUACUCAGCACGAGACUCUUCCAUGUACUGCUCAUGCUUGUGUCAGGCAGGGACUUCAAUUUUAAUGUUUCCAGACUUGUUAACCCCUGCAUCAAAAGAAAACAAGGGCACCAAUUUGUUAGAUAUAAUUCAAAGUAAUUUCUGUGCACAUUCAAACUAUAUUUAUCCCAAUACUUCAACCAAAUUCUUAUCACAGAAGGAUACAAACAGACAGGGCAAUAAGGCAUGGGACUGUGAAAUCAUAAGUCGCAGGAGUGAAACAAACAGCUCAUUAUUAACAGACGGAGCUUUAUCGUCCCGUCCACAUACUUUCAUUAUUUGGGGGAAGAACCUCAAUUUCACUGUGAUUGGGAAUGCAUAAAGAUUGAAAAUAUAGGACUCAUUUCAUUACAAUAAGUAAUUUCUAACUUCUUAAGCUCUGCAUCAAGAGACAGGGAAUGAGAUUGUUAGAAAUUUAUCUAAACUGAGUGGAUGGCUAAAGCAUUUAUCUUCACCUAUCAACUACUUCAGUUUUAGAAAUUUGGAGGAAGAAAGAAGAAAUUACCACAAUGUAUCGAAGUUGAGAAUUUAACUUGAAAAGGAAAAAACAUUAGCGGAGAAAUAUAAAGGACGUACUUGAAGCUGUGCCAACAAAUUACCCAAUUCUUCGUGGCCAAGGAUGCUUAGAUUUUGCAGAAAAGGUAAUUGGGCAGCACGAUUCUUUGGACCAAAAAAGCUGGAAUUUGAUUUAGACGAAAGAUCCAUUUCUCUUAGUCGAGGCAACUUGAAGAUGCCAUCUCUGGGGAGUGCAUCUUCUUCCUCGCUAUAAAAUAUUUGCUUUAAAUUGUCAGCAAAUAUAGUCAUCUGUUCCAGGUUCAGAAGACUUGGAGCCACGGAGACAGGGAAGACAUAUUCCAGUUUACCACAGUGUCUAAUUGUCAUCUGUUUCAGGUUCACAAGACUUGGAGACAGAGAGCUAGGGACGACAUAUUCCAGGUUAUCACAGUCAGAUAUAAGUAGAGUUUUUAAUUUUUGGAAGCUUAGAAACUCUGGAAUUAUUGCCCUUUCAUCAUCCUGUUUUCUGACAAUAUACUUCAAUUCAUCGCAACAGCUUACCUCAAGUGUUUCUAGCUGUAGUAGACUUUGAGCGAGGGACGGUGUGAAGAUAAAGGUCAGUUUUGCAAGAAGAAACAACUUCAGAUGAACAAGAUUUUGCGAAAAAGGUAAUGGGGCAGCAACAUUCUUUGGACCAAAAAAGCUGUAAUUUGAUUUAGACGAAAGAUCCAUUUCUCUUAGUUGAGGCAACUUGACAAUGCCAUCGCUGGGGAGUGCAUCUUCUUCCCCGCUAUAAAAUAUUUGCUGUAAAUUGUCAGCAAAUAUAGUCAUCUGUUCCAGGUUCAGAAGACUUGGAGCCACGGAGACAGGGAAGACAUAUUCCAGUUUACCACAGUAUCUAAUUGUCAUCUGUUUCAGGUUCACAAGACUUGGAGACAGAGAGCCAGGGAAGACAUAUUCCAGUUUAUCACAGUCAGAUAUAAAUAGGGUUUUUAAUUUUUGGAAGCUUAGAAACUCUGGAAUUAUUGCCCUUUCAUCAUCCUGUUCUGUGAUGAUAUACUUCAAUUCAGCGCAGCGGCUUACCUCAAGUGUUUCUAGCUGUGGUAGACUUUGAGCGAGGGACGGUGUGAAGAUAAAGGUCAGUUCUGCAAGAAGAAACAACUUCAGAUGAACAAGACUUUGGAGGCUGACAUGUCUGGUGGGCCCCUUCCAUAUACAUUUGAGCUGAAGUAAACGUGACAGCUUUAACGUUAUUAAAGAUGACAGCAGCGGCAGCUCCUUCUCCUCCUUGCUUCCUUCACCCAAUUCAAAUACCUCUUCCAAUGAUUCGCAGCUCUCAAUAUUCACACUCCUUAGAUUUUUCAAAGCUUGCAGCAAUUUUGCUGGAAACAGAGUGCAGAUAUCCUCACACCCAUCCACGUCUACAAAUUCUAAUCUUUGUAAGAAGCCCUUUCGCUGCCCAGAGAACUGAGACAAUGAAUUUAUUAUAUUUUCUAAACCCGCCACCCUUUUAAAAACAAUUUGAGACACAGUAGGAAACAACUGCUCAAAUGUCUUUGCAUUUAAGGAUGUGGCGCUUAUACCACCCAAAAAUAAUCUUGUCGAGGUUGGGUAUCCUACUGGAUCCCCUGUUGAUGAAUAAUAAUUCCCUAAUAUUAUAUCAUAUUUGUACAACCUGGGAAAAACAAAAUCGCUUGGCAUGGAUUUAACCUCCGGUAUCCUCAAUGAUAAUACAGCUAACUGAGACAAUGAAUUUACUUCUUUUAGGCUUGCAUUCAUUAUUCCAGUGCUUGUCCAAACAUCCCAUUCCUUAAAGCUGUCUUUCCCGAUCAGCAGUUCUUCUAAUUUCUUCAACCUUCCAAUCAAAUUCAUAGGAAUUUCUCUUAGACUCUUACAACCUGUCACAUCCAACAACCUUAACUCCUUGAGCUCUCCUACUCCUUCAGGUAAUGUUUCAAUGUAGUAGCACCUCAUAAAACAAAGAAUCCUAAGUCUUUGCAGCUUUCUCAACAAAUUUAGGCCAUUACAUUUACACUCGAUCAAAAGCAAAGAUAGAAGGUUAGAGAAAACUUCAAUUGCUGUCAUCUCUUUAAAAAAACUUCCUGGAACAUUCAAAUCAUCACCCAGUUCUAACAACAGAACUUUGAGCCGUGGACAUGCCAAUGCUUCAGGAAGUUUUGUUAGUUUAUUGCCCAAUAACGAAAUUGUUGUACAGCCUUCAACGCUUUCAAUACUCCUUGGCCACUUCUUCAAUACCAUGAAUCCAUAUUCUUCUGAUGAUGCUAUCUGAAUAGCAACAUCACGAACCAAGUCAUGCAUUUUCACAUGUUCUCCAGUUUCAGUGCCCAACAGCAUGCAAGAAUCUUUGAGGUCUUUGAUAGCUGCAUAAACUUGUUCCCUUGCAUCUUCAAUGGAUUUCACAUCUUGAUGUAACCCAUAGCCGACUGCAUAUCUCGUCAAGUCCUCAAUUGGAAUGUUGUAAUCUUCUGGAAAUAAACAGCAUAGCAAGAAACAUAACUUGGUUUCCUUGGGCUUCAAAUAAUCAUAGCUCAACUUAAGACAUGCAUAUGUUCGUCCAUCAAUUUCUCCCAGGUCUGGAAAUUGAGAGUUUUUGAGCAGUUUAGAUGCUGCUUCCCACUCAUAUGCAUCUUUACCUCUUAGAGCCCUUCCCACUGCUACAAGUGCUGUAGGCAAUCCUUGGCAUUGUCUCACAACCUGCUUUGCCACUAUGUUUAAGGUAGAUUCCCCAUCACUUAAACCUGCAAUGAUUUUGAAUAAAGCCCAUGCUUCAUUUUCAGACAAGAGACUUAAAAAAACUUUUUUCUGGCACCCCAUAUCAGAAGAUAUGUUUUCAAGACGUGUUGUUAAGAGAAUUUUACAACCCCUGUGAUCAUCACCAAAUGGGAUCCCUAUCUCUUUCAAGUUAUUAACUUUCCAAACAUCAUCCAGGAUUAUAAGCAUCUUCUUCUCUCUCAGCAGUCUCUUCCAUAAUCGUUCUGCUCUCCCUUCUUUACUCUUUUCAUCAAAAUGCCGAACUAAACUAUCUGCCAUUCUAUUCUGAAUGUCCAUGACAUCUGGAUUCUGCGACACCGUAACCAUCAAAACUUUAUCAAAAAGCUGCGACUCUGUGGCUAUCCUGCCUACUUCUUUCACCAGGGUGGUUUUACCCACCCCUUCCAUGCCGCACAGUCCGAUCACAUUGACAUUGUCAUCUUUGAGAGCUUUCAUAAUCUGUUUGAAAGCUUCUUUUGAUGAUUCUGCUAUGUUUGCUUUGUGGGACACUGUUUUAAACUUUUUGCUAUUGUCUUCAAGAUUUCUAAAAGUCUCCGUCUUCUUUGCCAAUUCCUUGCUUAACUUGAAUUGUCGUAUCCAAUUUGGACACCAAGUAAAGCAUUUGCCAUUUUUUCCUAUUUCAUUUUCCAAAGGAUUCACACCAUUAAUUUCGUUAUUAGCAUCUUCCAGCCAUUUGGUGACGUCUUUCUCAAUUUCUUCAGCAUUCCUUUCAGCAACGUCGACAGCAUUUUGCAGACGAUCUAGUGCUAAAGCAAGGUUCUGCUUUCGUUCAUUGAAUUCUUUAACACAAUUGUUGAAACCGAACAUGUAGCGGAACUGCCUUAUUGCUGGUUCCACCAAGAGUCCUGCUUUCUUAGAUAUAAUGGAUUCAUCAACACUUUCGAUAGCCAUUUUCCUCCCGUCUGAAUAUCAGAGAAAUAAGGAUGUCGACUGUGAGAGUGAGUAAUUACAAAUAAAACAGGCAUUGAGAGAAUGAGAAUAGGAAUUUUAUUACCUUAAUUUGUGAAAAUAUGUGCGAAAAUCACAGGUACUGUUUGCUCAAUAAAAUAUAGCGAGAAACAGAACAAGAAGGACUUCAGCUCUGUAUGGAAUCCAGCUUAAAAAACAAGUAGUCAAGGUAUAAGUAUACCAAUAAUCAAUUAAUCUCAUCGAUUUCCAUCUAUGUCAUGUAUAAAAGCCAUUUAUUGAUAGCAGUAGAUUUUUUCUUUCUUUCUAAUAUGCAAGUUUACGUUAAUAGGUAUAAUUUUCCGGAUUGAAAUUUGAUAAAAGAUUUCAUAAGCCUUGUUUUUUUUAUGGUGAAAAUGUUAAAUCCAUUGGAGUUUGAAAAAGCCUUCAAAUAAGGCCUAGAAGUAAGUAUUCGGGAUUUGUAACAUUUUUCUAGUAUGACACAUCAACUUCACUUGAUGCAACAAGUAGGACAGAGAAAUAUAAGACUUCAAGAGAAUUGUUUCACUAUAAAAUAGUUGAAAGUUCUUCUAUGAAUACUCAUGUUCUGAAGAUAAUCGGUAAUCGUUAUUUUAUAAAGUGUUGAUUUAGUAUUGUAAUCUUAUUUCAUAGGUAAGAAAUUGAGCCAAUUAACUUUGUCAUUUUAUAAAGGGUUGAUUUGGUAUUGUGAUCGUUAUUUCAAAGCUUUUCUUAGUCCAUUAUCAACUAUCACACUUGCAAACAUUUAUCAUGAAACAUAUAAUGUAUGCAAAAUAUAAAGACAACAACAAAUAACACAAAAACUAGUAGGAACACACUCACCUUAUAGUAGAGACAAACGAAUGAUUAUGAAUGGAAGGUUCACGAUCACUUGCACACUCACACACAUGAUAACUUCUAUCGAUCGAUUCCAACCACAAAUAUAAUUUAUCUAAGGAGUUAUGUAUGUGAUGUUACUAUAGUUAUGGUCUCUCAAGGCCUUUUUCAAAAAAGAAAAAGAAAAGGAUGAACAAGGGGACAUUAACGAAAAGAAUUGAAAAGGAGAAAAGAAUUAGUUGAAUGAAGGAAGCUCUCUGCCACUUCCCUAUAUCACACUCAAUGAACAUGAUUUACCCAUAAAGGAAAAAGAGACAUUCCUUACUUCAAAUUUGCUUUGCUUAUGAAGUAGGCUAAGGACAACAACAUCUGCAAGCUAAAGAGGGAUAAUCAUAAGAUUGUGGUUUGGGACAAAAGAAAGAAUUUUUCCAACAUCCGUCAUCAGUACCGGUGAAUAGGAUAGAAUGAAAGACUUCGGCCCCUUCUAUAUCAGUAUUUUUUAGAAGUUAUUUAAAUUAAAAAGCCAAAAAUAAAUGCAUCUACUGUUGCAGGAAUGGACUAAAAAGUCAGUUAAUCUGCAUAAUUAAAUACUGUUACUGUAAACUACUAGGAAAUUCAUGGGUAAAGCCACAAAAAAAAUGUAAAUUAUACAAGUUAACAAUAGCAUUGAGCAUUAAUUCGAUUAAGUUAAAGCCCUGGUGUGAAUAGAGAGGAUCUUGCCGUUUAAAAAAUAACCAUAGAAACUAUGGAACCCACUAUUUAUUAAUCCAUUUCUAUUUACUAUUUAUUUUUAUUUACUGUAUUUUUAUUUUGAUACCCAGUACCAAUAAAAUUUGAGAUUUCUUCAAUUUUUCAGGUGCAUGCACUAGUCUAAUGGCUUCAUGGUAUUUAUCCUUAACUAUCAGGCUAACCUUUACAGGCUUAGCUAGCAAUCAAUAAUUAAUAUUUUAAUGAAUUCAGUUUUUAUUUAAAAUAAGGAAAAGGACAUUGGUGAAUAAAUAGUUUCCUUAGAGGGCUAAUUUAGAAAAAGAUUUGGAUCACUAGAUCAACUUAUGGGAUACCUGGCCAAGGUCAACCUAUGAGUCAUAAAUCAAUCCAUAUCAAUUAUUUUUAUUAAAAUGAUAAUGUUUUGUUUUUUUUUCUUGAUAUUAAUUUGGCUAAUUUUGAUCAAAUCUUACCAAAUCAGCUGAAUCAGUAAGAACUUAACCAAGUCUGAUUUUAUAGAUCAAUAUUUUAUGUAGUUGAAUUAAAAAUUCAAUUCAAUUCUAGCUCCGAACCCUGAGUUUUGUUUGUUCAAUCUAGCAUACAGGUUUAACAAAUAUGCUUCUCACUUGCAGCUGUGGUUUGCUGCGGGCAUUUGGUAAUUGGGAGAGGCUUUAGUUUCGUACCUGUUGAUCGGGAUUCAUAUACACUUGGACCUCUUAUUUUAUUUUAUACUGGUUGGAUCCAAACUUAAUCCAAUACAAAAUUAACAUAUUUAUUAUUUAUUUAAGAUAAAUGAUAUCGCUUUAACAUAUUAGUGUACACUUAAUAUGAUUAAAUUUAAUUUAAUUAAUUAAAAUCUCACCGUAAAUUUUUUUACCAUUUGCAGCAAAAAAACAGUUGACACCUUAUUAAUAUAAUCAAUAUAGUACAAAAAUUAUAGUGAUUUAAAACAAUUCAUUAAAAUGUUCCUAAAUGUUUUUAUUUUGUGACAAGGGUUUUCGUGUUAUUUGUUAUGUAUUGUCACUGUCAUAAUCUAUUUCUAGAUUAUUUCUUAAAUUCCAUAAUUAGAUUUUUUAUAAGCCAAUUUGAUUUAAUCAUUGGUCAAAUUAAAUUUUAAUUAUGUUUAAAAAUUUAUUUGGAUCUAAUUGAAGGAUUUAAUUAGAUGCAAUGACUUAAUUUUACUUUAAAUAGAUCAAAUUAAUUUUAUUAGGUGGCUUAAUUGGUGAAAAAUUAAGUUUGGAAGCCCAAUUUGGGCUUAAUUGAGAAUAUUGGGAUUUUAGGAGACCAAAUUUAAUUUUUACCAAGUCAAUUGAUUCAAAUCAAGGGUAAAAUUGCAAGAAAAUCAAAGUUUUGGGGUCAAUUAAGGGCUAAAUUAAAGAAAUUCACAGCCAAGAACUAUUUUGCAAAAGACGUCAAACUAUAGGAACUCAAUUGAUUGAAAUCAACGGUGGAAUUGAAGAGAAUUGAAAGUUUAAGAAUCAAUUGAGGGUUAAAUUGAAUAAAUCCAAGACCAAUGACCAAAAUGAAAUAGGUGAUGAAAUUCGAGGCUGAUAUUGAAGUUCGGCAAGGGCAAAACUACUUAAAAUUAGAAGUUUAGGGUCAAUUAGGGGUGCAAUUCAAAGAAAUUAAAAGCUGGAGGACUAAACUGAACUUUGACCAAACCCCUAAAAUCAAACCUUAAGAGCCAAAACGAUGAUGUUUCAUUUAAAUGGAACAACACAAUUUGACCAAAACAACGCCAUUUUGACAAAACAGAAUCAAAACAAAAGGGGUAGACCAGAAGACGCAUUAUCUAGAUUGUUCAUCUUCUUCAUCAUUAGCCUCCCAGAAAGCUUCUCAAAUGGCUAAUUUCUCAAAGCAUUUAAUGUCUUGUCUCUCCACCAAAUUUGAAAACAUUUGCACGCAAUUAGUGGCCUAACGUCUGGUGUGGUCCUUUAUGGCCGAUUGAUGCCAUAGUGGUUGUGGCAUCGCCCUAAAGUGGCCAACCCGACCAGCCCUUCUGUAGUAACUUGUCAGGCCAUGAUUGCAACUUUAAAUCAAUUGUUGGGAUCCUACAAAGUUGAAUUAGAGGCCAAGAUUUGAAACCAUUAAAGACAAAAUGCCCCUCUUCCACACCCUAUAAAUAGAGGUGGAUUUCAUGACCUAAGGGAGGAAACAAUCGGGUCCAAAGUUGAUAAACAAUCAGCCUUCCCCCUAGUAUUUUAUAUGCCAUCAUAAUUUUUUUCUUCUUCUUCGCUGUCGUGAACUCGGCUUCUUUAGCCACCACAACCUCACCAACAACGUGACCUUUGGUGGCCCAGCACCCUUGCCACUCCAUCCCCUUGCCACUCCAUCACCUUGCCACUCCUCCCUUCUCCCUUAGACAAUAACCUCCGCAAGCUUCUUCUUUUUCAUCCCAAACCAAUAAUGACCCCUGCACCUUCAACCUCCACUCACUAGUAACAACACCAGCAACUCUAGCAAACCAAUAAUUGCCACCAUUUCAGUUUUGUUCUUCUCCAACACCGGCAGCAGUAGCAGCAGCAGCAGCUCCAACCACGCCAAUGUUUUCUCCUUUUUCUCUCUUCAACAGCCAACACCGCCCACCACCGUCUCCACCAACGGCUCCGACAGUAGUCGACAAAAAGACCAAUCAGCCACUCCUUCUGUAAUAUCCCAAUUUUGGAUUCUCCAAAAUUUUCUUGAAUGUUAUUUUUAUUUCUAUUUUCAUUCAUAAAAAUCCAAAAAAAGUUAAGAAAAAAAGUUUAAAAUUCAAAAAUAUAUUUUUCUCAGGUCAACCACCUUUUCCAUGAAAAUGAGCUUAUUGGGUUAAUACGAGUCAAGCCAUGUUGACCAAGGUAAAAAAUAAGUUUUAGGCCAUUUGGGGUCAAAACAAUCAUUUUCGGUCAAAACUGAGUCAAUCAGGUCAAUAUGAGUCAAACCAUGUCAACCAGGGUAAAAAAUGAGUUUCAGGCUGUUUUGGGUCAAAAGCCAUCAUUUUUGGUCAAAACCGAGUCCAUCAGGUCAAUAAGAGUCAAUCCAUGUCGGUCGAGGUAAAAAAAAGAGUUUCAGACCAUUACGGGUCAAAACCAAGUCCAUCGGGUCAAUACAGGUCAAACCAUGUUGACUGGGAUAAAAAUUGAGUUCCAAGCUAUUUUGGGUCAAAACUGUUAUUUUCGGUCAAAACCCGAUCAAUCGGGUUGAUCCUAGUUGAAAAAUAUUUUUUAAUGUUUGAAAUUAUUUUUCCAGUAAUCAAAAUUGAAUUUUAGCGGUGGAAACGAGUUUUUUCUAAUACUAAUUCGAGUUUUUAGUUUUAUCCAUUUAUAUAUAUAAAAUAAAACAAAUCAAUAAUGCAAAAGUUUUAUUAUAGUAGCUGGGACAGGUCAAAACAUUUCUUCAGGACAGCGCCGUGCCCUCUGGUUAUAAACAUUCGUGUCCCCUCAGCAUCAACAUUGGCUAUAAAAGGCAGUGAAAUUUUACUAAAAAAAGAGAAAAAAGGAGAAGAAAAAAAGAAGACGUGAAUCCGAAUGAUAAUACUAUUCAUGUUUUUUUAGUUUUUUCUUCACACGAGUAAGUUAUUGAUUUUUUUUAAAACAAUUCAAAAAAUACCAAAACUAUCAUGACCUUUAGAUCUAAUAAUAUCUUAUCUAAUACAUCUUAACACACUCGAUGAAAACCCAAAACCAUCUCAGCCCUUAACCAAAUCUGCCCUUGGAUCUAAUUUUUCCACGUCACUAGGUGUACCAACAAUCCUGUGCAGCUAUCACACCGAAGCCAAUAUCUGUCCAUCAGGACCGACUGAUCAAAUUUUGAUCGAGCCAACCAUAGCCGAAGGAUCAAUUUAGAAGUAAUCCAGCGGUCCAAAAGCUUUAGGUGCACCAGAUUACCACUCUCCCCUCUCGCCGACGAUUCUCUCUCUCUCAUCAGAUCUCCCAACUUCGGCCACAUAAAGACUCCGGACCACCACAAAAAGGUUCCUCACCUCUACGCAAGCAAACCCAUGCAUUUUGCAUCGCCUUCGACAUCACAUCUUGCCAGUAAAAGGCUGCGACGUCUUCGGCCACCCGAAGAUUCAAGCUGUCGAUUCUCUCUCAUCAACCAUCAACGGCCAACGAAAAAACCAUCAUCAUAAUCCUCUCUUCUAGAUAUACCAGAAGCUACCCUUUUUGGCUCAGAAUCCCGCCGAAGAAUUUCACUCCUCCAACAGUGGUCGCGCAUAAGCUACACGCGCCACCAGGGUUGUUUUCAUAAUUUCCUGAGAAUUUCAGGGAUAUUUCAGUCUUUUCCCCUACAGUGUAACUCAGGUAAUUUUGGGGUUCCUAGGGAUAUUUUAUUUGUUUUUCACAAGUAUUUAUAAACUUUUCUUUGUAUGUAAAAUACCCAAAAUAAAUAUAAAGAAGAAUGACAAGGCAGGUCCGAGACUUAUUUUAUCCCGUCAUCAUGCGCGGGUCCAAAGACUAAUUCUUAAAUAUGGGUUAUGCCAAUUUUUUUUAGCAAUUAUAACAUAAUCUUCUUUUUCAUGAAUGAAUGUUAUUCGUCAACAUGUCUCCUUUUACAAAUAAAUACCAAUGUUAAAAGUUUAAAAACAAAUAUGAAUUAUGUUCAUUAUGUUUUUUUACAACUUGAACGCAAUUCUUCUUUUUAGGAUUAAACGUCAACAUUUCAACAAGUCUCCUAAUUUUAGGGACUGAUGUCAACCCUCUAAAAAAAUAAAUUACAAAUAAGCUCAAAAGAUCAUAGCAUUUGAAUAAAAUAAAAAACACAAGUAAGGGUAACCUUUCUCUUGAAAAGAUGUUUUGAGGGUGGUGUUUAUCUUCCCUUAAUCAUAAGUAACUCAGUAUCUGAAUUUCUUGGACCAAUGUCUAAUUUGAAAUUUCUAGUUUCCCUCAAAUUAUUAGAAGGUGACUCCAAUAAAAUCUUCAUUUCCUCAAUUAAUCUUUUUAUUAAUAAAAAAAAUGGAGCCACUGUUUUCACGUCAUGUAUCGAUAGAAUACCCAUUGAUCUAUAUAAAACUAAAGAAAAACUUAUUCAAGAUCAUGUUAUAUUGACUAUGAAAAGUUGACAUGGGCCAAUUAUUAUGGGAUUGAGGGAGAAAUAAAUACUAAAUUCUGGGAAUUAGGGUGCUUAAGUAAAAAAAAAUGAGCAAAAACUUUCAUAGAUAGGUAAGAAUGAAAUUGCCUAACUUGUCCAAAACUAUUUAUGACAAGCUUGAAUACCAAGAUACUCUAAAGCAAUACAACAAAACCAUACACAUUUCUAUUUUCUUAAUUUGUAAUUUAGCAAUUAGUGGUAUCCUUGGCCAAGCUUGUGCAAAUCAAGACAACGUCCACCUCCCUAGUUUGGUCUAAAGCAUACAAUCUAUGCUAGGACUAGAGGUAUCAAGGGGAAAUAAAUCAUCAUAGCUACUAGUUUGGUCAAAAACAUACAAUCUAUGCUAGGACUAGAGUUAUUUGACUGCAAUUGGAACGCUGAUUAGUACUUAAAACUGUAUUUUUAUCAAGGUUUUAUAUCAUCUUUUUGCACUUGAAGUAUCAAUAACUCCUUAACUAAAGCAUGUUUUAUAAUAACAUAUCUAAUAAUAUAAGAUAGCUUUAAUUUAUGGUAAAUGUUCAUCCUAAAUUCAGGCCUAUCACAUAAAUAAAAGGAUUGAUUGAUGAGUUUAAGUAUUGAAAUUGAAAGGACAAAGAGAGGGUCAAACUUAGAAAAGAGAUGCUGGUGCAAUCCAAACUGGAACACUAUUUGGAAAUUAGGUCAUAUCUGGAGCUGUAGAUCUCGGAUUUAGGUCCACUUUAUAUGGAUGGAAAGGUAAGAAAUGGGCCUACAACUUUCAUGUGGAGCCCAAGAUUUAAAAAAGCCGUUUUCAAGUGCAAAUUAUAUCAACAACGAAGAAGUUUGAAUCUGUCUUGCAGCCUAAACACUGUUCAGUGUUCAGCCCAUAUCUUGAGUUCUAGAAGUCUACAUGACCUUAAUUUUUUUUCCUGGAAAGCUGAGACAAUUUCCUAGAACUUUCAUGAGUAAAGUUGGUUCAAAUUCUGACAUUAUCAAUGAUGUUCUAUUCAGACAAGAAGAUAAGGAUUGUCACCAAGUCAAGAUGUGGCCACCCACUCAUCAAUUAUUCAUCAAAUCAAUAGUUCCAAAUUUUGACCUAUAAAAGAAGGCAUUUACCAUGUAUUUAGGCAUCUUGGUUUUCAGAUCAAGAUCAUGCUCUUGCUUUCUCUCUUUGUAUUUUCGCAAUACUUAAGUUUUGCUUUCAUUAAUAUCUAGUUUAUGCUUUUCAUUUCCUUUCCUUUACUUAGUUAACUUUAUCUUGUUUAUGCUUUUAUCUUGUUCAUUUAUGUUUCUUUCUUUUAUUAUGUUUAGCUAAGUUUAUUAUGUCAAGGUUAAAAGGUUACACUAAUGGUGUAAGAAUAAGUAUAGUGUAAACUCAUCAUGGACUUUAAUGUUUGAUACUAACAUGUUUUAUAUUUGUUAUCUUGUUCACUUUUAAUACUUUGCUUGUUAAAUGGUCAAUCUAGAUUUAUGUUAUAUAACCCUUGGUACAACAAAUACUUGGCACUUUCAUUGCCCAAACCGUAUGGUAUAAUCAACACCUGAGCUAUGAAAGGAACUUGAUUUGUUGUUAACAUAAGUUAUAAUCAUGAAUGCCUAACAACAUUUACAAAUAUUAGCAUUAUUCAAAAAAGAUAACUAAUGUAAUCAUGUUAACAAUUUAUAAUCCGAUUGGAACCUCCUUUGUGUGUGGUUUCCAGUUGAAUAAUAAGAGUUUAUACUAUACUUGUUUGAAAUACCAUUAGUGGAUCCUCUAACCUUGACAAUUAUUUUUAUCAUUAUUUAGUCCUCACAUUAAUCUUACAUCUCAAAGUUCUCAUCAACUUCUUCUUAUUCUUCUUCUUUAUUAUUAGUAUUAUUAUUAUUAUUAUUAUUAUUAACAUUAAUAUUAGUAUUAUUGUUGUUGUUGUUGCUACUACUGUUGUUGUUGUCGUCGUCGUCUAUAAUUUAUACAAUUAACCUCCCUGUGGUUCGACCCCGGUCUUGCCGGAUUAUUUAUUACUUCGACACUCCUGCACUUGGGAGAAGAUAUCAAUCUUUUGAUCAUGUCAAAAGCUCAUAUUAAUUGAUUUAUGGUGCUAAGAUACAUAAAUUAUAGUCACUAUCACCAUCAUUAUUAUCAUCAAAUUUAUAAUUAAUUUCAUUUUUCAGUAAAAGAUAAUAUCAUCUGUAUCCAAUGAUUGCCAACUUCACCACAGAUUUAACAUUUCUAUAGUUAACAUUUCUUUUGCAUGUUAGGAUUUCAAUACUAAUGAGUGUAUUUUCUAAAGUUGAAAUAGUGCUACCCAAUCUAGGUUCAAGUGGGAUGAUGAAUUAAAGAGCAGUUGUUAUUUCAAUACUAAUGGCUCAUAUUUGAUUUAUGGAGCUAUGAUUAGGGAAUCGUGCUUGUAUCACAUAUAACAAUAUUUACAUAGCAACAAGCAUUAUUAAAGAUGAUACACUAGUAAGUUUCCAAAUGCUAUCAACAAAUAUUAUAACCUCUUAAUUUAUAUAAGGAUUGAGCUAAAUUGCUUUAUCAAAUAUUUUUUUUUUUUGAAAUAUUAUAUAGACAUAGAAUCAACAAGAUUAUGUGACAUUCUAUAUUGAUUUUGUGAUAUAACGCAUAUUACAGUGCACAUUGAUAGAGUGAGUCUGGGUGGACAAACUUUUGGUGGUACACGUGGUGCUUAAUGAUUUGACGGCUAUGGAGAGAAGUUACAUGAGGGAAAUAAGGUGGAAAAAGUGGCCUCUCUAGAUUUUGGAAAUGUUCUCCGAAGAAAGAAGGAAAAUAAUUUCAAAGGUGGAUAAAAAUGGGGUAAUAUCAGAUUUGGAACAUAAUCUUGGUUGGUGAAGAAUAACAUAAUCUAAGGAGAAAUCUAGGGCAAGUCUGGUGAGAUUUGAGCUUAGAUUUUGGACCAAUUUAUAGGUGGAUGAUACCAUCAUGGAUGAUGUCCAGCUGAUAAAUGUUUAGUUACUUGCAAUUCUAUCAUAAAGUUAUCAGAUUCUGUGUGUGUGAGGGUGCCAUAUGUUUCUUUCUUCUAUGAUGGAUAAAAAACGCUAAGCAAUGAACCAUUUUGUCCAUCUGAGUAAAAAAGGUAUUAUGGUUAUGAUGAGAACUCUACAGCUGUGAUUCUAUUUUUGAAGGUAAUAUUUAUUAUAUUUAUAAUUAUAAGAAUCUUUAAAAAAGACACGGGUAAAAUAUUAUUCUCACAUCACUCACUAUUCACUGGUGUUAUAGGCUUAAAUUGAUAGAUAAUUAAGUAAAUUUGUUGAGGAAAAGAAAAAUUUAAAUAUAGAUAACCAAAGUGAAAAAAAAAAGCAAAAAAAGAUGGUAGUUUCAAGAUCCAAAAAUUCACUUUGAUUCUCAUAAUUUUCAAAUAAUGACUUUUUGGUCCCUUAAGUUUUCCUACAUUUUAUUUUUUAUCCACAACUUCAUUUUUCUAUUUUCUCAUUCCCUAAUUUGAUAGAGGAGACAUAGUUUUGAAACCGGCCCGGCCUGGUGAGUCGACCCGGGAACCGGCUAACCCGGGGCUGGAACUGGGCCGGGUUGAAGAAAAAACGGGGGAAGAAAAAACCCGAUGUGACCCGGCAAGACCUAAUUGCAAACCCGUUGAUUUUUUUUUUUUGCUAAAACGAUAUCAUUUUGAUUUUUUUUUAAAAAAAUAAUUGACCCGGUCGACCCGGUAACCCGGUCAAAACUCGGAACUCGAGCCAUGGACCGGGCCGGGUCUUAAAACUAUGGAGGAGACAAAAAGUCAUUGGAUUACAAUGCUAGAGAGAGUCUCUAUAACAACCUUAACAUUUGUAUUCAAAACAAAAUGUAAGGACAUGAUGAUUCAAAUAAGAUUAGGGAUUUUUUUUAAUCAAUAAAAAAUUCGGCAGAGUUUCUUCUAUAUUUUUAGGUAUCAAGUUAUCAACUUUCAUCCACAAUCCCCAAUUAUCAAAUUUCUUAUCCUAUCAUCCAGGACUUCCUCCUCUUAUUAUAUCACAACUUCUCAAUAAUCAAAUUUACACAUGUCUAAACAAUUCAAUAUCAAACAUUAACAUGAAUGCAAUCCAAGGAAUUAUUCUACAAAUUAUAACUGAAGUACAUUACACAAUUCAAAGAUUUACAAAAAAAGACCAUUAACAAAAUUAUAAUCGAAAUAAGUACAUAAUUAAAGAAGAAAUUCAUAAUUAAUAUUAUACUACACAAAAGGGUUUUCGAUAAACUGUUGACGCAUUAUAUUACAUAACAAAAUGAUAAAUUCAUUCAUUACAAAAAAAUAUCAAACAAAAUAUAAGAAAACUAAUCUAUUGUUCAGUUCGAUAGGGAGAUGUACCUAAAAAUUGAUUUAAUACAAUAAUUCGAUUAGAUAGAUGAAGAAAAGAUAUCCAUAAAAUUCUUUCUACUUUCUUUUUUUCUUCCUUUUUUUUUUUUUGAAAAUUUAGUCAAAAGAUCAUUAAAUUAACUUGCACAUCUAGUAUUAUAUAUAUUAAUUAAAUUUAAGAAUAAUCUAUGAGUUUGUUUUCUUUUUCUUUUUCUUUUUUAACAUCAACCAAAAAUAUAAUUAUUCCUAUCGCCCAAUUAACCUAGCAUUACUUUCACUAAUAGAUGAUUAAUUUUCCACCAGUCCAUUCAACAAGCACUAUUGUCAUCAAUCCAAAAAUUAGUUUAACGUUUCUUCCAUUCAUCAGGGUAUAAAUCCCAUUAACCAGGGAAAUUAAUUCUUCAUCUCGCCCAUUUAUCAGGGCACUAAUUCUAUUAAAUCAGGAAUUAGUUCAACUAUUUACCCAUUCAAUAGGGUAUUAAUCCCAUUAACCAGGGACUUAAUUCCUCAUCACGCCCAUUCACCAGGAUAUUAAUCCCAUUAAUUCAGGAAUUAGAUCAACAAUUUGCCCAUUCAUCAGGGUUCUUGUAACAGUCCGCCUAUACGACUUGCUCAAUGUUAAAAGAUCCCAACAUAUCAUCUUUAUUUGAGAGUAAAUUAUAUAUAUAUAUAUAUAUAUAUAUAUAUAUAUAUAUAUAUAUAUCCUACGAGUAAGUUCAAUAUGAACAUAGUCUACAUAACAUAUCAUAAAAUUUUAAAGAAAAGGAAUACUAACAUGUAAAGAAAGCAUUUACAACAUAAUAAGUGUUCUUAAACAUUUCAAAAGGGUUAAUUACAAGAUAACUAAAAUACUACAUUCUAAGCUGAACUUUUAUAAAAAUACAUCAAGGUUUAUGCAAAAAUAUACUACAAAACCGCGUUAAUUCCCUUUAGUUUAAGUUAAAUAUUUACAUAAGCUUGACAAAGUAGAGUUUUAAACUAAUGAUCUCCCUGGAUAUUUGAUGGACCUGAUACAUAAAUGACAUACCAUUAUGUUGAUAAAGAAUAUAUAUAUGCUCAUGUAAUGUAUAUGAAUGAAGUAUUAAUUUUCUAUCGGGUCCAUAAGAAUUCUAAUAGAGAACUUAUAUAUAUUGCUUGUAAAUCUUUUAAACCUAAUUAACACUCAUUUGCAUACUCUUAAUUUGGAUACUCUUGUUUACUUGCGUGAACUGGGUGACCUUGCAAGUCUAAUCUUGAAAUUCAUUUCCCAGCAAUCCUAUCACGGAUGUCAUUAGCCGAAGCUAAUAUUGUAAAUCAUCUCCAGACAUUCCUAUCACGGAUGCCAUUAGCCGAAGCUAAUCUUGUAAUUCAACUCCCGGUAAUCCUAUCACGCAUGCCAUUAGCCGAAGCUAAUCUUGUAAAUCAUCUCCCAGCAUUCCUAUCACGGAUGCCAUUAGCCGAAGCUAAUCUUGUAAAUACACUAGGCUUUAUUUACAUUGAACACGAUAUUUAUUAUAAUUACAUUCACCAAAAGAAUUUUGAAUUGUAUAAGUGCAAAUAGGAGGGAAAGUCACGCACCUGCUUCGCCUGUCUUGCGACUUCCCCUAACAGGAGAUCCAAUCCUGGUUGCUCCCUUUGAAUCACAAGGAAGUUUUUGGUUAUGAUUCCUUCAAGCUGAUAUUAUAGAGAAUUCAUAUUCAUCCAUUACUCAUAUGUUACUUUCUAUGCAUGUUCAUUUCCUCAUAAUAACAUACAUACAUAUAUCAUGUAUAUUUUCAGAAUUAGUAUCUCAAUGUGCAAAUGUUCGUAUGACUCAAUUCUUUUAUAUUCUUAUAUAUGGUAUUCACAUGAAAGUCUAUUGUUACUGUCUAACUUUGAACUGUUACUGUUUAUACAUUUAAACUGUUACUGUCUAACUUUGAACUGUUACUGUUUAUACAUUUAAAUUGUUACUGUCUAACCGUUAUUGUUUAACUUUGAACUGUUACUGUCCAACCGUUACUGUCUAACUUUGAACUGUUACUGUCUAGACAUUUAAAGUGUUACUGUCUACACAUUGAACUGUAUUUGAAGUGUUACUGUCUACACAUUGAACUGUUACUGUCCAACCAUUAUUGUCUAAACAUUUGAACUGUUACUGUCUAAACACUUAUCAGAUUUUUAACUAUAUCUAAAGUUCUAAAACUCCAUUUUAAGUGAGAUUGAUCUCGUUAGAAAGCUAAGACACGAGGCUACCAGUUCUCUAAGGAAAGAGAACCCAGUUUUGCCUCUAAGAUAGUCAAAAUUGCUCAUCAACUAAUCAAUCCUACUGCCCUACAUAAUCAGUCACGACUCAGUCUCGAUUGGUAACCCAUAACUGGAGUUCUACAUCUCCAAAUUGAGUAAGACCAGUUUUCUUGGUUAGUUAACAUUCAAAUUUACAAUUUCUAUGAGGAAUCUGAUCCUAAUUUCCUCAUCCUCCUACCUAAAAUCUCACCGAAAUUCAGGAGACAAGCUGUCCAAAUUCGUCUCCCCCUCCCCUUCACACAAUACUUUCAUAAACUACAUACCACACACAUGAAUUAACUUAAUCUUAACAAUAAGUACUUUUUCCCCAAUUCAUGUUUAAGAACCCUAACAUAUGAUUCAAUAUCAAGGCAUCAAUUCAUUAUCGAAUUUAAAAUGAAUUUUUAAGAUCAUGUUUAGAACACCUUACCCCGUACGAAUUAAGAUUUUGAUCUUCAACCAGUUGAAGAUUUUUAACUCCCUCCUUUCUUUUCUUCUUGUUCAAUUUCUUGAUAAUCCUUUGCUCUCAAGUGUUUAUCCCAUCUAUAAACCCUUAAUCUUGGAUGGGUUCUUGAAAUUUUAGUGUUUCUCUCUUGAUUUCAUAAGAAUAGGUAUAAAACUCUCUAUUUUCUUUCCUUAUGGUUCCUGCAGAUUUUUGGUGAGGAGAGAGUACUUAUACUCUAUAUUUUCUCUUAUUUGCAUUUAGACCCCCUUUUCCUUUAAUUGUAUUAUUCUCUUCAAUUAAAUCUAACCCUCAAUAGUACCGGGUUUAUUAUAAUGUUCGAAUUAUUUCACCCGGAAAUUUAUAUUAAAAACUUUCUGAAUUCCUGUUUUUAUUUAACCAUAUGCAUGAAUUUCUUCACUUUUAUUUAUUUCUUUUUCCGGGGUUUACAGUUCUAAUCCUAUUAACUAGGGAAUUAAUUCCUUAUCACGACCAUUCACCAAGGCAUUAACCCCAUUAGUUCAAGAAUUAAUUCAUCACAUCGCAUUUCUUGUUUUCUAAAGUAAACAAUAUAAUAAUUACUAAUUUAUCAACCAUAAUUAAUCAGAUAAAAAUACAUAUUGACCAAUAAUAAAUUCGGGCAUCGUAUAAUUACCGGACGACUAAGCUCGAGCUGAAAUUCUCUACUGUGGUGUCGGCCUGACAACCUCUUUUGAAUUGACAAGUAUAUCACAUCAUUAUUCUACUUUUCAUAUUGACACACUCAAUAAAUAAAAUCAUUCCAAUUAUCCUUUUAUUUGCCAAAAUAAAAUCAUUUUGUAAAUUUCCUUCCAAUUUCCACAUUAUAACACAAUUCAUUUCAUCAUUCAAAGCAAUAUAUAUAUAUAUAUAUAGUCUUUAAAUUUAUUUAUUUAUUUUUUACCAUAAUUUAAAUCAAAGAAAAACAUAAAAAAAUUUCAUGAUCUAUUCACUCUUUAACAUUAAUAUCAUCUCUUUCUUACACAAUCUCAUCAUCUUAUUAAAAAUCUUAAAUUUUUAUUUUUCUUAUUAUUAUUUUUUCAAAAAUCCCUUCUUCAAGAACACCUAAAAUUUUGCUUUAAUUACCAUAAUUUCUUACUUUCUCUACUCACUUCAAUAAUCUUAACAUAAUUUCACAAACAAUUGUAAUUUUCCCUAAAAUUUAUCAUGAACCUUAAUUCCUCAUUUCACAAAGUUCAAUCAAGUUAAAGCAUAAAUUCUUUAAGAAUCUGAUUUAAAAGUUUGAGGGCUCAUUACCGAGUAAUAACCAAAGCCUUAACACUUUUAAAUUAAGAAAUUUUCCUUGCUUGAAUUUGUUUUUCCUCUCCUGACCGAAUGCUUCCUUCUCUUUGAAAAAGCAAGUUUGUUCUUUUUUAUUUGUUUCCUUACAGCACACACUCACUUGUCACUAUAUAUAUAUAUAUAUAUAUAUAUAUAUAUAUAUAUAUAUAUAUAUAUAUAUAAUAAACUUUUUUUAAAAUAUCUUCCAUGUCCCUCAAUUUUUUCUUCCGCCAUACACACUCACACUUACACACCUAUAAUUACUUAACUUUUUAAAAAUGCCUUCUAUAUCCCUCAAUAGUAAAUUUUAUAAUUUUUGAAUAACAUUUCAUGAAUCCUGACGCUUGUUUAUACCAAAUUUUACCCGGGUUAUUUGAAAUUUCACUCAGUUACUCGUUAGUACUUUCAGUUUCAUGAAAUUCACUUCCAUAAAAAUUUUAUGCACAUUUUUGUGUUUAUUUAUAUUUAUUUUUAAUAUAUAUUUUAACACCUGAAUAAAACAUUUCACUUCAGAUUCUCAAAUAUAUCAUCAUUCUUAUAAUUUAAUUUAUCACUUUCUCUCAUUUUUUGUAAUCUUGACUUUUAUUAAUAUCAAUAAUAUUACCUGGGGUUUUACAAUCUCAGUUGGCACUGUUUUUCACUAUAAAAAAUGGUCGAUUUUGUUUUAAUGAGUUUUAUUUGAUGAAAAGAGUUCCAUUAAAAUGUUUUUUGCCCUUGAAAUUGCCAAAAAGUUUAUGGUUUUUGGGCUUUUUUAUUGGUUUAUUACAUCAUAAAGACCUUUUUUAGGUUUUUUGGUGUGAACAUUGUUUAAAUUUGCAUUUUUGGGUCAAAAAACACCUGCUUAAUUUUCUAGUCACCUCUCCAAUGGUUAAAAAGGGGAAAGUCUCGGUAGGUGACAUGUCGCUUUUCUUUAUUUUUUUUUCUCAAAAACAUUUGGAGCAUUUUCAAAUAAAAAAAGCCCCAUACAUACCAACCUUUUUUAAAAUGGCCUUGAUGUGUAGGCCUGACUUACUAGGCCUAAAAGCACUUGAAAUAUUUCUAUUUUUUUUUCUAAUUUUGUUUUCUUAAUUGAUAUUUUUUAAUGUAUUUUUAAUAAAUUUUUGAAUUUAUAUUUAAAUUAAUACUUUUCUCUCUAAAUAUUUAGAUUGUUUAUUUAGUUUUUUUUAAAUAGUGGUUAUCUUUUACUUAUCUUUUAUGUAUUUAAUAUCUAGAAAACAUUAUUCCAAUUCAUUUAUAUGUUUUUUUUUAUUUUAUAUGAAUAAACUUUAUUUUCAUGACGUGUUUAUAAAAAUAAGAAUUAUUUGUUCUUGGUAAGAAAAAGUGAACUUUAAGAUAUAAAAAAGAAGAAGGAGAAAAGUGUGCAUGAAGAGGAAAGUUAAGGUUAAGUAUCAUAUUUAUGUAUUUUUUACUUUUAUGAAAAUGAUUAUCAUUUUAUUUUAUAAAAUGAUUGGCAUUAACAACUUUUUAUUAGUUUAUUAGUUCAUAUUUUUGUAAGAUUUGUUUUUUACAUUUCUUAAUUAAGAGAAUCGUAAUACAAUGAAAUACAUUUGAAAUAUUGUCCCAUUUUUCUACUACAUUAAAAAUUAACUUAAGAUCCUAUAUGUGGCAGAAUGUGUUAAAAAUUAUUUUUUGUAUUUAUGAACACUUAUGGUCCUUACUUUAUUUUUAUUAUAUGUAAACAUCAACUUUUUUAUUCACAAUUAUAAUUUUCUCUUGAUUUUUAAAAAUACGUUAACGACAUUUAUACAUUUUUUCUUUUGCGUUCAAAAAAUUAUCUAACUCGUAGCAAAGUGAAUUAAAUAAACGCGUCAACACUUUUUUUUUUUGUAUUUAUGAUUAGGAUUUGUUUUUGUUAAAAAUGCAAUUGAUAAGCAUACAAAUUUAUUUUUUUGCUAAAAACAAUUUUAUGAUCCAUAUCGAAGUGCGAGUUAAAUAACUAUUAAUAUGGCUAUAGUAAGUCUUUUAGUAUAUGUGGAUGUAGGAAGCAAUGUGUUAUAUUAUUAGUUAGAUAUAACUUACCUAUUCAUUAUUAAAAAAAACAUAAAAUAAAUUAAUUAAUUAAUAAAAACCUAAAAGAGAUCGACUGAAAUAUAAUAUUUUUGUCUUUUUUUUUUGUUUCACAUUUCUCAAUUAAGAGAAUCAUGAUACAAUAAAAUGCAUUUGAAACACCGUCCCAUUUUUCUACUACAUUAAAAAUUAACUUCCUACAUGUGGCGCGUUGCGUUAACAAUUGUUUUUGUAUUUAUUAACAUUGUUGUUACCCAUUUUUGGGUUCCCACAAAAAUAUAAGAAAAUACAAAAAACAAUAUAUCAAAAAAAUAUUCAGAAGAAAUCCAAAAAAAAUAAUAGGAGCGAGAAAAGAAUGCUGGAAUGUUGAAAAAAUACCAAAAUUGGUUGAGGAGAUUAAAAAAUACAAAAGGUUGAAAUUUAACAGUAUAUUUUUGACUGAUGAGAGCCUUGGGGAUAAGAAAAAUUCAAUUAGAGAAAGAAAAGUUCAAAAUCAGAUGUUUAUGGACUCAAUUAAAUUUUAUCCAAGGUUUAAUUGAAUUUAUGGAGGGUUUGAUUGCAAGAAAAUUUAUUUUUUAAGUCAAUUUAGGUUUUUAUUGGAAAAAAUUAAAGUUUUAGGGUCCAAUUAUAAUUUUAAAGAGUUGAUUUGGUCAAACUAGAGGCUUAAUUGCAUAAUUCUUGAAGUUUGAUGGUCAAUUAGGGACUUGAUUGAAAUAAUUCAAAACCAAGGACUAAACCGAAAACGGCGCUAAAAUCAAGGAAUCCAAUUACAAUUCAUCCGGGGGCUUGAUUACAAAAUUGUCAAAACAACCAGGGACCGAAUCGGAAAUAUUCAUUUGAAUUGUGAAACGGCGCCGUUUCCUUAGACACUAUUCAUCACCAUCUUCAAAGCAGCCGUUUCAGCAUACAGGAACCGUUUUCAGCAACAAAUGCCACAGAUUAUGGGAACGUUUCACAGCUACCAUUUCUCUACCGUUACCACUGCAAUAAUGGUUUUGAACGUUUUCAUUAUAAAAAACGCAUGCAGUUUUGGCUAUAAAAGAGGAGAAAAGAAGGACAAAAAAGGGAGGGGAAAAAAGACAGAGAGAGAGAGGAAUGUAAGGGGGGAAAACAGAGAUGACCUGAGGAGAACAGAAGAGAACUGAAAAAAAAAAAAAGAGGAAACGAGAGGGAAAACCAGAGGGGAACGACAGAGGAGAAAAAAAGGAGGGGAGAGAGCCGCACCAGCAUUGCCAACGCCAUCGUCAGCUCAUCAUCUUCUUCGUCCAGCAGCCACUGCCAUUCUCCAUCACAACCGCACCAGCACGGCACAACGGAAAGGAGGAGAGGAGAGAAAAAACGACAACGAGACAGUGAGGGGAGAGAGGACAGAGGAAAAAGAGAGAGAACAAAAGGAGGAAAAAGACGACACAGAGAGGGAAAGAAAAAAAGAACCGGGGGCAGAAACACAGAAAAAAAACGAGAUAAGGAGGAGAAACAGAAGCACGCAGAAGGCAGGAGGAAUACCACCACCCGUCUUCCUCUUCACAGCAACCAGCAGCACCGCUAGCACCAGCAGCAACUCCACAAAGCCACUGCAGAGAGGCAAGAACACUGUUGAUGGGAGAAACGAAAUACAGAGGAAACAAGCAGCACGGCGAAGCAGAGGUGAGAAGAAAGAGAAGCAACGUCUGCCACCACAGCCGGCUGCCGCGACAACAACGCCACCGUCAGCUUCUCACCAUCUUCCUCCCCCUGCUGCAACACCCGUGAAGAAGAAGAAGAAGCCCGCGCCUCUGCACAGACGGGAAGAACAGCAGCAAACACUGCCCGCCACCGCAGAGAAGAGCCAUCGUCUGCAGCCACCAGUGCCACCUUAAGCCACCAUCAACCACGACAUCUCCACCAUUAGAAGCAGAAGAAGAAAAGGAGAAACAGGAGACAGAAGCGGGGAGAAGAAGGAACACUGUCCUUCUGCACGAGUACCGACGGCAUUUCCGACGGAUUUGCCAACGGCUCGAAAAGUUUGGCGGGAUUUCCGGAUUUUUUUGGUGUGCAUUUCAAUUAAUUUCCGACGGAAUUACCGACGAAAUUUAAUUCCACCGAUAACAAUUAAUUUCCAUCGGUAAUUCCGUCGGAAAUAUUGCUUUAUAUAUCGCCAUCCCCCCCACUUUGUUCAUUUUCUCCUCUUCUCCCUUUCUCUUCUUCUCUUGUUUAUAUUUAGCUUUUAGAAGGAUUUUAUUGUUUUGGUGGUAGUUUUAAAAGGUAUGUAUUUUUUUUUCUUUAUCUUUGUAUUUUUUUUUAAUUAUGAUUAUUUUUUUUGGUGUUCUUUGUUUUGUAUAUUGUUUGUAGAUAAAAUCUUAAAUUCAACACAUUAUUAAGGUAAGCAUUUUUUAUUCCCAAAUUUAUUUUGAAUUGAUAUAAUGUUUUUUAGUUUUGUGUAUUGUUUGUUUUGUGUUUAUGUUGUGUGUUGUGUAGUGUUUUUUAGUUUUUUAAUUUUAUUUAUUAAUUUUAGUUUUUUAGUUUUGAUAUUAUUGUUUGUAUUGCUAUAAUUGUUAUUGUUGAAUUUAUGUUAAAAAUGUUAAUUUAUAUAUAUAAUUGUUAAUGUUGAUUUAUUUUAAAAAUGUUAAUUUAUAUAUAUAUAAUUGCAUUUAAUUAGUUUAUCUUAAUUUAGGAUAUUAUUGUUUGUAUUGCUAUAAUUGUUAUUGUUGAAUUUAUGUUAAAAAUGUUGAUUUAUAUAUAUAAUUGUUAUUGUUGAUUUAUUUUAAAAAUGUUAAUUUAUAUAUAUAGAAUUGCAUUUAAUUAGUUUAUCUUAAUUUAGGAUAUUAUUGUUUGUAUUGCUAUAAUUGUUAUUGUUGAAUUUAUGUUAAAAAUGUUAAUUUAUAUAUAUAAUUGUUAUUGUUGAUUUAUUUUAAAAAUGUUAAUUUAUAUAUAUAUAUAUAUAUAAUUGCAUUUAAUUAGUUUAUCUUAAUAAUAUUAAUCCGUAAAUUAAAAUGUAUGACUUUAAUCUAAUGUUUGUAACUCUAAGUACCAAUUUAACAAUGAAUGUUCAUAGUUGUAAUUCUAUAUGAUGUUAUUGAAUAAAAUGUUGUGUUGAUGAUGAUGAGUUGGGUUGAGAUCCAGGAUGAUUGGAUUGGGAUGUGAAAUAAAAUUGGAAGUGUAAUAUGAUUUUGUCGACAACUUGGGACCCCCCUAGUACAGGGGAGACUCUGUCGAAUUUUUUUUAAAAUAAUCGAAGUUAAUUAUGUAAUUAUUCGUAUACAUUUGUGUAGAUGCGUAGAAUGAAAUCUACAGCACGUCGUCAGAAGACGGUUGCAGCUAGUUCUUCUAGCAGCAAGGAGGACGUAUGCUUAGGUGAUGAUCACGGCAAGGAAUCUACGCCAACUUGUGAUGCUGCCUCUUCUAGCGCGGUUUCACAGCGCAGAAGCGGUGUGCCUUCCCAGCGGGGUCAAUUCACCCGCAAGUACCAGGCACAAUGGAAGGAGACCUCUCAAUGUAAGUUUGUUUAGGUUUUAGUUUUUUUAUAUAUAUACUUAUAAUAUAAUUUAUGAACAACUAAUUAAUAUUAAUUACUACUUUUAUUUAAUUUCAGGUUCACAAACAUUGAGGCUGCAAGGACUAUAACAUUGGCGUUUAAAUCGUCGAUGGAGAUUCCAUUGUUUCAAUGGAGCCAAGUUUCCAAACAUCCUGAGUGGAAACCUAAUAUCGAUGCAUGGUUUAAGCGAUUUCAGGUCGGUGUUAAUUUUUAAUUUCCAGCUUAUUUUUAAUAAAUGAUUUUUAUUAUUUUAUAUCUUGUACUAUUUUUAUUUUAUAUGCAUUAUUUAUAUACACAGAACAAAUUUGAGUGGGAUAGGGCGGACAACAAUGUUGUGAGGAGGGUAUGGGAGAAUCACGCGGCAACUAGGUAACAUCGAAAAUAAUAUUUAUUUUUGUUUUAUAAUUUUAUGUUUUAAAUUCUAAUUUGUUACUAUGGAAGUAGGUUGCGUGAUUUUUGGUAUGACACCCAAAAAAAAUCAAAAAGACAUGCGAGGGAUAACGGUCUUGAAGGAUGGAAUGAGGUGGCGGUUUGGCAGGAAUUCAAACCGCCAUUCAUCUCGGGGGAAAUAUGGACGGCAUAUAUUGAGCACGUGACCUCAGAGCGGUUCUCACGGCGCUCACAGUCCGGCGCCGACAACCGGAACCGGCAAAUUCAUGAUUCGGUGACCACGCACACUGGCGGAUCCGUCCCAUUCAGCACACAUGCAAAGCGGAUGGUAAGAUUAAUUUUAAUGAAAUAUAUCGUUAAUUAAUUUGUCGUUCCUUAUAAUAUAUUUAACUUUCAACCUAUUUUUUCCUUACAGGCUGCGUCUCUUGGAAGUGAACCGAGUCCAAUAGAGCUAUUUCUAGAGACGCAUGUGCGGAGUCAAGACCGCCAAAAAGGGAUGCAGCAGUUCGUGGACAACCGUGCUCAGCAGUUCGUGGUAUGAUUGUUCAUUCAUUUUAUUUUGUAAGUUAUUAUUUUCUUGAAUUGCAUCUUGAAUUGCAUUUGAUGAUUUUUUUACCGAUGGAAUUUUCAGGAGACCUAUAAUAGCCGGUUGAGGGAGAGAUAUGGGGACAAUCCGUCGACCCAUCCAGAUUUCGAUCCAGAUUUGUGGAUGGAGGCGGGAUCGUCUGGUGGACCCGAUAAAAAUAGGGUCUACGGGCUCUCCAACACUACAGCUGACAACUUGCGUUUGACUCGUAGUGUCUCAACUGUUGGAAGCUCUCCAUCAGUAUCGAACACCCAGUCUGAGGAGUUCAUUGCGUUGAAACAACAAUAUCAACAACUCUCGACGAAUUAUGAUGAGCUCCGUCAAAUAGUCAUGGAGAUGAGAUCAAAGAUGGAUGACGAUACUUGUGCAGCUUCUUUUUGGUCGUAUGGUCCCGGGAACAACCAGCCUCCUCCUCCUCCGCCUCCUCCUCCAGCUCCGCCGCUAUUCUAGUUUAAUUUUUUUUAAACACAUUAAAUUUGUAAUGAAUAUUAUUUAACAUUACUUUUUACAUUUUUAAUGUUUAAUGCAUUUUUAUUUGUUUAUUAAGGUUUUUUACAAUUAAUAAAUUAUUUUUUAUAUAUAUUUUAAAUACCAACCGACAGAAUUGCCGACGGAUAUUAUCUGUCGGCGACUAAAUACCGACGGCAUUACCGACGGAUAAUAUCCGUCGGUAUUACACAGAGAGUUGCAACAAAAUUACCAGCCAUGCCAUCAUUACCGACGGAUAAUAUCCGUCGGUAUUACACAGAGAGUUGCAACAAAAUUACCAGCCAUGCCAUAAUUACCGACGGAAUUUCCGUCGGUAAGGACGUCGGUAAUUACCCUUGAAAUUUCAGACGGAUUUAUUCCGUAGGUAAUGUUCCCGCGGGAAACUUUUUUUUGGCGCGCGCGUAUCCGUCUGUAAUACCGUCGAUGUGUCCGUCGGUGGGUGUUUUUUUUUGCGACAGAAUUAGCGACGGAAAUGGGAUUUACCGACGACUGUUAUACCGACGGACGUGUUCUAUCGGUGAGUCCGUCGGUAUGUUUUUCACCGACGGAUUUCAUCUCUGUCACCGACGGAAUGAGUCCGUCGGUAAAACUGGAUAAUGUUGUAGUGAUGCAACAGUUUCAAAUGAGGUAUUGGACCUGAAUAUUCUAUCAUUUGAUUUGAUCAAUCUCAAUUAAGAUUGAUCCAAAAAUUUUCAAUUUUAACUAUCAUAUUUUAUUUUCACAAUAAGAUUUAUCUCCUUGUUGUGAAAAUCUAAUAUGUUCAAAUCAAAUUUUAGUCGAAAAUAUAAAACCCUCUUAGUCAUAUUUUUCGAGACAUGCCCACUUGUUUCAAAAGUAAGUCAACUUGUCUUGAGGGGGCAUUUGUAGAAACACAAAUUUUCUAUCAAUCAAAUUUCACCAUGUGUUAUUUUAUUCUUUAAAAGAAGGGAUAAAUAAAAUUGAAAUAAAUGACAUGAAAAAUAAAUGAGCCUUCAUAUAUUUCUUGGCCAAUGAAAAGUUGACACUUGGGAUGAGAUAUUCAAGAUAUCUUGUCAUAAAUACAAGAUCCCAUCAGAUAUCUCUUCAUAAAUGUAAGAUCCCGUCAAUAAAUAUCAACCAAUAAAAUUAUGUCAUGUGGCAUUGGAAAAGAACCUGAGAGCCCCUACAGAUCUCUAUAAAUAGAGGGCCUCAACCUAAAGGAGGGGGAUCCCGGGAGAUACAAAUUUCCUUCAAGACAAGCUCUGCAAGCAAGGAAGCUCUCGCUCUCUCUCUCUUCAAGCAAGGAAGCUCUCUCAAAGAGUUCUCAAGCCUCCUUCAUCGACGCUUGAAGUCUACAAAGAAUGAAGCUCUGUUGGAUCAAGCCUAAACGCUCCAUUAGAGUUCUUCAACAACACUUUGAAGACAAAUCAAAGGUACUCUUCAAAGCAUCAAAUCACCAGAGGAUUCCGGGAGAUACAAAUUUCCUUCAAGACAAGCUCUGCAAGCAAGGAAGCUCUCGCUCUCUCUCUCUUCAAGCAAGGAAGCUCUCUCAAAGAGUUCUCAAGCCUCCUUCAUCGACGCUUGAAGUCUACAAAGAACGAAGCUUUGUUGGAUCAAGCCUAAACGCUCCAAUAGAGUUCUUCAACAACACUUUGAAGACAAAUCAAAGGUACUCUGCAAAGCAUCAAAUCACCAGAGGAUUCCGGGAGAUACAAAUUUCCUUCAAGACAAGCUCUGCAAGCAAGGAAGCUCUCGCUCUCUCUCUUCAAGCAAGGAAGCUCUCUCAAAGAGUUCUCAAGCCUCCUUCAUCUACGCUUGAAGUCUACAAAGAACGAAGCUCUGUUGGAUCAAGCCUAAACGCCCCAUAAGAGUUCUUCAACAACACUUUGAAGACACAUUAAAGGUACUCUUCAAAGCAUCAAAUCACCAAAUCUCGCUUCGCAAUAUACGCUCAAAUUCGUGUUCUUGCAAAGCACAAAUCUUGGCUUGAUUACUCAAAUAAAUCAAGUCGCCAUACAUCAAAUCCAAGGGAAGAAUCAGAGGAUUGUCAUAUUCUUUUGAAAGAAUAUAUUACAUAGAGAUUGUACCCAUUCAUAUAUUUAAUAAAAUCAUACAUUUGUACACGUGUGCUUGUUUAAUUUCAGGUGCUCAAAAUUGUGUCCACAGUCACUUAGCAAUGAUCUACUGCUUUACUGUCUAUCUGCUAAUGACAGCAGUAUGAGCAUUAUCUAGAUUAGGAUGUUUUUCAAUUUGUUUUAAGUUUAUCUAGGAUUAGACUAGCUUGUUAUAUAACUCCUUAGAUAAAAGAGAUGAUAGCUGGUAUGUCUCUUUAGUUUUUCACAAUUUUGCAAUGGUUGUUUCCUUCUAUAAAUAAACGACUAGGGAUAGCAGUAACCUAUCGAGACAAUUCUACUCUUUGUUCUCUCCACUGCAAAACUCUGUUCUUUGUUCUUUGCUCUUUUUCUUAGUUCAUUAACUAAAGUUUGUUCUUUAUAUCUUAGUUAUUACAACAAUUGGUAUCAGAGCUUCUUUAAUCUUUGAAGGGUUUAUGAGUGAAAACAUGAGAGAAUAGUAAGGUUAAAUCAAAGCUUUAUGCUUUGAAGGGUUUGUGAGUGAAACACGAGAGAUUAAGUGAGUUUUUUUUAAGCAAUGGAUUCUGCAAAUUUUCCAGCAAAAACACCAGUGUUCACAGGGCAGAAUUAUAGUGUGUGGGCUGUAAAAAUGGAAACGUAUCUCAAAGCUUUUGACUUGUGGAAGAUGGUGGAGAGUGAUAGGCAACCAACUCUACUAGGUAACAAUCCUACGAUUGCACAGAUGAAAUUUUUCAAUGAAGAAAAGGCAAAGCGAUUCAUAGCUUUUACCUGUCUUCAUGAUGCUGUGAGUGAAGAAAUCUUCACAAGGAUUAUGGCUUGUAAAUCUGUCAAAGAAACGUGGGAUAAAUUAAAAGCAGAAUUUCAUGGUGAUGAGAAGGCAAGGAAGAUGCAAGUUUUAAAUCUCAGAAGGCAAUUUGAAGGUCUGAAAUGAAAGAAACCGAUACCUUCAAAGACUUCUCUUCUCAAAUUUCAAAACUUGUGAAUCAAGUGAGACUUUUGGGGGAAGACUUUCCAAACUCAAGAGUAGUAGAGAAGGUUCUGGUAAGUCUACCAGAGAAAUUUAAACAUAAAAUUUGCUCUUUAGAAGAUUCUAAAGAUUUCUCAAAAAUGAGUCUGCAAGAACUAGUAAAUGCAUUGCAAGCUAUGGAGCAAAGACAAGCUUAUAGACAAGAAGGAACAAGUGAAGGAUCUCUUGUUGCAGUUUACAAGGAGAAGAGUCGGGCUAAGAAUUUUUACAGAAACAAUCAAGAAGGAAAAAAAAGAGAAAGGGAAAGGCUGGUAAUCCAAUAACUGGCAACAAAACAACAACAACACCAUCACUAGAGGAAAAGAGAAGAGAGAAGAUUUUCCUCCUUGCAAAUUCUGUCAGAAAACAAAUCAUCUUGAAGCCUGGUGUUGGCUCAAUAAUGCACAAUGCCGAAACUGCAAGCAAUUUGGUCAUAUCCAAAGAUUCUGCAAAAACGAAGCAAAAACUGUAAAACAAGCUCAAGUAGCUGAGGGUUCAAAAGUGGAGGAAAAUCUUUUAUUCAUGGCUACAAUACAGGAGAUGUGUAAUACAGCCAAGGCAAACGACUCAUCAUGGCUUAUUGAUAGUGGCUGCACUAAUCACAUGACUGUAGAUCUAGCUUAUUCAAAGAUUUGGAUAAAAACUAUCUAUCUAGAGUCAGAAUUGGGAAUGAAGACUAUGUGAAGGUCGAAGGAAAAGGCGCAAUUGAAGUGGAAACAAUGUUAGGUACAAAAACUCUAAAAAAUGUUCUUUGUGUACCUAAGAUCAAUCAGAAUCUAGUUAGUGUGGAACAAUUAAUUGUUUAAUGAUGGAGUGUGUGACAUUAAAGAUAAAAAGGGAAUGUUACUGCUCUCUGCUAAAAUUAUGAAUAGAAGUUUUAAUGUUGAUUGGAAAGAAGUAUGUUUGAGUGCCAACACUUGUGAAGACAAUAAGUCUAUUCUUUGGCACAAAUAUUUGGGGCACUUCAAUUAUUUAAAGAGAAUGGUUAACCUGCAAAUGAAUAUACAGGAACAAUAGAGUAUUUGUGAAGCCUGUCAGUUAGGAAAACAAACUACAGUUGUUUUUCCUAACAAUGCAUUCAGAGCACUGUCAAAACUCUAGUCGGUACACACAGAUGUGUGUAGGCCGAUGCAUAAUGAAUCAUUGAAUGGUUCAAAGUAUUUUCUUCUAUUUGUUGAUGAUUAUAGUAGGUUCUGCAGGGUUUACUUUCUGAAAUCAAAAUCUGAUGUGUUUGCUAAGUUUGUUAAAUUCAAAGCAACAGUUGAAUUAGAAAAAGGAAACAAGCUAAAGAUAAUGAGGUCUGACAAUGGAGGUGAGUAUACCUCUCGUCAAUUUGAGGCAUACCUGGCAAAAGAGGGGAUCAAACAUCAUCGGACUAUACCCUAUACACCACAGCAGAAUGGUGUCAGUGAGAUGAGAAACUGGACAUUGAUGGAAAUGGCAAGAUGUUUACUAUAUGAGAAGAAAGUGUCAUUGAAAUUCUGGGCAGAGGCAGUGAACACAACAUCAUAUCUUCUAAAUCGAAUGGCCUCAAUAGUUUUGGGAGACAAAACUCCUUGUGAAAUCUAGUAUGGCUUUAAACCCAACAUUGAUCAUUUAAAAGUGUUUGGCAGUCUUUGUUAUGUUAUGAAACCUGAAGUUAAAAGGAGAAAACUUGAUCAAAAGGCCGAUAUAGGAAUUCUUAUAGGCUAUAGCACAACAUCUAAGGCCUAUAAAAUCUAUGAUCUGAAUUUUAACAAAGUUGUGAUUGCUAGAUAUAUAAAAGUUGUAGAGAAUGCUACAUGAAAUUGGGAAAAUACAUCAAUUGAAGGGUCAAAACAGAUGCAACAAACUGAGUUGGAUGCUGCAAAAAAUGUUGAUGACCAACAAGCUAAGUUGGAUGUUGCAGAAAAUGUUGAUGAUCAACCAGUAAGGGGGACAAAGUUCUUAACUGACAUUUAUAGCAGGUGCAAUGUGGCUGAGGCAGAACCAAUAGGUUUUGAAGAGGUCAUGAAUUCUCAAGUUUGGAUAGUAGCAAUGAAGGAGGAGCUUGCGAUAAUAGGAAAAAAAUCAAACAUGGAUACUGGUUGACAGACCAGCUCAUAAGAAGGUAAUUGGAGUGAAAUGGAUUUUCAAAACCAAAUUGAAUGUAGAUGGUAAGAUCAAUAAGCACAAAGCAAGACUUGUAGUGAAAGGAUAUUCAUAAGAGGCAGGCAUCAAUUUCACAGAAACAUUUGCUCCAGUUUCCAGGCAUGAUACAAUGAAGCUCCUGCUUGCUCUAGCAGCACAAAAUGGUUGGUAUAUCUUUCAGUUGAAUGUUAAGUCUGCAUUUUUUAAUGGUGUUCUAAACGAGGAGAUUUAUGCUGAACAACCUGCUAGGUUUGAAAAACAAAAUUCAACAAACAAAGUGUAUUUAUUGAAGAAGGCAUUAUAUGGACUUAAACAGGCUCGUAGAGCCUGGUACACCAGAUUGGAUAAUCAUCUCUUAAGCUUAGGAUUUAAAAGGAGUAUGAAUGAGGUAACUUUUUAUGUAAAGCAUGUUGAUGGGCAUAAACUUAUCGUAUCAGUCUAUGUAGAUGAUUUGCUGAUUACAGGAGACAAGGAGCAGCUUGUAGAGGAGUUUAAAACCAACAUUAAAGAUAAGUUUGAGAUGAAUGAACUUGGUUUGUUGACAUAUUUUUUAGGAAUGGAAGUAACUCAGUCUGAUCAAGGUUACUUUCUCUAUAAAAAAUGUUUUUCCUUGAAAAUACUGAACAAUUUUGCAAUGGCUAAUUGCAAGCCAGUCAGUACACCUAUGAUACAGGGACAAAAGCUAAUAAAGGAGGAUAGAGCACCAAAAACUGAUGGGAAAGCUUACAGGAGUCUAGUUGGGAGUCUACUGUAUUUAACAGCCACACGUCCAGAUAUUCUGUUUGCUGUGAACUAUCUCUCAAGGUUCAUGCAAAAUCCAAGUCAAAUCCACUUUCUGGCAGCCAAGAGAGUUUUGAGAUAUCUGAAAGGGACUGUAGGAUUUGGCAUGCAUUUUGUGAAAUCUAGCUCUGUCAAUCUUGUUGGUUUUUCUGACAGUGACUGGGGUGGAAGUGAUGAAGGAAUGAUGAGCACCUCAGGUUAUUGUUUUGCUAUGGGAAAUAGUGUGUUCUGUUGGAAUUCAAAGAAGCAAUCAGUGGUGGCACACUUCACGGCAGAGGCUGAAAACAUAGCUGCAUAUGUGGCAGCAAAACAAUUGAUUUGGCUAAGAAAGAUGCUAAGUGAUCUAGACUGCAAUCACCAAAAUUCCACAGUACUGUUCUGUGACAAUACAUCAGCUAUAGCCAUCUCAAAAAAUUCUGUCUUUCAUGACAUGACCAAGCAUAUGAAGAUCAAAUUCCAUGCAAUCAGACAAUUUCAGCAAGAAGGAGAACUAGAGCUACGUUACUGCACCUCUGAAGAACAGCUAGCAGACUUGUUUACCAAGCCUUUAGCCAAAAAUAUAUUUGAAGAUCUAAGAGGAAGAAUUUGAAUGUGUAGCUUUGGAACCAAUUGGAAUGUGUAGCUUUGGGACUAAGAAGGAGUGUUGAAGUUAUGGUACCAAAGCUGGAAAAGGUCACUUAGCAAUGAUCUACUGCUUUACUGUCUAUCUGCUAAUGACAGCAGUAUGAGCAUUGUCUAGAUUAGGAUGUUUUUUAAUUUGUUUUACGUUUAUCUAGGAUUAGACUAGCUUGUUAUAUAACUCCUUAGAUAAAGGAGAUGAUAGCUGGUACGUCUCUUUAGUUUUUUACAAUUCUGCAAUGGUUGUUUCCUUUUAUAAAUAAAAGACUAGGGAUGACAGUAACCUAUCGAGACAAUUCUGCUCUUUGUUCUCUCCACUGCAAAACUUUGUUCUUUGUUCUUUGCUCUUUGUUUUUUUUCUUAGUUCAUUAACUAAAGUUUGUUCUUUAUAUCUUAGUUAUUACAACACAGCUACUGGUUCCACCAUGAGUUCUGCUAUCUUAGAUAUAAUGGAUCCACCCACACUUUCGAUAGCCAUUUUCCACCAGUCUGAAAAUCAGAGAAAUAAGGAUACAGAACGUGAGAGUGAGUCACUACAAGUAAAACAGGGGCAGAGAAAAUGUGAAAAAUAUGUGCGAAAAGCACUGGCAAUCAAUGAAAUAGCGGGAGGAAGAAAAGGAGAAGGCCUUUAGCUCUGUAUGGAAUCCAGCUUCAAAAGCAACAAGACAAGGUAGCAGUGAAGAAGGACCUGAAAUCAUGGCAGCAAAUAAGGAGAGAAAAUAAAGAGAAAAAAUAAUUUUAAUAAAGAAAAUUUUAAAUUUUAAAAAACACGGCUUGCACAAUAUUCCAAACGGUGUCAUCACGGCCAGUGUCACGGGGUUAAUUUUUCGCAACUAAACUUAACCCAAUGCGGCAGUCUAGCCCCAACUAGACUCAGCCUUGCCUCACCCUUUCACUCGUGUUUUCCUACGACUAUGUGUUUCGCUCACUCAAGGAGGUUCUCACACUCGCCUCGUCGUAGACAACAAAUAAACACAAGCAACACAAGCACACUAGAGUUUUACAAGAAUCCCUCUCAACCUUUAUUUAUCUCGUCAACAAAGGAAUACACAAAAAUGGUGUGUGCUAUGCACAAAUCGCAUGCUACACAGCAGAGGCUUGGCAGCCUAUUUAUAGCCAAAUGUGAGAUUCCAUCCUCACCUAUAAUCCCCUAAUUUCGGGGCAUAGUGGAGCAUUAUCUCCCCCAUGAUCACCCUUUACAUGGACUAGUGGAGCACUACCUUCCCCAUUAUCCUUAGUGGGUUGGUGAAGCACUUUGUCCUCCAUUAUCUGGCCCCUCCACCCAUGAUUCUGCCUGCCCUCAUGGCAGCCCCAAUUGUCUGCCUUGCUGUGUCAGCUGCUGACUUAGAAAGUCCAUUGCCUAAGCCCCACGUCCAUGCCAAGUCGCCAGCUCAAAGACUUGCACAGACCCUUGCACGCUGCCUGCCGAAUUCGUUUCUGCCGCAGUCCAUCGCUGCCGAAUUCUAGGCAAUGUGCCUUCGUUGGCGCGCCCCGCGCCUAGACCUCUAACAGCCAGUCUUUAGAAAGUUUGAAAAUUAGCAUGAAAAAGAGGAUAAUAGAGUAGUUAAAAUCAAAACACAUAUAAACAGAGGACAAAAACAGGCAGAGAUGCUGUUUGUUUUUUUAACUGUGUCUGUUUUUUUUAACUGUGUUUGAGUGGUUUAUAAAAUUAUAUUUAAUUUAAAAUUAUUAAAUUAAUAUAUUUUUAGUGUUUUUUUUAUUUUAAUAUAUAUAUAUAUAUAUAAUAUUUUAAUAUGUUUUUAAAUAACAUAAAUAUUUUUAAAAAACAUGUAUAUACUAAAAGAGAAAGGAGUUCUUCCAUUUAUUAUUGUUCACUUAAAUUUAUUUUACUUGUAUGACAAUAGUUUAACUUUUCAAUUUAAUACUUUAUUAUUAUUUAUUUAUUGUGUAUAAUUGUGCUUUUUUGAACUCAAAUUAGAGUUUAAUUACGUAUUUUUUAGGGGUGAGAGUUGAAUUAAAACAUAAAUAACUAAAGUGAAAUACUCGGGUAAAAUAGUUAAUAGCUCUGCAAUUUGGUUGCAAAGUUUGUUUUAAUUAAAAAUUAAAAAAUUAUGUAUCAAACAUUAUUAUAAUAAAUAUGAAAAAACCUAAGAACCAUAGAUUUGAGAAAACUAAAUAAAAACUUAACAAUAUAUAAAUUAAAAAAUAUUAGAUAUUUUAUCCUCAUUCAAUAUUAAUAAGCAAAUCAUUUUAGAAAAUUUAUCUAUUAUAAUAAUACAUAAUUAUUCAUAAAAUAAUUAAUAAUAUUACAAUAAAAAGCUUAAUUUUCUUGAAAACAAUAAAAUAAUUAAAUAAUUAUUUAAAUAUAUUUUUUUUAAUUUUAUCCUUCAAUUUAACCACUUGGGAAUGAGACCUCAGCUAUGACUUUAAAGGCUUUAAGUUUUUAUAAUUAACCUAAGCUAUGAUCGGUCAAUGUUUUUUUCAGUUUUCUUUUCUUUUCUUUUCAAAAAAAAAAAAAACAAAUCAUCAAGGGAAAAAAAUAAAAAGACUUGCAAAGGAGUACAAUUAUUGGAUUCGGAAUGAAUCAACGAAAGAUCAAACUCAACCGAUUAUCUAUGAUGAAUAUGGUGAAGUUUCUGUUGUUUCUGUUGGAGUUUUAUAGAGUUUCACAUAUUAUCUCACGAUUUCAUAUUUCAAUAGCUUUCCUAACAACAAGCGAUAGGAAGAGGGCAGCCUUUGUUCUGCUGUUCACACAGACUAAGAACUCCUACCAUUGGAAAAUCAUAUAAUUAAAACACAACAAUAUAUAAAAAUGUAAUAAGCAGCUGAUUAAUGCUGUUGUUCUUUCUUCUUGUUUUGCUAUUUUGAUUUUAUCAUAUUUUCUUAAGAAAUUAUGAUUGUGUUAUUUUUGAAUCGGACUCCCAUAUAUAAUGAAAGUAAGAACGUUCAUUCCUUUAUAAACAUUGACUUUGAUUUUUCCUUUAUAAAACCAUAAACCUGCAAAUCACGAAAAACUAGAUCAACAUGAAGACUUAUCAGAUCCUAAUGAAAAGCUGUCAAAAUCCUAUCAGAAAUUAAGGAAGAUGACGUUAACUUCAAAUCUGAGGAUUAAUUGUAGCAGAUCUUAUAGAGUUCAGCUGAUUGCUUUACUUGUUUAAAUAAUUCUCUUGUAAGCCUAAUGGUUCACGUCUUCCAUCAUUGCAAACUUUUUUUCUGUGAUUGAAAAAUCUAUAAUAGGAACCUGCACUGCAUCCCUUCUAUGCUGUUGUUCUUUCUUCUUGUUUUGCUAUUUUGAUUUUAUCAUAUUUUCUAUGAUGAAAGUUGAAGAAAUUCUACUUCGAAACUCAAGACAAAGUCUCUCGGACUGCAUAUUAGUGGGUUGCUCAUUGGGAUUUCUAUAAACAACUGAUUCUAAUAUUGCAAAGCAACAUUACGAAAAACUGAAUAUUUCACACAUAGUCUAAUAAAAGUAGAUUCCAUUGUCAAUUCCUUAACAUCUUCCAGACAAAUCCAUGCUCCUCUUGCCAUUCCCUAAUUGCGUUGAGCCAGUUAAUCUGGAUGAAAGAAAGGACUUCGACCUUGAAAUUAGCAUCAUAGUCAUGGAACCUUAAAGCAGACCCAACUUUGUAGCUCAUUACCAGUUACGUAAAAGUUAUCAAUAUCUGUGUAAAUCAUUGAAACUGCCACAAAAUUAAGCAACCCAAAUUAGUUUUGAAUUGGAUUUGAUAAAGGAUAGAGGGAAAGAGGGGAAAAGACAGAUGAAGAUCUGCGCAGGGCUACCUGUUUUGAGAAUUAUGGAUUUUUAUCUCUAACUCAGAGCGGCACCAAUUAUAAGUUCAAUAAAAAAAAUUUGUAACACAACAGAUGGAAAAACUCGAAACAACUCGGCUAGAAUUUAGGAAUGAAAUUCAGAAUGAGCCAAGAUUUUAAGUGAGAUGAAACUCUUUGAAAAAAAAAAUUAAUAUGAAAUAUACUUUUCAUUUUAGUGAAACUCGAGUUUAUUGUGUCAAAGAAAAUGUUCUAAAAAAAGGUUUUGAGCAUUAACAAAAUCUAGUUGUCUAGGCAAUCGACUAUUGUUGCUGUUACAGUUGGUGCAUACUCAAUGACACCAUGGAUUCACAUGGUGCAAUUUUAUUUUUAUUUUUAUAAAAUAUUUCACAAACUCUUAAAUAUACGAAAAACUCUACCUCAACUAAAAUAUAAAAAAAAUUGCAAAGGAAAGAUGCAUAACAUCCAAAAUAAGCAAGAAAUCUAAAAAUAAUAUGGAAGAUCACAAAAAACUACAAAAACUAGGGGUCUUAGCAUGAUUUUUUAUAUCUAAAGAUUCGACAGUCGGUGUGAGAAUUUGAACAUGAUCUAAGAAUUAGAUAAAACAUUAUAGUCCUUUUGAGUUAUUAUUUUGGUCUGACGCGAACAAACCUUUUCUAUUGAUCCAUAAAUUUAAUGCCCCUACAUAUAAAAAGAAAUAGAUAGCUGCUUAACUGAGUUAACACGUUUUGGUUCUUUUUUCAUGAUUCAAGUCGUAAAUUUAGUAUUUUUCCUAGGUUGAUUGUGUGUGAUCUUAUAUAUCAACAUCUUAAUAUUAAACAACAAAAAAUUUCAAGAUUGAUUUUUUUAGGCUGAUCUAUAUUUUACUAAUAGUCUGAGUUGUUUUUGGGUUUUUCAAAUAAAAAAGGAGUUAAACUUAAGAAAAACAACUUAAGAUUAACACUUAAAAUUUAAAAAUUUUAAAAAAAUCAUAAUAAUAAAAUUCUUAAUUUCUGACACCACAACAAGAUGCUUAGAAAGAAGCUAUCUAACAGGAGGGUGGGGCUACUCUUAGCCAAUGAAAACAGCUUCACAUGCAACACAACAACGUCAGCCUGUUUUCUCUUUAAUGAACACCCUCUUGGAUUCUCUAGCAUUAGCCAACAAGGUAUCUGCUUGGAAUUACUUCCACCAAUCUAAGACAUAUCCGCAGCUCCACAGCUCAAACAUGAAUCUCCGUGAAAUCACCUAAGGUCGAGUUGAUCAUGUAAUAGGUAACCAACCUUGCCUGAUGCAAACAUGAAGAACAAAGACCAUCCAUGCAUAUCGCAUACGUUGAUUUAAUUGAACCAUUAAAAGAAGAAGGAAAAGGAGAGCAGACAAAUAAUUGCAGCCAUGUCACCUGGUUUGGGCAAGAAAGAAUUAUUAGACUACCAAUAACCAUCAUCAUCAUCAUCAUCAUAUUACUUCAGCUGGUCCACUCUCUAUUAGUGCUUGAAUCUUCAGCUGGUUGAGAUACCUGUAAACCAAUUCAAGCACGGCAUAUACAUUCUAAAUUGUAAAUCUUAUUAUUGAGCGAAACAAGAAACAAACACACUAAAAGAGAGGCAAGAAAUGAAGUCAAAUCAGCAGCACCUCUGAUUGAGCACUCAUUGAACCACCAUUUGGUGUAAUAGCAAAUUUUAUGGUCAACUUUGAGCAUUCAUACACCUUCAACUUCUCCAAACGAGGGAAUAAGAAAUCACAGCAUCCGAAACUGAAGCAGACAAUACUUGAUAAUUGUUCUAGAGACAACUUUUUUAGAUUAGGAAGCACCAUCUCCUUCUCAACGUUGACAGGUGAAGCAUGAUCAUCCUGCCCAAAGACUCCCAAUAAUUGAGAGGCUUUUGUUACCCUCAGUAUUUGGAGAUUUGGGAGACCUGAAGCCAUGGCUAAUGGGAAGAGACUCUUCAACUUGUUGCAUUCUCUAAUCUCAAUUUCACACAAAUUGGGAAAGCAUAAAGAUUGGAGAUGAUCUCCUAACAAUAUCUGGUCGUUUUCAUCAUCAUCCUUAGCAAUGAUUUGCUCCAAUUCCUCACAGGACAAUAUCUUUAGAACUUUCAGUGGAACUAGACUGACAAUCAUACUGCGUGUGAAUACAUGCGUCAGUCUUUUACACUCAACCACAUUCAAAGUAGUCAAUUUGCUCAACACGAGACCCUUCCAUAGACACCUAAUAUCAGGCACCAGCAGGGAGCGCAAGCGUAAUGUUUCCAAAUUUGUCAACCCCUGCAUCGAAAGGAAACAAGGAUACCUAAUAAAUUUUGUGCACUUUGGAACUAUAUAAUUUUGGUAAAUAGAUGAACGAAUUGUCACCAAUACUUCAGCCAAAAACUUAUCAACAAAAGGAUAUAAGUAGACAUGGCAACAGGGCAUGGGAAUAUGAAAUCAUAAGCUGCAGGACUGAAACAAACAACUCAAUAUUAGCAGAAGGACGUUUAUCUUCCUCUUCAAAUACUUCCAUUAAUUGGGGGAAGAGCCUCAAUUUCACUCAAACUAGGAAAGCAUAAAGAUUGAAAAAUCUCGAUAUCAUUUCAUUACAAUAAUUAAUUUCUUACUUCUUAAGCCCUGCAUCAAGAGACAAGGAAUGAUACAGUUAGACAACUCCUUUUAAAUUUAGUGGAUGGCUAAAGGAUUUAUCUCCACUUAUCAAUUGCUUCAGUUUCAGAAAUUUAAAGGAAGAAAUCAAACAUGUAUUGAAGUUGACAAUUUAAAUUAAAAAGGAAAAAGAUUAUUAGAGAAAUAUAAAGGACGUACUUGGAGCUGUGCAAACAAAUUUCCCAAUUCUUUGUGGCCAUCAAUUUCUAGAAUUUGCAAGGAAGGCAAUUGGGCAGUAAAAUUCUUUGGACCAAAGAAGCUGCAAUUUGAAAGAUACAAUUCUCUUAGCUUAGGGAACUUGAUGAUGCCAUCUCUGGUGAGUGCAUCUCCUUCUCCACUGUAAAAUAUUUGCUUUAAAUUAUGAGCUUUAAAAAUCCGCAUCUCGUUCAGGUUCAGAAGGCUUGGAGACACAGAGACAGGGAGGACAUAUUCCAGUUUACCACAG
rnacentral:lncRNA from 1 species